rnacentral:lncRNA from 1 species
UGUAGACGUCUAAAUAUUGAUCCUCUGUAUCAUCAUUAUAUGAUUACAAACGGAGCUCCGAGCAUGUCUUUGGCUUUUUUCAAAUUAAAGACGAGGUUUCCCUGAGGUUUAAACUUACGGACUUGGGAUUGAUGAGGUAAAGAUCAGGGGCAGAUGUAGAGGAAUUUCCAAUCCAUGAUUUAUCUGAUGGAGGAAAGAGGUCUUGUGUGCUGUUUAAACUCUGGUCUGUGACCUGCUGAUAGUGGCCUUUGACACGUUUGGAGUAUAAAUCAUCACCAUAAAUGCUAGGAUCUGAGGUCACCUCCGGGAUGCUGGUCUGUCCUUCAAGCAUGCUCACCACUUCUGACAUUGCAGGCCUUAUAGAUGGAGAAGCAUUGGUGCAUAAGAGAGCCGCUUUGAUCAUCCUCUCAGCCUCUUCCUUGUUGAAUUCAGACUGCAGCUUUGGGUCCACUAUCUCCAUUAAAUUUUCCUUUUUUCGCAAUACAUGAACCUGUGACGACAAUUUCAAAGAAAAUAAGAAGGAAGCUAUGAUAUUUUACCAAAUGUACCAUGUUUUGCAUUGAGAACUGAUGCCUCACGCGUCAUUAAUUCAGGAUAGCAACAGAAACAGACUGACGAUGAUUUACCCAGUCAAGAAGACAAGCAUUUUCGUUCUCUGGCCUGUAACUUGAGUUGCUCUUUCCACCGACAAUUUCUAAGGCGACAACAACCCAAAACUAUAAACAUCUGCUUUAUCUGUUAGAUAGCCCCACAGUGCAUAUUCUGGAGCCAUAUAUCCUCUGAAAUAUAUAUAUUUAAAAAAAAUGCAGAAUUAGUGCCCUUCAGAGACUUGAGGAGUAUUACUAUCAAUAAACUUCACGAAUUAAAUUAGUCUCAAUACAACAUACAUUGUUCCAGCAACUCGAGUGCUAAUAUGAGUGUUCUCAUCUUCAUUGAGCUUAGCUAGUCCGAAGUCUGAUAUCUUGGCAUUUAGAUCUUUGUCCAGUAAUACAUUUGUACUUUGAUGUCCCUGUGAACGAUCCUGAUUGCAGAUCCUUCAUGGAGAAAUGCUAAACCUCUGGCUAUUCCAACACAUAUCUUAUACCUUGUUGGCCAAUCCAGCAUCAGAGCACUUGUUUCGGAACCUGCUCCUAAUAGGAUUGUUGAUAAGAUCAUUUCAUGUUUGCUAGUUGAUGCAGUGUUAUAAAAAAUAUAUUUUACUGGAAAUUUAUCAACAAAUGCUACUAUGGUUACCAAAAAGUGCACGAGAGAGGGAGUUGUUUUCCAUGUACUCGUACACCAGAAGCAACUGGUCUCCUUCAAUACAGCAUCCAUAAAGCCUUACAAGAUUGGGAUGCUGUAAGCAAGAUAUCAUGCCUAUUUCGUUCACAAAUUCACGGUUUCCUUGCCUGGAUUUUGGAGAUAGCUGCUUAACAGCAAUAAUAGUACCAUCUGCUAAUUCACCCUGCAUUGGAAGUAAAUCACGCAUCUAAAUGCUAUAAUGUCUUUGCGGCGGAUUCACCCAUGCAUGAUUCCAAUAAUAAAAUUGUGAUAAUAUGAAAAAUUCAUUAGAUGACAAACCUUGUAUACAGAUCCAAAACCACCCUCUCCAAUCUUGUUUUCUGAAUUGAAAUUGUCAGUGGCCGCUUUUAGCUGCCUCAAGGUGAAGGAACCAGUUUUCAAAUCCAGCCCUUUAAGCUCUGCACGUAGCAGUUGGUAUGGGAGGAUGACAGUCAGGAGACAUAUCGUGAAAUAAUAAAAAUCCUUGAAAAUCAUAUAUCCAUGCACUACGCGCAUUCUCUAGUGUGAUUCGCCAUUAUUUAGAAAAUUAAGAGAAGACUCAGUUUACGGAACAAUACCUCGUUCUCUUGUGUUUUUGUCUCCAUAGCAGAGCUUCCAAUAAAUGACACCCAUUACCAAGAGAAUAAGGAAUGCUGCUGAAGUGACAACUCCGAUCUUAAUAGGUUUCUUACUUCUUCCUCAGGUUCUGAUAUUAAAUAAAAUUGCAAACGCAAAGAAGGCUAAACAUCCCAUCAAAUGGAUAAUAACAUUAACGCUGUAAAGACACCGACCACUAUAGCACAGUUCAAUUCUCACCUUCACAAUAAGUUCUGUAACCUGAAAACCACAGAUCAUGGAAAGAUUCUUAGAUGGGAUAAUGAAGUGAGUGGAAGAAGCUUACAGUUACAGUGACAACAAAAAUCAGGCUAAUCACUUAUGCAGAUUGGUUUAUGAGAAACAUUAGAUGUGUUUAAUCUUAUCAGUUAGGGGAGGGGGGAAAAAACCCAGAAAGCUCAGAAAAUUGAAAUAGAAAUGAAUUCAAGUCUGUAAGUUUCAAAUGAGAGGCAGAAAAGGAGCAUGUAACAUACCUGAACAUACGGAUACAGCAGAAAUUAUAGGACCAUAAUUUCCUCUUAUUGGAAUGACAGUAGUGCCUUUUCCAGCCCAGUAUAAUCGGAUCUCCAGGGUACGGUCUGUCACAGUGGUGUUGAAUGCUAUUGUGAAAUUUCUGUUAGAUCCUUUGGCUUCCUCUGUAAAGUUAAAAUCCUUUGCACUUGUAUUCCCUGGAACAAAGUUUCCUACUCAAAGGGUUCCUUUGAAAAAGAAAAAAAGGACAUCCACAAUCUCUUCGGAAGGAAAAGAUAAUUAAUUACCUGAAUGUAAAUAUCAAAAACACGCCGCUUGCAACUUUGUUGUACAGUUUUUCAUCUGUGAAUUCUAUCUCAGCAAAGUGGAGUCUGACAGUGUAAUUCCCAUUUCUAGACAAUAUCCAUAAUAAGUGAUAGACAGGGGAGUUUACGUGCUGUUGCAUACAAUCCAAAGUCAACAGAGAAAUAUUAGAAUUUGAUUGAAGCGUAUAUUUGUUAUCAUAGAAAAUUCCAUCAUCCAUGAAAUCUCCUGUGCUGCUGAAUCCCCAGUUUGAUCCUGCUCUAUUAUAACUCCUUGCAGCAUUACUUCCACCAUCUUGAUCACCUUCAUACAAGAUUUUCCCAUUCUUUACAUCUGGUCCACCACAGUUUAUAUGGAAUGAACGAUAAUCUGCAGCACAUAAAACUAGUAUACCAUUAGCAUAUCAAGGGGGAAUGAGUUUACUUUACUACAAAGCUUCAAAACUAUGAUUAGUCACUGGUCAACACUUCAUCAUUGUCAGAUUAGUUCAACUCAAUGAAUUCACUCUGUCAAAAUUUUGGUUUCUGACGGUGAAACCAGUGACCAUGAAUUGACCUUAUUAGUUUUUCGAGAUAGAAUCUUAUUAAAAAGCUAACAAUCAUCAAUGUCAUUCAAACAUUGAAGUACACAAAUAAAUAUGGUACAUCGAUCAAAUUUAAUGGCACACUCGGAUUUUAUGAAGUGCACAGGUUCUUAUUAUGAAAAAAAUAAAAUAAAAAACCAUACAUUUUGGGCACCGAGAUAUCUCUGAGCAUGGAAGAAGAUCGCUUCUGUAUAUCAUGGAAAUUAUAGUAUGUUAGAAUAAUAAAGGAUUUUUUGAAAUCACAUGCAGCAGAAUCUCUAUUGCUAAAUUUCAUCUCCAGAAAUAUAAAUACGAAGAACAUUGCAGUCCACAGAGUAUAAAAGAAUAGCCUUACAAUUUAUUAUUGCUGGACGAGCUUCGAAACCAGUUUAUAUUAUUCCUGAUUUAUAAACUCAAAUCAUUCAGUUUCAAAAUCACCAAGAAUAUCCCAUUUCAAAUAUUUAUGAACUUCCUUACUCGUUACUGCUGCUGCAUCUUGGUGCCCGUGAAAAGUUAUUGUACGAAACAUCGCUGGAAAAGAUCAAGAAAACCAUAAAUCUAAAUACAAACUUCCACAAGGUUAACAAAUAAAGAGAAUAUAUAAACUUCACGAUGCAAGCGCUAGAAAUGCACUAGUUUUCAUAUAAUGGUUUUUCUUUUAUUGAUGGUGAUGGCUUGGAUGACUAAGAUUUAAUUGUUUUCAAGGGAAAUGGUUUAUUAAGUUUUUUUAGAAUUCAUCUGCUAGAACUGAUGGAUUAUUUAAGGGGUAUGAUCAAAUUUAUUAUUAGGUUGAAAUUUUUUUUUAAAUGAUUUUUUAUAUAAUUGAUGACAAUUAAAUUAUAUUAAUUUAGAUUGAAUAAGUUGGAGCAACUGAUAUACCCGAUAGAAAUCAGGUAUAGGAAAUGAUAUAUAAGAGCAGAUUGUAGUGUAUAUAUUAUAAGCAUCCUACGAUCUAGCUAGAAAUUAUUGUUGUUACAGCAAAUCUAAGGGCCCAAAUAGAGGCGCAGUAUGAAAAAUGAAAUAGGAAGCAAUAGGAGAAGAUGAUGAUAAACAUGUCAACUCAUUAUCCUUCUUCUUAGAAGAGCAUUUCCAAGGAAAGAAACUGUUUAGAAGAGCUAAAUUGUUAAUGUAAAUAUGAUAUAUUUUUAUAUAUAUGCACUCUAAUGGAAAAAAAAAGUUAUUUAGAAAAGCCUAUUGUAUUUUAAUAUAUUUGAAAUUGAUACAACUAUUUAUUAAUUAUAAUUAACUAAUACAACUCCAAUCAAAACCUCUCUUGAAAUCCUAUUUUAUCUCUCAAAUAUAGCUCUCCCCUUGGAGCUAUAAACAUGAGGGCUGAAAAGCAAUUUGUUGGGAUUUGCCGUUAAUAGGCAAUAAAUGGUGCAACCUACCCUUAGAAGUAGGGUACCAUUGUCAAAUAGUAGUUGCACCCACCAUUUAACAAAAAUGGUGCAACCCAUGUGUUGCCACCAUUUGUGCCAUAAUUGAUGGCCUAUUGUCUGUCAUGAAAUGCCUAUAAAUACAGGCAUUAUUUGAGAGCAAAAAGAGAGAGAGAUUGUGAGUGCAAUAGAGAGACUAAGAGAGAAAGUGAAGGGCUGCAAUGGUAGCAGGUUGCUGCCAUUGGAGCAGCUGCAAUUGCAGUAAUGAGAGUUGGGAGUAGAGUAGAGUGAAGUGAUCCUCCUCCUCCAUGUAUUUGUUUUGUAUUCUUUCUCUAUCUCUAAUAAUAUUGACUCUCCCGUGGAUGUAGGCAAUUUGCCAAACCACGUUAAAUAUUGUGUCCGUAUGUGUAGCCUCCAAUGAGCAAUUAUCAGUACAUCACCGGUCGGAAUUCCCAACAAUUGGUAUCAGAGCACAUGGUUUAAAGUGGUGUUUGAUUUUUCUAAAAAAUAAAAGUUGUCAAAAUUAUGUUUUGACCAUAUCACCAUGUAGAGGAGGAAGAGACGAAGCCACUAGUGAAAACGUUGUCGAAAUCGGACGUCAGAAUCGCCGUCAUGCGCCAUCCCGCGCUGGCAAGGUGUCUGGCCACGCGCACAGACGCGUGCCACAUGUCGCACGCGUCUUCUUCGCCCGGAUGGGCUGACCCCACCCGAAUACUAGACGACCCAACCCACGUGGCUGACCCGGAUAAGGAUGAUGUCAACAUGAUGUAAUUGUGACGUCAUCUUGCACAGUAGGCAUGAUUAUGAUGACAUCAGCAUGAUGUAGUGGUGACGUCAACAUGCACAAUCAGCGUGUCAUGUCAGCGACCAGUCAACAAGCACGUCAUCUCAGUGGGACCCACCUGCCACGUCAUCAGUUUCGAGCCGAGCCUAGUCGAAUUGAGCCGAGCUGAGAUGGAGCCAAGUCGUGAGCUAAUGAACAGGAUCCAGUGUAGUCGAUUCUAUGUGCAACCGGAUUUGAGAGUGAAUCUAAGCCGUCGAUGAAACUAGAAUUGUUUUGAUCAAAUCUUAGCCAUCUGAAGUGUGAUUUGGACGAUUCCAGACUUGUUUCCAGCUAAUUUGAUCGUUUCAGAUGCAAUGGUACGGUUCGAUCAUUGAGAUUUGAGACCAAAAGUGGCGGUGGUGAAUUAUUAAAGAGAGAUUGCCCCGAUCAGAAGGCAUCUAAUGGUCUUGAUGGAGGUCGAUGAAGAUGAAGAGGAAAAAGGUGCACAUGUUUUCCCAAUUACAUGUGCUAAACUGUUAAGUGGGGAAUUUUUAAUUGCCUUGAGGGAAGGCAAAAUUGGGACACUCUAGACACCCGAUCAUGUGGACGAUUAGAGGUGUAGAGUGAAAAUUGAUGAAGACCAAUUUCAACGAAUCUAAGCACUGGUAGUCUCGCCAGAUGUUGAGAAAUCAGGUACAAAACCAGGAUACCUAGAUCACUUGUAAAGAAUAGCCGCAAAAAAGCUAGCAAAUGGUUGUAUAUACGGAAAGACAAUACGAUGGAUAUAUAUGGCCUAAGAAGUUCUGGCUAGGAUAUUGGGUUUUAAGCGGAACUGUUGUGACCCCUCCAAUCUUUCUUGGGAACUUGCUUAGUGGAAGGAUUAUCCAUACGGUACUAUUUUCAUAUAUGUAAUAGUUUGUGAUGAAACUGGUGAAGACUAGUAGGAUAACGACACAAGGGGAACAGUUGGGUUCCGUAUGAUCAAGGAUUUGAUGGAGUGGUGAUUUCUCCAAAGAAAUUAGAUUCAGUGACUAUAAUUUCUUGAAGGGAGAAUUGAUGAAGACCUUGAUAAUGGAAGAAAAAUAUAGCAAGGGGAUAUAGAUUGGCACCGUAUUUUGACUUGGAUAGGUGUUGUGACAGGAUGAGCUGAUGUCAAACAUAAGCAAGGAAUAGGGAGAAAUCUGGAGAACAAAAAUUGCACGAGGGCACACGGAGAUUGUGCAAGAGUACCCGAAGGAGCCAACGAGGUACUGUAAUGAGACAACAGGUGCAAGGAGAAGAAGAGUUCCUAGACGAAGCUCAAAGCAGAGACUGUGUACAACAGGAAGUCUCUUGUGCUCUUGAUGAAGACAACACGCGAGGACCUUUUCAAUGCAUGCAAGGAUGGAAAGAUGAGUUGUUGCAGAAGCACCUUAUCGAGGGGGUGCCAACACCUGUGACAAAAGGCGACCGCCUAUUGUGAAAAGUAAAGAAACCAAAGAAGAAUUGGUGUAGGUGGAGUUAUCAAGCAGAAAUGCGUAGAAGCUCCAAACAUAGAAAUCGAGGUGGAGGAUUCUGAGGAGUAUACCGCAACUUUCUCUUUCUAUGUAAUUAGUGGCAGUGAUCUCUCCCAAGUCCACAUGGUGGUAGAGAAUCUUGGAGCCACUAGAGUCAUCCCAGAUGAAGGAGGAUGAGACUGUUCCACAACGAGCGGAGACAUCUUAGGAGAAGGUGUGAGGGCCAUGAUAUGAGCCCAAAUUCAAACCGUUGUAUGACGACGAGCGGAGACACCUCAGAUGGAAGGUGUGAGGGCCAUGAUAGGAGCCCUAAUUACAGAACGGCCCAGAGCUGAUGUGAUGGCUAGAUAUGAGUGGACAGGUGUAUGGAUAGCCAAUGAAGUGGCUAUGAUGAGUAUAAAGACAAAUGCAUGAUUGACCUUCAUGGAUAUUGCCCCCAUGCUAAAGAUCAAUGAGCUAAAAGACAUUUUCCUUGGAUAAUAAGUGGGUGACUUGUGGAGCAUUAAGACGUGGUUGCUAGGAAUGAGCAGAGGGCAUGCGCAGGUUCCUGUAACAAGUUGACUCUUGUCAAGGUGGUGAGCUCGGUGAUGGCAUUGUAAUACUUAGAGUAUAAAGACAGAUAUGGAUCAACCUUUAAUGGGCUGCCCCCAUGGUUAAAGGUGGAAAGCUACCUAGACUCUUGAGACUAAGAGUGAGAGACUCACGGAGAAGUAAGGUGUGGUUCCUACGGUGGAACAGAGGGCAGACGCAACUCCUGGAUGAGGAAACUCUUGGAAGAGUGGUGACCUUGUGAUCACAUUAAAAUACUCAAAUAAUGACUGUCGCACUUGGAAAUAUCUGCUUGAGGGGGUGCUAUAAGCCUUGGUGUGAAGCUUGAUAAAUCAUUCCGGACCGAGCAUGGUUGAUACACUCGAAGGGGAAUGUUGUGUCCUAGAGACAAGCGUUAACACUCUUCAAAUGUGAUGUGGGAGACCAUCUGGUUGAACUGCUUUGGUGACUCUAGUGAUUGAAAGGUUUAGCAAGUACCUAUAAACUUGGUCACAGACGCUCUCGGAAUGGUAAGCUUGGAAGAGCUGCAGGAUGCAAGCUUAUGCUGAUGGAGCAAGAGGAUAAUUGCCCAUUUAAAUAUCAAAAGGGGUGAUUGUUGGGAUUUGCCAUUAAUGGGCAAUAAAUGGUGCAACCUACCCUAAGAAGUAGGGUACCAUUGUCAAAUGGUAGUUGCACCCACCAUUUGACAAAAAUGGUGCAACCCAUGUGUAGCCACCAUUUGUGCCAUAAUUGAUGGCCUAUUGUCUGCCAUGAAAAGCCUAUAAAUGGAGGUAUUAUUUGAGAGCAAAAAGAGAGAGAGAGAUAAUGGAGAGAGAUUGUGAGUGCAAUAAAGAUUGUGAGUGCAAUAAAGAGAGAGAUCGUCAUACAUCUCAAAAGUUGUAUUGACAGAAUACAUUCAUAAUGUGACGUCAACACAUUUCACUUGAUGAUAAGAUAUUUUUUACUACAUCCAUUUUUCUAUUAGUUUUUUUUAAUAAAUAUAUUGAAUUGACAAUAUUUUUUAUUGGAUGCUAUUGUUUUUGUAUGCGAGCCAAGCUUGAUGAAACUUUUUGUUGAAAUGCAUGUGCAGAGUGAUGACCGUCAAAAAAAGAUGUAGCAAUUCGUUGAUAGCCAAGCUCAAUAUUUUGUGGUAUGUUGGUGUUUAAUUAUUUUUUACUUAAGUUAUUAUGUCCUUGAUGAAUUUAUUUUUUCUUUACAUGAUACAUAUAACAGCCGGUUGAAGGAGAGAUACGAGGAUGAGCCUUCGACCCAUUUGGAUAUCGAUCUGGAUUUGUGGUUGAAGGGAGAAUCAUUUGGUGGACCUGAUAGAAAUCGAGUAUAUGGACUCUCUAACACUGACUAAGAAUUUAUGAACAACCCAUAGUACUUCAACUGUUGGAUGCUCGCAAUCAAACUUUGGAGUUCACAAUGAUGUUAGACCAACAGGUACAAAAUCAGACAACCUAUCUUAAUGAUAAAUAUGAUGACUCACUACUGGUUAUGGAGAAUUUUGUCGAUUGGUAAUAAAGAUGCAAUCACAAAUGGAUGGUUCAUGUUAGGGGUGAGCAAAAAAACCAACAAAUCGAUUAAAGUGAGAAAACCAGAAAACACAACCAAAAAAACCAAACCCUGAAAAAAAAACUAAGUACACUGAUUAUAAUAUUUUUUAAAAAAUUCGAUUCAGUUUUAGUUUCACAAGCUUGAAAUUAAAAAACUGAAUCAAACUAGUUUAGUUAAGAAAUAAACCAAACAAAACCACUGAACUGAAAAAACUCAUUAGAAAGUCUAAAAAAACCCAAAAAACAAUAUAAUUUUUAGUUUUUAAUAUCAAAUAACCGAAUCAAAUCAAAUUGAACCGAAACCAAGCAGUUGAGUUUCAGUUUUUAACUUAAAAUAACAAAACUGAACCAAAACCGGUUUCAAUUUGAUUUUUGUUUUUUUUUUUUACAAAAUUUAAGUUUGAUUGUUUUUAUAGGUAGAAACCGAACCGAACCGAAAAUGAUCACCCCUUGUUCAUGUGCACUCCUUAAUUUCCCCUACAUUCCCGGUGACAACCCACCUCCUCCUCCUCAUCCAUUGUCGCCUUUAUUUUAGAUUUAUUGUAUUCAAUCAUUAAAAAAAUAAUUAUUGGUAUGAUUUGUCCGUCUGUAAAUUCAUCGAUAUAUUUAUUAUCGACAGACUCACCGACAAUCUAUAAAUUACCGACAAUAGUUUUUUCGAUAGACCAUUAUCCGUGAGUCUUUCGUUAACAUACAUAUCGAUGGAUUGCUAGUGUAACCACCGAAAAAUUUUAUGGGUAAAACGAUUAAAUCCAGUAGUGUUCCAUGUUAAAAAAUAUAAUUUAUCUACAAGUCUUGUUUCUGGGUCUCUGUACUUAUUAACCUCUUGUGAGUAUGAAAUAUAAGCAUAAUAUAUGAAGAAUUAUUUAGGGGGUGUUCGAGAGUAUGGUAACGGUUGCAAUUUAAAGUGAUUUUUACUCGGAAAUACAUUAAAAAUAAUAUUAUUUUUUAUUUUAAAAAAAUUAUUUUUUAUAUCAACACAUAAAAACAAUCUAAAACUAAAAAAUAAAAUAAAAUUAGAAAACACGGUUUCUACUGCCAAACUUACAGGCAUUAGUCAUGGAUGUUCAAGGAAAAAAGGCAAAGCAUAUCAAUAUUCAAAUAAGUACUGAAUCCAAUGAUGGGUGUAAUUUAGGAACCUACAGAUUUGGGCUGUUUUGGAGGAAUGAAUCCUGCACUGUUCCAGUCAGCUUGUUGCCACUCAAAAACCUGGUAAGAACCACACUCUAUCAGCAUAAUUUAUUGCGCCAUCCUUGGAAAGAUUUCAAUAACCAAAUUUCAAAAUAUCAGAAUUUAGCAUUGCUCACGUAAACUGUCGUCGUCGUAUUGUAUUACGAGGAAUCUCCCCAACCAACUUGUUAAAAGUUAAGUCGCUGCAAGAAAUUACAGCAAACAAAAUUUUAGGCUUCAGUUUCUGAAGAAGAUUUUACAUCUUUGUAAAUAUAAUGGCAAUAAACAGGUGGAAAAAAAUAAAUAUAUAUAUAUAUAUAUUAUUAAAUUCUUUGAAGUAAUCCUCUAUUUAUAUUCUUCCUUGGAGAGUUGCAGUUGCUUGAAAUCACUACCUUCUCAUAGGAGCUCAUCCGUUGUGAAAAUAAGUUAAUGUUAUGUUAGAAGGUAGUUGUGAUUCUUCUACUCACUCUAGUAGGACUUUAGUUAUUAUAUACCCAGGAUUAUAUAUUAAUGUAGGAUCUUUAACUUAUACUAACGACCUGAUGAUUCAGGCAGAUCCCACGCACCAGCUGUACAUGGAGAUCAUAUUGGAAAAAUGUAGCAGAAUUGAAAUGUAUAAAAAGAAAUUCUAAUUUGCUUAGCAGCAGAUGUAAGGCGAUGAGUGAAGUUCACACUUACAGUGUUGUUUCCACUUUCCAUGCGUUUUCUGGGAUUGUUCCAGUUAAAUUGAUGUUCCUCAGAACCCUGACAACAAGUUACAGGUUGGCUAAACAGUCUGAACAGAACAUAUCCUGAACUCUACUGUGAAAAGUUAUGAAGCAGUUAAUUCACAUACAGGGUAUCCCUUCGAAUCGUCACGUUAGGUAACUGAAACUCUGGUCCAGGCAUAUCAGCAAUCCUCCUGCAUAACAGUAAGAGACCUUGAAAACAAGUUAAAUGUUCAAUUCCCUUCAUUUAUCUCUCCCUAUCUCUCACACACAAAGAGAAUUAUUCAAUAAUUAAUACAGCAGGAGGUAUGCAGCACAAGAAAGUGGUUUUACUUACAAAUCAGACAACUUUUCCAAAUGAAAAAUCGCAAGAGGUAUAGGUCCUUGCAAUCCAGUCGCGUACAAAUCACUUCAUUAGUCACGAAAAGAACAAAAAUUCUCAAUAAAGUGUAUCAUGUUGCAUUAGAAUGAAUUAAGAUCUUGUGAAGAUAAACAUCUCACAGCUUUUGAAGUUGAGUCCAGUUCCCAAUGAACUCGGGUACGGUGCCAUUAAGAUUAUUAUCACUUACGCGACUGCACAUUGAAUAUGUUAAAUUAUAUAUAUAUAAAAAAAAAUGUGUUCAAGGAAAAUAAGUGAGGGCUUACAAAUCCUUCAAGUCUUUUAUCUGCGCAAGUGCCUCUGGCAAGGUCCCCACUAACUUAUUGCCGGAGAGUAUCCUGCAAUUGUUAAUUCACGGCAUCAAAGCAAAGAUUUCAACUAAUGAAAACGAAAUCUCUAGCAAGUCUUCACAAUGAAGAAUUUAGUUAAAAUUUCUUACAGUGUUUCUAAGUUGACAAGCUUGCCAAGCUCAGGUGGGACAACACCAGAAAACUGAUUUGAUUCAAGGCUCCUAUAUUUUAUAAUUGCAGUUGAUAAAGUGAAAUAACCAUUAGAGAACAAAGUAAACUAGCAUUGCUUGCAAUAUUCGAAUAACUCAAACUAGAGGUAGAGCACUAUAACAGAUUCAAGCCAUACAAGUAGGUGAGGGAAGUAAAACUUCCCAAAUGUCCUGGAAUAUUUCCUGACAAGCGAUUUGCAGUGAGCGAGCUGCACAAGAGGUUAGUUAGGAAGGAAGUUUUAAGCUCACUCUUACAUAGAAAAUAAGAUAAACCAAGAUGAGGGGUGAAUUUAUAAAUGAGCUUACAUGAAAGACAGAUUUUUCAUCGAAGCCCAUUCCACCGGAAUUGUGCCGUAUAGAUAGUUGCGAGUGAAAUCUCUGUCAUAGUCAUUGUUGUUGUAUAAAAAUUAUUUUUCCAUCUUGAAAAUUGCUCCAAAAAUUAAUAUAAACGCUUGAAAUUUUAAUAUAAACUGUGACAGACAAUGGCAAACUCAUAAUCACAUAACAUCUGAUGAGUAUUAAUUAUCAUCGAGGCAUCUCAAGAUUCAUAAUCAUUUAAUGGAUUCAGAAUUGAGGCCUCGAAGCAGAAACAUGAGCCAAAUAUAUAUGUCCUUAAUUAAGGGUUCUUACAUUUUUUGGACAUAAGUAAGGCUGGCCAAUUCCCGAGGAAGCCUGCCUGGAAGACUGUAAUCUUUGAGCAGGCUUUAUUGCAAGCAGGAGAGAGAGACAUCAUUGGUCACAGUUUAGGAAAGCUAAGAUAUAUUUAACAAAGAAAAACAUAAAAAUGUAAAGUAAUUAAGAGGCUUACAAUGAAGUAAUGUGACAGUAAUUAUCAUCAGUGAUGCUGCAGUUACAUUUCGAUGGUGCUGUUCCUUGCAGGAGUCGGUUCUGUCUCAACGACUCUGCCUGAUUGACAACGACCGACGAACUUCAAGGAUGGUUGGCCAUCCUCGUUUACUGUCUUACCGAUUUGUGUUAACGCUUCAACUGGUGGGGUUUUAUUUUUCAAAAAAGAUUAAUUCAUGAGGAAUGUGCACUAUUCAAAACAUUCUUAAAUAGUUGUUAGAUUAUUAAUAAUAAUAGUAAAUAGAUUAUGGGUUUUUCAUAUAGGUAAAGGCCAUACACUCUAUCGACCAUUUGGAUAAAGUUAACUGGAGCCAUGUUUAUCGCGUCCGGUCUGUCUGGAGCUUAUUCCAUCAAGUACCUCGAGACACGCAAUCAUAUAUCAAUUUAUCGUCAUAGUUAUCACUCAGCGCAGGAUUUAAUUUGGUUUAAAAUCUGUAUUGGAUGUUUGGACGUCAACUUUAAGAUUAUAUUCCUUUCAGUUUUUUUUUAAUGAAAUUGUUUGCAAUUAAAAAAAAACUAUAAACAAUAUUAUUUUAAAUAAAAAUUAAAAAUAAAAUAUUAUUUGUUAACUAUUAGCUUAACUUAGAUUUAACUAUAUUAACUUUUAAAUUAAUUUAAAAUAAAACACAUUCUAAAUUAAACUCUAGAUUAAUUGAGAGGUUAUCUCUAAAUAAUAUGUUCAAAAACUAUGUUGUGGGUUUGGUGGAUUAUUAAAGUGAAUGAUGAUAAGAAUUUGUAAUGUAUAAAUAUUAUUUUAUUGUUAUUUGUACCAAUAGAUAUAUCUUAAUUGGUAUCUGAUCAAACGAAAGAAAGAAAUCAUGAGUUCAAAUUCUACGGUGAGGAUGUCAUUUCUUGAAAAAGAAUUAGAUACAAAACAAAAUCACAACUUUUUAGGUGCUAAAAAAUUCAGAUGCCUAUAAAUGAAUCUAAUUAUAUAAAACAAAACACCCAUAGAAGCUAUUUUUUCUUAUAUACAGCCAAAGAUACAUUUUACUGUUUUUCAAGCAUUUGCAAUGUUUCGGUUAAUGUUGUUUAAUUGUUCGAGUCUCUUGAAGUUUAAUCCAAGAAAUACAAUUAGUAAAUUUUAUUUGUAAAAGUUAUAUAUUCAUAUUAUUUUAUAUAAUAAUAACUAAAAAUAAUUUAAAAAAAAACGAGUGUAAUUUGAUUAACCUCUCCUCUCAAAUCAUUGUUAAUUGGGAUAAUAAUUUGUUUUUUUAUAUAUAAUUUUAAUUUUAUCUUUCGAUAUUAGAUUUAUUAGAAAUUAAGUUUUAUAAAAAAAAAUUAAUUUUUUUUCUAUGGAAUUAUUCUAUUCUCAUAACCUAGAUCAUAGGUUUUGCAGAUUAAUUUCAUUAACUUGAUUUUUUUGUUAUUUUUUUAAUUGAAUAUUUUUUUCAGUAUCUCCAUCAACAUUGAGUUAAUUGAAAUUAUAUUUCUAUUUUUUUAUUUUUUUAUGAAGUUUUCUAACCUCUUGAUACAAGUUUAAAGGUUAACUCGAAUUGACUCAAAUUAUUUUAUUUUAUUUUAUCCUUCAAUAUUUAAAUUUAUUAGGAACUGAAAUUCAUAAUUAUUUUUUAUUUUUUUCUAUACGUUAUCAUGGCCUUAUAACAUAUGUCUUAGAUUUUACUUCUUUUUUUUUAAUUAACAAGAACUAAAAAAAACAAGGGUACUUCACUAACCCCUCCUCACGAAUCAUUUUAAUUGAAAUAAUGAUUUGUUUUUUUUCUUAUAUUAUAAUUUUAUUUUUAUUUUUUAACAUUAAAUUUAUUAAAGAUUGAGUUUAUAAAAAAUUUAAUUUUUUUUAUGAGGUUAUUCUAUUCUCAUGAUCUAUGGCAAAGAUACCUAUAAAUGAACCUAAUUAUAUAAAACAAAAUAACUUUAUAUGUAUAGAAGCUAUUUUGUUUUAUCUAUAGACAAAGAUAUAUUUUACUACUUUCAAGUUUGUGUAAAGUUAAAAACACCUGCAUUUAAUUGCUACAAUAAAUUCACCAUACAUUUUAGUUUUGGUUAAUGCUAUUUAAUUGUGCGUCAAACUACUCUCUUAAGUUUAAUGAAAGAAAUACUAGUAUAUUUUUAUACGUAAAAGUUAUAUAUUCAUAUUAUUUUAUAUAACAAUCAUUAAUAAGAACUAAAAAAAAAAAACAAGGGUACUUCACUAACUCCUCUUCACAAAUCAUUGUUAAUUGAAUAAUAAUUUUUUUAUAUAAUUUUAAUUUUUUUUUUAACAUUUGAUUUAUUAGAUAUUGAGCUUUAUAAAGUUUUUAAAUUUUUUUAUAUGAGAUUAUUCUAUUCUCAUGACUCAAGUUAUGGGUUUUGCAGAUUAAUUUAAUUAACUCGAUUUUUUUAAUUGAAUAUUUUUUUUUCAAUUUCUCCAUAAACAUUGAGUUAAUUGGAAUUAGAUUUCAUAAUUUGUUUUAUUUUUUUGAUGAAUUUAUCAUAAUCUUGUGAUACAAGUUUGGAAGGUUAACUCGGGUUGAUUCAAGUCAUUUUUUUUAAUUGAUUUAUUUUUUAAUUUUAUCCUUCAACAUUGAAUUUAUUAGGAAUUGAGAUUCAUAAUUAUUUUUCUAUUUGCUUUCUAUAGAGUUACCAUGGCCACAUAAAAUGUGUCUUGGAUUUUACUUUUCUUUUUUUAAUUGAAUUUCUUUUUUUCAAUUACAUCCUUCACUAUUGAGAAUUAAUCUUUAUAAUGUUUCUCAAAUUUUUUUCUAUGCGAUAAUCCCGGUCUCAUGAUCUAAGUUCAAUAAGUUAACUCAAGUUGUUUUUUCGUUCUUAUUUUUAUUAAAUUUUAUUUUUCAUUUUAUCUUUUAACAUUGGACUGGUUACGAAUUGAGUUUUAUUUUUUUCUUUUUAUAGGGCUAUCACGGUCUCAUGACCUGGGAUGUGGAUUCAACAAGUUAACCUGAGUUGAUUAAAAUCAAUUUAAUAUGUUUUCUUCUCAAUAUUUACAAAAAAAUAUCAUAUGGAGUUUUUUGAGUUAAACUAGCUAUAUUUUUAUGAGACUGGAUAACAUCAAGUCAAUCUCUACACUAUUAACUUUUUUUUCCUUAAAAAACAUGUUAAUAAUGUGCGAUAUUUCUUUACAUUCAAAAUUUGUGUAUUCAACUCGCAUAGCAGUGUAAUGGGAGAUGAUAAUCUGGUAAUAAACUAUUAAGUCAAGGUGCAUAUUGCCUGAACUAAAUUGGGUUGGAUCUCAUUCAAGCUAGCUUGACAAUUACAGCCAGAUAUUAGCUAAAUUACUGUCCUUACCUAUUAAAAACUUUAGAAGACACGUACAAAUAAACAAUCACCUCAAACAUAAUUUGUUUUUCAAAAAAGUAAUAAUAAAUAAAUAAAUAAAUAACAUAAUCUUUUUUCAAAUAAAUAAAUAAUUUGAGCUUCUCUAAUAAUAAAAAGCCUAUAUACUGUAUAGUUCGAAAAGAUCACAAAAAUUAGAUAUGACUAAGCCCAACAAGGGUCGAAAUAUUGUUAACCAAAUUCAAACAAAGAUGAUAUACUAGGAAGUGAAGGGGAAACUUUCAUCUGGCCCAAAUGCCUAGUUUUCACCCUUUUUUAUGUUAUUCUCGUUCCAUCAUUUAGUAUAAAGUUGAAAAUAUAAUAAUAAAUAUGUCUUAAUAUUCUUUAAUUUUAAUUCUAAAAAAUCCUUUUAAUACUACUCUCAAAAUAAUAAGAAGAAGAAAAAAUUACAAAAGAGAAGAAGUAACAAGGAAUCUAAAUUAUCUUUAAUAUUUGUAUUUUUUUUUUAAUUUACUAUAUAUAUUUUCUUAAAUAUUAUAUUUUGAAGAAUCUAAAUUAUCAAACUAGAUUAAUAUCUAUAAUUACAGUACUUUUUAGUUCCAACUCAUCUUUAAUAGUAAAGUCAUUGCAUCAUAAAACAAUAAUAAAUAAUAAAAUAAUAAAAUUGGUUAUGAUAUUUGGUACUAAAAACAUUUAGGAUUAUGAUCAAUUGAGUUAUUUGUUCAUAAAAUUCACAAUAUUUACCAACUCAAUGUUGAGUUUGUAAGGAUAAAAAAUUUACGUUGACUUUUUUUUAUAUUUUUAAAAAAUAAAGUCAUGAAUAUUAAGGAAUAAUUUAAUAUAUUACCUUCUCCUGGAUGUAGCUGAUCAGAAGCAAGCAAAGUAAUAGAGCUCGAGAAACUGAUCAUCACCAUAACUUGGCAAAGCUGAAACAUCGUUAACAUCUUGUGCUGAAAAUUGGCUGCAAAAGCUCGAAUAAGUUUUUGUAUUUGUGAUGAGAGGUUAAUUAAUUUGAUUUAUACUUGCCAAAUCUUAAAACGUCACCAUCAAUGUGCCUACUUGUAUCCUACGUUAUUACUUGGGUGAUAUUUGAAUUCAAUCUUCACCUGGUAUUUUCUAUGGUUCUCCUAGUUAGUUGCAGGUUGCAAGAUGUUGGAACUUAAAAGAUAAGGAGGCAGGCACGUAUCGAGGCUUUUGAGCCACAAAUUUAAUGACUACAAGCUAUUAUGUUGAAUGAUUCACAUCACCAGGGCCGUCGGCUGCUAAAAGGCAUUUUCAUGGAAAACCUCUUAGAUAUUUAAACAUGCUAAGAACAUACUGAAAGCGAGAGAGAUUCCAAGUAGAAUUUUCUGCCCUUUUUUUUUUCUUUAAAUAUUGAGUUUUUUUAUUUAUUUCUCAAACGAAAACUAAAAUAGUUCCAUGACCUGUGGGUUGUGCAUGUAUUAUAAAUAAUAAUAAUUAAUAAGUACAGUUGUUUACCCACCUACCUGUGGAUUGUGCAUGUAUUAUAAAAAAUAAUCUCGUUAUUUUUCAGAAAAUAUUUUGUGAAUGUUAAUUUUUUUUCAAAUGAACAAACUCUCGAUAAAGUGUAAUCUUUUUUAUUACUUAUCCACCAAUGGUCUGUUCUAUUUUAUUUUUCCAAACUUUUUGGUAAAGUGGAAUUUUUUCAAUUUCAAUAUUAAUGUCGCACCAGAAAUUACGAUGAAGUUUAGAAUGUAAAAAUGGAUAAGAAAUCACCAUUUGAAAGAAGAUGAGUUUACAGUGUGGGUUAAAUGCCCCCAAGCUUUAUACACAGGUCUAUAUUAAUUUAUAAUUCAAAAAUCUCAUACAAAAACAAGCUGAUUCCUUCUUUAAAUUUAAAUUUUAUUAGAAAUAUUCAUAAUAUCCAUCCCCAUAUAAAAUUAAAAUAUUAUAGGUUAGUUAUUGUUUUUCUUUUUUUUAAUAUCCUAAGUGUCGUUAUAAUUUGUGCUUCUUCUGCCACCAUUUUUACAGGUCACAAUCUCAAGAUUUUAAACAAUAACGUUAAAAAAAAAAAAUCAUAACCCAUUUAACAGAAUGAAAACCACGAAAAGUAUUUAUUGGCCUUUUAACAAAACAGCAACCACCAACCCAGAAAAGUAUUAUUCUACACGCAACAAGUAAAGUGUAAUGUAUUAAAAUAUAAUUGCUUUCAACAGGUACAAGUAAUCUUUCCUUCUUUUUACUUUUGAUAUAUCUAAUUGUUCAAGCAGCAAAACGAAAGGGCGUAGAAUUUUCCGCAAAGACUUUUCACAACUUUAAUGCAUUCUUGGAAGUAGCAAUGUGAACUCAGGUAAUCUCAUGGAGGCAUGGAUCAAUCAAUAUUGAUGCUAUUUUUUCUCUCUGUAAUAUAGACAUAGGUAGAAAGAACUUUCUGCUUUUAAAUGCUGAUAGGUUGAUUGAUGCAGACGUGACUUCGUCUUUUUUAUUUCUAGACUUCUAGAUGUUAAUGAAAAGUAUGCAUAUAAAAAUCUACCAUUACCAAGUAGGUACUCAGAUAUGAGUUGGGUGUUUCACGCAUUUAGACUCUGACCAAUAGUCUUAGGGUAAAUCGCUAAUUCCCCACUUAACUUAAAGCUUGUGUGUGCUUUUCAAAAUUAAAACAAGUGAUGCAUGAGACAAUUGUAUACAAUGCAUGAAUAAUAUGAGUAAAAUAAAAUAAAAUAAAUACGCAAAUAAAAGGAAAGGCAUAUUAACAAUAAACACACAAAAACACAAACAAAUCAGACAAAAACAAAGCUUAGUCUACAAGGUCCCCAGUGGAGUCGCCAUUCUGUCGCACGUGUGCGGCGUCGCGGCGAAAAUCUAAGUUUUUCCAUUUUUCUUAAAUCUACAAUGCGAACAUCUAUAUCUAUGGGGAUACAAGAAAAUAUUGUCUUUUAUUGGUAGAAAAUGGAAUGGGAGUCGCCACCUAGUAUUUUGGUCACUAGUAUUUUGGUCACCUAGAAAAUGGAUUGGGUACGGAGACUGGUUGCUUAAAGGGAAGGUAUUAGCACCCCAAAUACGCCCUACCUAAGGUAAGCUGCAUUGUUUUAUUGUCUGAUAAAAACUAAGGUGUUAUUGUACUUCUAGUCGUUGGUCUGUCUAUGGUUCAAGAAAAAAUCCUCCUCGGUAAGAAGGUCUUUUAUCUUAUCGAGUAAAAUCCUAACCGUUCUAACGUCUAUACCAAAACUUUAUUAAUAAUAUUUAGGAAUAUAUUUUACGUAUGAAGUCGUAAUCCCAAAUACUAAAAAGAAAACAAAAAGAUUUUUUUGAAUUUUUGAAAUAUUGGCCUAGUUCUCAUGGCUUAAAUAAACUGGUUAUUAAAGCCAAAAUGCAUGUUAAUACAUAUAUUGUUUUGAAAAUUUCCUUUGUUGUGUGAAAAUAUGAUGUUAUAAUAUUUAUAUAUAUAUAUAUAUUGGAGAGACUAGGGCGUAUUUUAAAACAAAACAAUUUUUUUGAAAAUAUUAUUAUUAUUAUUAUUUUUAUGCUUUGACGAAAAUCGGGUAUUUAAAUACUAAGCUUGUAUCAUUAUAGUAUAAAAAUACAACCCAAUAUUAAUCCACUUUAAUAAAAAUAUGCAGAAAAAUCAACAACAUUUUUAGGGAUUUUUUUAAAAAAAAUUUGAAAGCAAAAACAUUUUUUAUUCUGAAAAUCUUUGAUAUUUUUACGAAAACCAGGUAUUUUUAACAUUGGUUUUGUAUCUUUACAGUAUAAAAAUAUCAACCAACAUUAACCCAUUUUGUCAAAAAUAUUCAGGGAAAUCAACAAUAUUUUUUAAGAUUUUUUGAAAUAUUUUUUUUUUAAGUAAAAAUAUAUAUACACAAUAUACACACAUAUAUAUAUUAUAAUAUACUAUAAUUCAUAAUAUAUAAUAAAACAAUUCGGGCUGGGCCGGCCCAGCUAUAUGGGCCGAACCCAACCCAACCGGAAUUGGGCCGGGUAGAUGGGCCAAACAUCAGCCCGCAAGGAGGUCGGGCCGAUCUCGGCCCGACAAAAUAUCCCUUUGGACUGGGCCAGACCCAAAAAAAUAUAUAACAAAACUGGGCCGGAAACCCGGCCCAGUGAAAAAAAACCCAACGGGGAAGGGAAAAUAAUUCCCUUCCCCUACCUCCUGCAUGCAGAACGAUUCUGCAUGCAGGAGGACAAUGAGUAUAAUGGCACACGAAAAUGCAGGGGGGAGAAGAAUACCUGGCACGGCGGAGGCGAUGCUACUGGUCGAACGUCCGUGUUGAUGGGGGUGCAGCGGAGGUUGGUGGCUCAAAGCGACGGUUCCCAACGGUUCGGUAACCCGGCGAUGCUACUAGGUCUUCGUUUUCUCUAAGCUCUCCCACGGCGUCUAUCCUCUUCCCCCUUUCUCCUGGUUCUGUUUCUUUGAGUUUUAAGUAUUUAUUCCUUUAGUUCAACGGUUUCUCUCUCCUUCUUCUCUCUCUCUCUUGGUCUCGUUUUCUAAGCUCCCACGGCGUCUAUCUCUUCCCCUUCUCCUGGUUUGUUUCUUUGAGUUUUAAGUAUUUAUUCCUUUAGUUCAACGGUUUCUCUCUCCUUCUUCUCUCUCUCUCUUGGUCUCGAGUUUUUUUCUUUCUCUUUUCUCCCCCGUGCUUCAAGUCUCCCCCCUUCUUUUAUAGGCGGGCAAAGGGAGCGGGGCUGCAUGGGCUCAGCAGGGCAACGUGGGUUGAGCUGGGCAACGUGGGGAGCAGAACAGCGCCGGUCGGCGAGCGUGGUUGAUCAAGGCGUGGCCCUCCUAGCUUCGCGUCGUCCGAGCUGUAUUGGCUCCGGGUUCUGUCAGCGCACGCGAGGAGAGAGCACCGGCUGAUUAAACAAGCUUUUUUCCAUGCUGCUGCACGUUCGGGGAGGAAGAAGAAGGGGAACAGUGCCGUUCAAAACGGCACCGUUCGUCCUUUUUAUAUAUAUAUAUAUAUAUGAAACGCGUCGUUUUGGGGAAAACGCGCCGUUUCAUUUAAAAAUGGCGCCAGAAUGCGCCAAAUUUCAAACUCAGCCCUCAAUUAUCUUUUGUUUCUUUCAAUUGCGUCCCUGCCAAUUUCGGUCCUCGCCCCCAUAGUUGGCCGCGUUUUUCACCUUGGUCCUUGGCCUCUGAUUUAUGCAAUUAAGCCCUCAAUUGAUCAAUAAACUUCCAAUUUCUUCAAUUACGCCCCUGGAUCAAAAUCAAGACAGCCCCCUCUAUUUACCCGUGCUUUCCAAAUUGGUCCCUGGUUUCGGAUUUUCACAAUUGAGCCCCUAAUUGGCCAUUAAACUUCAAUAUUUAUGCAAUUAAGCCCCUGAUUUGACCUAAUAAAUUCCAAAAAAAUAUAUUUUGGCCCCAGAACUUAAAUUUCUUCCAAUUAAAGCCCAAAUUGACUUAAAAAUCAAUUUUUCUUGCACUCCAAUCCUCUAUAAAUUCAAAUAAAAUCCAAUUAAGUCCAUAAACAUCCAAAUUUGGGCUUUUCUCCUCAAAAAUUCAAAUUUUCCUUCUCAAUAGGGCUCUCAUCUUUCAAGAAUAUACUGUCAAAAAUCCAAUCUUUGUAUUUUUUAACCUCCUUGACCAAUCUUCCGACCAUUUUCUGAGCGCUUCUGCCUCCUGUUAUUUUUCUAACCUUCUUUGGCUAUUUAUUUAUUAUUAUUUUAAUUAUUAUUUUUUUGUGGGGACUCAAAAAUGGGUUACAACAAGUGAGAUCAAGUUUUUUAGAAAUGCUGAACAUGACUUUGGUCAAGCGUCUGCAAUAAAUAAUUGCACCCUUAUACCUCCAGGUAUAUAAUUUUUAUAUUUAAAAUUAUUAUUUGGCAUAGUCUUACACUUUUACUUAUUAUUUUUUUGUAUAGAUGAAUGGUGGAUGACAUAUGGAACCAGUGCUUCAAAUCUACAACAAUUAGUUAUACGAGUGUUAAGUCAAACUUGUAGUUCUUCGGGAUGUGAGAGAAAUUGGAGUCUGUUUGAACAUAUUCAUUUUAAGAAGAGAAAUAGAUUGGAGCACCAAAGGCUUAAUGACCUUAUUUACGUCCACUGCAAUCUAAGAUUGAAACAAAAGUAUUUUUCUUUUCUCUAAUUCCUUAAAUAUUAUUUUAUCUUGUUUAGUACCAUUAUUAAUAUUUAUAUUGUGUUUACCUUCAUUUUUAAUAUAUAGGAAUUAUUAGAAAAGACGAAAUUAUGAUCCAAUUAAUAUUGAGAUAACUUUUGAUAUUGAAAAUUGGAUACAUGAAGAUGACCUAUCAAUCUUGACAAUGGAAGAAGUAGAGAGUUUUCACAAAACUCUAUCAACUAUGACCAUACAAGAUACUUUAGAUGAUGGUAAUUAAUGAUUAACUAUUUAGUAAUAAAUAUUAUUUAAAAUAAAUAUUUAUUUAACAUAUAAUAUUUAUUUUUUAAUUAUGUUUGAAAUGUAGAUGGAUAAAUAUCAACCUGACUUGUCGUCAGUUUCUUGACUUUUAAAACUUGCAAAGAACAUACUGAAAACGAGAGAGAUUCUGCCUCAGAAAAGAGAGAAGGAAAAAGGAUUUAUCCUUGUAUACAUUGUCUCAGCCUCUCAGGUAUUAAUAAAAGAGAUCCACAUUGCUUGAAGUUCAUUCCAUACUGCUGUAAAAGUGCAAGCUAAGAACUUCAUCAUCACUUGUCCUUACCUCCUGCUCUGAUUGUUGACCGCUGGCUAUAAAGUGCACUAAGAACACGAAGGCUUUUUUUUUACUUUCAAUGCUGUAAAGUGCACUAAGAACUUCAUCAUCAAUUGUUAACUAAUGCAAGUAGAAUUUUCUGCCUUGUUUUUUUUUCUUUUCUUUGAAUACUGAUUGACGUAGACAUAGACCAAUCUCUUUUCCACCUGGUCCUGAAGGACAACAAACUAUUUGAAGUUUAUGAUGACUCAAAUGCAUGCAUUAUAUAGCUAGUUGGUGCCUAAUAGACGGUUUCAUACUUGUAACGGGAUUAUUUCAUGUUUUAAAAAAAAUUAAUUUUUUUAAUAUUGUUUAAUUUUAAAUUAAAUUUUUGAUAUUUUAGAUUUUUUUAAUAUGUUAUAUUAAAAAUAUUUAUUAUUAUUAUUUUAAUAUAUUUUUAAAUAAACAAUACUUUAUAAAUAACUGCCAGUAUUUAUAAAACCACCGUCAGUUUUAAUGCUCCUGGUAGCCAGCAUUUGCUUUGAAUAUUGAGUUUUUUCUAAAACCGUGAGCAAAUUUAUUCUCGAAUGAACACAUCGUUAUAUCACAAAAAUAGUCUCGUAACACGUGUGCAUGUAUUAUAAAAAUAAUAUUAAUAAUUAUAGUUGUCUACGUACUUACAGUAGGGUGAGAAAAAAUCAAAAAAUCAAUUAAACUAAAAAAAGUAACCGAAAAACCGAUUAAACCGAUUAAAAUUUAAAAAAAACCGACUGGUUCGGUUUCGGUAUUUUAAGCAUGAAACCGAAAAACUCAAACCGAACCGAACCGAACCGAACCCAAACCAAGAAAAAACCUGAGUCAAACUGGAAAAAACACCGAGCCAAACCGGAAAAAAAAACUAGCCAAAUCAGAAAAAAAAAAAAAAAAAAACUGAGCCAAACUAAGUCAAAACCGAGCUAAAUCGAAAAAAUCGAGUCAAAUCGGUGUGAAUCGGUUUUUGUCCUAAAAAACCGAACCGAACCGAAACCGGUCGGUUUGAACCGGUUUAGGUUUUUUAAAAAAAAAAUUUGGUUUGGUUAGUUUUUUAUAUAUAAAAACCGAAUCAAAUCGAAAAUGAUCACUUAUAUUUAUAUGUGGAUUGUGCAUGUAUUAUAAAAAAUAGUCUUAUUAUUUUUUAGAUAAUUAAAGAGAUACAAAACUUUUCUAGUUAUUUAGAUAAUUAGAAACAACUCUAAGAUCUAUAGAUAGAUAUUGAUGUGAUAAAUCACUAUUUUAGAUAUAUAGUUUUUAAUUUUAAAUCUUUUUAAAUAAAAUACUAUUAUAUUUACUUGACUAAUUAAUAAAUAUAAUAUCUUAAAAUAUGUAAAUCAAGAAGAUAAUAAUAGUGGCAAGAAUCUUCACCUGGUAUUUGCUUUGGUUCCCAAGUUGCAGGUUGCAAGAUGUUGAAAUUUAAAAGAUAAGGAGUCAGGCAUAUAUAGAGGCAUUCGAGCCACAAUUUUAAUGACUACAAGCUAUGUUGAAUGAUUCACAUCACUAGUGGUGGUUGUGAAGGGGAAUGUUUGUUUUUAUGUUUUAAAUAUUUUAUUAUUUUUAAUGUUGUUAGAUAAGAAUAUAAAUCAUAUCUUAAGAUCUUCUUUAAAAUCUUAAGUUAUUAGGUUGAGAUGGUUUGUUGGCAUGGUAUCAGAGCUUUGAUAACUAAGUGAUCACGAGUUUGAAUCUCACUAUCCUUAUUUAUUUGAUAAAAAUUAAGCAUAAUAUAGUAUUGAUCUGUGCUGAUGACUAAGUAGUCAUGAAUUUGAAUUUCACUAUCCUUAUUUGUUUGAUAAAAAUUAAACAUAAUAUAGUGUUAAUCUAUGCAAGUUUCAAGUUUAAAAAUUUUUCAAUUGAAAGAAUAUAUUAAAAAAUAAUAUCAAUUAUAUUUUAAAAUUUUAUUUAAAAAUUUAAGCUAUUAGAUUAAGCUUUGUUAUCAAUUAUUGACUUAUUACAAGUAGAAUUUUCUGCCUAGAGAGAUUGAUAUAGACAGGGACCAAUCUCUUUUCCACCUGGUGGUAAAGGACAACAAGCUAUUUGUAGUUUAUGAUAGACUCAAAUGCAUGCAUUUAUAUAGUUAGUUGGUGCAUAAUUGACAGUUUAACAGUCACUGAUCUGAUUUCAAUGUAUAUAUUGAAAUAUUAUUAGAUUUACCUGAUGAAUUAGUAAAUGUAAUAUAUUCAAAUAUUCAAAAAAAAUUUGAAAAUCAAGAUACUAAUUCUCGUAUAAAUCUUCACCUGGUAUUUUCUUUGGUUCUCCUAGUUGCAGGUUGCAAGAUGUUGAAAUUUAAAAGAUAAGAAGGCAGGCACAUAUAGAGGCAUUCAAGCCACAAAUUUCAUGUUGAAUGAUUCACAUCAGCAGGGCCGUCGGCUACUAAAAGGCAUUUUCAUGGAAAACCUCUCAGAUAUUUAAACAUGCUAAGAACAUACUGAAAACGAGAGAGAUUCCAAGUAGAAUUUUCUGCCUUUUUUUUUUUUUUUUUUUGCAAAUACUGAUUGAUGCAGACAUAGACCAAUCUCUUUUCCACCUGGUGCUAAAGGACAACAAGCUAUUAUUUGAAGUUUAUGAUAGACUCAAUUAUAUAGCUAGUUGGUGCAUAACUGACAAUUUAACACUUGUAGCAGGUUGAUUUUUAUGUUUUAAAAAUGUUUUUAGAGGAAAAAUGAAUUUUUUUAUUGUUUUUUUUGUUUUAAUGUUUGUAUGUUUAAAAUACUUUUUUUUAAAAAAAAAAUUUUAAUAUAUUUUAAAUAAAAAAAUACUAUGAAAUAAAGCCGCCAUCAGUUUUAAUACUUCUGUUAGUCAUCAUUUGCUUUGAAUAUUGAGUUUUUUUUUUUAUUUCUCAAACGAACACUAAAAUAGUUUCAUGACCUGUGUGGGUUGUGCAUGUAUUAUAAAAAAUAAUCUCGUUAUUUUUUAGAAAAUACUUUGUGAAUGUUAAUUUUUUUUCAAAUGAACAAACUCUCGAUAAAGUGUAAUCUUUUUUAUUACUUAUCCACCAAUGGUCUGUUCUAUUUUAUUUUUCCAAACUUUUUGGUAAAGUGUAAUUUUUUCAAUUUCAAUAUUAAUAUCGCACCAGAAAUUACGAUGAAGUUUAGAAUGUAAAAAUGGAUAAGAAAUCACCAUUUGUGGAGAAGAUGAGUUUACAGUGUGGGUUAAAUGCCCCCAAGCUUUAUACACAGGUCUAUAUUAAUUUAUAAUUCAAAAAUCUCAUACAAAAACAAGCUGAUUCCUUCUUUAAAUUUAAAUUUUAUUAAAAAUAUUCAUAAUAUCCAUCCCCAUAGAAAAUUAAAAUAUUAUAGGUUAGUUAUUGUUUUUCUUUUUUUUAAUAUCCUAAGUGUCGUUAUAAUUUGUGCUUCUUCUGCCACCAUUUUUACAGGUCACAAUCUCAAGAUUUUAAACAAUAACGUUAAAAAAAAAAAAUCAUAACCCAUUUAACAGAAUGAAAACCACGAAAAGUAUUGAUUGGCCUUUUAACAAAACAGCAACCACCAACCCAGAAAAGUGUAAUGUAUUAAAAUAUAAUUGCUUUCAACAGGUACAAGUAAUCUUUCCUUCUUUUUACUUUUGAUAUAUCUAACUGUUCAAGCAGCAAAACGAAUGGGCGUAGAAUUUUCCGCAAAGACUUUUCACAACUUCAAUGCAUUCUUGGAAGUUGCAAUGUGAACUCAAGUAAUCUCAUGGAUGCAUGGAUCAAUCAAUAUUGAUGCUAGUCUUUCUCUCUCUGCAAUAAAGACAUAGGUAGAAAGAACUUGCUGCUUUUAAAUGCUGAUAGGUUGAUUGAUGCAGACAUGACUUCUUUCUUCCACGUUGGGUCCUGUUAAUCUCAUGGACUUGAUCAAAAAGAUGCAUGGAUCGAUCGAUCAAUAUAGAUAGUACGUGAAGUGUUGAUUAAUUUUAGUAAUUCCCAUUCCUGUCUUUCUUCUUCUUCUUUUCUAAACAUAGGUUCUUUAAAUCUAGGUAAAUUUGGUUCAAACCUGGUUAUUAAACAUGACUCGUUCAGUAGGUCACUCUAGAACUUAGUUGACUUAAUGGCUAGAUUGAUCUAGGUUUAAUCUAUUUUUUAUCAUAGUAUUUUCAUGAAAACUAAAAAAAUUACUCCAAGUCAAGUAACACGCAACAAAGAAUUUAAGAUAAUUUAUUUUAAUUUUUUGACUCUUUUAAUAGAUAAAUAGGAAUGAUUUUUAUUUGAAAAAAAAGUCAUUUUGGCUCAUGAUUUGGUUUUCUCUGCAAAAUCAAUAAAGAACUGAAAAAAUAGUUUUUAUUUCUUUACAAAGAAAGUGAGGUAGAUAUGAAAUUGCUUGCAAAAUUGUGUGAUGCUGCUGAGGUGUUUUGUUACUUGCAGUUGUUGUAUGAUUGUUAAUAAAAAAAAUCUAAUUAAUUAAAAUUUAAUAAUAAAAAGAUGUUGGAUAUAAUUAACCCGGUUGUGCCACUUACAUUAUAUAAGCUCUUUGUAUUUAGAUUAAAGGAUGUUUUUUUUACAAAUCAAUUCAGAAGAAUUUUAGUCUUUCCUCUCUUUUGUAUUCGUAUUUAUUUUAUGUAAUUGAAUUGUUUUAACAGCAUGAAUCCAAAAAACAAAUCUCACCUUUUUUCAUCUACUCGCUCUACUGGGACUGACAAAAAUAAUCAAUGAAUAAUUUAUGUGCAAGAUACUAACCCAGAAAGACUCUAGGAAUUUUAUUUUUUAUUUUUUAUUUUUUAUGUUGUACCAGUCUUCUACGGUUAUGAGUGUCAUGUGCUGUUUACCUUUGCCUCCUGGAGUCUAUUUGUUCUCCUUAUAAUUUACAAGGAAAAAAAAAAAGACAAAAGGUUGAUUGGAGUAGACAUUACUCACUCUUUCCACUUGAUUCCUAUCUUUAUCAUAGACUUAAUCAAAUGUGUGAAGGUGAAAUGUUGAUCAUCUCGUACAUGAUUUUUAAUGCUUGUCAUUUCUCUGUCUUUCUGAUUUACUGCAUUUGUCUUGUAUAUAGGUACUUUAAAAUCUUUGAUCAAUAUGGUUCGAACAAAAUUCACCAAGCUACGAGACUAAAUUCAUUUAGUUUUGACUGAGUAGUUAAAAAUGAAGAAGAAUUAUGGAGGGGAGGUGGUUCUGAAAAACACAAACAGAAAAGAAUGAGGCCAGUUGGCAAUUGGCAGGUCCUGAGACGAUAAGCCAAAAGGUGAGGCUUGAAUGCGGCACCGCUGCUGUAGAGGCCAUAUAUGUUUACGAUGGUGUAAAACAAUAUUUAUAUCUUAAGCUGUUCUUCGGUAACAAAGUUACCUGGCGAAUGCAAGUUAAUGUAUAGAAACUCUUAUUUUUGUCGGGUUUUUUCUUCCUCUAGUCCUUUCAAUUUUUUCCUUACUAAUAAGUACACCUGACAGAGCAGUCAUCAAUGUCACUGCUAUUCAUUAAAGGAACUGCCAGCAUAUGGAACCAUUAAUGGCGGCAAAACUUCAGCCGCAACCUGUGAUGCAUCCCACCAGUUCUGUUCAAAGUUAUCUUGGAAAAUGGAACAAAACAUGAUCUUUACAAAGUUUUCCCAUUGAACUGGACAGCAACAAAACAAUCAGGAAUGAGAUUCGAAAUUUCCAGUGUACAUACAGAUCCGUCUGAUAAACUUGAAAUUUGCAGUUUUAUAUAAAAAAUAAUUAAGCCUCUCCCUCUCAGAACUUGGAAGAAAAAAAAAACUGUAGUCACGCUGAGUUAAAUUUCAAAUAAAUAGCAGAAACCCAACAUCACAACAGUGAGAGAGCCAGUGCAUCGUUUCCUCAUGUCAAGGACUCUUUGAGAACCCCAUAUGAUCUGUGGUACAUGAUUAGAGCUUUGGUUCCGAGCUUAUCUCAUAACUGCUGUUCUCAGAUAUAGAUGAAGAGCUUAAAGUUUGAAUAGAGGCUGACUUUUGUGUUUGUCUCCCACUGAAUCUAUGACUUUGCUCGUGCUGACGGAGGUCUCUCAUGGCUUUGAACCUCAGAUCUUCAGUAUAUGAACUCAGUUCUGGAAGCGUGUCAGGAACAGCCAUUCGUCCUUCAAGCAUGCUCACUACCUCAGUCAUUGUAGGUCUAAUUGUAGGGGACGCAUUUGUACACAAGAGAGCUACUUUAACCAUAGUUUCUGCUUCUUCUAUGUUAACUUCAGAUCCUAACGUCUCAUCAACAAGCUCUAUAAAACUCCCACUUUGUUGCAAAUGGCAGGCCUGCGAUGAAGUAAUUUAAGACUUCAGCACUAGACUUGCAAGCAACAAUAUGAGUGCAACGUAUGAAGCAUGAAAGAAGAUUACCCAAUCUAAGAGACAAACACAACUGCUGUUGCUUGGCAUGUAGUUAUUGUUGUUCUUCCCACUAAUAAUUUCCAAAGCAACAACCCCAAAACUGUAAACAUCUGCUUUGUCAGUCAAGUAACCCCAUAGCGCAUAUUCUGGUGCCAUAUAUCCUCUGCAUGUCAAGAUAAAGAACACUUGUAAUUUAACAUUGAAAAGUAAUACCAAAAAUCGCAGCUUUUUUUAAAGCAUGUGGUGACUAACANNNNNNNNNNNNNNNNNNNNNNNNNNNNNNNNNNNNNNNNNNNNNNNNNNNNNNNNNNNNNNNNNNNNNNNNNNNNNNNNNNNNNNNNNNNNNNNNNNNNUUGUCAAAUCAGAACGUGAAAAUAACUGUUUUAGCAUCAUCAAUGAUGUUCAUGUUAUCACCCAUAUUCAUGCGGUGAAGUGUGCAUUUGAGCUUCAAAACGAAUGGUCCCACAGUCAGUCUUGGUAGGUGCAUCCUUCCAGCAUUCAUGCACAUGCAACUAUGUGAUAACAUCGUUCAAAAAUCAUAACCAUGUUGAAGAUAUUCUUUCUUUUCCCCCAGCUGAUUAGAAUGUUGUUUGUUCUUCUAAGGGUCCACUGUAUUGCCCCCAGGUGGUCAACUUUCAAGGAGUUGAGAAAUGUUGAUGUCUUUUGUCAAGGAUUUUGCAAACUCAAUGAUGUUCUUCUUGUUUGAAAAUCUUUCUUGUUCUGGAAUCAAAUCUACAUUUCAACGAUCAUGUCUAUUCAAGUCUAAUUGUUGAAAUGAAAUCAGAGAGAUGUCUGUUUUUAAAAUUUUUUUUUUUUUUUUGAAAUUCAAACUUCUUUGGUCAAAGACCCAACACACUAUUCAAUGCAGUCCUUUGAUUGUCUUGUAUUUUGAAAACAGAAAUGACCCGUUGUAAGAUUUAAAAUGACUUUUUCAUGGUUCUUUGUGUCCACUUUAAACUCUGAUUUUGGGUAUAUCUUUUGAUGGUUUAUGGUGAGGUGAUAUUUUUAUGAAUUUCAAAAACAAGAUGCUCAGACUUUAUCAAGAAAGGUUGUUUUUGUUCUUGGCAUUCAUUUUAUCAGCAUGCAUAAUAACCAGUAGGUUAAUUCAUGAAGUCACGACCCUUAUGGAAAAAACUCUUCAAGUUUUGAGAGUGCCAUUUAUCGAUUCAAAUUGCUUUCUUGAUUAAAAAGGGCUUUUAAAAGCACGUAAUGCAGGCUAUGGUUCAUGGCUAUGAAAGAAAAGAAUUUCAAAGGCUCAAAAGGUGUUUGAGGGUUUCAACGACUAGGAUCAACAUUAACUAUUCAUCGAUUCUCUUUCUCUUGUCGUCAUUGUAGAGAAAGUGACAUAUAACCUUGUUAAUCUCAAUAUCAGAAUUCUCUUAACAUAGGUCAUAAUCCAACUUUUUCUUUGAUGAAUAACUAAUCUAAUUUUGAAGACAUUAGAGGCUUUAUCCUAGACACACCAAAAGAUAUGAAGCAUCGAUUUUUCUAGUGUUGACUUUUGGCAUUUAUUGUCUUUUCUCAUUUGAAAGUUGUCUUGCCUCUCUUAGAAUUGGUAGGCAUUUUCUUUCAUUUCCUCAAAGUUUUUCUUGGAUGGCCCUCAAUCUAUGGAUUUUCUUCUUCUAGCCCUUUCUCAAACAUUGGACUUUUGUUCUAAGCUUUUCUUUGAUCCAUUGAUUUUAUCCGUGUCUCCAAAAUAUUUCUCAUUUGCCCCCAGUGUGGGGUGUGAUCCUAGUCAGGGUUUUUAUAAAAAAUAUUCUAUCCAGCUCAAAAUGGGACUACAAGGGAGAUAAUUUUUAGAAAGUGACAGGAUAUCAAAGAUGGCCUUUUCUCAUUUCAAGCAAGGUCGGUUAGAACCGAUAAAUUUUGACCUCAUCUAGUGUAAUGAUUUGGACUUGUAAGAGUCAUGAUUCACGAGUCCAUAACUACCGAAAUCCACUACAUGUCAUUAUGCAUACUGUUAAAACUUAGCUACAUGAUGUGUGGUUCAGUUUCAGGAAGUAUGAGUUCAAAAUUUGUUUGGUCACCUCAUGUCAUUUCAACAAGAAUCGAGUCAUUUCUGCAAUCAAAACACUUUUAAUCUUCAGGAUUGAUUAACCUUUAUCGCAUGUUGGAGUUUGAUCAAAAUAUUUUGUCAAAAUACCCUUUGAAAGAAGUAUCUCUUGAUUUCAAAACAACAAGAAGACAAAGAAAAGACAUGUUUCGUUCAAGGAUGAGAUGUGAUCCCAAAACAAAAAUGCAAAAUGGCAAAAAUCCAUAACAAAAAUGCUUGACAGUUUAACUCCUUCUUGGAUCAGCUUCUCUGGCAAUAUCUAUGUUUUGCCUAGCAAUUCCGAUCACUUGUCAUUCUGAAAAUGAUUGACGACAUCAUCUUUCGCAAAUUGAGCUCGACUCUUGAAACUCUUGCAUCUGUUUAACUAAAAUGGCCGAGGACCCCACCAUGAACACACUGUCUUGUCCAGGAUUGAACCACCUAGAAAUGGUUGCAUGGGAUUUGUCGGAGUCAAGCAAAAUUCUGGAAUCUGGCAGAUGCUGGUCGACAAAAAGUGGCAGAGGAAUGUCAAUCUUGGCAAAGACAUUUGAGCAAUUGAUGCUACCGUGAGACUGCUACCAAAAUAAGGGUUCACAUCGAAGUCAUCUCUGAUUCACCUCUCAUCAUUGUUCUGGAAUCCAUGGCAGAUCCUUCAAUCUUUCCUUCUUCAUAGCUUGUUCAAUUCUUCGCAAAUCUCACAACAUUCAAUCUUCCAAUGUUGUUGUGGUUGGUUGAGGAUUGUUAGAAAACUUUCCAACAGCUUGGUAAUCUUGGCAGCGCACAGAAACUUGUAGUAUCGCCACUACCGACGUGUGGAAUCACACAUUGUCUCUAUUGGAAGAGCACCUGAUGAAUCUAAAACUCCUUUGUCCCCUCUUCGAUUUCUCACUGACAGUGCAGCAAACAAACACCUAUAGAGGAAGUCCUGCUCUGUUGAAGUUUCAGUAUUCUUCAUGUUUUUCAGUCUAGGCAUGUCUCUUCUCUCUACUUUUGUGUUUUAAAAAAAACUGACACUGUUGGAGGAAAAUCAUAGAUGAUCUGAAACUACUGUAUUCCUUCUUGGAUUUCCCACUUGCGGAUCCACAAACAGAUUCCUGCCGAGAGAGCUCUGCUACGUUAAAGUUUGAUGUCUGCUCAUAUUUUUCAGACCAGGUCUGGCUCUUCAACCUACUAAAGGUCUUCGUGCUGAACUGAUGAGAGAAAUAUUUGUAGCAUAUGCAACUUAUAAAUCCCCUCUUGCAUUCCCAAUUUGCAGAGCCAUAAAUGGAUUUUUGUAGAGAGAGCUCUGCCACAUUGAAGUUCAGUGUUUAAUCAUGGUUUUUCAGACCAUCUUGUGCUGCUGAACUGGAAUUGAGCUCAUAAUCGGGGUAACUUCAAAGCAGACUAAUGCACCAUGUACAGGAGGCUAGUAGUCGUUUGGUUCCAUUAGAUGAUGUGGAGGCGAUGAACACUUAACAGUGCAACUGGACAAGAAUCAGAGUUGUCAUUAGUUGAUGACUGAAGGCAUUGCUGCUGUUGUUCAUGACUGAAAAGGAGAGGCAGCUUCAAUUGGACGUGACAAGUAGUGUUCCCACAGAGACUGUGCAGACAUUCUCUUUCCAUUUGAUGCUCAACACUUGUUCGAGCAGAUAUGAGUCCAGCUAUUUCACCUUUGAUGCUCUCAAACUCAAACUGAUAAAGAUCCUCUAUCUGACAUCUUUCUUCACUUCCAUCCUUUCUUUAAUCACUCGUAGCACAACUUGUGUAGGGACCUACCUUUCAACCCGGUACAUGCAUGAUAAAUGUAUGAACAUGUAAUCUAUAUGAUGAACUCACCCUUCGAGCGGUGACAAUAUGGUCGUGACUCUUGUAUGAUGGACAAGAAUCGUGAUUUUUGCCCAAACUCUACAAUGAAAAAUUUCUAAGUGACGACCAUUGUGUCACCCACAAGUCUUGAGUUCAAGAUGCUUCAAGAAGGGUUUGCUCGGAUGCAAAACAAUAGCACACACAUCCUAAAAACAUGUUCUAUUCAUUUUACGUGAGACAGGGUAGGUUUGCUACAUGGUCUCUAAAAGGGUCUCUUGUUGUCCCAGUGAUCGCCUUCGUAAAGGCAAUAUAGGGGCCCAGUAGGUAAUUGGUUGGCACGUGUCCAACUAUUACCAGUCUAAGCACUCAACAAAGAGUUGGGGUUUACACAAACUUAAACCUUGACUCAAGUCGUAAGGUAAGCUGCUAGUCCCCCACCUAACCUAAAGCUGGUGUGUGCUUUCAAAAAUUAAAACUUGUGAUGCAUGAGAGAAAUAUAUACAAUGCAUGAAUAAAACACAAAUAAAUAAAACAAAGCACAAAAAAAAAAAAAUUGAACACAUCAAAACACAAAGCUUAGUCCGAUAAAGUUGAAAACAAUACCUUUCCCCAGUGGAGUCGCCAUCCUGUCGCACCCCAAAAAAUCCAAUCUGGCGCGCGCGGCAUCGGCUGACGAUUUUUCUUGUAUGUUGCAUUAGCUUUGAAUUCGUUCGUGGGAGUCGCCACCUAGUAAUUCAUUGAGGGCUACUAGGAAACCUGAUGUACUGGUCUUGUUAGAGAUCGCGGGUAAGGGACUGGUUGUGGUUAGGGAAGGUAUUAACACCCCUAACACACCCUACCUGAGGUAAGCUGCUUUGUGUUCUGAUGUGAUUUGAAAAUUUAAAAUAUUAAUCAAAUUCUAAGGCUUGAAUAAAUCAGUUAUUAAAUCCCCGAAUAUAUGUGGAAACUUGUUCUCACAUUUUCAUGGAAAAUACAACUUGAUUUUAUUUGUCCUUGAGAUAUUUAACCAUAUUUAAAUUAACAAUUAAAUCUUUUUGUUUUUUUUAUUUUUAUAAUUCAAUAACAUAAAAUAAAAAUACAAACACACACAACUUUCUUUUUAUCAUUUAUUUAUUUUCUUUUCUUUUUAUUUUUUUUUCUUUACAACACAAUGCAAAUACAAAUAAAAAAUCAAAAUCAAAACAAAUAAAUAAAAAUUACAUUAAUUAAUUCAAAAUUUACACAAUAGUCCCUAAAACUCCAAAAAUUGCAGGGAAGGACUUCUGGGGACUGCGUGAACAGUCCCGGCGCGUGGGUCCACGCGCCGCCGUGAGAAAGAAGCUGGAAACGGUGCGAUCUGUCUCAGCCUCUUCUCCCCCUCGUUUCCUCACCGGCGGUGAGAACAACGUCACCUGCAAAACACCAAGAAACGCAAACAACAAUGUUCCCGGAUCUGUUUCCUUUUUAGAUCUAUUCUCCUAUCUUUUCUGUUUUCAUUUCGUUGUUCUCUCCUUCUCCAGGUGAUAGAUCCGGUGGUUGUGGAGGAGUGCUGGAGACCGGAGGCGGACAGAUCGGAGAUCCGUGGGCGCCGCUGUUUCGGGCUGCUAUUGGAGGCUCCGAUCCGGUUGAGGAGCUGCGAAGAACAAAGGGAGCAGCUGAGAGGGAGGAACUGUGGAGGAGGAGCUGCUGCCGUUGGAGGACGCCGCUGAUGGUCUGGAGGAGGAGAAGACGACGGACAUAUAUGGGUCCGUGAGCACCGCUGUGUUCGGGCUGAAGAGAUCGCCGGCGAAGAAGACGCUGUUGAGGGGGAAAGCUUCGGGUUGAUGGAGAUGAACAGGAACGGCUGGGGGGGGGAUAAGGAAGUUGUCUUGGCCGGCUGGUUUAGGUCCGGUGAGGGAGAAGAAUGGGAAGAAAAACAAAUGAUCUGGGGCUGUUUGGCUGGGGUCUGUGUGGGUGAGGCUGGCUUUAAUUUCAAAGAGAGGGGAAAACCGUGAAGAUGGGGACCCGACUGCAGGUUGAAGAUGAGAAAAAAAUGGCCGGCUGCUGGGGGAGAAAAUAGGAAACGGGGAGAAGAAGAAAAUCCCCAAAGGGAUUGGGGACUGUGGGUGCUGCCCCCUACUGCCGGGACCCGAAAAAUGGCUCCAAUCUCCCCCCAGGUACAAGGCUGGGGAUGAGAAGAAAUAUGGGUUUUUUUCAUUAUGAGGAGGGCCACCAUGUCGGCGGGAAACAAGGAAAAGAAGACCAUGGGUGGGGCUAAGUCCUUAAUUUUCAGCCGAAAGAGAGGGAUUAAAUAAUGGUCUUGGGCCAGGGGCAACGGCUAGUUUCAGGUGAAGAGAAAAAAAUUCUUAGGCCCCCCCUUCUUUCAAAAUUCAAAAUUCCCUAUACAUAGGUAAAAAUAUUGUUUCGGCCUCAAAAUUGGUCCCCUUAAUUUUCUUUCUUUUUGUAAAAUUUGAUUUUUCUUGUUUUUUUGUAUUUUUUUGAAAACGAGCAAUAUCAACGUCGACUCAAAUACGGAAAAUCAAUUAUUUUAAAAAUGACGCGUGAAAAGUCGAACGCGUUCGAAAGACCCUUAAAAAUUCAAAUUCUUUUUUUUUAGACGACGUUGAAAAUGCUAAAAUAACGAAAAUAUAUUAAAAAACAUAUUUUUUGGAUUUUCUUUGUUUUUCUCUAUUUUUGGAUUUUUUUGAAAAUAUAUCAAAAACAUGGGUCAAAAAUUGGGUAGCAACAUGUUAAUUGAAUUGUUUUAACAGCAUGAAUCCAAAAAAAAAUCUCACCUUUUUUCACAUACUCGCUCUACUGGGACAGACAAAAAUAAUAAAUGAGUAAUUUAUGUGCAAGAUACUAACCAGAAAGACUCUAGGAAUUUUAUUUUUUAUUUUUUAUUUUUUAUGUUGUACCAUUCUUCUAUGGUUAUCACAACAAGAAUUUACAGUUUUACCGACGGAAAUAUUCCGUCGGUCUGUGAUUGAUAGUACGUCGGUAAAAUAUUUACCGACUAAAUUAUCGAGGGAAUAAGUCUGUCGGCUUAUCUUUCGUCAGUGAUUCCCCAUUCCGUCGCUAUAUCGGUCGGCAAAACAAAAAAAACCAUUUACCGACGUUUUACAGACAGAAUUUGCGCACCAAAAAAAAAAAAUUUCCCGCUUCAAUAAUACCGACGGAUUGUUAUUCCGUCGGUGAUAUCACAAUUCACCGACAGUUAAUUUCCGUCGGUAACUUAGUUGGUGAAUUGUUGAAAUACCGACAGAAUAUACCGUCUGUAAAUUCGUCAGUAAGUUAUAAUACCGACUGAUUAAUGUCGUCGGUAAAUCUGUUGGUGAGUCAUGAAAACACUGACCGAAUUUAUCCAUCUAGAAAUUUUUCGGUGAUGGUCGCGGCUACUGUCUAAUGCCAACAGAUUUAUUCCGUCGGUAUCCCUUUGUAAUGUUUUUUAUUUUUUUUUAUAAUUAUUUAGAAUACAUAAUAUAAAAUGAUAUAAAUUAAUGGUAAUAAAAACCAAUUAUGAAAAUAAAAUUUAUAUUAAGCAUCAAAAACAAAAAAUGAAAGAUAAAUAAUAUUCAUUACAAAAUGAAAUGUUUCAAAAAAACAUUAAAUGAAAUUUUAAAUGUAAAUAAUGUUUAUAAAAAAUUAAUAUAAAGGAGGAUAAGGAGGAGGAGGAGGAGGAGGCUGGCUGUUAUACGACCAACUUGGAUUGGGUGCACAUGUUCCACCUUGUGACAUGUUUAUGACCAUUUGACGAAGCUCUUCAUAAGCUGCUCUUUGUUGUGUAGAUUAUGCUGUGUAUUGUUCUUUGAGUUGUGUGUACGCCUCUGAUAGGUGGUCGCACCUUUGCUACAAGGCCACGAACUCCUUAGAUUGGGAGCUCGAUACUGAUUGGGAGCUCCUGAUGGUUGAAGCAGUACGGGUCAUCCGCAAAUUGUCGGCCCUAGUGUUGGAGAGCCCGUAAACCCGAUUCUUAUCGGAUCCACCUGACGAUCCAACCUCCAUCCACAAAUCCAGAUCGAAUUCCGGAUGGGUCGAAGGAUUGUCCCCGUAUGUCUCCCUCAACCGAUUAUUAUAGAUCUCCUGAAAAUAAAAAAAAGUAAUCAUCAUAUUCAAUUCAAUAAACAUAAUAAUAACUUACAAAAUAAAAUGGUUGAAUAAGCAUACCACAAAAUGUUGAGUGCGACUAUCAACGAACUAUUGCACCCCCUUUUGGCGGUCUUGAUUCCGCACGUGCGUCUCCACAAAUAGCUCUAUAGGGCUCGGCUCAUGUCCAAGAGACGUAGCCUAUAAUGAAAAAAAUUUAUUAACAAAAAUUAAUUGAACGAUAUAUUUCAUUUAAAUUAAUCUUACCUUCCGUUUCGCAUGUGCAGCAAACGGAAUGGAGCCACCGGUGUGCGUUGUCACCGAGCCAUGAAUUGGCCGAUUCCGGUUUCCAGUACUGGACUGUGAGCGUCAUGUGAACCGCUCAAACGUCACGUGCUCAAGAUAGUGCGGCCAUAUAUCCUCCGGGAUGUAUAUCGAUUUGAAAUCCCUCCAAACCGCAACAUUAUUCCAGCCUUGGAACCCCCUAUCCCUCGCUGUUUUUUUUUGCCUUUUUUUGGGCUUCGUACCAAAAAUCACGCAACCUACUUAACGCAAUCAAAAAUUACAUUUCGAAACAUACAUUUUUUUGUAAAAAAAAGUUGUAUUGUUUUCGAUGUUACCUAGUUGCCGCGUGAUUUUCCCACACCCUCCUCACAACAUUGUUAUGUUCUUCGUUCCAGCAGAAUCGAUUCUGUGUAUAAAAAAUAAUUUUUAAAAAUGUUAAUAAUUUAUUUACAAUUAUAUUAAGAAUUUAUUAGAAAUAAGCUGAAAAUUAUAUAUUAACACGAAUCUCAAAUCUGGAAAACCAUGCAUUGAUUUGAGGCAUCCAUUCAGGAUGCCUGGAUAUCUGACUCCAUUGAAACAAUGGAAUCUCCAUCGACGCUUUAAACGCUGAUGGUAUUACUCGGGCGGCCUCAAUGUUUGUGAACCUGAAAAGAAUUGAAAUUAAUUAAAUAGUGACUUCAUAAAUUUGUUUCAAAUUUGUUUUUUUUUUUUAAAAUUAAAACCUUAACAAACUUACAUUGAAAGAUCAUCCUUCCAUUGUGCCUCGUACUUGCGGAUCCAUCAAUUCCGCUGCGAAGGCAUGCCGCUUCUGUGACGUGAAACAUCGCUGGAAUAGGCAGCAUCAGCUGACGGUACAAGUGAUGUAGGUGUCUCUUCUUGAGAGGCACCUAAGGAAAUGUCUUCGUCGCUGCUAGACGAACUAGAUGCGACCAUACGUGAAGAUCUGGUUUUCAUUCUCUGCAUCUAACCAAUUUUAUAUAAAUAAUUAUAUAAUUCAAUUGAAAUGUUAAAAAAAAAUUCGGCAACGCCUCCCCUAUACUUGGAUACUACCCAAAUCCACAAACCUGCAAAUAUUAACAAUAGCCGCAACCAAUUGACCCAAUCUAUACUAAUUAUUCCAACAUAUUCAAUUACUAAUCCUAAGGUAAAUUCUACAUUAACAAUUACAAUUCAACAAAUUAUUCAAUAAUUAUGUCAAUACAACAAAACUAUAAAUUCAAAAUAAAUAGAAACAAUUAAACACAAAUCAUUAAGUUAGAGUAAAAUUAAUAAUUCUUCCAACAUAUUCAAUUACUAAAUCUAAGAUAAAUUCAACAUUAACAAUAUUAAUUCAACAAAUUAUUAAAUAUUCAUUAUGGCAAUACAACAAUAAAAUAUAUUCAAUAAAUUUUUAAAAAAUAUAAACUAACAAUUAAAAACAUAUGCAAUUACUAAUUAUUCCAACAAAUGCAAUUACUAAUUCUAAGGUAAAUUCAACAUUAACAAUAUUAAUUCAACAAAUUAAUCAAUAAUUAUAUAUGGCAAUACAACAAUAAAUUAUAUUCAAUAAAUUAAAAAAAAAUAUGGACUAAAAUUAAAAUCAAUGGAAAUAAUUAAAUACAAAUCAUGCAAUAAUAGAGUAAAAUUACUAAUUAUUCUAACAUAGUCAAUUACUAAUUCUAAGUUAAAUUCAAAUUUAACAACAAAUAUCCAAUAAAUUAACUAAUACCAAUUAUAACAACACAACAAUAAAAAAUAUUCAAAAAAUUCAAAAAAAAAACCUACAUCAAGAAAAGGAACGAAAUAUACAUACCUUAAUAAUAUGUCCAAUUCAAAAUUUUAUCUACAUUACAAAAAAAUACACCAAAACAACAAAAUAAUAAAAAUAAAAACAACUACAACUAAAAUAAAAUAAAAUAGAAAAAACCACAUACCUUUAUUCAAAUCUUGCAAGAGAUUCAAGGUGAAAGCCUUGAGGAUUGAGAGCAAAAAACUGAAAAUUAUAGGGCAACAGAGGAGAAGAAAAACGGAGGAGAAGAAAAAAUGAGGCGAAGCGGCGAGCGCUGGAAGUUAUAGGUUAUAUGGAAGAUUUACCGUUGGAUAUUAAAAAAAUAUUAUUAAUUUUUAAAUCCGUCGAUAACAGGUUAAAAAUCCAUCGGUAAUUUUUUAAUUUCGCACCGAAAUUUUUAAUCACCCUCCAUAUUUUUCGCGGUCCGUCGGUGAUUCCGUCGGUAAUCUGACAUGGUCAGAGGUGCAUUCAAUUCACACCCUUUGGAAUUCACAUAUUCCGUCGGUAUUUCUGUCGGUAAUAUUUGAGACCAAAAAAUUACGGACGGACGUAUUCCGUCGGUGUGUCCGUCGAUGAUUGUGGUAUUUUGUUGUAAUUAUUUUCGAACUCUCUGUGAGAUACCGACGGAUGUAGGUCCGUCGGUGUUGCUGUCGGUGAUUGUGGUAUUUUGUUGUAAUUAUUUUUGAACUCUCUAUGAGAUACCGACGGAUGGAGGUCCGUCGGUGUUGCUGUCGGUGAAUGUGGCAUUUUGUUGUAAUUAUUUUUGAACUCUCUGUGAGAUGCCGACGGAAUAUAAUCCGUCGGUGUAGGUGUCGGUGAAUCCGUCGGUGAUUGUGGCAUUUCGCGUAAUUAAUUUCGAACUCUCUAUGAGAUGUCGACGGAUGUUUAUCCGUCGGUAUGGACGUUGGUAAGUUUGCAUUUUGCAGGAAAGGUUGUAUUUGUAUUGCCUAUUUACCUUCCUGCAAACACGUAACUGAUAAAUUGUCCAUCGUAUAAAACAAUAACAACAUUGCUUAAACAAUAAAUAUUUUGUUUUACAAAAUACAUCAUCCAUAAUGUAAAUUACAUGAAGAAAAGGGUUUUACAUAGUGCUUCAUUUUGAUAGUUACUCAGAAUUAUCUUCUUCUUCGUCAUCUAUUGAAUAGUCAUCACCUUCAUCGCAAUCUUCAAUAUGGAUAUCAUCUUCUUCAUCGACAUUUGCUUGUCCGCUAGAGCUCAAAACAACGUUCAACUCCUCUACGUCAACAUCAACAAGACUAUGAUCGGAAACACGAAAAUUUGAAUUUUCCUCCAAUUCAAUCGAAGGAGCAACUCGAUAUGGUUCAACCAACUCACUAACUUAAAAGACUUUAUCCCGCACACUUGUUUCUUCGUUCUCAUCCUGAACAACCUCGACAUGACCCCGUGGUUUUGUUUUUAAAACGGACAACCAAUCAACUCUUGAUCGAUCAUUUUUAAAUGAAGGGGUGUAUGUGUAAUAAACUUGUUGACAUUAGUUUGCGAAAACAAAGACAUCGUUUAUGUUGCGGAGUCUAGCUUUUGAGUUAAUUUCGACCAGACCAUGGUGCGUAUCAACUCUGAUUCCUCUGUCCGUAGUGUCAUACCAAUAGCAUUUGAAUAAAAACACUGUAUUCUGCUCGCUAUGAUAUUGGAGUUCGACAACCUCUUCUAAUCUACCAUAGUACUCAACUUCUAACUCACUACUUGUGGAUCCUUUAACACAAAUACCGCAGUUGUAUGUCUUUCUUCCUUACCCGUAUUCUUCAGUAUGGAAAACAUAUCCAUUGACAAAAUGCCCGUUGUAGCACUUAACUUUUCUUUCAGGCCCGAGGCUUAGUGAAGACAAUGACUUAGACGCACUUCUUCCCAUUUGAUAAACCUUGUAUACAUGUAAUGUACAUCAAUAAACGGUAAAUGAACGAGAAUCUCGUAAUGGCAUGCAUACGUACAAUAAUUUUGCAAGUUAGAAUGAGUUUGUGAUAGUGCUUACAUGUGUUCUGAACCAUGUGGCAAAUUGUUCAUCUUGUAAUUGAAAGAUCUAGGAGUCGGUCAGCUACGAGUUAUUGGAGAGCAAAUAUUGUCGAUGUUGCCUGCAAGUGAUAAUGAGUGUAUGAUUUCACAAUAUAUAAUUAACAGUGUCGCACCCCAAAAAAAAUCCGGCGCGCGGCAUCGGCUGGCGAUUUAAGUCUUGUUUUUGUUGUUUGCUUGAAUUUGGUUCGUUGGAGUCGCCACCUAGUAAUUGAUUGCGGGCUACUAGGAAACCGGAUGUACUGGUCUUGUCAGAGAUUCGCAAGUAAGGGACUGGUUGUGGUUAGGGAAGGUUUUAGCACCCUAACGCACCCUACCUGAGGUAAGCUGCUUCGUGAAUUUGAUGUGUUAAAGAAGUUUUAAUAAUUGUCUUUUCAUCGGAAAUUAGAAAUAUCACUUACGUAUAAGUUAAUAAUUCUUAACCGUGAUCCGAUCAAAAUUUUAAAUUCUUCUUUAAUAUAUUUACAAUUUUAUCAUUAAAAAAUAUAUACAAAUAAAUAAAACAAAAUACAAGCACACACAUACACUUUCACUAUUUUAUUUUUGUUUCUUUUCUUUUCUUUUCUUUUUCUUUUACAUCCAUAUUUACUAGAUACAAAUAAAAAUUCAAUACUAAAUAAAAAAAAAUUACAUCAAACAAAAAUUACAUUAAAAUUACAAUAACAGCCCUAAAACAAUUUGGAAUUCACAGGAACAACUUCUGCACCACUGAAACAGUGCUGGGAGCAUUUUGAGGGCAACUGAACGGUGGUGGCGCGUCUGCUCCACGCGCCUCCACCACUGGCGGCGCGUGGGCUCACGCGCCGCCGGAAAAAAAACAACGCAGCAGGGGAGAUCCUCCCUUCUUCCUCGCCGGCGGUGAAUACUACCUUUACCUGCAGCAAGAAACGCAAAAAAAAGGACACAAACAGUUGAUUUUAGAUUUUAUUUCCGUUUUCUUUAAAUUUGCUUCGUUUUUUUCUUUUUAUCAGAUCAGCUUCUCCUUUUCUUCUUCUCGGUUUCGGAUCUGUUUCUUCUACAGAUCGGUCUGUUAUGGGUUCCUUCUUCUUCUCCAGUGGUAGAUCGGUCGUGGAGGAGGAGCUGUCGGUGGUCGUUGGGUUUCGUUGUCUUCUCCUCUGCUUCGGGUGGCAGAUCGGGCGGUUGCUCCGUGGCUGCUGAAGCUGUUGUUCGGUGGCCGGUUGAAGGCAGUGGAGCGAGCGAAAGUGUUGCCCCAGCGCUGCUGUUCGGCCGUCGCUGAGGAAGGAAACCGAAGGGGAAGCAGCCGUGGCUGAGGAGGGUGUGGGAGAGUGAGCGGCUGUGCAAGGGCUGAGCCCUUGACUGGCGAAAAGAAAGAAAAAAAUCUGAUGAGUGAGGGGGUGGCGGCCGGUUCUCCUGAGGAAGAAGAAAAGGAUGGUGGCCGGCAGAAAGAAGAAGAGCUUGUGUCUGUUUUGGGAGAGGAUGAAAGUCAGAUCGGGUUGUUGCUGUUUUGGUGGAGGUUCAGAUGGCUGGGAAAAAAUCAAAAACAGUGGGGGGCCGGCGGCUGGAAUGGUUGGGGCUGGGGAGAGGAAGAAAAAAAAAGAAAAAAUAUAUAUAUAUAUAUAUAUAUACCCCGGGGAAGGGGGCUGCACCGAUUGAGUGAGAAGAGAAAAAAAAUUUAAAAGGUGAGGGGGGGGGGCUGGCUUGGUUCAGCGGCUGCAAGGGGGGAAAAAUCUUUUAGGUUUAGGGUUUUUUUGUUCUUGUAUUGUCUCUCCCCCAAUUUCAAAAUUGCCCCCCCCCUAUUGAAUGUGUUGAAGACCAGUAUUUAUAGGCAGAAUGUUGCUAGGUUUUUCAACUUGGUCCCUCAACUUCUUUCUUUUUUUGUAAAUUUUGAUUUUUCUUAUUUUUAUGUAUUUUUUGAAAACGAUCAAUAUCAACGUCGACUCAAUGAGGAAAAUCAAUGAUUUUAAAAAUGACGUGUGAAAAGUCGAACGCGUUCGAAAGUCUUUUGAAAAUUUAAAUUCUUUUUUAGACGACGCUGAAAAUGCUAAAAUGACAAGAAAAUAUUAAAAAAACAUGGGUUAAAAAAUGGGUAACAACAGAUGCCCCCUCUUUACAAUGCUUACGAAGCGAAAAUCCUCAAUGUUUUGCAUAGUAAGCUUUGUAAAGAAAAACUUGUCUUUUUGUUUGCUCAAUGUCCACUUCAUCUAAAAACCUUACUCUGUUUUUUUUUUUUCUCUUUUUCUCUCUUUUUUUUUCAUUAUCUUGAGAUCCCAUCUGGCGACCUCCUUUAACCAAAACCAAAGAAUGUGUGUAACUCUGUCAACCUGAAAUCCCAUAUGGAGAUUCUCUUUAACCAAAGCUACAUGAGAUCCCAUCUAGCGACCUCAUUUGACUAAUAUCGCAAUACGAAAUCCCUUCCGGCGAUCUCAAUCAACUUGGAGUCCCAUCUGACGAUUCCUCUUAACCAAAUUAAACUCUGUGUGUGGUUGGGUUAACCAAUACAAAAAUGCAUGUGUGGUCUCAUUAUGAUGGGUGACCUGCCCGAGUGGAAAAGUGGAAGAGUAGUCUCAUUCUUAUGGGUGACCUACCCAGAAAAUGGUCUCAUUGUAUGGGUGACCUACCCAGAAAAAAAUGAAGUGGUCUCAUUGUAUGGGUGAUCUACCUAGAAAAAUAAUGGUCUCAUUGUAUGGGUGACCUACCCAAGAAAAAUGAUGGUCUCAUUGUAUGGGUGACCUACCCAAGAAAAAUGAUGGUCUCAUUGUAUGGGUGACCUACCUAAAAAAAAUGAUGGUCUCAUUGUAUGGGUGAUCUACCCAAGAAAAAUAAUGGUCUCAUUUUAUGGGUGAGCUGCCCAAAUGGAAAAAAUAUGAUGAAGUGCGGUCUCAUUGUCAUGGGUGACCUACCCAAAUGGAAAAAAUAUGAAGUGUGGUCUCAUUGUAAUGGGUGACCUACCCAAUGGAAAAAAUAUGAAAGUGGGUCUCAUUUUAUGGGUGAGCUGCCCAAAUGGAAAAAAUAUGAUGAAGUGCGGUCUCAUUGUCAUGGGUGACCUACCCAAAUGGAAAAAAAUAUGAAGUGUGGUCUCAUUGUAAUGGGUGACCUACCCAAUGGAAAGAAUAUGAAAAAGUGGUCUCGUUGUGAUGGGCGACCUACCCAAAUAGAAAGAAUGUGAAGUGCGGUCUCAUUGUCAUGGGUGACCAACCCAACUGGAAGAUGUGAUAUGACAAGUGUGAAAAAUAGGACUUACCUGGUGAAGUCUUUGAGGGGAUGACAGAAGAAGGGCUGGAAAACUUGGUGCUUCCUGAUAAUUCCCGAUCAUAGGAUUUGAAAACUCGGUGUUUCCUGACUGCAAGAGUUGAAAACUCGAGGCUUCCCGAUUGCAAGGUUGAUCUUUUCAUUUCUUUGGGAUUUUCCUAAUGUAGGGUUCAUCCCAUCAUCCUUUUAUUCCAUGAUCAAAAUCGAUUCUUUAUUAUCAUCACCAUAAUGCUUCUUUCUUUUUCCAACAUCUUGCUAGACCUUAUUAAGGAUUUUCCUGUAACAAAAAAAUAUGUGCAAAUAUAUUUUUUUUUUUUGAGGUUAGAUGAUAUGCAUGCAUCCUUACCUGAUUUGAAAUAAUAGGUCCCCAUUUCUUCAUGGUGUGUUUCUUUUCUCAAAAGUUGGAGUGUUGGCAGUGAACUUCAAUGGCUUUACGCUCUUGCUUACUCGAGUCAUUGCUUGUGAUUUUGACCUCUAGAAAAGACUUGAUAUCAUCAUACUUCUUUGUCCUCCGCCUCUUUAUCUUAAGGGUUGUCAAUUUGACAUUUCUUAGAAUGGGAAUCAUGGAGCUAGCCCUAUCAUAUGUUUCGUUAUUGCCCCCUAGCUUGAUCAUGCCCCCAAGUAUUCAAAUCAAGUUUGGGGAUAAGGCUAUGUGAAGGAAGGUUUGACAAGGAAUUGUUUUCAUGCAAAAUUUUUUGGAAUUCCAAAGUUAUUCCAGACAUAGAAAUUAGUUUGACAUUGAUUCAAAGCAAACUCAUUCUGAAGAAAUUCAAGUGUUUCCUAUGGAGAGGUUAUCAGAAGUGAUGAAAACUUUUUUUUUUUUUUUUUGGCUUUUGGUAGAAAAAAUAUGGAGUGACAUCUGGUUUGUCGGAAAAGGUUUAAAUUUCAAUUUGAGGGUUAUUGAGAACCGAGGUUCAAAAUAUUUAUUUUAUUUGCAUGAAUAAUGAUUUGGUUCACAUGAGAAAGCAUUGCCUACCGAUCCAGAUUGCUUGCCUUUGAUCAGAAAGGGCUUGAUUAGGCACGUAAUGUAGGCUUGGGCUCUUGGUUAUGAAGAAAAUGAUAUUUGUAGGCUCAAAAGGUGUUUAAGGGAUUUGAAGACUAAGGAUCACUUGUGCUUGUUUCUUGACCUUUUGUCAUUUGACUGUCUUUCGAAAAUUGUCUAUCGUGCCCCCUUGUGUUGGGCUUGGGCUUGUUCUCUUUGUUUUGUUUUCUUCAUAUGGUUUUGAGCAUCAUAUAUUGUUUUUUUUUUUUUUGCUCAAAACUUUUGAUCCUUUGGAUUUUUCUUCAUGCCCCUAGAUUUGUUGGGCACCUUUGAUGAUUGAGAAUUUUCUUUUAUGCCCCCUAGUAUUGCUUGGGCACUUUCGAUCAUUGAGGUUUUCUCUAUGUCAUCGCACUUGCCCCCAGUGUGGGGUGUGAUCCUAGCCAAGGUUAUUUUUCAAGAAAAUAGGCUCAAAAGGGGACUACAAAUGAUAUAUUUAGCCUCGUGAAAAGAUUAUCAAAGAUGGCCUUUCUUCAUUUCAAAUCAUGCAUUUAGGAUCGGUAAGCCUUGCUUUCAUGCGAGUAUGCAAAGUGAUUUCUCAUUAUUCAUGCAAUCAAAACUCAGCUUUAGAGUCACUUCAUGGUGUUUGUUUUUUUUUUUUUUGGGUUUUUCUAGGUGUAUGGUUACCUUUCUAAGGAAUCACCUGAAUUUCCAGAACUCGUUUGUUUUGGACAAACAUCAACAUGAUUUCAGUUUUGUACUAAACUUUGAAUUCCCAAAAAUCCUUGUGAACAUGUGCGAUCAUGCAUAGUUUUGAAAGAAAGGAAAACACACCCAAAGAUUCUUGGUGCUCAAUAUGUUAUUUGCAUGAAACAACAACAAAAAUGAAGGUAUGUUAUAAACACACAUGAUCUUAUUAACAAGAAAGGCUCAUUUGACAAGGAAAAUGUUGCGAAAUUUUGAGCCAAGUUACCAACAAAAACUGGAAUAGGUUGAAACAAAAAUCAAGAAAUUUUACAGGCAUGAUCAAACUAAGGUUUUUUUUUUUUUGCAAAACAAGAAUAGGCUCCAUUAUGCACCAGUGGUGCAAUUCCCUUCGGUCAGUCUUCCCACCAAAGCUUUUUGUAGAAAAUACAUGAUUGCACCGAGGCUCUUGACAAAUUUUGCCCCCCAAUUUCUUCGGGCUGAGUCAUUGUUGGGUUUUGAACAAAGAUGAUAGGUCGAUUGGAAGGAACUUUCCUAGAGUUAUUUUUCAGUAUCUACCCGAGUAAGCUAGAAGCAAGUCACACAUGUCUUCAAAAAUUAUGACGAGCAUACUCUUCAUCUUCCGUGUUUUUCUUCAUUCAAAGUCGGAUGUUGUGGACUCGUAGGGGACCUACUUUUCAUUCUGGUGCAUGCAUGACAAAUGUAUGAACAUGUAAUCUAUAUGAUGAACUUGCCCUUCGAGGGGUGACAAUAUGGUCGUAACUCUUGUAUAAUGGAGCAAGAAUCGUGAUUUUUGCCCAAACUCUACAAUGAAAAUUUUCGGAGUGACGACCAAUGUGUCACCCACAAGUCUUGAGUUCAAGAUGCUUCAAGAAGGGUUUGCCCUGAUGCAAACAAUGAUAGCACAUACAACUUUAGGACAGGUUCUAUUUAGUAUGUGAACAUGGGUAAGUUUUCUAUCUGGUCUCAAAAGGGUCUCAUAUCUGCCCAGUGACGUUCUUCGUAAAGACAGUGUGGGGGCGUUGCAAGGAACAGUUAAGACACGUAUGCCCACCAUUACCAAGCAGGCACUCAGAUAUGAGUUGGGUGUUUCACGCAUCUGAACCCUGACCAAUAGUCUUAGGGCAGAUCGCUAGUUCCCCACCUAACCUAGAAGCUUGUGUGUGCUUUCAAAAAUAAAUACAGGUGAUGCAUGAGACAAUUCUAUAAAAUGCAUGGAAAUAAAUAUUAACAAAAAAGAUAAAAAUGCAAAAACUUAAACACAUCAAAUACACAAAGCUUAGUCCAAUAAUGUCAGAAACAGUACCUUCCCCAACGGAGUCGCCAUUCUGUCGCACCCAAAAAAAAUUUGGCACGCGGCAUCGGCUGGCGAUUUAAGUCUCGUUUUUGUUGUUUGCUUGAAUUUGGUUCGUUGGAGUCGCCACCUAGUAAUUGAUUGCGGGCUACUAGGAAACCGGAUGUACUGGUCUUGUCAGAGAUUCGCAAGUAAGGGACUGGUUGUGGUUAGGGAAGGUAUUAGCACCCCUAACACACCCUACCUGAGGUAAGCUGCUUCGUGAAUUUGAUGUGUUAAAGAAGUUUUAAUAAUUGUCUUUUCAUCGGAAAUUAGAAAUAUCACUUACAUAUAAGUUAAUAAUUCUUAACCGUUGUUGUAACCCAUUUUCGGGUCCCCACAAAAAUAAAAAUAAAAUAAAUAGCCAAAGGAGGUUAGAAAAAUAACGGAAGGCAGAAGCACUCAGAAGAUGGUCAGAAAAUUGGUCAAGGAGUAUAAAAAUACAAAGAUUGGAUUUUUGACAGUAUAUUCUUGAAGGAUGAGGGCCCUGUUUAGAAGGAAAAUUUAAAUUUUGAGGAGAAAAGCUCAAAUUUGGAUGUUUAAGGACUUAAUUGGAUUUUUAAUUGGAUUUAUAGAGGAUUUGAUUGCAAGGAAAAUUGAUUUUUAAGUCAAUUUGGGCUUUAAUUAGAAGAAAUUUAAGUUAUGGGGCCAAAUUAUAUUUUUUAGGAUUGUAUUGGGUCAAAUCAGGGGCUUAAUUGCAUAAAUAUUGAAGUUUAAUGGCCAAUUAGGGACUUAAUUGAGAAAAUCCGAAACCAGGGAUCAAUUUGGAAAAGGCGCGUAAAUAGGGGGGCUGUAUUGGAUUGAUCCGGGGUCAAAUUGAAGAAAUUGAAAACUGGAGGACUAAUUGAAAAAACGGCGCAGGGAAACCAGGCGACACGUCGCAUGUUACUGUUCACUUUCUUCCUUAAAAAGCAGCCUGAGUGGCUGCUUUCCAGGCGCAUUUUCCGGCGCGUGUGGCCUCCAAAUCCGACAAAAAGUGCACCAACAUGUCCACAUGAAACCCGUUUAUCCCGGAGAAUGGUCCGGUGGGGUCGAAAAGGUUAGAAACGGCUCCGUUGAGUGGCUCAAAGUGGCCACCUCGGGCAGUUCACAGCCUGGAGCUGCCAAAUUUGGCAGCUCGAGGUGCACACUUUGAGCCAACGGUUGAGAUGCUUCCCAACUGAAUCAAGGGCUGCAAUUUUUCCCCAACAUAGACAAGAUUGCCCUCUUCCACAGCCUAUAAAUAGAUUCAUAUUUGAUGAUCUGAAAAGGGAGAAAUUCCGGUCCAAAGUCAGCCAAAAACCAGCAUUUUCGCCCAAUUUCUGCAGAUUUUUCUUCUUCUUCUUUCUUCCUCUGCAACAGGAAACCGACCCCGUCUUCCUCCAACUCCACCGCUGCAACCACCGGCUGAACCACCUCAUCACAGCAGCCACAACCCUUUCGGCCAAGUGAGCCCCUCUUCCUUUCCUCCUCCUUCCUCUUCCUUUCCUCCUGUUCUUCUUCUUCCUCCUUACCUACUGUUCAUUGCAUGACGUGAAUUAUAUAUAUAUAUAUAUAUAUAUAUAUGUGUGUGUGUGUGUAUUAUAAUAUUAUAAAAUAAAAAUAAUAAAAAAAAUUCCAAAAUCAUUUUUUGAAAAAAAUGUGAUUUUCUCGCAUCUUUUUCUACCAAUUUUGCAGGAUAUUGGGUUGUUUUGAAUGUUCUUUUUAUAUAAAAAAAAUAUAUUGGAAGUUUUAAAAAUGUGUUUUCGCAUAAAUUUCUUAAACACAAAUUAUUUUCUUGCAUUUCUGGAUUUUACAACAUGUUUGUAAAACUCCAAAGGGUAUUGGCCAAUAUUCCAAAAACUAUAAAAAUCUUAUUUUAGGGGAGGAAUUCAUCUAUUAUUCACCGCUAAUGUUUGGAUAAAAAAAUCCUUAAAGGAUGAAUAUCCAAAAUAUUAUUGGGAGUAAUAAAUCCGCACACAUCCUUAAAAGAAGCCUUGAUUAUAAUCGAGGACAUUUCAAAACUUCAAAUUUUUUACUCCCCGGUUUACGAGCCGUGAAAGUAUGAAAUACUAAGGCAAAAGGAGGCUUUUAAAGCGCUUUGAAUUUCCUUAGAUUUCUAAAUUUUUUGUCCCUCCUUCUUGCGAUUUACGAGUCGCAAACUCUUGAAAUACUAAGGGAAAAAUGAGCUUUCAAAGCACAUGGAAUCUCCUUGGAUUUCUAUCCAAAUAAAUUUUAUUUGAAUCAAACCUAGAAAAAUUGAUGGGAUUAGAAAACACCAACACCAUAGCAAUUAUAGAGCAAACCAAACACCAAGCAGCUUACCUUAGGUAGGGCGUACUAGGGGUGCUAAUACCUUCCUUUUACGCAACCAGUCCCUUACCUUAGAAUCUCUGAAAGACCAGUUAGGGUUCCUAGUGACCAAAAUACUAGGUGGCGACUCCAAAGAACCAAAUCAGCUAAACAAACAAAAAAUCGCCAGCCAUCGCCGCAUUGGAUUUUUUAGCAUACAUCUUUACAUUCUAUCAUACAUGGCAUAGUCAUGCAUCACUGUAUUAUUAUUAUUAUGUUUUGGAGGGCACACACAUGUAACUUUAAGAUUAAGUGGGGGACUAGCAGCUUGCCUUAUGACUUGAGUCAAGGUUUAAGUUUGUGUAAACCCCAACUCUUUGCUGAGUGUUUAGACUGAUUGUGAUUGGUACACGUACCAUCCCACUAUCUGCUAGACCUCCAUAUCGCUUUUAUGAGGGUGAUCACUGGAACAGCAAGAGACCCUCUUUUAGAGACCCAGUAGUAAACCUACCCAAUGUCUCACAUAAAGGAACUAGAGCCUAUCCUUAGGAUGUAUGCUCCAUAAUAUCGUUUUGCAUCCAAACAAGCCUAAGCUCAAAGCAUCUUGAAUCUCAAGACCUUUAUUCAAAAGCUAGCCAAGGGAGAGAUGUUCUAGAAUUGGGAGACCUAAGAAGCUCCAUUGGUGUUCAAAAUUUAAUCGACAAUGCUUGUUUGAUCAUGAUAUUGUGUUGUUUUCCUUUUUCAACUUUUUAAAUCGAGGUUCCAAAUGCCUUUUCAAAAGUUUAUCUUGGUGUUUUUACACAUCAUUUUUCUUUUCAAAACGAAUCUUCCAUAACUACACCUGCACUUUACACUGAGAAUGAAUGGCUGGACUUUAAAGAAUCCAUAUUAGUUGUAGAAGAGGAAGAAUGAUAGGAAAAUAACAUUAGGGGAUUCACAAAAACGAACAACAUGAACAAGCUUGGAAACCCGCUACAAGGUCAUGUCGUUUGGGUUAAAAAACGUUGGGGGCACCUACUAAAGCGCUAUGUUGACUCUAUUUCACGACAUGAUGCAUAAAGAGAUUAAAGUAUACGUGGAUGACAUGACCUAGAGAGGGAGAGAAUCAUGUCCAAAUAUUGAAGGAAUUAGUUGAAAGACUAAGAAAGUACAAGUUGAGGUUUAACCAUGCAAGGUGUUCAUUCGGGGUGAAAUCUAGGAAGUUGUUGGAAUUUAUGAUGAGUGACAAAGGGAUAGAAGUGGACCCUGAUUAAGUAAAGGUUAUUCAACCUAUGCCAACUCCCAAGACUAAGAAGGAUGUAAGGAGGUUCUUGGGAAGGUUGAAUUACAUUGCUCAAUUUAUAUCCCAAUUAACCACGACUUAUGACCUCAUCUUCAAUUGUUAAGGAAGAAGAAUCUUGGAAUUUGGAAUAAGAAUGUGAAGAAGCUUUCACGAAAAUCAAGCAAUACCUACUGAAUCCACCCCUAUCUAUCGAGUUGAAUUGAAAAAUAGCAAGUUCUACUAGCUGAGUACAACAUAGUAUAUAUGACAAGGAAAGCCAUGAAUGUCAUCGCCGAUCACCUAGCUGACCAUGUUGUGAAAGUUUAUGGGCUGUUAAAAUUUAAUUUUUCGGAUAAAGAUAUGCUUUCAGUCGAGGAAAGGAAAUCAGAUUGUUGGAUUAUAUACUUUGAGGGUGAUAUGGUAAUAGAGUGGGGGAAGUGCUAAUCUUUCCUAAUAAGAAACAGUAUCCGAUUUUAGUUAAGUCGCAAUUUGGGUACACUAACAACACAACUGAGUUUGAAGCUUGCAUUCUCGAUUUUAAAGGUUAGAUUAGAGCUAAACAUUAGAAAGAUAGAUGUGUAUUGGAGACUCAAUUUUGAUUAUUUGUCAAGUGAAAGGAAAAGGGCAAACCAAGGACGAGAAGUUGAGACCUUGCCAAGAAUACUUGUCUAAAUGGGCUAGAGAAUUUGUGGAAAUAAAGUUCACCCAUCUAGGAAGGGAAGGAAACCAUUUUGAUGUGUUGGUCACGCCAGCUUCUAUGGCUAGAAUAGACUUUGGGCACAAGGUAUAACCACUACACAUUGAUAUAAGAAAUAACUUAGCUCAUUAUUGCUCAGUUUGAAAGAGAAAUAGAUUGGCACUAUGAUAUCAAGAAUUUCAUCCAAAACCAGACAUAUCCCAUGGGGGCAUCCAAAAAUCCUCAAGAAGACGUUGAGGAGGUUGGCAAUGGAUUUCUAUCUUGAUGGGGAAACUUUGUAUAAGAAAUCAUCUGACGAAACUUUGUUGAGAUGUUUCGAUGACGUGAAAAAAAGUGGUGAAGAAAUUUAUGGAAAGAUAUUUGAGCUAUCGAUAUGGUCCACUAGAAAAAUUAAUAAUGCCCAGAAUUUCAACGGCAAGAUGAUAAUGGAGCUCUGCACUAAAUGGAAAAUCAAGCAUUCCAAUUCUUCGCCAUAUAGACCAAAGAUGAAUGGUGCGGUAGAAGCUGCUAACAAGAAUGUCAAAAAGAUUAUUCAAAAGAUGGUAGUCACCUAUAAGGAUUGGCAUGAGAUGUUGUCAUUUGCCCUUCAUGCAUAUCGCACCGUAGUUCGAACCUUAAUAGGAGCCACCUCGUAAAUGUUGGUAUAUGGAAUGGAGGCGGUGAUGCUUUUAAAAGUGGAAAUCCCCUCAUUAAGAGUAUUGAUAGACUUUGAGCUAGAAGAGUUAGAAUGGGAGAAGGUUAAAUGUGAACAGUUGAAUCUGAUAAGUGAAAAGAGGAUAGCCGCAAUAUGUCAUCAUCAACUUUAUCAAAAAAGGAUGGCCAAAUCAAAAAGAGGAUUCGACCUUGAGGAUUCCACGAAGGAGAUCAUAUAUUGAAGAAAAAUGUUGUCUUUUACCAGGAGAAGAUCAGAGUAAAUGGACGCCAAACAAUGAGGGCCCUUUAGUGGUAAAGAAAGCAUUUUGGGGAGAAGCUUUAUUGUUAUCUAGAAUGGAUGGAGAAGAUCUAGUUAGGCCCGUGAAUUCUGACUCUGUAAGGAAAUAUUACGCUUGAUGUAUUUCAUAAUUUCCCAAUCAAUAAAAUUAAAGUUCGGCCAUGAAUUCUCUUUGUAAAGAACCUCUUUUUUUUCAUAAAACAUAUGAUCUCAUAGCAGUUGAAAUGCUUUUACUAAAAAGAACCUUUUUUUGCGCAUAACCAAGGAGUUGACUCCAUCAAUUGGAGCGAACCAAAUCAAAUCUACUUGACAUAUAGUUGCACAUCACACUAGGGGGCAAAAGGUGCACGAAGUGCACAUAAGGGUCCAUAGUGAACCCAAGCCCAAAAGGGGCAUCAUAAUAAAAACUUCUAAAAAAAGCAUCUUUUAUAAGAUUUGCUAAUUGCAUUAAAAGUUUCAGUUUUCAUGAACAAAACCAAUUUUUUCCUUUUAAAAUAAUAAAGCACAAUACUCAAUGGAGCAAGAAAGGGCCCCAUAAGGAACCAGAGAUCUCUUCACUAAGAGGAUAUGAAGUAUAUUUCGGUUCAUGAGAAAAAAUGGAAACAAGAGCUUGAAGAAGUUUACAACGAAAGGGGGACCUAUGUUUCCAAGAUAGGUAACAAAAACAUACAUGUAUAUUGACCAUAAUGCAUUGCUUUCAAUACUUGUCAGAUCGGUGUUUCAUCACCAUUUCUCAGGUAGUGCGUUUUCUAACCAUACUUCAUUUUGAGUGCGCCUUUGAGCCCUCACCUUUUGGGUAGUGCGUUUUCUAACCCUACCUCUUUUCGAGUGCGCCGUUGAGCCCUCACUUCUCGGGUAGUGCGUUUUCUAACCCUACCUCAUUUCGAGUGCGCCUUUGAGCCCUCACUUCUGGGUAGUGCGUUUUCUAACCCUACCUCUUUUCGAGUGCGCCGUUAAGCCCUCACUUCUCGGGUAGUGCGUUUUCUAACCCUACCUCGUUUCAAGUGCGCCGUUGAGCCCUCACUUCUCGGGUAGUGCGUUUUCUAACCCUACCUCAUUUCGAGUGCGCCUUUGAGCCCUCAUUUCUCGGGUAGUGCGUUUUCUAACCGUACCUCAUUUCGAGUGCGCCUUUGAGCCCUCACUUCUUGGGUAGUGCGUUUUCUAACCCUACCUCUUUUUGAGUGCGCCGUUGAGCCCUCACUUCUCGGGUAGUGCGUUUGUUUUUAACCCUACCUCAUUUCGAGUACGGCUUUGAGCCCUCACUUCUUGGGUAGUGCGUUUUCUAACCCUACCUCUUUUCGAGUGCGCCGUUUGAGCCCUCACCUCUUGGGUAGUGUGUUUUCUAACCCUACCUCAUUUCAAGGGCGCCUGUGAGCCCUCACCCACAUUUCUCUAGGUAGGUCACCCAUUACAACGCGACCACUUCUCCAUGUUUUUACUUGGGUAGGUCACCCAUUACAAUAAGGCCAUUCUUCCAUUUGGGUAGGUGGUCAUUACAAUGAGACCACUCUUUCCUUUUUUCUUUGGGUAGGUCACCCAUCACAAUGAGACCAUUAUUUUUUCUGGGUAGGUCACCCAUAAGAAUGAGACCAUUCUCCAUCUUUUUUUACCUGGGUAGGUCACCCAUAAGAAUGAGGCCAUUCCUCCCCCUGGGUAGGUCACCAAAGAAUGAGACCACUCUUCCUUUUUCCAUUUGGGUAGGUCACCAAUAAGAAUGAGACCAUUCUCCAUCUUUUUUUACCUGGGUAGGUCACCCAUAAUAAUGAGGCCAUUCUCCUCCCUGGGUAGGUCACCCAAAGAAUGAGAUCACUCUUUCCCUUUUCCACUCGGGCUGGUCACCCAUCAUAAUGAGACCACACACGCAUUUUUGUUUUGGUUGUGGAAUCGCCAAAUGAGAUUCCAAGUUUGAGAUCGCCAGAAGGGAUCUUGUAUUUUGAUAUUGGUCAAAGGAGGUCGUCAGAAGGGACCUCAUAUUUUAGCCUUGGUUAAAAGGAAUUGCCAGAUAGGAUUUCAAGUUUUUUGGUUAAAGGAGAUCGCCAUAAGGGAUCUCGAGAUGACUAAAUUUGGAUCAUAGUUUUUUGGGUUGAGGAGGAUUGCGGUUAAGACAAAGUUUUAGAGCGAUCAAGCUCCAACCAGAUCAGUUUCGGGAGUUCAGUUGUGGUUUAUCUUUAUAAAUCUUACUGCGCAAAACCCCUGCUCCGUAAGCUUUAUAAAGAGGGGGCAUCUAUUGUAACCCAUUUUCGGGUCCCCACAAAAAUAAAAAUAAAAUAAAUAGCCAAAGGAGGUUAGAAAAAUAACGGAAGGCAGAAGCACUCAGAAGAUGGUCAGAAAAUUGGUCAAGGAGUAUAAAAAUACAAAGAUUGGAUUUUUGACAGUAUAUUCUUGAAGGAUGAGGGCCCUGUUUAGAAGGAAAAUUUAAAUUUUGAGGAGAAAAGCCCAAAUUUGGAUGUUUAAGGACUUAAUUGGAUUUUUAAUUGGAUUUAUAGAGGAUUUGAUUGCAAGGAAAAUUGAUUUUUAAGUCAAUUUGGGCUUUAAUUAGAAGAAAUUUAAGUUAUGGGGCCAAAUUAUAUUUUUUAGGAUUGUAUUGGGUCAAAUCAGGGGCUUAAUUGCAUAAAUAUUGAAGUUUAAUGGCCAAUUAGGGACUUAAUUGAGAAAAUCCGAAACCAGGGAUCAAUUUGGAAAAGGCGCGUAAAUAGGGGGGCUAUAUUGGAUUGAUCCGGGGUCAAAUUGAAGAAAUUGAAAACUGGAGGACUAAUUGAAAAAACGGCGCAGGGAAACCAGGCGACACGUCGCAUGUUACUGUUCACUUUCUUCCUUAAAAAGCAGCCUGAGUGGCUGCUUUCCAGGCGCAUUUUCCGGCGCGUGUGGCCUCCAAAUCCGACAAAAAGUGCACCAACAUGUCCACAUGAAACCCCUUUAUCCUGGAGAAUGGUCCGGUGGGGUCGAAAAGGUUAGAAACGGCUCCGUUGAGUGGCUCAAAGUGGCCACCUCGGGCAGUUCACAGCCUGGAGCUGCCAAAUUUGGCAGCUCGAGGUGCACACUUUGAGCCAACGGUUGAGAUGCUUCCCAACUGAAUCAAGGGCUGCAAUUUAUCCCCAACAUAGACAAGAUUGCCCUCUUCCACAGCCUAUAAAUAGAUUCAUAUUUGAUGAUCUGAAAAGGGAGAAAUUCCGGUCCAAAGUCAGCCAAAAACCAGCAUUUUCGCCCAAUUUCUGCAGAUUUUUCUUCUUCUUCUUUCUUCCUCUGCAACAGGAAACCGACCCCGUCUUCCUCCAACUCCACCGCUGCAACCACCGGCUGAACCACCUCAUCACAGCAGCCACAACCCUUUCGGCCAUGUGAGCCCCUCUUCCUUUCCUCCUCCUUCCUCUUCCUUUCCUCCUGUUCUUCUUCUUCCUCCUUACCUACUGUUCAUUGCAUGACGUGAAUUAUAUAUAUAUAUAUAUAUAUAUAUAUAUAUAUAUAUAUAUAUAUAUGUGUGUGUGUGUGUGUAUUAUAAUAUUAUAAAAUAAAAAUAAUAAAAAAAAUUCCAAAAUCAUUUUUAAAAAAAAUGUGAUUUUCUCGCAUCUUUUUCUACCAAUUUUGCAGGAUAUUGGGUUGUUUUGAAUGUUCUUUUUAUAUAAAACAAAUAUAUUGGAAGUUUUAAAAAUGUGUUUUCGCAUAAAUUUCUUAAACACAAAUUAUUUUCUUGCAUUUCUGGAUUUUACAACAUGUUUGUAAAACUCCAAAGGGUAUUGGCCAAUAUUCCAAAAACUAUAAAAAUCUUUAUUUUAGGGGAGGAAUUCAUCUAUUAUUCACCGCUAAUGUUUGGAUAAAAAAAUCCUUAAAGGAUGAAUAUCCAAAAUAUUAUUGGGAGUAAUAAAUCCGCACACAUCCUUAAAAGAAGCCUUGAUUAUAAUCGAGGACAUUUCAAAACUUCAAAUUUUUUACUCCCGGGAUUACGAGCCGUGAAAGUAUGAAAUACUAAGGCAAAAGGAGGCUUUUAAAGCCCUUUGAAUUUCCUUAGAUUUCUAAAUUUUUUAUCCCUCCUUCUUGCGAUUUACGAGUCGCAAACUCUUGAAAUACUAAGGGAAAAAUGAGCUUUCAAAGCACAUGGAAUCUCCUUGGAUUUCUAUCCAAAUAAAUUUUAUUUGAAUCAAACCUAGAAAAAUUGAUGGGAUUAGAAAACACCAACACCAUAGCAAUUAUAGAGAAAACCAAACACCAAGCAGCUUACCUUAGGUAGGGCGUACUAGGGGUGCUAAUACCUUCCUUUUACACAACCAGUCCCUUACCUUAGAAUCUCUGAAAGACCAGUUAGGGUUCCUAGUGACCAAAAUACUAGGUGGCGACUCCAAAGAACCAAAUCAGCAAAACAAACAAAAAAUCGCCAACCGUCGCCGCAUUGGAUUUUUUAGAGGUGCGACAACCGUGAUCCGAUCAAAAUAUUAAAUUCUUCUUUAAUAUAUUUGCAAUUUUAUCAUUAAAAAAUAUAUACAAAUAAAUCAAACAAAAUACAAGCACACACAUACACUUUCACUAUUUUAUUUUUGUUUCUUUUCUUUUCUUUUCUUUUUCUUUUACAUCCAUAUUUACUAGAUACAAAUAAAAAUUCAAUACUAAAUAAAAAAAAAAUUGCAUCAAACAAAAUUACAUUAAAAUUACAAUAACAGCCCUAAAACAAUCUGGAAUUCACAGGAACAACUUCUGCACCACUGAAACAGUGCUGGGAGCAUUUUUAGGGCAACUGAAAGGUGGUGGCACGUCUGCUCCACGCGCCGCCACCACUGGCGGCGCGUGGGCUCACGCGCCGCCGGAAAAAAACAACGCAGCAGGGGAGAUCCUCCCUUCUUCCUCUCUGGCGGUGAAUACUACCUUUACCUGCAACAAGAAACCCAAAAAAAAGGACACAAACAGUUGAUUUUAGAUUUUAUUUCCGUUUUCUUUAAAUCUGCUUCGUUUUUUUCUUUUUAUCAGAUCAGCUUCUCCUUUUCUUCUUCUCGGUUUUGGAUCUGUUUCUUCUACAGAUCGGUCUGUUAUGGGUUCCUUCUUCUUCUCCGGUGGCAGAUCGGUCGGUAUGGACGUUGGUAAGUUUGCAUUUUGCAGGAAAGGUUGUAUUUGUAUUGCCUAUUUACCUUCCUGCAAAAACAUAACUGAUAAAUUGUCCAUCGCAUAAAACAAUAACAACAUUGCUUAAACAAUAAAUAUUUUGUUUUACAAAAUACAUCAUCCAUAAUGUAAAUUACAUGAAGAAAAGGGUUUUACACAGUGCUUCAUUUUGAUAGUUACUCAGAAUUAUCUUCUUCUUCGUCAUCUAUUGAAUAGUCAUCACCUUCAUCGCAAUCUUCAAUAUGGAUAUCAUCUUCUUCAUCGACAUUUGCUUGUCCGCUAGAGCUCAAAACAACGUUCAACUCCUCUACGUCAACAUCAACAAGACUAUGAUCGGAAACACAAAAAUUUGAAUUUUCCUCCAAUUCAAUCGAAGGAGCAACUCGAUAUGGUUCAACCAACUCACUAACUUAAAAGACUUUAUCCCGCACACUUGUUUCUUCGUUCUUAUCCUGAACAACCUCGACAUGACCCCGUGGUUUUGUUUUUAAAACGGACAACCAAUCAACUCUUGAUCGAUCAUUUCUAAAUGAAGGGGUGUAUGUGUAAUAAACUUGUUGACAUUGCUUUGCGAAAACAAAGACAUCGUUUAUGUUGCGGAGUCUAGCUUUUGAGUUAAUUUCGACCAGACCAUGGUGCGUAUCAACUCUGAUUCCUCUGUCCGUAGUGUUAUACCAAUAGCAUUUGAAUAAAAACACUGUAUUCUGCUCGCUAUGAUAUUGGAGUUCGACAACCUCUUCUAAUCUACCAUAGUAGUCAACUUCUAACUCACUACUUGUGGAUCCUUUAACACAAACACCGCAGUUGUAUGUCUUUCUUCCUUACCCGUAUUCUUCAGUAUGGAAAACAUAUCCAUUGACAAAAUGCCCGUUGUAGCACUUAACUUUUCUUUCAGGCCCGAGGCUUAGUGAAGACAAUGACUUAGACGCACUUCUUCCCCUUUGAUAAACCUUGUAUACAUGUAUUGUACAUCAAUAAACGGUAAAUGAACGAGAAUCUCGUAAUGGCAUGCAUACGUACAGUAAUUUUGCAAGUUAGAAUGAGUUUGUGAUAGUGCUUACAUGUGUUAUGAACCAUGUGGCAAAUUGUUCAUCUUGUAAUUGAAAGAUCUGGGAGUCGGUCACCUGCGAGUUAUUGGAGAGCAAAUAUUGUCGAUGUUGCCUGCAAGUGAUAAUGAGUGUAUGAUUUCACAAUAUAUAAUUAACAGUGUCGCACCCAAAAAAAAAUCGGGCGCGCCGCAUCGGCUGGCGAUUUAAGUCUCGUUUUUGUUGUUUGCUUGAAUUUGGUUCGUUGGAGUCGCCACCUAGUAAUUGAUUGCGGGCUACUAGGAAACCGGAUGUACUGGUCUUGUCAGAGAUUCGCAAGUAAGGGACUGGUUGUGGUUAGGGAAGGUAUUAGCACCCCUAACGCACCCUACCUGAGGUAAGCUGCUUCGUGAAUUUGAUGUGUUAAAGAAGUUUUAAUAAUUGUCUUUUCAUCGGAAAUUAGAAAUAUCACUUACGUAUAAGUUAAUAAUUCUUAACCGUGAUCCGAUCAAAAUAUUAAAUUCUUCUUUAAUAUAUUUGCAAUUUUAUCAUUAAAAAAUAUAUACAAAUAAAUAAAACAAAAUACAAGCACACACAUACACUUUCACUAUUUUAUUUUAUGAAGCUGUUGUUCGGUGGCCGGUUGAAGGCAGUGGAGCGAGCGAAAGUGUUUCCCCAGCGCUGCUGUUCGGCCGUCGCUGAGGAAGGAAACCGAAGGGGAAGCAGCCGUGGCUGAGGAGGGUGUGGGGGAGUGAGCGGUUGUGCAAGGGCUGAGCCCUUGACUGGCGAAAAGAAAGAAAAAAAAUCUGAUGACUGAGGGGGUGGCGGCCGGUUCUCUUGAGGAAGAAGAAAAGGAUGGUGGCCGGCAGAAAGAAGAAGAGCUUGUGUCUGUUUUGGGAGAGGAUGAAAGUCAGAUCGGGUUGUUGCUGUUUUGGGUGGAGGUUCAGAUGGCUGGGAAAAAAUCAAAAACAGUGGGGGGCCGGCGGCUGGAGUGGUUAGGGUUGGGAAGAGGAAGAAAAAAAAAAGAAAAAAAAAAUAUAUAUAUAUAUACCCCGAGGAAGGGGGCUGCGCCGAUUGAGUGAGAAGAGAAAAAAAAAUUUAAAAGGUGAGGGGGGGGGCUGGCUUGGUUCAGCGGCUGCAAGGGGGGGAAAAUCUUUUAGGUUUAGGGUUUUUUUGUUCUUGUAUUGUCUCUCCCCCAAUUUCAAAAUUGCCCCCCUAUUGAAUGUGUUGAAGACCAGUAUUUAUAGGCAGAAUGUUGCUAGGUUUUUCAACUUAGUCCCUCAACUUCUUUCUUUUUUUGUAAAUUUUGAUUUUUCUUAUUUUUAUGUAUUUUUUUAAAACGAGCAAUAUCAACGUCGACUCAAUGAGGAAAAUCAAUGAUUUUAAAAAUGACGCGUGAAAAGUCGAACGCGUUCGAAAGUCUUUUGAAAAUUUAAAUUCUUUUUUAGACGACGCUGAAAAUGCUAAAAUGACGAGAAAAUAUUAAAAAAACAUAUUUUUUGGAUUUUCAUUGUUUUUCUCUAUUUUUGGAUUUUUUGAAAAUAUAUAAAAAACAUGUGUCAAAAAAUGGGUAACAACAAACAGUAUAUUACUAACAAAGUUUAAUUAGUAUUACACACAUAUAGAGUUACUGAAUAAAUGGUCUCAGCUCAUCACAAUUAAAUAGAACAUAGUUGUGUGCUUAUUUGAAUUCUAUUUCCGAUAAAUAUCUUCCUCUUAUGGUAUUUUUAGGUGUGGGUCGUCCAGUAUUGAAGAAUAUUAACAAGUUCCCACUGGAAGCCUCUCAAUAUGCUCAACAUUCAACUUGCUGGAGCAUAUAUCUCUAAAGAAAUGAUUGAUCUCCAUCAGUGCAUCUCAUAUUCCCUUUGACAACAAAUCACAAAAAGCUAAUGGGAUAAGUGUUUGCAUAAACACGUGGCAAUCAUGACUCUUCAUUCCAUACAAUAUGCAAUCCUCUAUGUUAACAAGCCUUGAUAUGUUCGAUGCAUGUCCAUCCGGAAAACGCAGACUCUUAAGCUAUUUGUAGACUAGCAGUUGUGCGUUUUUCUCUAACACGAAGCUUGCCCUUGGUUUUGCGACCCGUGACUCCUCAUAAACCAACUCCAUAUUUUUACAGUUACAGUAUAAAGCUAUAUCCAAUCUAGACUUGAUGUUGUCCUUUGUCUUCCCCUUCACAUCCAUGACGGUGUUGAAAAUAUUCUCAAACACGUUCUUUUCGAUGUGCAUGACGUCAAGGUUAUGGCGGAGAAGAUUGGUCUUCCAAUAAGGAAGCUCCCAAAAGAUACUUCGCUUUACCCAAUUAUGGGUCAAACCAAAACCAGGAAACUUUUGCUUACCUGAUUGAAGGCCAAACACAAUGUCACCGUACUCUGAUACAACAUGAUGCAAUUCUUCACCAGAAAGACGCGGGGAUGCAACAUCUUUUUCAACUCUGCCAACAAAGAAAUCUUUUAUGUUCUUUCUGAACCUGUGAUUAAGUGGCAAGAAGCGACGGUGACAGUCAAAAAAAGAAGCUUUACCUCCGUUUGCUAGCGUGAAUGCCUUGUUGUUUUCCAUGCAGUAUGGACAUGCGAGUUUCCCAUGUGUGCUCCAACCAGAAAGCAUUCCAUAAGCUGGAAAAUCAUUGAUAGUCCACAUGAAAGCCGCCCUCAUAAGGAAAUUUUGUUUCCUCGAUAUAUCAUAAGUCAGAGCUCCGGAGGACCACAACUGCGCCAGCUCAUCAAUCAACGGUCGAAAACAAACAUCUAUAUUCCGCCCCGGCCUGCUUGGACCGGGUAUGACAGUAGAUAAAAACAUGAACUCCGACCGCAUACACAUUCUCGGUGGCAAGUUAUAAACUGUGAGUAUGACCGGCCAAUAAGAAUAGGGAGCAGCAAAUGACCCAAAUGGGUUGAAUCCGUCUGUACACAACCCAAGACGGACAUUCCUUGAUUCAGCUGAAAAGUCAGGAUGAACACUGUUAAAGCGUUUCCACGCUUCACCGUCAGAAGGAUGCACCAUCACACCAUCAACCGCAUCAUGUGUUUGGUGCCAUGUCAUGUGCUCAGCAGUCCUUCGUGACAUGAAUAACCUCUGCAGUCUAGGUGUGAUCGGGAAAUAUCUAAGUUUUUUAUACGCCACUAGAGUCUUUCCCCUGCCAGUUCUGGGUUUGUAACGCGAAUGCCCGCAUGUCAUGCACUCGGUCAUCUCAGCAUUUUCAAGGUAGUAUAACAUGCAGAAGUUAGGGCACAUGUCAAUUUUCUGGUAUCCUAAACCGAGGGGUUUCAUCAUGGACUUCGCAGCAUAGAAGUUCUCUUUGAGCCUGUUCCCUUCAGGUAAAAUGCUUCUUGCCCAAUCAAUAAUUUUGUCAUACCCGGCCUCACUCAGCCGUGAUCUGACUUGAUGGUGAACACCUGUGUCACGGCCGACAAUUUACUGUGGUUUGUGCAGCCAUCCCAUAAUGGUUCGUCAGAAUCUUUCAACAAAUCAAAAAACCUAGCUGCCUCUGCAUUAGGUUCUUCUUCUACGAUUGGACAUUGACUGACAUUACCUUGAUUCAUUCUCAUUGCAUCCAUAACCAUGUUUCUGUAAGGAUUAGUGUUGUCAUUUGCCGCUUCAUGCACGUUGCUAGCACUAGAAGUUGACCCAACCACCGUUUCUCCAUUCUCCUAUUACUAACAAAUACCUCUCCAUGUGCAUACCAACACUCGUAAUCCUCCACAAACCCUUUGUGUAGAAGAUGCAUCAUUACAACAUCUGGAUGCAGAUACUUUUUAUUUUGACACUUCCUGCAUGGACACCUAAUACCGCCUCCAGUAAAAUUUCUGGGAAUAGAUGUUGCGAAAUUAAUAAAACCCUGAACCCCGUUACAAUAAUCCAUCCUCCGCAAUCCUUGGGGUGAAUCUAGAUACAUCCAUGAACGAUCAUCCAUGACUUCUAUCGAACCUCUAUAAAAUUAUGAUGACAUCAUGUAUAUAUUAAUUAACUAAGUUAGGUAAAUAAACUUGUAAAUAUAUUACUUUACCUCGAGAUUAUCCAACAAACCAAUCACAACUUCUCAUAAAUAUUAAAUAUUCAUUAUCAUUUAUCAACGUCCAUACAAAUUAAUAUUAUAUUAUAUAUAUUAACAGAAAUUACCACUCUGCAAUACCAUCGAUAAAACUUAAAAAGGACCCAUUAAGAAGCUAUUAAUUAUUUCAAAACAUAACAUGUAAUUCGGUAAUUCCACAAAGUUUUAACAUUUACAAACAAAUACAAUCUUACAAAAUCUAAAACAAACCAUAACAGGUAUAAAAAUUAUACAUUCAUAAACUACAAGUUUGUUUGAGAAAUAACAAUAAAACAUGUACAUCUACUAAUAAAAAUACAUAUACUAAACAAAUAAUAAAAUUGACAUUUAAAUGUUAAAAUUUUAAAAGAUAGAAUUACUUAUAAAAAUUGAUAAAAUCUGUCGGUAAAUCAGAACAUGAAUGCUGUGACCACAAAACUUCAAGAAAUACAACUGCUGAGAUGAGAAAGAUUUUUGUUUGGGGGCGAGGGGGGGCUGGUUAUUUGCAGAUGGGGAGACUUAGGAUUAGGAAGAAGAAGGAGAAAUGGGAGAGGAGAGUGUCGGCAGGGCGGCCAUAUAUUCACUUUUUUCGACGGACUCACCGACGAAAUAACACCGUCGGUGACUUCGUCGUUAAUUGUGACGGGGAAUCGACACGUCACCGCACGGACCUGCUUUUUCAAAUCCCUCGGUGAUUCUGUUUGUAUUUUUUUACGGUGCUCCUGUCACGUCACCCGUACGAAUCUGGCAUUCAAAUCCGUCGGUGAUUCCGUCGGUAUUUUUUACGGUGAACCGGUCACGUCACCCGUACGGGUCCCAGGUUUUGAAUCCGUCGGUGAUUCUGUCGUAAAAAUCACCCGCCAAAACCUCCACCUCAGGUACCUGCCCUUUUCUAAUUAAUUCUGAACUUUCCGUCCGUAAUUCGGUCGGUAAUUACCGACGGUUCGAAUCCGUCGAUAAUUACCGACCGAAUUACAGACGGAAAUAUUCCGUCAGUAAUUUUGACCGAAAAAUACCGACAGAAAUAUGCCGUCGGGGAUUCCAUCGAUAUUUAGCGAGUUUCUGGUAGUUUAUGAGUAUCAUGUGCUCUUUACCUUUGCCUCAUGGAGUCUAUUUGUUCUCCUUCUUAUUUACAAGGAAACAAAUAUAGAUAAAAGGUUGAUUGGAGUAGACAUUACUCACUCUUUCCACUUGAUUCCUAUCUUUAUCAUAGACUUAAUCAAAUGUGUGAAGGUGAAAUGUUGAUCAUCUCGUACAUGAUUUUUAAUGCUUGUCAUUUCUCUGUCUUCCUGAUUUACUGCACUUGUCUUGUAUAUAGGUACUUUAAACUAUUUGAUCAAUAUGGUUGGAACAAAAUUCACUAAGCUACGAGACUAAAUUCAUUUGGUUUUGACGGAGUAGUUAAAAAUGAAGAAGAAUUAUGGAGGGGAGGUGGUUCUAAAAAACAGAAACAGAAAAGACCGAGGCAAGUUGGCAAAUGGCAGGUCCUAAAACGAGAAGCCAAAAGGUGAGGCUUGAACGCAGCGCCACUGCUGUAGAGGCUAUAUAUGUUUACGAUGAUGUAAAAAAAUAUUUAUAUCUUAAGCUGUUCUUCGGUAAUAAAGUUGCCUGGCGAAUGCAAGUAAAUGUAUAGAAACUCUUAUUUUUGUCGGGUUUUUUCUUCCUCUAGUCCUUUCAAUUUUUUCCCUACUAAUAAAUACACCUGACAGAGCAGUCAUUAAAGAGGUCGGUCCAGCAUAUGGAACCAUUAAUGGCGGCAAAACUUCAGCCGCUACCUGUGAUUCAUCCCACCAGUUCUGUUCAAAGUUAUCUUGGAAAAUGGAACAAAACAUGAUCUUUACAAAGUUUUCCCAUUGAACUGGGCCGAUGAGUAAUACAGCAACAAAACAAUCAGGAAUGAGAUUCGAAAUUUCCAGUGUACAUACAGAUCCGUCUGAUAAACUUGAAAUUUGCAGUUUUAUAUAAAAAAUAAUUAAGCCUCUCCCUCUCAGAACUUGGAAGAAAAAAAAAACUGUAGUCACGCUGAGUUAAAUUUCAAAUAAAUAGCAGAAACCCAACAUCACAGCAGUGAGAGAGCCAGUGCAUCGUUUCCUCAUGUCAAGGACUCUUUGAGAACCCCAUAUGAUCUGGGGUACAUGAUUAGAGCUUUGGUUCUGAGCUUAUCUCAUAACUGCUGUUCUCAGAUAUAGAUGAAGAGCUUAAAGUUUGAAUAGAGGUUGACUUUUGUGUUUGUCUCCCACUGAAUCUAUGACUUUGCUCGUGCUGACGGAGGUCUCUCAUGGCUUUGAACCUCAGAUCUUCAGUAUAUGAACUCAGUUCUGGAAGCGUGUCAGGAACAGCCAUUCGUCCUUCAAGCAUGCUCACUACCUCAGACAUUGUAGGUCUAAUUGUAGGGGACGCAUUUGUACACAAGAGAGCUACUUUAACCAUAGUUUCUGCUUCUUCUAUGUUAACUCCAGAUCCUAACGUCUCAUCAACAAGCUCUAUAAAACUCCCACUUUGUUGCGAAUGGCAGGCCUGCGAUGAAGUAAUUUAAAACUUCAACACUAAGACUUGCAACCAACAAUAUGAGUGCGCAACGUAUCAAGCACAGAAAGAAGAUUACCCAAUCUAAGAGACAAACACAACUGCUGUUGCUUGGCAUGUAGUUAUUGUUGUUCUUCCCACUAAUAAUUUCCAAAGCAACAACCCCAAAACUGUAAACAUCUGCUUUGUCAGUCAAGUAACCCCAUAGUGCAUAUUCUGGUGCCAUAUACCCUCUGCAUGUCAAGAUAAAGAACACUUGUAAUUUAACAUUGAAAAGUAAUACCAAAAAUCGCAGCUUUUAUUAAAGCAUGUGGUGACUAACAUGGUUCCAGCAACUCGGGUGCUGAUGUGGCUCUUCUCUUCUUCAUCAAGCCUAGCCAAUCCAAAAUCAGAUAUUUUAGGAUUCAGAUUCUCAUCAAGUAGCACAUUUGUAGCUUUGAUGUCUCUGUGAACGAUCUUAAGUCUUGAUUCUUCAUGGAGAAAAGCUAGACCUCUAGCUAUCCCAAUACAGACCUUAAGCCUUGUAGGCCAAUCCAGAUUAAGCUGAAUGUUUUCAUGACCUACAAAUCAUCCGAUAAGAAAACAGUGUUAUCAUAUGAUCAUUUGAAUUAGCAUUAUAAUAUUUUAGGUGAAUAUUCUCAUUUAAUAUUGAUGAACACUCACGAAACAGAGCGCGUGCAAGGCUAUUAUUUUCCAUGUACUCAUAAACCAAUAAUAACUGGUCACUUUCAAUGAACAUCCAUGCAGCUUGACAAGAUUCGUAUGCUGCAAACAUGAAAUCAUGCCCAUCUCAUUUAAGAAUUCACGAUUUCCUUGCCGUGAUUUUGAUGAAAGUUGCUUCACUGCUAUAACAGUACCAUCAGGUAAUUGACCCUGCACGCUGAUCUCUGUUAAGAAUUUCACAUAGUUGUGACAUAAAAGAGAGAGAGGAGGGGGCAGAGGAUACUCCAAACAGGAUAGUUGAGAUCUUUUGCAAAGUACCUUGUAUACAGGACCAAAACCACCUUCUCCAAUCUUAUUAGAAGCAUCAAAGUCAUUAGUGGCAGCUCUAAUUUGCUUCAGAGAAAAUGUUCCCUUCGGAAAAUCAAGUUCUUUAACAUCUGUUCAAGUAGGAGACAGGACAUAAAGUGCCAACGAAUUGUCAGUCUUUUGAUAUAUUUACGAGUCAAAAUCAGUUCUGGAGAAAAGUAGACCAUGAAACUCUAUUGAAAAGAGGCAUUUUUCAUUCUCCAACAUAAGCAUGUCUACCCUGAACUUUCCUCCUCCUCAGGAAAGCACCCUUACUACAUACAAUGUCAAUCAAACUUGUACAAUUAAUAAUUGUGUGUAAUCAUCUUGAGGUGAAAUAUCGCAGCCACUUGUAUCAGAAUAAAAGAUAAGCCCAUGAAACUUGAUGCUUCUUUUGCUUUUCUUUUCCCUAAAUGUCCAUGCAUAAUUUUAGCAAAGAAAUCUCAAGUGGUUUCCAUCUAGUUCAUAAUCUCAUACUAGAAACAAAACCAAAUCCAUAGGAUGUUGUUUGAGGCUGCAGUGUUUGGGCAGCUAUGCAAGUUAUACCUUCUUACACAAACAUGGGUAAAUAAUAUUAGACUACUGUUGUCCAGAAUCAGAGUAUCCCUGGUGUUUCACAGAACUCAGUGGGGAAUUCAAUGGGACAAGGGAUUCCGUCCACUAUGUUUGUCAAUUCUCAGAGGCAAAUGCCAGGUAAUGCUCUUUUUGGUAGCUUUAUGUGCCACUGCUUCCCCUUAUGGCAUUAGAAAUGCCACUGGUAUUGGAACUAUUGCAAUCACACAAUGCCCUACAGUGCGGUGCACCAACUGUUCACCUCUCAUAAUGGUUCAAGUCAGCAAUACUCUUUUAGGUAGCUUUAUGUGCCACUGCUGCCACUUGCGGCAUUAGUAAUGCCACUGCUAUUGAAACCAUUGCAAUCACACACGCAUUUGUUACCACAUCAUACCCUCCAGUGCAUUGCACCAGCUGUUCACCCUCUGAUUCUGCAUUUAUAUGAUUACAUUACAUUUAGAUGAAGUUCCUAAUACAAAAAGGACUUGUAUUCCUAUAUAGGAAAAUACUAAUAGUCCUAUCUAGAAUAGGAAAAACCUAAUGAAGCUCGCUAUACUUUGGGAAUAAUUAAAUACUAAAUGGAAAAUAAAACUGAGACUUGCAAUAUUUCAUAAUUUUCAGCAAGUGUUAAAAUUACAGAAAUACCCUUGUAUAUGGAAAACACACAAAAAUACAUGAAUUCAAACAUUUUGUUGUCUGCAUUGAAAUUUUUGUAGCAUCCCUAGAUUCUACAGCACAGACUGGACAUGCAAAAGGCGCUGAUUGGCAAGAGGAGAUCUAUCAGAAGGUAAUUUCUUUGAUUUACUGUUCAUUAGAUGGAGUUCAUGUAUGCCAUAGUCUUGCAAGAUUUCAAUGGAAAAAGGUCUCAAGAAAAUAAGUGGGGAUUAUUCCAUUGAAUCAUGACCAUAUCCAGUAUUGUUGAAUUUUAUAGAAAAUGAGGUUGAAAUUCUGAAUGUCUCAAGUCACAGCUGCAUGUUUGACAAGGACAAUUUUAUUUUUUUGUGCUUAGGAGACCAAUAUUUGCUGAGCAAUUCUAUAAUGAAAAGUUGGUUACUGAUGUUUUAGAAACUGGAGUUAAGGAAUGGCUUAGAGUGCAUGGAGAUCAUGUUAAAAGUGAAGCUGUAGAGAAGGCAAUCACUCAAAUUAUGAUGGGUGAAGAAGCAGAGGAAAUGAGUAGCAGAGCAAAGAAACGGCCAGGAAGGCUGUUGAAGAAGGUGGAUCUUCUUGCUCCGAUUUCAAUGCUUUGAUUGAAUAACUGAGGUGGGGUCGCCCUUAAAACAAAGGCAUAGAAUAUUUUAUUAGACUACUAACACAAACAUGGGUAAAUAAUAUAUAUGGCGUUACCUCUUUUCCUGCGCAAUUUUCCUGACAAGUUUCCUUUCCACCAAAGAAUUACCAGUAUAAUGGCAACCAGGCAUGAUGCUCCAACAGCUCCAACAACCACAUAAACAGUUACCUUCUUUUUCCCACUAGAACAAACAUUCAAAUCUGCCCAUUAAACAGAAAAAUUAGUCACAAUCACACACACAGAUUGGAUAUUUAAACUAAAAUAUGACACUUCCUUAAAUUACACGAGUUUCUCUGUAAUGAUUUACCCAAAUGGGACUUAGAUGCCAGAAUCUGAAUAAUACUCUCUUGAGGUACCAAACUAUUUUAUCAUAAUAUUGGAGAACUUAUGUUCUUAUGUUCUUCUUUAAUUCAUCCAGCAUUAAUUAACAACGUAAAUAAUUGAUGAUUUCUAUUGAUUUUAAAAGCUACAAGGACAUGGCCUGGUAUAUCUGAUCCUAGGAUACCAAGUUUGUGCUGAGAAAGAAAAUCUGGAUAGGGUUUAAAGAUACAGAUAUAAAUUGCAGGUUUAACUCCAAAGAUAUUCAGUUAAAAUCCUGCUUAGCAUCUGAUAUAUAAUGUAUUUUUUUCCCCUAAAAACUAUGUAUGAACAUGACAUGGUUUACAUGAUUAGCAGCAUAUUCUGUUAACGCAGGUUCCACCAUUGCAAAGAUGUUUUUAGUCUUACGGGGGUGAGUUUUUAUAAGGGAUACUUGUUCGAAAAGAAGGACAGAGUGUUGUAGCUAAUUUAUAAGAACAAAGCUAAAAAACAAAAAGAAAAAUAAGAUAAAUGAUAUUUUAUUAAGAGUUUUAUGUAAAGAUAUACCUUUUUAGCUCUUCUCUAUAUCUAUUAUUCAAAGGAAAUCAUAAUCUAACAAGGAUUCUAAUAAACUAGAGUAUUACAACUCUUUCUUCAUCAAGAUUCCUAUAUUAACUAGAAUUCCUAUUUUAGCUAAUAUUAAAACUUUCAUUAAUUUCAAAUUCUAUUAAUCUAAAUCUUAGUUGAUAAUAAACUUCAACAAUAUUUACCUGCCUUCAUUUAAGAAAUCCCUUUAAAAUAUUCCAGAAGGGAAUUUUUGAAAUUUUAUCCAUGGGAACUCAUUUCAUCCUAGAUUUCUGCUAAGCAUAUAGACACCUCUUUUACGUUGUAUCAGUUGUGGUUCUUUUCCUUGGAACAAGAUUAUUGAACUUGGUAUGACAACUAUUAGAUUGGAUCUCCAACAACAUGAAAUACUAAAAAUAUCGCUAUCCAGAGUGUAUAAGAGGAGCCUUACAAGUUAUUCUUGAUGAAUGAACUCCUGUACGUGUUUAUAGAUUCAAAUCAUUAAGUUUCACAGGAACCAGGAGUAUCCCAAAUUUAAGAAAAUAGAUAUCCUUACUGGUUAUCUUGACAGCUUGGCAGCAAUGAAAAGUUAUUGUAGGAAACGUCACUGCAAGAAGCCAAGGGAAUCAUAAAUAUGAAUAUGAACCUCAACAAAAUUAAGAAUAAUAAGUGGAACAAAUGAAAUGCUAAGCAAGAUUAAAAAAAAAAAAAAAAACCCACAUAUUUUCAGAAACUAGGCUUUCGUUGAGGCCCUACCGGGAUAGAUAAAAAUGCCUAUGGCAUGAAUAUAUAUAUGUAGCCUUAGAGUAUCAAGAUUCACUCAGAAGACAACUUUAAAAAUAUUAAUGGUUGAUCAAUCAUCAGCGCAGUUAUAUCUUUACAAGAGAGCAGAGAAGUUGAACAGAAUAUCUAAACUAAAAUAACUGAAACCUGUGAUACAUUUCAGAAACAUACAUUUUUUUGCGGCCUGUUUUGAAAAAUGAGUGUCACACGUCACCCGCACAGCGGCAUAUGGCUAUUUUUCAUUUGUUUUGCUGAUUUUGUUCUUUGGAGUUGCCACCUAGUAUUUUGAUUAUUAGGAACCCUAACUGGUCUUUCAGAAAUUCUCAGGCAAGGGACUGGUUGCGUAAGGAAAGGUAUUAGCACUCCUAGUACACCCUACCUAAAAUAAAAAAAACACAAACAUCACCAUAAAUCACAAUUAAAGUCAACAAACUACAUAUUAGUCAAACUCUUAAGGCUUUAAUAAAUCAGUUAUUAAAUCCCAACAAAUUAUGUAGAAACGUGUUUUUAUAUUUUCAUGGAAAAUACAACAUGAUUUUAUUUAUCCAUUAAAUACUUGACCAUAUGCAAAUUAAAACAUUAAAUUAUUAUUUUUUACCCUUUUGAUUUUAUAAUUCAAUAAAAUACAUUAAAAAAAUACACACACACACAUCUUUUUUUAUUAUGCUUUUCGCACACAUUAUUUUUACAUCAUACAAAAUACCAUAAAUUGACAACAAAUCUAAUGACAUAAUAUACAAUUCAGAAAUUGCGAAAUAGACCCCAAACAUUCAAGAUUUACAGAAGUAGACUUCUAGGAAUGCAGGAACAGUGACGGCGCAUGGGUUCCACAUACCACUGCCACUAGCGGCGUGUGGGCUUAUGCGCCACCGUCAUAACAACACUGGGAACAUGGGGUCUGUAACAGCCUCUUCCCCUCUUCACUUUCCUGCCGGCGGUGAGGACCAUUGUCACCUGCAAAAGAAAAAAAAACACACAAGCCAGUUGAUUUUAAUCCUUGUUUAGAUCUGUUUUCUCUCGGUUUGCCGUUUCCUCCUUCUUCUUCAGCUGGUAGGUUUAGUCUCAGUCUUCUCCUUCUUCAAAUCUGGCACCUGUUGUUUGUGGAAAAGGGAAGAUCGGUUGGCUGCGGUGCUUUUUGUGGAUGAGAGAAGAGAAGUUGAGAAGGAGGAGGCCUGGUGCGUGGCUGGCCGAGUCAGGGGCUUUGGUUUUGGGAGGCCUUGGCCGAGAGAGAUUUUGGUGAGAGGAUAUAGUUGAGGAUGAAAGGAGUGUGUGGUGGUCGGCUGGUGUUUUCUGGAGAUGGGGAGGAAUGGACCGACUGUGGGGCUAUUAGGUGGAGGAGCUGGGUGUGUGAGGGUCUGGGAGGAGAAGAAGAAGUGAGGGAGGAGAUCUGGUUUUGGUUUCAAAGGGAGAGGGGCUGCUGCUCUAAUGGCCGGCUGAAGAGGGAAAAUGAAAUGGCCUAGGGGAGAAAGUGGCAGCUGAGGGGGAUCUGGUUUUUUUCGGUUUCCAAGGGAGAGGGGCUUGUCCCUGUGUAAAAACAAAAUCGCAAGGCCAAGGGUGGAGGCACGGCUUGGCUUCAGCGGUCGGGAGAAAAAAAAAUAGGUUUAGGUCUUUUGUGGCUUGCCCUUUUUUUGUUUUUUAAAUAUUCUCCCUUUUGUAAAUUUACCCCCCCUUUAUUAUGACUUGAUGUUCAUUUAUAUAGAAAAUCUCUACAUGUGUUAUUUAAGGAAAUAUUGUAAUAAUUAUUGCAGAGAUUAUCUUCUAUAACCAUCACCAACAAAUCCCAUAUAUAUGGUAUUUUAUAGUGCAUUAAUUAUUUUCCAUAACCAGUGUCGCACGUGUGCGGCGGCGCGACGAUCAUCCACCCUCAUGGAAAAAAUCGGAAAUAUUUAUUCCUUAAGAAAAAAUGGAGAGACAAGGAAUUCUUGUCUCUACAAGUGAAAAUAUGGACUGGGAGUCGCCACCUAGUAUUCUGGUUACUAGGAACCUUAACUGGUCGUUAGAGAUCGGGUACGGAGACUGGUUGCGUAAAGGGAAGGUAUUAGCACCCCAACUACGCCCUACCUAAGGUAAGCUGCAUUGUUUUAAUGUCUGAUAAAAUCUAAGGUCGUGUUGUGGUUUUUUAUUGUUCGAAAUACGCAUUACAUGUAAUGUCAUACCCCAGGUUCUAUUGUCCAAAAAAAAAAAAAGAAUUAAAUAUCCGGAAUAUGCAUUACGUGUAAAGUCAUACCCCGGAUACUAAGAGACAAACAAAAUAAAAUUUUUGUUGUUUUUGAAAUAUUGGCCAAUAUUCUCUUGACUUUAAUAAACGGGUUAUUAAAGCCAAAAUGCAUGCUAAAACAUUUUGUUUUGGUGUAUGAAAAAAUACAACAUAAAUUUUUAGCUUUGAGACACUUGGCCGUAUGCACAAAAACAUUUUUUUUUUUAAAUUUUUUUUGUAUUUUGUUGAAGUUUUUGACGAAAACCGGGUAUUUAAAAAUCAGAUUUUUGUAUUUUUAACAACAUAAAAAAAUACCACCAAAUAUUAAUCAAAAUGACAUAAAAAUUACGCGGAAAAAUUAUAAAAUGCUGAAACAAAUAUUUUUUGAUUUUUUUCUUUGAAAUGGGCCGGAUCAGGCCCAAAUAUAUGGGUUGGGCCGAACCUGGCCCAAAGAAUGGGCUGGUUACUGUGCACAUAGCAACCGGGUUACUGUGUGUACAGUAACCAGAGAAUUAAUCUGCGGGUUACUGUGCACAUGCACAGUAACCGUGAAUUAAUUAGCGAGUUACUGUGCACAACACAGUAACUCGCUAAUUAAUCUUUCAUCUGCAUGCAAAACAGAAAAACGACGGGAAAGGCUACCUGCGGUGGUGAUGUUGGACUCUCUUCUCUGCUUCUUCUUCUUCUGCUUUCUUCUCUCCCCCCUCCCCUUCUCUUCUCUUCUCCUCCAUUUAUAGCCCGUGAGCAUGUGUUUUUUUUUUUUUUUUUUUUUUCAUCGUGGGGUCAUGCGGCGGCUGGUCGGGCGUGGCUGUCCAGGCGUGCCUCCCUCAGUUUCGGCGGUGCGGUAGGCGGUCGGCCAAUGUCUUCGGUCGGUGGGCUAGAGGGACCGGCGGUCGGUGGGCUGGAGGGACCAAGCCAUUAAAUAUACAUCUUUUUUCCUUCUUUACUGCUGUAUGUUAGGCGGGGAAGAAAGGGGAACAGUGUCGUUCAAAACGGCACCGUUUAGCCCUUUUCUGUUUUUUUUUUUUUUUUUUUUGCAUGGGCUGGUUACUGUGCACAUAGUAACCGGGUUACUGUGUGUACAGUAACCAGAGAAUUAAUCUACGGGUUACUGCGACCAGUACUGCGCACAUUUUUUUUUUUUUUUUGUAUUUAUUAUUUUUUUAUGGGGACCCAAAAAUGGGUUACAACAGUUGCCCCCCUCUUUACAAUGCUUACGGAGCAAAGAUUUGUGCAUAGUAAGUGUUGUAAAGAAAAAAACAUUGGUCUUCCGAAACUGGUCGUCUCAAAAUUUGAUUGACCUAAAACUUGAAUCGGACCCAAAGUCCUGUGUAUGGUUGGGCUAAACUGAGAUUCCUUUCGCCAAUCCCCUUUAACCCGAAAAAAAGGAAAGAAUGUGAAGUGUGGUUUCAUUGUAAUGGGUGACCUACCCAGAUAUAAAACAUGGAGAAUUGGUCGCAUUGUAAUGGGUGACCUACCCAGAAAAAUGUUGGUGAGGGCUCAAAGGCGCACUCAAAAGGAGGUAGGGUUAGAAAACGCACUACCUAAGGGAUGAGGGCUCAAAAGCGCACUUAAAAUGGAGGUGAGGGCUCAAAGGCGCACUCAAAAGGAGGUAGGGCUAGAAGGCGCACUCAAAAUGGAGGUGAGGGCUCAAAGGCGCACUCAAAAGGAGGUAGGGUUAAACGCACUACCAAAGGGAUGAGGGCUCAAAGGCGCACUCAAAAUGGAGGUAGGGUUAGAAAACGCACUACCAAAGGGAUGAGGGCUCAAAGGCGCACUCAAAAGGAGGUAGGGCUAAAACGCACUCAAAGGAUGAGGGCUCAAAGGCGCACUCAAAAGGAGGUAGGGUUAUAAAACGCACUACCAAAGAUGAUGUUGAAACAAUGAUUGUCAAUGUUGAAAAGCAAAUGCAUUAUGAUUGAUAUGCAUGUAUACUUACCUGAGAAAUAUAGGCCCCCAUUUCUUCAUGGUGUCUUUUUUUUUCUCUCAAAAGUUGUAGUGUUGGUAGUAAACUUCGAUGGCUUUUCCACUUUUGCUUACUCGGGUUACAUUUGUGAUCUUGACCUCUGGGAAGGGUUUGAUGUCAUCAUACAUCUUUGUCCUUCACCCUUUAUCUCAAGAGUUACCAAUUUUGCCCGACAUUUUCCUUAGAAAAGGAAUCAUGGAGCCAGCCCUACCAUGUGUUUUUGAUUGCCCCCCAGCUUGAUCAUGCCCCCCAAGUGUUCAACUUGGGUUUAGUUUGGGGUGAGGAUAUGUGAAAGUAAGUUUGGGUUUUUUGUACAAUGAAAUGUUUUCAUGCAAAAUUUUUGGAACUUCCAAGUUAUUCCAAUCACAAAAUGAUUUUGAUAUUGGUUCAAAAUAAACUUGUUCUAAAAAAUUCAAGUGAUUCCUAUGGACAGGUUUCUUGAAGUGAUGAAAGCUUUUUGCUUUUGGUUUAAAGAUGAAGUGACAUCUGGUUGGUCACAAAAGGUUUAAAUUUCAAUUUGAGAGAAAAUUGAUUCAAAGCAUUUAUUUUAUUUGCAUGAAUAAUGAUUUGACUCGCACGAGAAACUGCAUACCGAUCCAGAUUGCUUGCCUUUGAUCAGAAAGGGCUUUAUCAGGUAUGUAAUGUAGGCUUUGGCUAUUGGUUGAAGAAAAUGGAUAUGUUGCAGGCUCAAAAGGUGUUUAAGGGAUUUCAAGACUAGGAUCACUUGUGCUUGUUUCCUGACCUUUUGUCUUUUGGAUUUGUUUUUUUCAAAAUGUUUUCUGCCCCCAGUGUCGGGUUUGGGCUUUUCUCUUUGUUUUUUCGUUUUUGUUUGGUUGAGCACAAUCAUAUCAGUUGUUUGUAUGAGAAGCUCAAAUCUUUUAGAUCCUUUAGAUCUUCUUCUUUUCUUUUCUUAACCAAUCACUGCUUCAUUUAGAUGAUAAUGAAAGAUUAAAAAUUACAUGAUCAAAUCCAGCACCCAUCUUCACUGCUUUGUCUGGAUGGGUAAAAACUCUUUAUUUUGCCCCCCAGUGUGGGGUGUGAUCCUAGUCAAGGUUAUUUCCAAAAAACAUUACUAGGCUCAAAAUGGGACUGCAAGGAUAUUUUUAGCCUUGUGAAAGGAUUAUCAAAGAUGGCCUUUCCUCAUCUCAAACUCAUGCAUUGAGGAUCGAUAGGUCUUGCUUUCAUGCGCGUAUGCAAAUGAUUUAUUCAGUCAAAUAAAACUCAGCUUUUGAGUCACCUCAUAGUGUUGUUUGUCUUUGUUGUCUUUUUUUCUUUCAAGUUUUCUAGGUAUAUGUGUACCUAUUUAAGGAAUCACUUGAAUUUUCAAAAUGCAUUUGUUUUGGACAAAUAUCAACACGAUUUUUGUUUUUGUACUCACUUUGGAGGUCCCAAAAAAAUAUCCUUGAAAACAUAUGAGAUUAAUGUAUGGGUUUGGAAGAAAGGAACACCAAAGGAUUCUUCAUGUUGUAGUGUUGUGAGCAAAGUUGCGCUCAAAAUGUUAUUUACAUGUAAUAACAACAAAGAAGAGUGUGAUGUGAACACAAGAAAACACAUGAUCUUAUUUCACAAGAGAAGCUCAUUAACAGAGAAAGUCUUAUUCAAAAGCAUUAACAAAAGGCAAUAACAAGGCAGGCUUCAUUCCUCUAUUUUGGCGAAUCUGUUCAUAGGCUAACCUCCUCUCAAAAGCUCUGUGCAGGGGACUCAAAGACAAUGCGGAACAACACCACGGUAAAAAUUCAAGCUAUCAUGCUGGACCAUUGAUGCUUUCCAAUUCCCCAAACAUUCCAUCCUAAUAUGCUUCAAGCAUGAUUAGGCAGUAUUCACAUUGGGGGUCUUCCAAUUCUAUCCACCAGCCUUGAUUAAUUGCAGAAGCUUUCUCUUGAAGGCGUUGCAGGUAUAGAUGCUAUGCCCAGUAAUACCGGCAUGGUAUUCACAAUUGAGUUCUGGCUUGUACCAAUUAGGAUAAGGUGGCUGCAGAGGUGUUAGAGGUUCUGGAGCUAUUUGCCCGAUGCUCAAUAGCUUUUGAUACAUCUCAUUCAGGGGUAACGGUAGUGGAGGUAGUUGUUCUUGAACCCUUUGGAAAUUUCCAAUUUGGCUUUUGGCUUGAAAGUUUUGGGGUUCAGGUUUUUUGAUGUUGGCAAUUUGGGAUGGAGUAUGGUAAUUUUGGGAUGUAUUUUUUUACCCAUGUAGCCAUCUUCAACAUGGUGAACCUCUUUUCUUUCGAGCCUCUUUUCUCGGUUGGUGUGCAAUUCUACCACUCUUGACACCUUGCUCUAUGCGUUCACACACUAUCACAGCAUCAGUGAAUUGUUGGGCUGAACUACCCAUCAUAUGUUCGUAAUAUGGUGCUUUGAGUGUGUUGGCAAAUAAAGAGACCAUCUCUUUGUCCAGAAGUGGGGGAUGUACUUGAGCAGCUAAUUCUCGCCAUCUUUGAGCAUAUUCCCUUAUGCUUUCUUUAUCCUUUUUCUCUAUAUUGGACAAACUGGUUCUGUCGGGCGCAAUGUCCAUGUUGUAUUUGUAUUGCUUGACGAAAGCAUCCACAAGAUUUUUCCAGUUGCGAAUUUUUGUGUUAUCCAAUCUCAUGUACCAACUCAAAGUUGCCCCACUUAAACUGUCUUGGAAAAAGUGCAUUAGUAGUUUUUCAUCAUGUACUACCUCAGCCAUUUUAUUGCAGUAGGACCUGAGAUGAGUCAUGGGGCAUUGUGUUCCACUGUAUUUGAUGAAUUCAGGAACACGAAAUUUCUUUGGGAUAACCACAUUUGGGACCAAACACAUCUCUGCUGCCCGGUCAUAUAAGUCUAUCCCUUCAAUGGCUUUGAGUCUGGCUUCCAGCGCCUCUAUCUUAGCUUGAUCAAUGCUAUCAGAUGACUUAGCCUUGUGGGACUCAUUAGCAGAUGCCUUCACGACUGUUGGGGAUGGUGCAGGUGUCGUUGACUGCACAAAUGUUGGAUUUUGCUGAGGUUCUUGACCAUGUUCGCUCAUUCUUUCCUCAGGCUGAACUGUAGUAGGAGCCGGAUCAAAGGUGAUCGGUUGAUUAGAAGGACCUUCAUCAGAGGUAUUUCUUAGUGUUUGCUUGAGUAAGCUAGUGAGGUGAGCCACACUUAUUUUCAGAGACUCCAACUCCUCGUGCAAAUAGGCCUCACGUUGAGCACGCUCUUCAUCUUCCAUGUUUCUUGCUCGAAGUCGGGUGUUGUAGACUUUUUGGGGACCUAUAUUUCAAUCUGACAUGUAUGCAUGUUAAAUGUAUGAACAUGUAAUCUAUAUGACGAACUCGCCCUUCGAGGGGUGACAUAUGGUCGCAACUCUUGUAUGAUGAAACAAGAAUCUUGAUUCUUGCACAAACUCUACAAUGAAAAUUUUCUGAGCGACGGUCAUUGUGUCACCCAAGUCUGGAGUUCAAGAUGCUUCAAGAAGGGCUUGCUCGGAUGCAAAACAAUAUACGAUACAUCCUAAAGGAGGUUCUAAUCUUUUUAAGUGAGACAAAGGGGUUUACUAUUUGGUCUCUAAAAAAGGAGUCUCGUUGUCCCAGUGAUCGCCCUCGUGGAGGCAAUAUGGGGGCUUGUAGGCAACGAGAUGGCACGUGUACCAACCAUUACCAGUCUAAGCUCUCAGCGAAGAGUUGGGGUUUACACAAACUUAAACCUUGACUAAAAGUCGUAAGGUAAGCUGUUAGUCCCCCACUUAACUUUAAAUGAUGCAUGACACAAUCUAUAAAUGAUGCAUGACACAAUCUAUAAUGCAUGAACAAAUAUGUACAAAUUUAAAGCAUAUGAGCAAAUAAAAAAAUAAAACACAUAAAUCCAAAGAGAAAAAAUUAAACUAGACAAAACAAUGCUUAGUCCACAAGGUCCCCAAUGGAGUCGCCAUUCUGUCGCACGUGUGCGGCGGCGCGACGAUCGUCCACCCUCAUGGAAAAAAUCGGAAAUAUUUAUUCCUUAAGAAAAAAUGGAGAGACAAGGAAUUCUUGUCUCUACAAGUGAAAAUAUGGACUGGGAGUCGCCACCUAGUAUUCUGGUUACUAGGAACCUUAACUGGUCGUUAGAGAUCGGGUACGGAGACUGGUUGCGUAAAGGGAAGGUAUUAGCACCCCAACUACGCCCUACCUAAGGUAAGCUGCAUUGUUUUAAUGUCUGAUAAAAUCUAAGGUCGUGUUGUGGUUUUUUAUUGUUCGAAAUACGCAUUACAUGUAAUGUCAUACCCCAGGUUCUAUUGUCCAAAAAAAAAAAAGAAUUAAAUAUCCGGAAUAUGCAUUACGGAAUAUACAAAAUAAAAUUUUUGUUGUUUUUGAAAUAUUGGCCAAUAUUCUCUUGACUUUGAUAAACGGGUUAUUAAAGCCAAAAUGCAUGCUAAAACAUUUUGUUUUGGUGUAUGAAAAAAUACAACAUAAAUUUUUAGCUUUGAGACACUUGGCCGUAUGCACAAAAACAUUUUUUUUUUUUUAAUUUUUUUUGUAUUUUGUGGAAGUUUUUGACGAAAACCGGGUAUUUAAAAAUCAGAUUUUUGUAUUUUUAACAACAUAAAAAAAUACCACCAAAUAUUAAUCAAAAUGACAUAAAAAUUACGCGGAAAAAUUAUAAAAUGCUGAAACAAAUAUUUUUUGAUUUUUUUCUUUGAAAUGGGCCGGAUCAGGCCCAAAUAUAUGGGUUGGGCCGAACCUGGCCCAAAGAAUGGGCUGGUUACUGUGCACAUAGCAACCGGGUUACUGUGUGUACAGUAACCAGAGAAUUAAUCUGCGGGUUACUGUGCACAUGCACAGUAACCGUGAAUUAAUUAGCGAGUUACUGUGCACAGCACAGUAACUCGCUAAUUAAUCUUUCAUCUGCAUGCAGAACAGAAAAACGACGGGGAAAGGCUACCUGCGGUGGUGAUGUUGGACUCUCUUCUCUGCUUCUUCUUCUUCUGCUUUCUUCUCUCCCCCCUCCCCUUCUCUUCUCUUCUCCUCCAUUUAUAGCCCGUGAGCAUGUGUUUUUUUUUUUUUUUUUUUUUUCAUCGUGGGGUCAUCGGCGGCUGGUCGGGCGUGGCUGUCCAGGCGUGCCUCCCUCAGUUUCGGCGGUGCGGUAGGCGGUCGGCCAAUGUCUUCGGUCGGUGGGCUAGAGGGACCGGCGGUCGGUGGGCUGGAUGGACCAACGCCAUUAAAUAUACAUCUUUUUUCCUUCUUUACUGUUGUAUGUUAGGCGGGGAAGAAAGGGGAACAGUGUCGUUCAAAACGGCACCGUUUAGCCCUUUUCUGUUUUUUUUUUUUUUUUUUUUUGCAUGGGCUGGUUACUGUGCACAUAGUAACCGGGUUACUGUGUGUACAGUAACCAGAGAAUUAAUCUACGGGUUACUGCGCCAGUACUGCGCACAUAUUUAUUAUUAUUUUUUUUUUUUGUAUUUAUUAUUUUUUUAUGGGGAUCCAAAAAUGGGUUACAACAACCAGCACGAAUCAAAUCAUAUAUCUAUGGUAUUUUAUAUUGCAGUAAUUAUAUAUGAUUUAAUAAUUAUCUCCUCAACAUAUUGCUUUCUUAAUAUUAGCCCUGAUGCUCUAAGUUAUCGCCACAUGUAAACCCUUAUUAUUAUUAUUAUUAUUAAAAAAAAAAGUUAUCAAAACAUAGGUUAAAAAUUGGGUAGCAACAAUGAGUCUGGGACAAUUCCAGUCAGCUUGUUUCCACUCAAAAACCUGGUUUUCAAAAGCCAGAUUGAUUUUUUUAGCAUAAUUCACUCAUCCAUCCAUAGUCAGAUUUCAACAUUCUGAUUUACAAUAUUCAAAUCUAAAUACUUACAUCAAUUCACGUGUUUUUGCAUAUGGAGGAAUGUCUCCUUCCAACUUGUUGAAAGUUAAAUCCCUGAAAAAUAUUACAGUAAAAGAUUUUCCAGCUUUAGUCUUCAGAAUAUCCCUUGCACCUUUGUAAGUAUUUUUGCAAUAGACAAACUCCUUCUGUUUUUACUUAGGUUUCAUUUGGUUCAUGGUUAAACACAAACCGAGUUAAAUGUCAAGGAUGUAAAAGUGCUUAGAAUGUUUGGAAGAAAGUUUAGAAAUAAGGUUCUAAAAGUUGAAAGUAAGAUUUUGAAAAUUAGUUGAACUAGUCGAUUGGUUGGGAACAGGUCAACUAGUUGAGACAGGGCGACCGGUUGGAUUAAAUCAAUCGGUCGACCGGUUCAGUUGACAAAAUACAAUUCCUAUUCAAAUUAAUAUUUUCUAGUUUUAGUUCAAUUCCUUGAUUGUUUAUGACUUGAUGGCUAUAAAAAGGCUUGCAAUUUAGCAUUAUUAUAAGUACAAAAGGGGAGAAAUAAUUAAGAGAGCUUAAAGAUAAACACUUAACAAAAGUAUUUAUUUCUCCAAAUCUUCUUCUUGUUCUUGAGUCUUUGGCCUUGCAUUAUUGUGUUGAUCUUAUACCACACUUGUUUUACUUCCAACAAGUGGUAUCAGAGUUCUAGGUUUGAUUAUUUGACAUAGUCAAUCCAAACUUCUCACUUCAAUGUUCUAGGUAGACAAAGAACAACUAUGAAAUUUGAUGUAUUCGAAUAAAAGUUUGGCUAGGUUUUCAAGGUAUAUGAGAGAAUGUUGAAAAAGGCUUUGAGGAGCCUAUAGUUGGAGCAAUGUUGACUUCAGCCUAAAGUGAGGUCAUGCAAAAGACACGAAGAAAGAAUUAACAAGCAGUUACAAUCACCCACCAAUGUCUAGAUGAUGUCACUUUUGAGAUAGUAUUCAACGCAAUAACCACCAAGCAUGCAUGGAAAAUUUUGCAUGAAUCAAAUUAAAGACUUGACAAUGUGAGAAAGGUGUGUUUAAAAAAGGUAUGUGGUGACUUUAAAAAGAUAAUUAUAUAUGAUUGAAUAAGAGAAUACUUUAGAAUACUUUGCAAGAGUAUUGCAAGAGUAUUGACCAUAUAUAAUCAAAUGAAGAGAUAUGAAGAGAAAAAGAGACACGUGUGGUAGAGAAGAUCCUAUGCUCGCUACAAAAGAAGUUCUAUUAUGUGGUUAUCGCGAUACAGAAAUCACAAAAUAUGGAUGUUCUCUUAAUACAAGGUCUCAGGGGAGAAUUACAAGCUUAUCUAUAAAAAUAAAAUCAAUGAGACUCAAAAAGAUAUGGAAGCACAAUCAAUUAUUUCAAAACAAUAUGAUUUUAAAUAUUGCCAUGAGGGUAGAGAACAGGGACAAAACAAAGAAAAAGAAGAGGCAAAUUUGGAUUUUUGAAUUUUUAACCUUGUUGAUCUUACACCACACAUGUUUUAAUUCCAACACUAAACCACAAUUUUUUUUUCAAAAUCUUUGUAAUACAAGAAGAUAAAACUGUUCAGCAAUUUCUUUCAACUUAAUUCGAUAGGAGUGACAAACGGCUGAACUUGAGGAGAUGAUAGUCCCAGAUCAUCAGGAAGGGAAAAAAAAAGAAUUUGAUGAAAUGGGGGGGCGAUAAUUAUGUGAAUUCCCUUUAGGCCACUUGUAGCACUUUAGCCGAUGCAUGCAACCAGGGAUGGAUUGAAAUAGGUCCUGAUUCUAAUUAAUCUCUAGUAGGCUAAGUAACUUGAUCAAUGAAAUGCAAUAGACCACUUGUGAGAAUUUUGAUGGUGGUUUCUUAAAGAAACAGAAUGGGAUUUAAGAGGUGCAAAGGGAAUCGGGAUUGUGCUUCUACAAACUAUAUAUUUAUGUACGAGUGUUGGUUUGAGAAACAUGUUUCAUUAAUUAAGCCCUUUUCAGUGUAGUAAAUAUGAUUCACAGGCAAUUUUCAAAAAGGGGAAAAAAAUGAUCACAUGACUGUUGGUCAUGGUGGUUGGCAAUAGUCCAGAAAAGCAUUUGGUUAGGAUAGAGAGUAUAGUCAUAUGGAGCUCUCUCAAACUUCCUGCUAUGAGAAUUAAUGCCAUAUGUCCCUAUAGAAACUUACACUGCAAUAUUAUGUAAUGCAACACAUAACUUUCUAUUCAUUUGUUGUAGCAUUUAUAUAGUCUUGGGAGCUUGAUUUUAGAAUUCAAAUGUGUGUAACCGAAGGAUAUUUACAAUCAGAAUUAAUAACAAUAUGUUAAACGGAUCCUAUAAUUAAGGAGAGCACAAAAUCUGGCAUAACUCAUGGUAACAAAUGUGUUUGAAUUGGUUGUGAUUUGAUUUCAUCAGAUUCCUUGAUACGCCCCCGCAAGAACGGGCUACCAUCGAAUAGGCCGAUCUUGUCACGCAAGAAAUCGAUUCUUUGUCUGGAGAGAGGCUUGGUGAGCAGAUCUACUAGCUGAUCAAUUGUGUGGACAUGUUGAACAUUGAGAUUAUUUUUCGCAACCAAAUCUCGCACAAAGUGAAUAUCAAUCUGUAUAUGUUUCAUCCUGGAGUGCUGAACAAGAUUAAAACAUAGUUGAGUUGCACCUGAAUUAUCACAUAAGAGCAGUGGUGGUUGUGAUAGACAAAACUUCAGUUCCUGGAGCAGGGAUAACAGCCACACACUCUCAGCAGCAGUCGUUGCCAAGGCUCUAUAUUCAGCUUCAGUUGAUGAUCUUGCAAUGGCACGCUGCUUUUUAGAACUCCAGGAAAUUGGUGUGGUUCCAAGGAAUAACAGAUAAGCAGAAGUAGAUUUCCUAUCAUCCAAACUACCAGCCUAAUUAGCAUCCGAGAAACAAGUUAACAUGCUGCUGAAUGUUUUGCUAAUAGUUACUCAAUGCAAGAUUGUGUUCUUCAAAUAUCGCAGCAGUCUUUUUGUUGUUGUCCAAUGAAUCUACGUGGGACGAUGCAUAAACUGGGAGAGUUUAUUGACAGCAAAACUAGUGUCAAGUCUUGUAAGAGACAAAUAUUGCAAAGCACCAAUAACUUGAGAAUCUUCGGUGGAGUCAACAGAGGAAGAACCAUCAUCCAAUUAUAAAGCGACCGAUGUUGAGAGGUGUGUGGUGACAUCUCUAGCACCAGCUAUAUUGGUAUUGGCAAGUAAAUCUCGGAUAUACUUGUGCUGAGUUAGAAACAAGCCAGCUGCAGUAGGAAUAACCUCAACACCAAUAAAAAAAUAUAGUAACCCCAAGUCUUUGAUAGAAAAUUUCUGGCCAAGAUGAUUAAUAAUACUUGCAACAAAAAUUGAAUUAUUGCGUAUGAUAAUCAAGUCGUCAACAUACACUAGGCAAUAAGCAAGAGUGGAACCAUUAUGAAACACAAAAAGAGAUGAAUCUGAUUUAGAAUUAAGGAAGCCAAACUCGAUCAAUGCAUGCUUAAGGGCAGAGAACCAAGCACGGGGUGCCUGUUUUAGGUCAUAGAUGGCCUUGGUUAGGCAACAAAUAUAAUCAGGAUUUUCAAGAUUUUUGAAGCCAGGAGGUUGCUUCAUAUAUACUAUUUUGGUGAGAUGCCUAUGAAGGAAUGCAUUAUUAACAUCCAACUACCUCAAAGACCAACCCUGCAUCACAACAAUAGUCAAGACAGUGCGUAUGGUGAUCGGCUUAACAACAAGGCUAAAUGUUUCUUUAUAACCCAGUCCGGGUCGCUGAUUGAACCCUUUAUCCACUAGUCUGGCUUUGAAUCGAUCAACAAACCCAUUAGCAUGCCUUUUCACCCAAAACACCAAUUUACAACCCACAAUAUUACAAUCAGAAGGAGGGGGCACCAAUUGCCAAGUAUUAUGAUGCAUUAAAGCAGUUAAUUCAAAGAACAUGGCCUCACGCCAUCUGGAAUCAGCGAGUGCAGCAACAACACUCGAGGGUUCCAAAGAAGAUGGAAGGGGAUGUUUGGUAACAAGGAAGGAUUUUUUGGGUUUAUAAAUGUCAUUCGUAGACCUAGUAGUCAUCCUAUGAACACGCACCGCAACAGAUUCAAAGAUAGUAGAAGCAAGUAAUUCUAUGGAAGUAGUUGAAUCUAAAAGCAGGGGAGAAGAUGGAAUACUUACCUGGAGAGGAGACGGUGCAGAGGGCGACCCAUGCUCAGAAGAUGGCAAGACUUCAGUACCCAUAACCAUAGAAGUGCUGGGACGAGGUGAAUCAAAAAGUAGCUUUGGUGAUGAGAUAACCAUAGAAGAAUGUUGCUCAGCAGAUGGAGAAAAAAGGACACUGUUAUGACUGGUCUAUUGAAAAGGAAAUGUUGCUUCAUGAAAGAUGACAUGUUGGGAGGUGAUUAUUUUUUUGGUAGAGGGCUCAAAGCACAAAUAUGCAUUUUGGGAUAAGCUAUAACCCAUGAAUGUGCACGGUUUUAAUUUCAGCUCAAGUUUGUGUCUAUUGUAUGGUCGGGUUAAUGGAUAACAGAGACAACCAAAUUGUUUGAGCUAGAGAUAGUUGGGUCUUUGAUUGAAUAAUUUUUCAAACGGGGAUUUAUUAUUCAAGGUGGUAGUGGGCAUGCGAUUGAUAAGGUAGGCAGCAAUUCGAAAUGCAUAAGGCCAAUAAGAGAGAGGCAUGUGAGCAUCGGUGAGCAAGGUAAGACUAGUUUCAACUAGGUGACGAUGUCGCCUUUCAGACAUACCAUUUUGUUGGGGAGUGUGAGGAGCAGUAGUGUAGUGACUAAUGCUAUGAACAGAGAGAUAAGUUUUGAGACCAACAUAUUCCCCAUCAUUAUCAGAAUAAAGACUUUUUAUUUUUGUGUUGAAACGAUUUUCCACAAGAUUUAACCCUAACAAUACUCCUCUAUUGCAGCCUUCUUCUGUUGCUGCCGCUGCCAUUGUCUUCCUCUCCCAUACUCACCAAGUCAUCUCUCUCAAAUUAACAAACACGAAUUACCUAUAUUGGAGAAUGCAGAUGAAACUGUAUCUCAUAGGCCAAGGUGUUUUCGGGUUUGUUGAUGGCUCAAAUUCUUGUCCUUCUUGACAUGUACUUGCUACCGAUAGUACCUCUUUUCAGGUAAAUCAGUCUUUUGUUCGUUGGAAACAGCAGGACCAACUCAUUCUAAGUGCUAUGCUUUCUUCAUAAUCCAUGGAAGUCCUCCAUCUUGUUAUUGACUGCCAAACUUCAAGUGCUGUCUGGCGCACUCUUGAGCACGCUCUAGUUUCCAUGUUAAAUUCUCAUAUUAUGCAACUUCAUGGCUCCCUUCAAGAUCUUCGACUAGGUGAUAAGUUCGUAACUCAAUUUAUGCAAAAAGCUAAGUUAUUAUUUGAUAUGUUAGUCACUGCUGGCCAUCCUGUUUUGUUGGAGGAUUUCAACUUAGUAACAAGCCUUGAGCCCAAGGCAAAACCCCUCUCGUAUGCCGAUCUUCAUAGUCAUCUUCUAACGUAUGAAUUGCUUCACAAAACAUCCCUUACAUCCAUGGGGUCUGCUGCCCAAUGCACCUUUAUUGCCUACACCUAACACCCCCCCCCUUUUCAGCCUUUGUUUCUCAACGCUAGUCCUCUGGAAAUUAUGGGUGCAACAGGGGUUGUUUUCAUGGUGAAUGGCGUCCCAACCAGUUCAACAGCAGAGGGAACAGGUCUGCUGCAUCUAGACUAGAUUUUCGCAACUUCCAUGGACCCUCCAAUAGUGAUGGCAGGCAAGGUAAGGCAGGGAGAUUAGCAAGGCAAUAAAGGGCAGAAUAGACGUUGCCAAUUAUGCCAAACCUUCAGCCAUAAAGCCCUUCACUAUCCUCAACUUCAGCACUGUGAUAUGGACAACAACCUAGUGCAAAUAUGGCACUGAGUAAUGUCUCCUCAACAGGUAAUGCCGACUGGUUUCUUGGACACUGGCGCUAAUAAACAUGUUACACCUGAUCUUGCAACUUUGGCUGCAGCAGAACCAUAUCUCGGUAAUGAUAAUUUACAUGUUGGUGAUGGUAAGAGACUUUCCAUAUCUCAUAUCGGUCAUACUAAAAUACAUGCACCAUAUCGUACAUUCACUUUAGCUAACGUUCUUCAUGUUCCACAUAUUGCGAAAUCUUUGCUCUCUGUUCAAAAAUUUUAUCUUGAUAAUAAUGUUUAUUUUAAAUUUCACACGUUUGUGUUUUAUGUCAAGGAUCUCAAUACUAAAGAAGUACUCCUCUCAAGUCAGAGUAAAGAUGGUCUUUAUACUUUGACCAGGUCUUUCGUCACAUUAAUUCCUCAAGCCUAUUGCUUUCAUUACAUCUCUACUUCUGCUAAUUUAUGGCAUCGUCGACUAGGUUAUCCUACUUCUCGUAUUUUUUAAUUGUUAGUCUAAAAAAAUAAGAUUAUUUGUAAUAAAAAAUGUCUUAAUUUUUAGUGUUAAAGUUGUCCAUUAGAAAAAUCGUCAAGUCUCUCUUUAGGACCUACAGGUCAGAAAACUUUUGCUCUGCUUGAAUUAAUUUUUAGUGAUGUAUGAGGUCUUGCUCCCCUUUUUUCUACGGAUGGUUAUCAUUAUUUUGUUAUCUUUGUUGAUGCAUACACAAAAUAUAUAUGGUAUUACCCUAUUGUUGCCAAGUCUGAUGUUUAUUUUAUCUUUCAUCAAUUUCAAACUCCUAUUGAGCGUUAAUUUUUACUAAAAAUAAAAUAUGUUCAAAAUAAUUGGAGCGGCGAAUACCGCACACGAUCCACUUUCUUUCAGACCAUCAGUUCAUCAUCGUCUGAUUUGCCCUCACACUCAUAAACAAAAUGACACAGUAGAAAGUCGUUAUGUAUAUAUUGUGAAAAUCGGACUUACUCUUCUAGGAUAGUGUAAAACACCAUUAUGAUUUUGAAAUUAUACUUUUAAAACCUCUGUUUAUCUUAUAAAUCGCAUGUCUGCUCUUUUCCUCGAAAACUAUGGAAGGAAAACAAAUAAAAAUCUUACAGUGACGUGAUAUUACAAUAACCAUCAUUAUUGAGGGUGCUAUUGCACAUGACGGUGCUAUUGGCUUUUGAAUCUUGUUUCGACAGAUUCAUAUCGUGCAUAGGUCCUGGUUGGUUGCAAGCAUCGCCCACCUCGAAGGGUUGCCAACCAUGCGUCAGUGUCUCGCCAAUUUGUUUUAACGCCGUCACUAGUUCAAGGAUCAUGCAUCCACGGAAAAUUUUAUCAAAAUAUAUCCAUAUCCAUAACAUCGGUUAAUAUUAGCUCUUAUCACCGGGGGAAAAAAAAAAACUUAUAGUUUUCGAGUGGUAUUCUAACACAAUAAAAUGGUCGGAAUCUUGAGUACAAAUCCAGUAAAAAUAGAAAUAAAUCGUGAAAAAUAUAUAAAUAUAAUACAAAUCCUUUUCAAUUUGUUGCACGUAUUUUAGGAUAAUUUAAAAUCAAAAACCACCUUUUUAUUAACUCAUUUAUAUGUUUUAAUUUUUUUUUACUCAAUAUAUUUUAAAAAUCAUGUCCCAUUUUCUUAUAUUCUUUUUCUUCAAGUAUUCUUUUUUAGUUUUUGAUUUAAAUCUCUUUUUUAAUAAUAAUUAAGGGCAUUUUUUUGGUAUAAAAAAGGUUUCUGUAAUAUUUUCUUAAAAGUUAGAGAGGUUUUAUUAAAUCUUCAAACUUUUUUUCAUACUCUUUGUAGUUUCCAAAUACCUUGAGAAUUGCUGUAAUUUGUAGAAAAAAGAAAUCUGAUACAAAUUAAAUAAUUUAUGCGUCUUUAAUACCAUCUUCACUGUCAUAAUCCAAUUUUUUGAAUAAAUAAUACAAAAUCAAUGAUUAGAAAUAUAUUUGAGAAUGAGGUUAAAAUAACACAAAUUCAAAGUUUAGGGAUGAAAUUAUCAGAUUUAAGAAUAAAUUAGUCAAAAAUUAAAGAAUUAAUGAGUUUGAAAAUUUACUUAAAAUUUGAAUUAGUUUAAUUAAUGAAAUUAGAAGAAUUAAUAAGCUUGUGAACUUAAUUAAACUUUGAUUUAAUUUAUUAAAUAAAUUCAAGUACUUAAUUGAAAUUUAUUCAAAAGGAACAAAAUUUAAAAAAUUAAUUAAGGACCAAAUUGAAUAUCCAGGAAUUAAGGACUGUUUCAUAAAUAGUGCACCAAUUUAGGGAUUUGAUUGAAAUUUAUCCAAAAAAGGACAAAAUUAAAAGAAAUGUUUAAUUUGUUUAGGGGUCCAAUUGCAAAAUUUCCAAUGUUCGGGGGUCAAACUGAAACUGUCCACGGGUUGCUUGAAAACGUCGCCGUUCCUGGUGGAAUCCCUUUCUGCCAAAACGCUGUCGUGGCUGGUGGAACAGUCGUGUUCGUCUUCUCCAUCCCGAUUCAACAGGCUGAAGAUCUGGAACAGAUUUGAUCGCCAUGGACCACGUCUCUCGCCCCAGAUCAUGGCAUGGAAGAUAAGAGUCCUGCCUAUAAAAGAGAGGCAGAAAUCAACACACAGGGAAGGAUGAGGAGGAGCAAAACCCAGGAGAUUGAGCAAAAAACACUGGGAAACAGAGGAGGAACCCAGCAACAGGGGAGGCAAAACCGAAGCCAAACCCAGGCUUAAAAACAGAGGCAGAAACCCAGUGAAAAAAACAAAGGAAGAAACCUAGAAAACAAAGCAAUCAACCCAGAAACAGAGCAAUUUACAGCACCCGACAGUAACAAAAGAAAUCAACCCAGAAAAACAGAGCAAGAAACCCAGAAAAACAGAGAAAACAAAACACAAUCAAAAAAAGAAAAUACAGGGAAGAACAGCAACAUCAACCCAACUUCCGUCCCUGCAAGAAACCAGUUUUCGUCCGAAAAAUAUAUCGCCAGAAAAGGAGAGAAAGGCAGAGGAUCAUGGUUUAACGCUGUUUUCGUCCCUGCAGGAACCCAAUCGAUCACCGAACCAUUGGCAUCUGACAGAAAACAGUCGAACCCACACCGGCGUUGCAACCUUCCUCAGCAUCGCUAGAAACAGAAAGCAGUCGAACUCCACCAGCGUUGUAGCCUUCUUCACAGUCGUCUGAAACAGGUGCGCCCAUUUCCAUUUGUUUUCGCUCCGGUGUUGAAAUGCAUUUGAACAGUGCGAAGGUAAUUUAAUUACCUUCGCACUAUUGAUGCACGCGUGAAAGUGCUUCACGCGUGCAUCAUCAGUUUGCUCAGCUGGUCACUGGCUCGGCAUAAAAUUUAUUUUAUUUUAUUGUAUUUUGCUUUUAUUUAUCUACGUAAAAAUAAAAAUAAUGUGUAUGCGUAAAAAAAUAAAAAAUAAAUUGAUUUUUAUUUGUUUAUUCACCAACGUCAAAGUCAGGAUUAAAAAGAAAUAAUUAUUUAAAGUUAUUCACUUUGAUAUCUACGUAAUAUUUACCAAUGUGAGAGUUGGAAAUAUCCGUAGUUGAGUAUUCACUAGCACCGGAGUCAGGAAUAUUAUAAGCAAAUUAUCAUAGCGUGAACUAAUAAAUAUUUAGCAAUUUAAGACGAAACUAGCAAUGCAGCCUGCCUCAGGUAGGACGUUUAAGGGGUGAUAAUAUCUUCUCUUUUACGUAACCAGUCCCGAACCAUAGAAUCUUUGUUGACUAGUUAGGAUUCCUAGUGAUCAUAAUACUAGGUGGCGACUCCUUAAACAAGACCUUUUCCCCAUUAAAGAUCUGGAUGCCAGAAAUCCAUUUAUAAGGUUGCCGCGAUGUUGGGUCCGAUAGAAUGUCGACUCCACUGGGGACCAAUGGACUAAGCUUUGCCUUUUGUUUAUCAAUUGCUAUAAUGUUUGUUAUGUUAUGUUAUGUUUAUUUGUUUAUUUUUCUUGAAUUUACUACUUUAGCAUGCAUCCAUGUUUAUAUUGUCAUGCAUCACGUUCAGAGCACAUACCUGAAAAUCUAGGAUAGGUGGGAAAGUAACGGUACCCCAACAGCUUUAGCCUGGGUAAUACUCGUGAAACCAUCCAACUCUCGCUUGAUCGUUUACUUGGAAGUGGUUGAUAUGCCAAACUGAUAUUACUCAGCGCCUCUAUUUUCACACUACUUGUAAGCCUCAUAUCGACCUUCCAUGGACGAUCACUGAGCAUGCGAGAGACCCUUUGAAACUAGAUAAUGACCAACCCUUUGAUGCACUCAACAAUUAGGAUCUUCCUAUUAGGUUUUCAUCCCGUGAAGGGCGAGUCUACAUUUCAUAUGCAUUUUUUUUGCUUCAGCAUUUUUUGCAUAAUUGCAUGAUUUACAUUUAGCAGGUUGAAAUAUAGGUUCCCCAUUGAAACCCAUUUAUAACACUCGUUCGAGAAAGAUAAAAAUAAAAAACGAAGAAAGAGCCCAGUUGGAAGCCCAACAUCAAAAAAAGUUGGACAAUCUUAAAGAAGAAGUCGCAAGGCUUACUAGUCUACUCGAGCAAGCCUUGAGAGAUAAAUCCGGAAAAGCAACACUUAUAGCUCAGCCUGAAGAUAUGCAUGUAACUCAUUUCGAUUUACAAAAUCUAGGGGCAAAUAGGGUGUCAUCUGAAUUUCAACAAGCUAUGCAUUUCCAACCAUCAUACCCUACAAGAAUUUCUUCCACCAUUGAUUCUACAGAGAAGGGAUCUCAAAAAAGCAAUAUGGUAAAAGAAGAUGAUCUGACCAAAUUCAUUGCCCUAGAGCAAAGGAUGAGGGCAUUUGAGGGAAUUCACCUAUAUGAUCCUAUAAAGGCUGCUGAGAUGUGUUUGGUGCCUAAUGUUGUCAUUCCCAAAAAUUUUAGAGUGCCAGAAUUUGUUAAAUAUACGGAAACUCAAUGCCCUAUAACUCAUCUCAAAGCAUACUGCAACAAAAUAGCUGAGGUGGUUGAUGAUGAAAAGCUACUAAUUCAUUUCUUUCAAGAUAGUCUAAGUAAUGUUGCCCUUACUUGAUAUAUGCGGUUGGACAAUACCAAGGUUAAAAAAUGGAAAGAUUUAGUGGAUGCCUUUAUGAGGCAAUAUAAGUUCAAUAUAGACGUGGGCCCUGAUCGGUUAAGCUUGUAAGCUAUAGAGAAGGACAACAAGGAGUCCAUAAGAGAAUACGCCCGGAGAUGGAGUGAGUUAGCUACACAAGUUAACCUUCCCAUGUUGGAAAAAGAGAUGAUCAAUUUAUUUUCCAACACCUUUAAAGCUCUAUACUUUGAAUACUUGGUUAGAAGCUCUGCACAACAUUUCACUAACCUGGUUGUUAUAGCUGAGAGGAUUGAACAAGCCAUUAGGUUAGGUAAGAUUGCUAUCCUGACUGAGAAGAACGAUUUUACUGAAAGUGGUUGCCAAGGCACUUAUCAUUUCUAUAGCUAAUUGCUUCACAUCGACUCCUAGAAAUCAACUAUCUUGAAGAUAAAGCUAUGAAAUCAACUUUCAACUAUCCUAGAAAUCAACUAUCUUGAUUUCUAUCUUGAAAUCAAUUAUCAAAUAUUAUGUCGGUAAAUCUGUUGCUAUUAAGCGAAUUUCUAGUGGUGACUAGUCAAUUUAAUGAUUUGAAACAUGCUAAGAACAUACUGAAAAUGAGAGAGAUUCUAAUCAGAAAAGAGAGAAAGAAAAAGGAUUUAUACUUUAAUCUCUUAAUAAAAGCUAGAGACCCACAGUGCUUGAAGUUCUUUGCAUUGUGAUUUUUCAAUGGUUUUUUUUAAUCCGUGAGUGUUGACCGCUGGCUAUAAAGUGCACUAAGAACACGAAGGUUUUUUGUUACUUUCAAUGUUGUAAAGUGCACUAAGAACUUCAUCAUCAAUUGUUCACUAAUUGCAAGUACACUUUUCUGCUUUUUCUUUUUCUUUUUCUUUUUGCAAAUACUGAUUGAGGUAGACAUAGACCAAUCUCUUUUUCACCAGUCCUAAAGGACAACAAGCUAUUUGGAGUUUAUGAUACACUCAAAUGCAUGCAUUUAUAUAGCUACUUGGUGCAUAAUUGGCAGUUUCAUACUUGUACCUGGUUUAUUUUUAUGUUUUAAAAAUGUUUUUAGAAAAAAAUUCAAUUUUUUAUAUUAUUUUUGUGUUAAAUUAAUUUUUUGGUAUUUUUAUAUCGUUUUAAAGUAUUUCUGUUAAAAUUUUUUUUUUCAAUAUUAUUUUAAUAUAUUUUCAAAUAAAAAAUACUUUCUAAAUCAACUACUCGUAUUUAUAAAACCACCCUCGAUUUUAAUGCUUCUUAUAGUCAUUAUUUGCUUUGAAUAGAGUUUAUUUCCCAAAACCGUGAGCAAAUUUAUUUCUCAAAUGAACACACUCUUGUUAUUUCACAAAAAUAGUCUCGUGACCUGAUUAAUACUUAAAAGUGCAUGUUUAUCAAAGGUUUAUAACAUUAUUUUGCGCUUGAAGUAUCAAUAACUCCUUAACUAAAGCAUGUUUUAUAAUAACAAGUCUAAUACUAUAAGAUACCUUAAUAUAUGUUAAAUGUUCAUCUUAAAUGCAGGCAUAUCACAUAAAUCAAAGGAUUGAUUGAUGAAUUCAACUACUGAAAUUUGUGAAGAUAAAGAGAGGGUAAAGCUUAGAAAAGAGAUGUUGGUGCAGUUCUAACUGGAACACUGUUAGGUAAUUGGGUCUUCUCUCGAGUUCUAAGAGUCCAAAUGACCUCCAUUUGUUUUUCCUGGAAAUCCGAGUCAAUUUCCUAUAACUUUCAUGUUUUCCAGUGGACCCAGUUCUGAUGCUAGCAUUUUCUUUUUAUUCAGACAAGAAGAUAAGGAUUUUCAACAAGUCAAGAGUUGGUCACCCACUUAACAAUUAGUCAUCAAAUCAAUCAUUCCGAAUUUUGGCCUAUAAAAGGAGGCAUUUGCCAUGUAUUUAGGAGCUUGGUUGUUCAGAUCAAGUUCAUGCUCUUUAUUUCUCUCUUUAUAUAUUUUUUUUUGUAAUUUUUAAGUUUUGCUUUCAUUAAUAUCUUGUUUAUGCUUUUCAUUUUCGUUCCUUUACUUAGUUAACUUGUAUUUUCUUUAUGUUCUUGUUUUGUUUAUUUAUGUUUCUCUUCUUCAUUAUGUUUAGCUAAGUUUAUUAUGUCAAGGUGAAAAGGUUACCCUAAUGGUGUAAGAAUAAGUAUGGUGUAAACUCAACAUGGACCUUAAUGUUUAAUAUUAACAUGUCUUAUCUUUUUGUCUUACUAAUUCUUAAUACCUUGCUUGUUAAAUGGUUAAUCUAGAUUUGUGUUGUAUAACACUUGGUACAACAAAUGCUUGGCACUCUCAUAGCCCAACCGUAUGGUAUUACCUACACCUGGGCUAUGAAAAGAACUUGAUUUGUUGUUAACAUCAGUUAACAUCAUGAAUUCCUGAUAAUAUUUAAAAGUUUGGUGUUAUGUAAAUAAGAUAAUUAAUAUGAUCAUGUUAAUAAUUUAUAAUGAGCUAUUAAUGACAAAUCAUCCGAUUUGAACCUCUUUCGUGUGUGGUUUCCAAAUUGAGUAAUAAGAGUUUAUAUUAUACUUGUUUGAAAUACCAUUAAUGGAUCCUCUAACCUUGACAUUUGUUUUUAUCAUUAUUUAAUCCUUACAUUAAUCUUCCAUCUCAAAGUUCUCAUUAAUUUCUUCCUCCUCUUCUUUUUACUACUACUACUACUACUACUACUACUACUACUACUAUUAUUAUUAUUAUUAUUAUUAUUAUUAUUAUUAUUAUUAUUAUUUACGUUCUUGUUAUAUUUUAUGUACGUUAAGUAUGCUCAGUGUUUGAUCAAGGAUCCUAACAUUGUUGGUCUUGCCUUGUUCAUUCGCAUCAGAAAUUUGUUUAUAUUAUAUAAUAUAUUUCUUUGAUCUUUUCAUAAAAUCAGUAUAUAGGCUAGAAACCUGUGACCCGAUCUUUUAGAUCAUUCUCAGGUAUAACAAUGCCACGUACUGAGUAUUAUUAUUAUUAUUAUUAUUAUUAUUAUUAAUAUUAUUAUUACUAUUACUAUUAUUGUUAUUAUUGUUGUUGUUGUUGUUGUUGUAUUGUUAUUUAUAAUUUAUACAAUUAACCUCUAUGUGGUUCGACCCCGGUCUUGCUGAGUUAUUUAUUACUUCGACACUCCUACACUUGGGAGAAGACAUCAAUCUUUUGGUCGUGUCAAGUUUUUGGCGCCGUUGCCGGGAGGUAAAUUCUUGUACAAAUUAUAAUUUUUUAUUUUUUCUCUUUCACUUUUCUUGUAUCUAACUUUGUUUCUUGUUUUGUUUUUUCUUUUUCUUUUUCUUCUCUUCUUUUAUUCUUUUCUACACGUGCAUGAGUGUUUGGUCACGUACAUUAAGUGGUAGACUUUGUAGGGUAUCCUCAUCUUUUUAGAAAAUAUGAAGAAGAUAACCAGUCACUUAUAAUGAGAAUAAUCGGUUAUAACACUUAGAGACCACAUGAAUCCACAAGAACAAGCUCGAUCAUGCAUAGUUUUCCCUCCUGAUGCAUCUCAUUUUAAUUUUAAGCCAGCAUUAUUCAACUUUUACCUUCUUUUCAUGGCUUAGAUCUAGAAAAUCCAUACUUGCAUUUGAGAGAAUUUGAAGAAGUUUGUAAUACCUACAAUGACUCAAAUUAUAGCACGAACACCAUUAGAUUAAAGCUUUUUCCUUUUUCAUUAAAAGAUAAAGCUAAAACAUGGCUACAAAAUCUUAGACCAAGAUCCAUUCGUGCUUGGGAUGAAAUGCAACAACAAUUUUUAAAGAAGUUUUUUCCAUCUCACAGAACCAACUUCAAAAGACAAAUCACCACUUUCACUCAAAAAACAAGUGAAACAUUUUACCAAUGUUGGGAUAGGUAUCGAGACUUGCUUAAUACUUGCUCUCAUCAUGGUUUUGAAACAUGGAGAUUGGUUUUACAAUUUUAUGAAGGAUUAACACCUAAAGAUAGGCAAAUGGUUGAAUUAAUGUGCAAUAGAACUUUUAAAGAUAAAGACCAUAAUGAAGCAAUGGAGUACCUAGACUUGCUAGCUGAAAAUGCACAAAAUUGGGACACUAUAGGAACUGAUGAGGCACCAAGUAAAACCUAACCUCAUACAUCUAAUGGAGGUAUGUAUAAUGACACGACCAAAAGAUUGAUGUCUUCUCCCAAGUGUAGGAGUGUCGAAGUAAUAAAUAACCCAGCAAGACCGGGGUCGAACCACAGAGUGGUUAAUUGUAUAAAUUAUAAAUAACAAGACAAAAACAACAACAACAACAACAAUAAUAAUAACAAUAAUAGUAAUAGUAAUAAUAAUAAUAAUAAUACUCAGUAUGUGGCGUUGUUAUACCUGAGAAUGAUCUAAAAGAUCGGGUCACAGGUCUCCAGCCUAUAUACUGAGUUUAUGAAAAGAUCAAAGAGAUAUAUUAUAUAAUAUAAACAGAAUGUAAAUAAUAAUAAUAAUAAUAAUAAUAAUAAUAAUAAUAAUAAUAAUAAUAGUAAUAGUAAUAGUAAUAGUAGUAGUAGUAGUAGUACUAAUAAUAAAAAGAAGAGGAGGAAGAAAUUAAUGAGAACUUUGAGAUGGAAGAUUAAUGUAAGGAUUAGACAAUGAUAAAAACAAAUGUCAAUGUUAAAGGAUCCACCAAUGGUAUUUCAAACCAGUAUAGUAUAAACUCUUAUUACUCAAUUUGGAAACCACACACGAAAGAGGUUCCAAUCGGAUGAUUUGUCAUUAAUAGCUCAUUAUAAAUUUUUAACAUUGUCGCACGUCAAAAAAUCCCGCACGCGAAAUCGACUGGCGAUUUAUGUCUCGUUGUUGUAUUGCUUGAAUUGGUUCGUUAGGAGUCGCCACCUAGUAUUUAAUUGAGGUUACUAGGAGACCCUGAUUUACUGGUCCUGGUCAGAUAUUCGUGGGCUGAUUGUGGUUAGGGAAGGUAUUAGCACCCCUAACACACCCUACCUGAGGUAAGCUGAUUCGUGGAUUUGAUGUGUUAAAGAAGUUUUAAAAAUUUUGUCUUUUAAUCAGAUUUUAGAAAUACAACUUCCGUACAAGCUUGUACUUCUACACCGUGAUCCAAUCAAAAUAUUAAAUCCUUCUUUAUUCUUGCAAUCUCGUCAUAAAAAAACUUUCAAGCUUCGUGAGCUUGAUAUAAUUUAAAAAAUAAAAUUUUAGCCCAAUUCUAAGGCUUUAAUAAAUCAGUUAUUAAUUCUCAAAAUAGAUGUAAAAACAUUUUCACAGGAAAUACAACAUGAUUUAUUUAUCCUCAAAAUUUGUGCAUUAAAUUAAACACUUAAUUCUUUUUGUCUUUUUUUAUUUUUAUAAUUCAAUAACAUAAAUAAAAAAAACAAACACACACACACAUCUCUUUUUAUUAUGUCUUUUUUUUAUACACCCACAUUUACAUAUUACAAAAUAGCAAAAAUUCAAAAUUUACCCAAACAAGGCCUUAACAGUUUCAAAAUUACAGAAAAGACCCCCCCAAAACACAGAAUUGCAGGAAAGCCUUCUGGGGUCACUUUGACAAGUGGCGGCGUGGACCUCACGCACCACCGUCACUGGCGGCGUGUGGAUUCACUUGCCGCUGCCGAUGAAGACCAGCAACCUAGUGGAUCAAGAUCGUCUCCUUCUUCUCUUCCCGUCCGUACCGGCGGUGCAUCUCCUAGUCACCUGCACAAGAAGCAAAAACACACAAACACAACAAAUGGCAGUUGAUUUUAAUCUUUUUUUUUCUUUGCAGAUCUGUUCUCGGGUCUGUUUUUGAUCUGCUUUGCUGCAGAUCGGUUUACUUGUUCGUCAUCUUCUCCUCUGUCCCAUGAACUGGCGACGAGGAGUGCUGGAGGAAGAAGGAUUGGAAGUCAGAUCGUUCGGGGAGAGAGGAGCUGUGGUUGAUUCUCCAUAUCUGGCGAGAAGAAAGGAAAUCUUAUCUGGGAGGGGCUGUGCAAGGGCCCUGGGCGAGUGGGAGUUGACGGAAAAAUGGCGUUCGUCUUCAACAGGGAAGCGAAAGAAGAAGAUGGGGCUCCGGUGGAUUUUUUAGGGCCAGCAAAAUCAAGAAAAGGGGCGGCCAGUUUUGAAAGGGAGCGGGUUCGGUUCUUUCGCAAAGAGGGAGUAUUGUUUUUUUUUAUCCGGGGGGUGAGCAGGGCUUAAGGUGAACCGGCUGAGGGAGAAGAGAAAAAAAAAAUCAACAGGGGAAGGGUCUAGGGGAGCUGGCAGCUGUGAUCGAAGAAUAAGGAAAACAUUUCCCAAAAGGGGGGGGUCUCCCUGGCGGCUAGUUUCAGUAGGGAAGAAGAAAAGUUUAGUUUUUUAGGGUUCUCUCUUUCCUCCCAAAAUUACAAAAUGAACCCCCUUAACUUUGAGUUAAAAGGUGCUAUUUAUAGGCAAAAUAUUUUUUUGGGCUUCCAAAUUGGUCCCUCAAUUUUUAUGUUCAAUUCAGUUGGUAAAAAUUAAAUUUGGUCUUAAAAUUUCAAUAUUUUCAAUUCAGUCCAAAUUAAGCUCCCAAACUUAAUUUUUCACCAAUUAAGCCCCCAAAUUAAUUUGACCCAUUUAAAGUAUAAUUAAGUCCUUGCACUUAAUUAAAUCCUUCAAUUGGACCUAAAUUAAUUCUUAAACAUAAUUAAAAUUUAAUUUGGCCCAUGAUUAAAUCAAAUUGGCCCAUUAAAAAUUUAAUUAUGUCAUUUGACUUAAUUUUUAUGCAAAUUCAUCCAAUAAUCAUUUAAUUUGACCUUCGAAUAUGCAUUUAAUUUGACCUUUGAUUUUUGCCUAUUUUUGCAGUCCUUUUUUAUCAGCUUUCUCCACAUUGCCAGCCUUUAUUUUAAUUUUUUGAUUUUUUAUUUUGAAAAAAAGUGAAUUUUGGGGAAUAACCCAAAUUUGGGUUAUGACAGUUGCCCCCCUCUUUACAAUGCUUAUGAUAGAAAGUCUCGUAGGAGACUCUAGAUAGUAAGCGUUGUAAAGAAGAAAAAAGGAAGAUUUUUUUUUUUGAAAAUUCAAAGAUUUUGAAAUGGUCGAAUUGUCAUGGGUGACCUACCCGGGUGAAAAACACGAAGAUGUUUUAAAGAGGUGAAAAAUACAGAGAUUUUUCAAAGAGGUGAAAAAUACAGAGAUUUUUCAAAGUGGUGAGAAAUGCGAAGAUUUCUCAAAAUGGUGAAAAAUGAACAGAUUUUUCAAAGUGGUGAAAAAUGCACAAAUUUUUCAAAGUGGUUUUGUUGUAAUGGGCAACCGGCCCAAGAUGGAAAACAAAAAGAGUUUUCAAGGUGGUGAGAAAUGCAAAGAUUUCUCAAAAUGAUGAAAAAUGCAAAGAUUUUUCAAAGUGGUGAGAAAUGCGACGAUUUCUCAAAGUGGUGAAAGAUGCAAAGAUUUUUCAAAGUGGUUUUGUUGUAAUGGGAAACCGGCCCAAGAUGGAAAAUGAAAAGAGUUUUCAAGGUGGUGAAAAAUGCAAAGAUUUUUCAAAGUGGUUUUGUUGUAAUGGGCAACCGGCCCAGAUGAAAGGUUUUGAAAAAUACAAAGAUUUUUUCAAAGAGGUGAAAAAUGCAGAGAUUUUUCAAAGUGGUGAAAAAUACGAAGAUUUCUCAAUGUGGUGAAAAAUUUUGGAGGUGGUGAGAAAUGCAAAGAUAUCUCAAAAUGGUUUUAUUGUUAUGGGCAAUCGGCCCAAAUGGAAGAAUUUUGAAGGUGGGGAGAAAUGCAAGGACUUCUCAAAAUGGUUUUAUUGUUAUGGGCAACCGGCCCAAAUGGAAGAGUUUGAAGUUGGGGAGAAAUGCAAGGAUUUCUCAAAAUGGUUUCAUUGUUAUGGGCGACCGACCCAAAUGGAAGAAGUUUGAAGAUGGGGAGAAAUGCAAGGAUUUCUCAAAAUGGUUUCAUUGUUAUGGGCAACCGGCCCAAAAUGGAAGAUGAAAAGAGUUUUGAAAGAGAUCUGAUUAUAAUGGGUGACCUACCCGGGCAAAAAGGCACAAUGUCUGAAAGGGACGACAUGAUAGGACUCGAUGGGGAACGAGGGCUGAAGAGCGCACUCGAAAGGAGGUAGGGUUAGAAAAACACACUACCUAAGAGGUGAGUGCUCCAAGGCGCACUCUAAAGGAGGUAAAUAGGGCUAGAAAGCACACCACACAAGAGGUGAGGGCUCGAAGGAGCUCUCAAAAAGAGAGGCAGGGUUUGGAAAACACACUACCUAAGAGGUUAGGGCUCGAAGGCGCACUCUAAAGGAGGUAAGGUUGGAAAACGCACUACCUAACGUGGUUGAUGGCCCUAAGGCGCACUUAAAAGGAGGCAGGGUUGGAAAACACACUACCUAAGUGGUUGAUGGCCCUAAGGCGCACUUAAAAGGAGGCAGGGUUGGAAAACACACUGCCUAAGGGGUUGAUGGCUUUAAGGCGCACUUAAAAGGAGAUAGGGUUGGAAAACACGCUACCUAAAGUGGUGCGGGCUCAAAGGAGCAUUAAAAAAGAGGUAGGGUUAGAAAACACACUACCUAAGAUGGUUGGGUCUCGAAGGAGCUCUCAAGAAGAGGCAAGGUUGGAAAACGCACUACCUAAGAGGUGAGGGCUCGAAGGAGCUAUCAAAGGGAGGUAAGGUUGGAAAACGCACUACCUAUAGGUGAUCGAGGGCUCAAAGGUGCACUCGAAAAGAGGUAAGGAGGUAAGGUUGGAAAACACACUACCUAAGGUGGUUAAUGGCCCUAAGGUGCACUUAAAAGGAGAUAGAGUUGGAAAACGCUCUACCUAAAGAGUUGAUGGCCUUAAGGCAUACUUAAAAGGAGGUAUGGUUAGAAAACACAUUACCUAAGGGGUGAGGGCUUUAAGGCGUACUUAAAAGGAGGUAUGGUUAGAAAACACAUUACCUAAGGGGUGAUGGCUAAAAGACGCCCUCAGAAGGAGGUAGGGUUGGAAAACACACUACCUAAAAGGUUGUGGCUCGAAGGCGCACUAAAAAAGAGGCAGGGUUGGAAAACGCACUGUCUAAAGGGUUAAGGCUCGAAGGCGCACUAAAAAAGGAGGCAGGGUUGGAAAACACACUACCUAAAGUGGUUGAUGGCCCUAAGGCGCACUUAAAAAAAGAGAUAGGGUUGGAAAACACACUACCUAAGAGGUUAGGGCUCAAUGGCCCACUAAAAAAAGAGGUAGGGUUAGAAAAACACAUUACCUAAGGCGCAUUCAAAAGGGGAGGUAGGGUCAGAAAACACACUACCUAAGAUGGUUAAGGGCUCUAAAGCGUACUAAAAAAGAGGCAGAUAGGGCUAGCAAGCACACUAUCUAAAAGGUUAGGGCUCGAAGACACACUAACAAAGAGGUAAGGUUAGAAAACACACUACCUAAAGGGGUGAGUGCUCCAAGGGGCACUCUAAAAGAGGCAGAUAGGGCUAAAAAACACACUAUCUAAAUGAUGAGGAUUCAGCAACCCACUCAAAAAGAGGUGAUGGUGAGACACUAACCUGUCCAGGAUGAAAGAAAUGCAUCAUGAUCAAUAUGCAUGUAUACUUACCUGAGAAAUAUAGGUCCCCUUUUCUUCAUGGAGUUCUCCUUUUCUCAAAAGUUUGAGUCUCUGAUAGUAAGUUUUGAUGGCCUUUGUCCCCCUUGCGUACUCGAGAAAUAUCUUACGAUCUUGGCCUCUAAGAAAGACUUGAUGCCAUCAUUUCUUUGUUCUCCGCCCCUUUUAUCUCAAGGGUUGCAAAUUUUGCCCAAUAGUUUCUUCGAAAGGGAAUCAUGGAGCAAGCUCUACCAGAUGUUUUUGAUUGCCCCCUAGCUUGAUCAUACCCCCAAGUAUUCAAUUCGGGUUUGGGGAUGAGGCUAUGUGAAGGAAGGUUUGACAAGGAGUUGUUUUCAUGCAGAAUUUUUGGAAUUUCAAAGCUAUUCCAGACACAGAAAUCAUUUUAACAUCGAUUCAAAGCGAACUCAUUCUGAAGAAAUUCAAGUGAUUCUUAUGGAGAGGUUUUCAGAAGUGAUGAAAACUUUUUGUUUUGAUUUUGGUGAAAAAAUAUGAAGUGACAUUUGGUUGGUCACAAAAAGUUGAAAUUUCAAUUUGAGGGUUAUUGAGAACCGUUGGUGAAAAUGUGAAGAACACGAAGUGACAUCUGGUUGGUCACAAAAGGUUUAAAUUUCAAUUUGAGGGUUAUUGAGAACCGUUUUCAAAGCAUUCAUUUUAUUUGCAUGAAUAAUGAUUUUAUUUCGCAUGAGAAAGCACUGCCUACCGAUCCAGAUUGCUUGCCUUUGAUCAGAAAGGGCUUGAUUAGGCACGUAAUGUAGGCUUGGGCUUUUGGCUAUGAAGAAAAUGAUAUAUGUAGGCUCAAAAGGUGUUUAAGGGACUUUAAGACUAAGGAUCACAAAUGCUUAUAUCCCAAACUCUUUUGUUCAUACAUUUCUGGACCUUGGAAUUGAUUUGUAAAAUGGUCCACGGUGCCCCCCAGUGUUGGGCUUGGGCUCUUUCUCUUUGUUUUUGUUUUCUUCAUUUGAUUUUGAGCAUCAUUGCAUUGGCCUUGUUUUUUUUUUAUGCUCAGAAUUUUGGAUCCUUUGGAUUUUUUUUCAUGCCCCCUAGCUUUGUAUGGGCACCUUUGAUGAUUGAGAAUUUUUUUUAUGCCCCCUAGUAUUGUUUGGGCACUUUCAUCGUUGAAGACUUUUUCAUGCCCCAAGAGUUAUUUGGGCACUUUCAAUCAUUAUGGAUUUUUUUGCACUUGCCCCCCAGUGUAGGGUGUGAUCCUAGCCAAGGUUAUUUUUCAAGAAAAAUUUAUUAGGCUCAAAAGGGGACUGCAAAUGAUAUAUUUCAGCCUUGUGAAAGGAUUAUCAAAGAUGGCUUUUCUUCAUCUCAAAUGCAUGCAUUUAGGAUCGGUAAGCCUUGCUUUCAUGCGAAUAUGCAAAGUGAUUUCUCAUUAUUCAUGCAAUCAAAACUCAGCUUUGGAGUCACUUCAUGGUAUCUUUUUUUGGGUUUUCUAGGUGUAUUGUUACCUCUCUAAGGAAUCACCUGAAUUUCGAGGACUCGUUUGUUUCGGACAAACAUCAACAUGAUUUCUGUUUUUGUAAUAAGCUUUGAAUUCCCAAAAAUCAUUGUGAAAACAUGUAUGAUCAUGCAUUGUUUUGGGAAGAAAAGGGCAAAAGCACCACAAGAUUUUGGGCGCUGUGGUUUCAUGCUUAAAAGUUAUGCUCAAUGUGUUAUUUGCAUGAAUCAACAACAAAAAUGAAAGCAUGUGAUGAACACAGCAAAACACAUGAUCUUAUUAACAAGAAAGGCUCAGUGGACAGGGAAAGUCUUAUAGUAUUUUGAGCCAAAUUGCCAACAAAAACUGGAAUAGGUUGAAACAAAAAAAAUCAAGUUUUUGGAGGCAUGAUCAAACAGAGGUAGAUAUUUUGGCAGAGUAAGAACAGGCUCCAUUCUGCGACGGGCAUGCAAUUCCCCUUCAAAUUGUGUUGAGGCUCUUGAUCAUGUGGGCCCCCAAUUUCUUCGGGUUGAGUCUUUGUUGGGGCUUUGAACAAAAAUGACUGGCCGAUUGGAAGGACCUUCACUAGAGGCAUUUCUAAGUGUUUGUUCGAGUAAGCUAGUGAGGUGAGCCACACUUGCUUUCAGAGACUCUUAACUCUUCUUGGAAAUGGAUGCUGCGGUGAGCACGCUCUUUGUCUCCAAUGUUUUUCUCUCAAAAUCAGGUGUUGUAGACUCGGAAGGGACCUACUUUUUAUUCUGGUGCAUGCAUGACAAAUAUAUGAACAUGAAAUCUAUAUGAUGAACUCGCCCUUCGAGGGGUGACAACAUGGUCGUAACUCUUGUAUGAUGGAACAAGAAUGUGAUUUUUGCCCAAACUCUACAAUGAAAAUUUUCCGAGUGACGACCAAUGUGUCACCCAAAAUCUUGAGUUCAAGAUGCUUCAAGAAGGGUUCGCCCGAUGCAAAUAAAUGAUAGCACAUACAACCUAAGGACAGUUCUAUUCAUUGUGUGAACAUGGGUAGGUUUUCUACCUGGUCUCAAAAGGGUCUAUGAACUGCCCAGUGACACCUCACGUGAAGGCAGUAUAGGGGUUUACAAGGAAUGGUUGGGGCAUCGUGUGACCGCCAUUACCGAGUAAACACUCAGCUCAUAGUUGGAUGUUUCACAAAUUUGAACCCCGACUGAAAGUCAUGAGGUAGACUGCUACUCCCCACCUAACUUAGAAGCUUGUGUGUGCUUUCAAAAAUAAAUAUGUGAUGCAUGAAACAAUUCUAUAAAAUGCAUGCAUAAAAUAAAACAAGACAAAAAUGACAAAAUUUAAACACAUCAAAUACACAAAGCUUAGUCCAAUAUUGUCAGAAACAGUACCUCCCUAGUGGAGUUGCCAUUCUGUCGCACGUCAAAAAAUCUCGCGCGCGGCAUCGACUGGCGAUUUAUGUCUCGUUGUUGUAUUGCUUGAAUUGGUUCGUUAGGAGUCGCCACCUAGUAUUUAAUUGAGGUUACUAGGAGACCCUGAUUUACUGGUCCUGGUCAGAUAUUCGUGGGCAAGGGACUGAUUGUGGUUAGGGAAGGUAUUAGCACCCCUAACACACCCUACCUGAGGUAAGCUGCUCGUGGACUUGAUGUGUUAAAGAAGUUUUAAAAAUUUUGUCUUUUCAUCGGAUUUUAGAAAUACAACUUCCGUACAAGUUUGUACUUCUACACCGUGAUCCAAUCAAAAUAUUAAAUCCUUCUUUAUUCUUGCAAUCUCGUCAUAAAAAAACUUUCAAGCUUCGUGAGCUUGAUGUAUUUUAAAAUAAAAUUUUAGCCCAAUUCUAAGGCUUUAAUAAAUCAGUUAUUAAUUCCAAAUAGAUGUAAAAACAUUUUACACAGGAAAUACAACAUGAUUUAUUUAUCCUCAAAAUUUGUGCAUUAAAUUAAACACUUAAUUCUUUUUGUCUUUUUUUAUUUUUAUAAUUCAAUAACAUAAAUAAAAAAACAAACACACACACACACAUCUCUUUUUAUUAUGUCUUUUUUUUAUACACCCACAUUUACAUAUUACAAAAUAGCAAAAAUUCAAAAUUUACCCAAACAAGGCCUUAAUAGUUUCAAAAUUACAGAAAAGACCCCCCCAAAACACAGAAUUGCAGGAAAGCCUUCUGGGGUCACUUUGACAAGUGGCGGCGCGUGGACCUCACGCACCACCGUCACUGGCGGCGUGUGGAUUCACUUGUCGCUGCCGAUGAAGACCAGCAACCUAGUGGAUCAGGAUCGUCUCCUUCUUCUCUUCCCGUCCGUACCGGCAGUGCAUCUCCUAGUCACCUGCACAAGAAGCAAAAACACACAAACACAACAAAUGGCAGUUGAUUUUAAUCUUUUUUUUCUUUGCAGAUCUGUUCUCGGGUCUGUUUUUUAUCUGCUUUGCUGCAGAUUGGUUUACUUGUUCGUCAUCUUCUCCUUUGUCCCAUGUACUGGCGCCGAGGAGUGCUGGAGGAAGAAGGAUUGGAAGUCAGAUCGUCCGGGGAGAGAGGAGCUGUGGUUGAUUCGCCAUAUCUGGCGAGAAGAAAGGAAAUCUGAUCUGGGAGGGGCUGUGCAAGGGCACUGGCCGAGUGAGAGUUGAGGGAAAAAUGGCGUUCGUCUUCAACAGGGAAGCGAAAGAAGAAGAUGGGGAUCCGGUGGAUUUUUUAGGGCCAGCAAAAUCAAGAAAAGGGGCGGCCAGUUUUGAAAGGGAGCGGGUUCGAUUCUUUGGCAAAGAGGGAGUAUUGUUUUUUUUACCCGGGGGGUGAGCAGGGCUUAAGGUGAACCGGCUGAGGGAGAAGAGAAAAAAAAAUCAACAGGGGAAGGGUCUAGGGGAGCUGGCAGCUGUGAUCAGAGAAUAAGGAAAAACUUUCCCAAAAGGGGGGGGUCUCCCUGGCGGCUGCUUUCAGAGGGAAGAAGAAAAUUUAGUUUUUUAGGGUUCUCUCUUUCCUCCUAAAAUUACAAAAUGAACCCCCUUAACUUUGAGUUAAAAGGUGCUAUUUAUAGGCAAAAUAUUUUUUCGGGCUUCAAAAUUGGUCCCUCAAUUUUUAUGUUCAAGUCACUUGGUAAAAAUUAAAUUUGGUCUUAAAAUUUCAAUCUUUUCAAUUCAGUCCAAAUUAAGCUCCCAAACUUAAUUUUUCACCAAUUAAGCCCCCAAAUUAAUUUGACCCAUUUAAAGUAUAAUUAAGUCCUUACACUUAAUUAAAUCCUUCAAUUGGACCUAAAUUAAUUCUUAAACAUAAUUAAAAUUUAAUUUGGCCCAUGAUUAAAUCAAAUUGGCCCAUUAAAAAUUUAAUUAUGUCAUUUGACUUAAUUUUUAUGCAAAUUCAUCCAAUAAUCAUUUAAUUUGACCUUCGAAUAUGCAUUUAAUUUGACCUUUGAUUUUUGCCUAUUUUUGCAGUCCUUUUUUAUCAGCUUUCUCCACAUUGCCAGCUUUUAUUUUAUUUUUUUGAUUUUUGAUUUUGAAAAAAAGUGAAUUUUGGGGAAUAACCCAAAAUUGGGUUAUGACAAACAUGAUCAUAUUAAUUAUCUUAUUUACAUAACACCAAACUUUUAAAUAUUGUUAGGAAUUCAUGAUGUUAACAACAAAUCAAGUUCCUUUCAUAGCCCAGGUGUAGGUAAUACCAUACGGUUGCGCUAUGAGAGUGCCAAGCAUUUGUUGUACCAACUAUUAUACAACACAAAUCUAGAUUAACCAUUUAACAAGCAAGGUAUUAAGAAUUAGGAAGAUAAAAAGAUAAGAUAUGUUAAUAUUAAACAUUAAGGUCCAUGUUGAGUUUACACCAUACUUAUUCUUACACCAUUAGGGUAACCUUUUCACCUUGACAUAAUAAACUUAGCUAAAAAUAAUGAAGAAGAGAAACAUAAAUAAACAAAACAAGAACAUAAAGAAAAUACAAGUUAACUAAGUAAAGGAAAGGAAAUGAAAAGCAUAAACAAGAUAUUAAUGAAAGCAAAACUUAAAAAUUACAAAAAAAAUAUAAAGAGAGAAAUAAAGAGCAUGAACUUGAUCUGAACAACCAAGCCCCCAAAUGCAUGGCAAAUGCCUCCUUUUAUAGGCCAAAAUUCAGAAUUAUUGAUUUGAUGACUAAUUGUUGAGUGGGUGACCAACUUUUGACUUGGUCAAAAUGCUUAUCUUCUCGUCUGAAUAAAACAAAAAUGGUACCAUCCGAACUGGGUCCACUGGAAAACAUGAAAGUUGUAGGAAAUUGACUGCACUUUCCAUGAAAAAAAAAAUGGAGGUCAUUUGGACUUCUAUAACUCUAGAUAUGGGCCAAACACUGAACAAUGUUCGGGCUGAAGGACAGAUUCAGACUUCUCCGUUGUUGCUAUAAUUUGGACUUGCAAACGGCCUUCUUAGAUCUUGAUGAAAACAUGAAAGUUGUAGGCCUAUGUCUUACCAAAUCUUUGUAACAAUAUGAGGUCAUUUGGACAUCUAGAACUCGAGAUAUGACCCAAUUACCGAAUAGUGUUCCAGUUUGGACUGCACCAACAUCUCUUUUCUAAGUUUCACCCUCUCUUUAUCUUCACAAAUUUCAGUAGUUGAAUUCAUCAAUCAAUCCUUUGAUUUAUGUGAUAGGCCUGCAUUUAAGAUGAACAUUUACCAUAUAUUAAGGCAUUUUAUAGUAUUAGACUUGUUAUUAUAAAACAUGCUUUAGUUAAGGAGUUAUUGAUACUUUAAGUGCAAAAUGAUGAUAUAAAACCUUGAUAAAUAUGCACUUUUAAGUACUAAUCACACCCCCAACCAGCUUAUUACUAGUCCCUAGUAAUCAAAGCGUUAAAAUAGAAAAAACAAUUUGCAAAUUCCAUAAAUCAAGGCAUUCAUCAUUCAACUUACUUUAAUCUAUCCAGAUAAAAAACUCUCAUUAAAUUCAUAUAUCUGCUCAAUACCUCUUAAACAAGAUAUUACUAAACCUUUUUUUGUGCUCAAAAUAUCAACAUAUAGUUAUGGGGCUUUACUUGGAAGAAAAACAAAUUUUGUUCUAAUGUUUAAGGUUAACUUCCUUAGUUGGGAUUAUUUUUUCUUUAUAUUUAUUAUUUAUAUACACAUACAACUUGAAACACAAUGUAUCUUUAACCCAUGUAACGAGUUUUAGGCUAAUGACUCCCAGACCAGUUGGUCUUAGGCAUUAGGUGUUGAGACACCCCUACGAGCUUAGCAACUCGGGUUGCAGAUACUGAUACGUAGAUAGUGCAAUGUUUGAUUCCCUUAAGCUUUUCUCCUCAACCCAUGUAACAAGCGUUGGGCCAAUAGCUCCCAAGUCAGUUGACUUUAGGGUAUUAAGUGUUAAAACACCCCUUCGGGCUUAAUUGCUUAGGUUAGGGAGGCUACGAAACCAAACUUAUCUACCUUUUUAUUAUCAUUUGUUUUUGUUUUUUUUUUUUGCAAAUUAUGUACUAUCCCUUUCCCUUAGUUGUUACCUUUAACAAAAGAACAUAAAUAAUAUAAUAAUCUAAUGUGCAACCCACAAUCAUAUGUUAAAGUGUGUGUGUGAAAAUGAGGAUUUAAGAAUACUUGUUAAAUGAGCAUAUGAGCAGAAUCAAGUGCUACCAAUACGAGAGUUUGUAAACCUGAAUAUUUCAAGAAGUAUUCUGAUAGACCUUGUUAAGAAUGUUUACUAAGAUGCGUCUCAAGAGUCACUUUAACAAAAGAACUCCUUUUACUCUGCCAUCCUAGUAACAACAGUUUUGCAAAUAGUUUAUGAAAUAGAAAACACUUUUUUUUUUUUAAUAUCAACUACUACCCUUUCCCCCCAACCAAAAUGAGACAUUGUCCUCAAUGUCUUAAGGUAGAAAGAUAGAGUAUAGAAGACAUCACCUGAAAUAGCAAACACUAACAAACCUGAAACACACUUAAACAAAUAUAAGAAACAACAAAACACAAUAAUAAAACCAAAAGACGCAAAUAUUUAUAGAUGAGAAAUUGAAAAUGCAAUCACACCACCUAUAUGUAGGCCAGUCGUAGUCUCACUCUCUCUCUCUCUCUCUCUCUUUAUUAUUUAUUUAUUUAUUUUGAAAAAGCAUGUGUAUGUACAGGUAGUUGUGAUUGUGGCUCACAUCUUUCUUGGUUUUACGUCCAAGAACGGCUUAAACGCCCUCUAUGGGUCGGGGAUAGGCUUCCCAUCCAGUUUUCUUAAAAACUGGCAAACAGGUCUUUUUUAGUCAGAUUCCCAAGACUAAGUCGAGCAUGUUCUUUAUGGAAUUGUGGCCAUAAAUCAUAAAUUGCAUGAUGCACAUCUCCACUAGGGUGCGUCUCAAGAGUCAAUAGAAGAUUAUCUAAAGACCCCUUACUCAGGCCAUCCUUAAUGAAUUGUAUUUUAUCUUCACGGUUUACAGAUACCAUUCCUAAAGAACGACAUGUCGCAUUACAAGUCCAUCUGGCACAUCUGUGACAGACUUUCAGUCGUUUUGCACGACGUUUCUUUGCAAAAGUGCUUUUACCUGUUCCAGGCAUGUGUGAAAUGAAAGAAUUGGAGGACUCACCUGAUAAUCAGACCUUUGCUUCAAUCAGCCAACGAAUAUCUUCAGGAAUUCCAUGGUUCAUUAACAACCUCAAUCUUGCACAUCUAGCACGGUAAAUUUUUGUAAUCGCAUUCUAAGGCAGAGCGGGAAAAUACUUUUUCAAUUUUUCAAGAGUGGUGUCCAUUUUCAAAUGAGAAUUGGGAGAGAUUCAAAGAAAGAGAAAGAGCAAAGAAUUGCACAAAUAUAUACACAGAUAUCAGUUAUCAUGGGAAACUGAAAGAACCGACUUAAGAGUCACGGAGUACCGUUAUCCGCCAUUUGACCGGGGUGAGAGAAACUAGCAAAACAAAAGUCAAAAAAAAAACACAAAAAAAUGUGAGAAAAAAAAAUAAUCAACCUUUAUAUACAAGAUCAUUCAAACCAAUGGAUUCAUUUUCACUAAAACUCAUCAAAGUAAGCUUUCAACCGAUGCCCAUUUUCCUUCAAAACAUUGUCAUUCUUUGAAUUCUCAAUAUCAAGGGUCCCAUAUGGAUAUACAUGUUUCAAAAUAAAUGCACCGCUCCAUGUUGAUCUUAUUUUUUCAGGAAAUAAAUGGAGUCGAGAAUUAUAAAGCAAAACUUUUUGACCAGUAUCAACUUUUUGACAAUUUUCACAAGUUUUGCAGAAUGCAUGCGUGUCCUUGAACAUGGUGGGCCAAUAAAAUCCUUUUUGUAAGAUUUUUGCAGUCGUCUUUCUUGAUGAGAAUUGACUCCCACAUGCUUCAGAAUGACAAAGUUUAAUGACACUACUUACCUCAUUGUCAGGAAUACAUCUUUGAAAUUUUUGAUCAGGACAAUAUUUAAAUAAGUUAGGGUCAUCCCAAUAAAAGUUCUUCACUUCAUUCAAAAACUUUCCUUUGUGUUCAGUACUCCAGUGAGCUGGAAAAUCUCCUGAAGCAAGAAAAUUGAUAUUUUUAGCAAACCAAGGCAUUGAACUAAGAGAAAGUAAGGAUUCGUCAAGAGAGUAAUCAUCGAUUGGUGGGAUGUCAGAUGUCAAAUCUAUUGUCACUCUUGACAAAAGAUCGGCAUCAACAUUUUUUAUGCCUUUUUCAUCCAUGAUUUCUUCCCGAAAAUAAAUCAUUUAAAAAUCUUCAGAUUCAUCCAACUCAAUUUUACUCAAAGUAGAUUCAAGUUGAUCAUGAACUAAUUCUUCAAUAUGAUCUACUUCUUGUAAAUCAUUAUCAUCUCCAGGCUGCUUGCAAACGUUGAAAAUAUUCAUCUCUAAUGUCAUGUUUCCAAAAGAUAACUUCAUGAGUCCAUUCCUACAAUUAAUCAAUGCAUUAGAAGUUGCAAGAAACGGACGUCCUAAAAUAAUAGGAAAUGAAUUACAUGCUUCAACAGGUUGCGUGUCCAAGACAAUAAAAUCCACAGGAUAAAUGAAUUUAUCGACUUGUACUAACACAUCUUCAAUUAUUCCUCUAGGCACUUUUACAGAUUUAUCGACAAGUAAAAGAGUUACAGAAGUUGGUUUUAACUCACCUAGAUUGAGACUUUGAAAAAUUGAAUAUGGAAGUAAAUUCACACUAGCUCCAAGAUCAAGUAAAGCUCUUUCAAUUUUAUGUUCUCCAAUAAAGCAAGAAAUUGUAGGACAACCAGGGUCUUUAUAUUUCAAAGCAUUAUUGUUCUGAAGAAUGGCACUUACUUGUUCGGCUAAAAAGGCUUUCUUUUUCACAUUCAGUUUUCUCUUCACAGUGCAUAGAUCUUUCAAAAAUUUAGCAUAGGAAGGUACCUGUUUAAUAGCAUCCAACAAAGGUAUAUUGAUCCUUACCUGUUUGAAAAUUUCAAGAUUUCAGAAUUGUGAUUGACUUUCCUUUGUUUGGUCAUGGCAUGAGGAAAUGGAAGUGCUGGCGGAGAAUCAGUCUUUUCUUCACAAUGUUCAGAUUCAACCCCUUCCUUACCCUCAGAGAUUGACUCAUCAUCUUUCUCACAAGGUUCAAGAGUGGGUUUUUCAAUAACCUUACCACUGCGAAGAGUGAUGACUGAUUUGACUUGAUCCAUGUGUUGGCUUCCAGAACUACUUGCAUUUGCAUUGUAUUGCCCCUUUGGAUUUUGUUGUGGUUGAGAUGGAAACUUACCUUUCUCUUGAAAACUGAGAGCAGAUGUUAACUUUGCAAGAGUAUCUUUAAAAUCUGUCAUGCUUUGAGCAAGUUGAGUGUUGAUUGUCUCUUGCUUUUCAAUGAAUGCAUGCAAUGUUUCCUCAAGAUUUCUUCUAGGAGGUGGAGCAUAAGGAGGUGCAUAUCCAUGAGAAUUUUGGAAAUUAUGGUGUGCUUGAAACGGUGGCUGUGAAGUUUGUGCAUUAUUGUUAUCACUCUUCCAACUGAAAUUUGGGUGAUUUCUCCAACCAGGAUUGUAUGUUUGCGAGUAUGGGUUAUGAUUGGGCCUUUGGAAACUGUUUAAAGCAUGGGCUUGUUCAUGGAGGCAUUCCUUGAAAGAAGGCAAAGUUGGACAUCAUUGGUUGCAUGUUCAUUUGUUUCACAGAUUUGACACACAAUGUCUUGAACAGAUUUUAAUUGACCACUCUUUUUCAAUUCUAGUGCCUCGACUUUUCUAGCUAAAGAUGCAAACUUGGCUUGGAGGUCAUGAUCUUCCCUAAGGUUAUACAUACCUCCACUAGAUGUAUGAGGUUGGUUUUACUUGGUGCCUCAUAAGUACCUGUAGUGUCCCAAUUUUAUGCAUUUUCAGCUAGCAAGUCUAGGUACUCCAUUGCUUCAUUAGGGUCUUUAUCUUCAAAGUUCCAUUGCACAUCAAUUCAACCAUUUGCCUAUCUUUAGGUGUUAACCCUUCAUAAAAUUGUGAAACCAAUCUCCAUGUUUCAAAACCAUGAUGAGGGCAAGUAUUAAGCAAGUCUCGAUACCUAUCCCAACAUUGGUAAAAUGUUUCACCUGGUUUUUGAGUGAAAGUGGUGAUUUGUCUUUUGAAAGAGUUGGUUCUGUGAGAUGGAAAAAACUUCUUUAAAAAUUGUUGUUGCAUUUCAUCCCAAGCACGAAUGGAUCCUGACCUAAGAUUUUGUAGCCAUGUUUUAGCUUUAUCUUUUAAUGAAAAAGGAAAAAGCUUUAAUCUAAUGGUAUUCAUGCUACAAUUUAAGUCAUUAUAGGUGUUACAAACUUCUUCAAAUUCUCUCAAAUGCAAGUAUGGAUUUUCUAGAUCUAAGCCAUGAAAAGAAGGUAAAAGUUGAAUAAUGUCUGGCUUAAAAUUAAAAUGGAUGCAUCAGGAGGGAAAACUAUGCAUGAGGGUGCACUUGUUCUUGUGGGAUUCAUGUGGUCUCUAAGUGUCCUAACACGGUUAUUCUCAUUAUUCUCAUUAUGAAGUGACUGGUUAUCUUCUUCGGCCAUAUUUUCUGAAAAUGAUGAGGAUACCCUACAAAGUCUACCACUUAAUGUACGUGACCAAACACUCAUGCACGUGUAGAAAGAGAAUAAAAGGAAGAAGAAAACAAAAGAAAAAGAAACAAAACAAAAGAAACAAAGUUAGAUACAAGAAAAGUGAAAAGAGAAAACAAAAUAAAUACUAUAAUUUGUACAAGAAUUUACCUCCCCGGCAACGGCGCCAAAAACUUGACACGACCAAAAGAUUGAUGUCUUCUCCCAAGUGCAGGAGUGUCGAAGUAAUAAAUAACCCGGCAAGACCGGGGUCGAACCACAGAGAGGUUAAUCGUAUAAAUUAUAAAUAACAAGACAACAACAACAACAAUAAUAAUAGCAAUAAUAGUAAUAGUAAUAAUAAUAAUAAUAAUACUCAGUACGUGGCGUUGUUAUACUUGAGAAUGAUCUAAAAGAUCGGGUCACAGGUUUUCAGCCUAUAUAUUGAGUUUAUGAAAAGAUCAAAGAGAUAUAUUAUAUAAUAUAAACAGAAUGUAAAUAAUAAUAAUAAUAAUAAUAAUAAUACUAAUAAUAUUAAUAGUAAUAAUAAUAGUAAUAGUAAUAGUAAUAGUAGUAGUAGUAGUAGUAGUAGUAGUAGUAGUAGUAGUAAUAAUAAAAAGAAGAGGAGGAAGAAAUUAAUGAAAACUUUGAGAUGGAAGAUUAAUGUAAGGAUUAGACAAUGAUAAAAACAAAUGUCAAGGUUAGAGGAUCCACUAAUGGUAUUUCAAACAAGUAUAGUAUAAACUCUUAUUACUCAAUUUGGAAACCACACACGAAGGAGAUUCCAAUCGGAUGAUUUGUCAUUAAUAGCUCAUUAUAAAUUAUUAACAUGAUCAUAUUAAUUAUCUUAUUUACAUAACACCAAACUUUUAAAUAUUAUCAGGAAUUCAUGAUGUUAACAACAAAUCAAGUUCUUUUCAUAGCUCAGGUGUAGGUAAUACCAUAUGGUUGGGCUAUAAGAGUGCCAAGCAUUUGUUGUACCAAGUAUUAUACAACACAAAUCUAGAUUAACCAUUUAACAAGCAAGGUAUUAAGAAUUAGUAAGAUAAAAAGAUAAGACAUGUUAAUAUUAAACAUUAAGGUCCAUGUUGAGUUUACACCAUACUUAUUCUUACACCAUUAGUGUAACCUUUUCACCUUGACAUAAUAAACUUAGCUAAACAUAAUGAAGAAGAGAAACAUAAAUAAACAAAACAAGAACAUAAAGAAAAUACAAGUUAACUAAGGAAAGGAAAGGAAAUGAAAAGCAUAAACAAGAUAUUAAUGAAAGCAAAACUUAAAAUUACAAAAAAUAUAAAGAGAGAAAUAAAGAGCAUGAACUUGAUCUGAACAACCAAGCCCCAAAUGCAUGGCAAAUGCCUCCUUUUAUAGGCCAAAAUUCGGAAUUAUUGAUUUGAUGACUAAUUGUUGAGUGGGUGGCCAACUUUUGACUUGGUGAAAAUCCUUAUCUUCUUGUCUGAAUAAAACAAAAAUGCUAGCAUCAAACUGGGUCCACUGAAAACAUGAAAGUUUAGGAAAUUGACUCAGCUUUCCAGAAAAAAAAAUGAGGUCAUUUGGACUUCUAUAACUCUAGAUAUGGGCCAAACACUGAACACUGUUCGGGCUGUAGGACAGAUUCGGACUUCUCCGUUGUUGCUAUAAUUUGGACUUGCAAACGAGCUUCUUAGAUCUUGAUGAAAACAUGAAAGUUGUAGGCCUAUGUCUUACCAAUUUUGUGUAAACAUUUGAGGUCAUUUGGACAUCUAGAACUCGAGAUAUGACCCAAUUACCAAACAGUGUUCCAGUUUGGACUGCACGAACAUCUCUUUUCUAAGUUUCACCCUCUCUUUAUCUUCACAAAUUUCAGUAGUUGAACUCAUCAAUCAAUCCUUUGAUUUAUGUGAUAGGCCUGCAUUUAAGAUGAACAUUUACCAUAUAUUAGGGCAUUUUAUAGUAUUAGACUUAUUAUUAUAAAACAUGCUUUAGUUAAGGAGUUAUUGAUACUUUAAGUGCAAAAUGAUGAUAUAAACCUUUGAUAAACAUGCACUUUUAAGUACUAAUCAUAUAACCAUAGGGAAGAUCAUGACCUCCAAUCCAAGUUUGCAUCUUUAGCUAGAAAAGUUGAGGCACUAGAAUUGAAAAGGAGUAGUCAAUUAAAAUCUGUUCAAGACAUUGUGUGUCAAAUCUGUGAAUCAAAUGAACAUGCAACCAAUGAGUGUCCAACUUUGCCUUCUUUCAAGGAAUGCUUCCAUGAACAAGCCCAUGCUUUAAACAGUUUCCAAAGGCCUAAUCAUAACUCAUACUCGCAAACAUACAACCCUGGUUGGAGAAAUCACCCAAAUUUUAGUUGGAAGAGUGGAAUAGUCUUGAUAAUUUCAAAGGAAAUAAUGCUGGAAUUUUUUAUUAUAACUUUUCUUUAACCUGAGCUUAUAGGUAAAUGGAAAAUUGAAAUAACAAGUUCGAAAGGAAUUAUUUUAGAGAAACUGAAUAAAAAAGAACGAUGCUGAAUUGAUAAAUCCUAAUCUAGAUUUCUGAGCAGUUUCGAGGUAGCCCGGGCCUCCUGGGUGAAUGAGAUUUACUUCAAAGUAAUUUCUUGCCUCUUGCUACGCCUCCCUUCCCCCUUUUAUUGUGGCUUUCGUACCUACAUGUGGGUUGUGCAUGUAUUAUAGAAAAUAGUCUCGUUACUUUUUAGAUAAUUAAAGAGAUUUGAAAGUUUAAUGGUUAUUUAAAGGUUAAAUUAAACAAAUUCAAGAUCAAUGUUCAAAAUAAAAAAGGUGUUGAAAUCCAAGGCUAAAAUUGAAGUUUAUCAAGGGCAAAAUUACACAAAAUUUAAAGCUCAAAGCCGAUCAAGGGUGUAAUUAAGAGAAAUCACAAAUCAAAAGACUAAAUUGAACUUUACCAAAAUGGCGCUGUUUUGGUUACUAUUCAUUUUCUUCUUAUUUUUUUCCUUGAAAAGACUGCUCAUGAAUUACUUUUCAAGGACAUUCAAUGUAUGCUUCAUUUCUCUACCAAAUUUGACAAAACUUACACGAAAAUGAUCGUCUAACAUCUAAUUACACCUCGGUGUGGUACUUUAUGGCCAAUUGACACCAUAACUGUCGUGGUAACAGCCCAAAGAGGCCUAUUUAGGUAGCCUUCAACUGUCAAAUUUAAUAGUUCAUGAUGCCAACUUUGAGCCAAUGGUUGAUAUCCUUCAGGGUUGAAUCAAGGGCCAAGUUUGACAACACAGGAACCCAACCACUACCUCAGCAUUGUCUUGUGCCACUAGCAAUUCCACCAUCCUCUACAAGACCGGUGACGACAGUCGUGACCCAUCUACUAGGUGAGCUCCGUCUUCUCUUCCCCCUCUCAUAUGCAUGCAGGAUGUGAAAUAAUUCACGUUCUGCAACUGCUGGCUUCUAACAGUAGAUGCAAAUUAGGUUGGACUCGUUUUGGCCUUGCCUAGAUGGUUGAGACGGAUCUAACCCACCCCUAAAAGGAGGAGGAGGAGGAGGAGGGUCUGCUGGGCCGCUAAUUGGCUAACUCGAAUGAGUUGGGCUGGACCAGGUCAAGCUCAAUUUAUAUUUCACAUAAUAAUAAUAAUAAUAAUAAUAAUAAUAAAUCCCAAAAAAUUUCAAGGGUCAUUUCAAAAUAUUUAUGAUUUUACGCAAGUUUUUUCAAUAAUUUUGUAUAAUAUUAGGUUGUAUAUUAUUAUAAGAUACAAAUCUGAUAUUAAAAUAUCAGGUAUUCUUCAAAACAUUUCUUUAAAAAUUUAAAAAAAUCUCAAUUUUUUUAAAAUUAAUUUCAUCUAAAAAAAUAAAAAAUAUUUUAUUUUCAUGCAUACGACCGAAUCCUAAAAGUUUUCCAAGCAUAUUUUCAUAAAAAAAAAUACAUCUUUCUCAUGUUUUAAAAUAUAAAAUGGAUAUCAUGACUAGCUUAUGAUUUUCUCUUAGGGUUUAGCCAAAGCACUAAAAAUCCUUCACUAAUCAUUUUGUUCAUUUUAUAUUUAAAGUGUUAGGAUUUAAUUGUAGACUUUAAUAUUUGGAGGUAUAAAACUACAUUGUAAAGUAUAUACCUUUAGGUAUUAAAGAUACAUAGUGCAAAAUAAAUUUGAUGCUAAAAUUUAGACUUUAAAAAGAUUAAGAUUUAAUUUGAUAAGAUAGAGACUUUCUUAUGAAGAGAAAUCUACUUUGAACGUUAGACAAGACCAACAAAUAGAAAUACAAAAUAGAAAAACAAUCAAUUAUUACAAUUAUAAGUUUAUAUAAAAAUAUUCCUAAUUUAUUAAAUUUAUAAGUUUACUAAAAGUAAAAGAAAAGCAUACUAAAAGGAAGAUAACAGUUUGAAUACAUAAUAAAAGAUAAAACUAAAGUCUACCUAGCUAUAACAAAAGAAUACAAACAAACAAAUUGUGUUUGUGUGUGUGUAAAGGUUAGUUAUCAAUUCAAAUAUACAAACAAAUUGAGUAAUACGCAACUAAUAUUAAUAUUAGGGAAUCGCAACAAUUCCCAUACACCAUCAUUAAAACACAAUUCUUUUUAUUUUAUUUUGGCCUCUUCUUGACUAUACUAUCUAUUUCCUUUACUCUUCAUUUGUAAUUCUUUGCCAAAAAGCCCUUACUCUUACAUAUAAUUAUAAAUACUUCACACUAAUAACUUUAUAUCAUGUGGUAUAUUGGAUUAUCAAAGUUGUGGCCUUAUAAUGCAGUUAGCUUAGUUCUAUCUGAUGUCUUUGAUUUCCCUUCCUAGAAUAUUCUAAAAGGCAUAUGAUAUGUAGAUCCUCACUCGAAUGACCAACUCAUAAACACCCGACCCAUAAUCUCCACUCAUGUGGUCAACUUAUCAAUUAAUUUUAUAUUUCUUUGAUAUUUCUUUUUUUUUUAGAUGCAAACACAAUAACAAGAAAUUUAAAAGUAAUAUUGCUUUAAAUAAAAGUAAGGUGGAUUGCAUCCACUUGCUCCUUUCAAUGAUCUAGUUUCUUAUGUGGAGAAUACAACUACUAGUGCCUCUCUUUAUAAAAAGGAAGAUGCAAACAUCAGUUUAUAGAAUUUCAUUAUACCUUAAUUUAUACGCCUUUUAAAUACACUACAACAUUUAAUAGUUUUAUUGACGGUCCUAGUCCACAUUCUGUUGGUAAAAAAAAAAUACCGAUGGUUUUACAGACGGAAAAUACUGGCAAAAAAAAAAUCCCGCUGGAAAUAUUCUGUCGGUGAUCGUGGCAUAUGAAGUAAAUAUUUUUCAACUCUUAGUAAAAUGCCAACGGACAUUAUUUGUCUGUAUAGGUGUCAGUAAUUAUGGCGUAUGCGGUAAAUAUUUUUCAACUCUCUGUAAAAUACCAACAGAAUGUUUCCAUUUGCAGAGACGUCAAUGAUUGUGGCAUUUCCAGUAAAUAUUUUUCAAUUCUCUGUAAAAUACCGAUGGAGAAGGUCUAUUUGUAAAUCAAUCGGUGGUGUUUUAAAAACAAAAUUUUUAAAAAAUUAUUUAGAAUAAAUAAUAUAAAAUUAUAUAAAUUAAUAGUAAAAAAACCAAUUAUGCAAAUAAGAUUGUAUUAAACAUCAAAAAUAUAAAAAUAAAGUUUAAUAAUAUUUAUCUAAAUAUUCAUUACAAAAAAAUUAAACUAGAACAAUGGCGGAGCUGGAGGAGGAGGUGGUGGUGGAGGUUGGUCGUUCCCGGGACUAAACGACCAAAAAGAAGGCGCACAUGUAUCACCCAUGUGUGAUCUAAUGUCCAUGACCAUUUGACGGAGUUGGUCAUAAUUUGUCGAGAGUCACUCGUAUUUUUCUAUGAGAUGAGUCGUGUGUUGCUGCAAGGCAACAAACUCCUUAGAUUAGGUGCUCAAUACUGAUUGGAAGCUCCCAAUGGUUGAGACACUAUAGGCCGCCCGCAAGUUCUCGGCCGUAGUGUUGGAGAGACUGUACACCUAAUUUGUAUCGGUCCACUAGACAAUCACACCUCCAUCCAUAAAUCUGGAACGAAAUCCAGAUGGGUCGAAGGAUCGUCCCCAUAUCUCUCCCUCAAUUGGUUAUAUUAUUGGUCUCCUGAAAAUGAAAAAAGAAAUCAUCAUAUUCAAUUCAAGAAAAAUAAUAACUUAUAAAAUAAAAUGGUUGAACCAAGGUUGUCAACUCCAUUUCGGUAGGUGUUUCGUUUUUUCAAUUGGAAUGGAAUGUUUCGGUUUUCGAGUGUUUCGGAUUGUACUAUUUAUAUAUAUAUAUAUAUAUAUUGUUGUAACCUAAUUUUUGGACUUACCAAGAUUUUCUUGAAUAUUAUUUUAUUUCUAUUAUUAUUUAUAAAAAUCCAAAAAAAAAUCAAUUUCUUUUUCAAAAAUAAAAAAUAAAAAAUAAAAUAAAGGCUGACAAUGUGGAGAAAGGAAAUCGGGGAAUCAAGCUGCAAUUUUGGAGGAAGUUCAAGGCCUAUUGUACCUUAUUGUGCCCAAAAAUGAAGAAAAAAUGAAAUUCAAGGUCAAAUUAAAUGAUUAUCUGGAUGAAUUUGCAUAAAAUUAAAUUCAAUGACAUAAUUAAUUUUUUAAUGGGCCAAUUGAUUUAUCAUGGGCCGAAUUAAAUUUGAAUUAUGUUUAAGAAUUAAUUUGGGUCUAAUUGAAGGAAUUAAUUAAGUGCAAGGACUUAAUUAUACUUUAAAUGGGUCAAAUUAAUUUUAUUUGGGGCUUAAUUGGUGAAGAAUUAAGUUUGGGAGUUUAAUUUGGGCUUAAUUGAGAAAAUCCGAAUUUUAAAGGACCACAUUUAAUUUUUACCAAGUUAAUGAGGGGGUUAAUUGCAUUAAAUAAAAAGGUUUAGGGUCAAUUAGGGCUCAAUUGAAAGAGAGAGGACUGAAAUGAACUUUGACCAAAAAUCACUGUUCAUUAUCUUCUUUAUUUUUUCUGAAAAAGCUGGUCUGGUUGACUACUUUGCAGCUGCAUUUGAUCUACCUAAUGUCCACCGAAUUUAACAAAUCUUAUAUGAAACGGAUUCUAUGCAUUUUGUCUACUACCCCAUGUGAUCAGGUUGGGCCAAAUGACAAUAUAUUAGCACUGGUGGUAGCCUAAAGAGGCCUACUCAAUCAGCUUUUGCCUGCAGAUUUUGUUUUUUUUCUCUGAAAAAGCUGGUCUGGUUGACUACUUUGCAGCUGCAUUUGAUCUACCUAAUAUCCACUGAAUUUAACAAUUCUUAUAUGAAACGGAUCCUAUGCAUGUUUUCUACAACUUCAUGUGAUCAAGUUGGGCUAAAUGAUAAUAUAUUAGCACGGGUGACAGCCUAAAGAGGCCUACUCAAUCAGCUUUGGUCUGCAGAUUUUCAACUCAUGAUACCUACUUUGAGCCAAUGGUUGGGAUCCUUCCCAACUGAAUCAAGGGCUUAAAUUUUUCCUCAAUGUAGACAAGAUUGCCCUCUUCCACCGCCUAUAAAUAGAGGUGGAUUUCAUGGCCUGAAAAAGGAGGAAAUCAGGUCCAAACUCAGCCAAAAACCAGUUUUUCUUCCUGUUUCUGCACAUUUAUUUUUUUUCUAUCUCUCCACCUCUUCCACAGCUGCCUUCUCCGGCGACAAUACCAACACACCCGGCCUACACACCACCAAAAAUACAAGCUCCACCAUAGGAAGUCGGCACAACCACCAAGCAGCCACCGUGACUCCCUCUCUCUCUUCUGCAGACCUGUUUCAUCCUCCUUCUCUGCUACCGCAACUUCAACAGUAGCAGCAGAGGCAGCAACCACAUCUUAUAGGGGCUUUAAUCCUUUGAAACAGCAGCAGAGGUGGUGACUCUCUCGUCAUAGCGGCGACUUGAACAGCUCCAACCGUUAGCAACUCCAGCACCGACUACGGCAGCUCCUGUAACGUGAGCAGCAGCCACUCCUUGGAGCACCACCAACUCUUCUCCAGCCACAUCAUCACAGCAACCACGACUCCUUCAGCCAGGUGAGCCUCCAUUCCUUUCCUACUGUUCAUGCAGGACGUGAGAUAUAGAUGUGUGUGUGUGCAUGUGCGUGUGUGUCUUGUCAUGGAUGUAUUGAACUUGUAUUGGACUAAAAAGGGGGUCUGCAAAUUUAAUUUCUGCCGUCUUCAAUGCAUCUCUGUAAGUAAGUGAUCAUUAUUUGUGAUUUGAUAAAAAUCUUGUCUUCCUGAUCCGUUGCUUCUUGUAUAAUUGUUACUUAUAGCAGUUAGAUUAUUUGACUGGAUUGCAAAAUAUGUAAUGCCGUAAUUAACCAUAAAUUUGUUAAAUAAUACCAUGAUCCUUGUGUUAUAAUAUUAAAAAAAUAAAAAAUAUAUUUCCAGUCGUUUGCUGAACUGAUAAUCGAAGAGGAUCAGCUCGUAGCCGUAAGAAGCCCUUUUUGUAUAAUCGAGAUUUGAAUAAACAAUGGCACGAAAUUUAUAAUAAGGAGCCCUUUUUGUAUGAUCAAGACCUUCCAAACGCGGGAGUCAAACUUUGUUGCAGCAAGUUAGGUUUCCACGUCUGAUAAAUUCUAUUCCAUGUUUGCGUCCUUCUAGUUUAUGGACAUCAGGGGAUCUUUAUCUUCGAAUUCUCACAUUUUCGUCUAGGAUGCUAUUCUUGUUGUCAUAAUAACAUUUAUUUGCAUUUGCAUUUUUAAUUUUUAAUUUUUUUUUAUAUGUAUUGAUUGGUUAUCAAUAGAAUUCGAAAUUAAAUAAAAAUAAAAUAAAAUAUAAAACAAAAAUAAAUAUAAAAAAAAAACGAUGUGGGUCCAACACCCAUCCUAUCAUGUUAUCGUUCAUGGGUCCAAAGCUUAAAUCUCAAAUAUGGUUAUACCCAUUUCUCAACGAUAUAAAAAUAAUUUUUAUUGUAUAAACAAAUAUUGUUCGUCGACACGUCUUUUUUUCAGAAAAAGGACCGAUGUCAAAAGUAUAAAUACUAAAUAUGGAUUAUGUCCGUAAAAUUUUUUUAUUUUUUUUUUUAACUCAGACGUACUUCUCCUUUUUAGGGUUAAACGUCAAUAUUUUAGACAAGUUUCCUAUUUUUAGGAACUGAUGUCAUUUUUAACAAAUUUUAGGGACCGACGUUAACCAUAAAAAAAAUAAUAAAAUUGCAAAUAAGCUCAAAAUAUAAUAGCAUUUAAAUCAAAUAAAAAAACACACAAGUAAGGGUAACCUUUCUUUUGAAAGGAUGUUUUAAGGGUGGUGUCUACCUUCCCUUAAUCAUAACUAACCCAGUACCCGAAUCUCUAGGACCAGUGUCUAAUUUAGGAUUUCUAGUUCCCUCAAAUUACUAGAUGGCGACUCCAACAAAAUUUUCAUUUCUCCAAUAAAAAUAAAAAAUCUUUUUUGUUAAAUAAACAAAAAUGAUAUGGAGCCGUCGCCCGACGUCGUGUAUCGACACAUAUAAUUUAACAAAUAUAAUUCAAAUUCAAGAUAAAUUAAUUAUAAAUUAUGCAAUACAAACACAAUAUCAAACAAAUAUAAUUUUAAAAUUUAAAAUAUUCCAAAAUAGUCAAGAUUAAAUAGAAUUUUAACUUAAAAUAAUUCAACUUAAACAAAAUACCAAAAUAUUAUGAAAGUAAAAUAUUUUAACACAAAAGAAAAAUAAAUCAAACCCAAACUUUUCACUUCUAAAAGAUAAAGGGAAGCCACACAAGCCAUUCGCGUCAAAAUGCUACGACAAUUAAUUAUUGAACGAAGGUAGAGGGAGUUGGAAUCUGAGUGUCACAUUUAGAUUAAUACACGAACACCACCCAAUUAGUAUUUUUUUUAACCCUUAAUUAAACUAUAAGUUUUGUUUGUCACCCCUUUAAAUUCCCUUGAGUUUACUCAUUCAAUAUCGCGAGGAUGUCAUGCUUUUCUUAAGGAUAAUAUGAAACAUUCCAGUGCUUUUUAUAUUAUAAUCGUAUUGCACAAUAUAUUUUUAUUGUGAUAUUAAUGGAGAAUGAUUUUUUGAUAUCUUAACAUUUUAUAAAAAUGAUGUGCAACUCAUGUUUUAUUCAACCAAAGAAAUGGAAGGAAUGUAAUAGAUAUUGGUGUCAAUGAAGGUUUGUUAGGAGAUGGGAGUUCAAUGAAGAUGAAUUUGUCCUUUUACCAUGCCAAAAAAAUAGAUUAGGGUCCAUAAAUUUAUUAUUAUUGUUGUUUUUUUAUUAUUAUUUUUAGAUUGAUUAAAGAUUGUUUUGUAGUUGAAAAUGGAGUUAUUAAUAUUUAUAUGGUAUUUUUACGAUUUGUUUUGGUUAAAAUAAAUUGAAGUUUGAGUUUGAUUCAAAGGCUUUUCAAGCCCGAAACGAAACAUGUGAAAUGAAACUAGAACAUUCCAGCUGAAAUUUAUCUCGAAAAUCCAGAACAGACCGAGAUUUAAAAUGAGAUGAAAAUUGUUUUAUUUUACUCUGUUUUUUGAAUUGGUAUGAAAUGUUUCGAUCAUUUGGGACAAAACAAAACAGAAUUGACAACCUUGGGUUGAACGAACAUACCACGAAGUAUUAAGCGUGGUUGUCAAUGAACUGUUGCACCUUGUUUUGGCAGUCUUCACUCCGCACGUGCGUCUCUACAAACAACUUCAUUGGGCUCGGCUUACGUCUAAGAGACAUAGCCCAUAAGAAAAAAAAUUAAUUAAGUAACAACAAAUUAAAAAACGAUAUAUUUCAUUUAAAUUAAUCUUACCAUCCAUUUCGCAUGUGCAGUAAACAGAACGGAGUCGCCCAUUUACAUGGUCACCGAACCAUGAAUUUGCCACUAUAUAGUCCGUUUCUUAUUCCCAUUACCUUAUAUAUUAAUUUCCUUGUUUUACAAUAAUACACAAUACCAUAUUAGAUUUCUUUACAUCAAAGUUUACCGUAAACUUGACUUAUAACCCUUACAUUGACAUUAUUACGCAACAACAUUUACAAGCAUCAUUUUUCUUUUAGUUAAAGUAUUAUUUAUUUUAUUUGACUCAUUCCCAAUCUUUAAACUUAGUCAAAUCUUUAAUUUUAUUUAAUAUGCUAAUAUUUUCCACAUUGCAUUGCAUAUACAACUUUUCAAAAUUCACAACUUACCACUUGAUUUCCAUAACUACCUUAAAAUUUCUAAACACACAAAGUCAACACAAUAUAUUAUAAUGAGUAUUCAUGCACUCAAUAAUUUUUAUCAAUAUCAAUUUUAAUUCUUGUUUUUUUAAUUUUGUUUUUACACUAAUUAGAAAUUAAAUUAUACAAAAUUUUCGUUCCAUUUAAUAAAGAAAAAUUAUAACACAACAUAAACAAGGGAUAAUUGCAUUAACAGUACACCAAUUUUACACCUUUUUAUCAAUCAAAUGCAUGAAUUUAAUUUAAUUUAAAUUUUUUUUAAAUACACCAACUCAAUUAAGAAUUCUAAUCAAGCACUUUCAUCCAAACUCAGUUAGUUACUCCUUUUUUCUUUUUUUCUUUUUUGUUUACGUGUACUUUGGCAUUUAUUAAAAAACAUUGCAACAUUGAUAUACCAACUUUCAGUUUUCAUCAGUCAAGUAAAUAAACUUUUUUUUUUUCAUUUUAGUACACCAUUUUUCAAAAAUCUCAUACAAAAACAAGCUGAUUCCUUCUUUAAAUCUAAAUUUGAUUAAAAAUAUUCAAAAUAUCCAUCCCCAUAAAUCGGGAGUAAUAACCACUGGCCAGCUGGAAAGGUGCCUUGGGCUCUGAAAUCUCACAACCACGGAGAUAGCUUUCAGAGACCGUUUACAUAUAUAGAAUUAUAAAUCCAUAAGCAUACCAAGAUGGAUGGUAAGCAAUAAAACGUUGUGUAGGCGUCUAAAUCUUGAUUACAAAUGAAGCUCCAAGCAUGUCUUUGGCUUUAUUCAAAUUAAAGACGAGGUUUCACUGAGGUUUAAACUUAUGGACUCGGGAUUGAUGGGGUAGAGAUCAUGGGCAGAUGUAGAGGAAUUUCCAGUCCACGAUUUAUCAGAUCGAGGAAAGAGGUCUUGUGUGCUGUUUAAACUCUGGUCCAUGACCUGCUGAUAGUGGCCUUUGAGAUGUUUGGAGUGUAAAAUCAUCACCAUAAAUGCUAGGAUCUGAGGUCACCUCCUGGAUGCUGGUCUGUCCUUCAAGCAUGCUCACCACUUCUGACAUUGCAGGCCUUAGAGAUGGAGACGCAUUGGUGCAUAAGAGAGCCAACUUGAUCAUCCUCUCAGCCUCUUCCUUGUUGAAUUCAGACUGCAGCUUUGGGUCCACUAUCUCCAUUAAAUUUUCCUUUUUUUGCAAUACAUGAGCCUGUGACGACAAUUUCAAAGACAAAUAAGAAGGAAGCUAUGAUAUUUUACCAAAUGUACCAUGUUUUGCAUUGAGAACUGAUGCCUCACGCGUCAUUAAUUCAGGAUAGCAACAGAAACAGACUGACGAUGAUUUACCCAGUCAAGAAGACAAACAUUUUCUUUCUCUGGCCUGUAACUUGAGUUGCUCUUUCCACUGACAAUUUCUAAGGCCACAACGCCAAAACUAUAAACAUCUGCUUUAUCUGUUAGAUAGCCCCACAGUGCAUAUUCUGGAGCCAUAUAUCCUCUGAAAUAUAUAUAUAAUUUAAAAUGCAGAAUUAGUGCCCUUCAGAGACAUGAGGAGUAUUACUAUCAAUAAACUUCAGGAAUUAAAUUAGUCUCAAUACAACUUACAUAGUUCCAGCAACUCGAGUGCUAAUAUGAGUGUUCUCCUCUUCAUUGAGCUUAGCUAGUCCGAAGUCUGAUAUCUUGGCAUUUAGAUCUUUGUCCAGUAAUACAUUUGUACCUUUGAUGUCCCUGUGAACGAUCCUGAUUGCAGAUCCUUCAUGGAGAAAUGCUAAACCUCUGGCUAUUCCAACACAUAUCUUAUACCUUGUUGGCCAAUCCAGCAUCAGAGCACUUGUUUCGGAACCUGCUCCGAAUAGGAUUGUUGAUAAGAUCAUUUCAUGUUUGUUAGCUGAUGCAGUGUUAUAAAAAAUAUAUUUUACUGGAAAUUUAUCAACAAAUGCUACUAUGGUUACCAAAAAGUGCUCGAGAGAGGGAGUUGUUUUCCAUGUACUCGUACACCAGAAGCAACUGGUCUCCUUCAAUACAGCAUCCAUAAAGCCUUACAAGAUUGGGAUGCUGUAAACCAGAUAUCAUGCCUAUUUCGUUCACAAAUUCACGGUUUCCUUGCCUGGAUUUUGGAGAUAGCUGCUUAACAGCAAUAAUAGUACCAUCUGCUAAUUCACCCUGCAUUGGAAGUCAAUCACGCAUCUAAAUGCUAUAGUGUUUUUGGGGAGGAUUCACCCAUCCAUGAUUCCAAUAAUAAAAUUGUGAUAAUAUGAAAAAUUCAUUAGAUGACAAACCUUGUAUACGGAUCCAAAACCACCCUCUCCAAUCUUGUUUUCUGAAUUGAAAUUGUCAGUGGCCGCUUUUAGCUGCCUCAAGGUGAAGGAACCAGUUUUCAAAUCCAGCCCUUUAAGCUCUGCACGCAGCAGUUGGUAUGGGAGGAUGACAGUCAGGAGACAUAUCGUGAAAUAAUAGAAAUGCUUGAACAUCAUAUAUCCAUGCACUACGCGCAUUCUCUAGUGUGAUUCGCCAUUAUUUAGAAAAUUAAGAGAAGACUCCGUUUGCGGUACAAUACCUCGUUCUUUUGUGUUUUUGUCUCCAUUGCAGAGCUUCCAAUAAAUGAUACCCAUUACCAAGAGAAUAAGGAACGCUGCUGAAGUGACAACUCCGAUCACAAUAGGUUUCUUACUUGCUUCCUCAGGUUCUGAUAUUAAAUAAAAUUGCAAACGCAAAGAAGGCUAAACAUCCCAUCAAAUGGAUAAUAAACAUUAACGCUGUAAAGACACCCGACCACUAUAGCACAGUUCAAUUCUCACCUUCACAAUAAGUUCUGUAACCUGAAAAACCACAGAUCACGGAAAGAUUCUUAGAUGGGAUAAUGAAGCGAGUGGAAGAAGCUAACAGUUACAGUGAAAACAAAAAUCAGGCUAAUCACUUAUGCAGAUUGGUUUAUGAGAAACAUUAGAUGUGUUUAAUCUUAUCAGUUAGGGGAGGGGAAAAAAAACCCAGAAAGCUCAGAAAAUUGAAAUAGAAAUAAAUUAAACUCCUUGAAGUCUGUAAGUUUCAAAUGAGAGGCAGAAAAGGAGCAUGUAACAUACCUGAACAUACGGAUAUAGCAGAAAUUAUAGGACCAUAAUUUCCUCUUAUUGGAAUGACAGUAGUGCCUUUUCCAGCCCAGUAUAAUCGGAUCUCCAGGGUACGGUCUGUCACGGUGGUGUUGAAUGCUAUUGUGAAAUUUCUGUUAGAUCCUUUGGCUUCCUCUGUAAAGUUAAAAUCCUUUCGCACUUGUAUUCCCUGGAACAAAGUUUCCUACUCAAAAGGGUUCCUUUGAAAAAGAUAAAAAAGGACAUCCACAAUCUCUUCGGAAGGAAAAGAUAAUUAAUUACCUGAAUGUAAAUAUCAAAAACACGCCUUGCAACUUUGUUGUACAGUUUUUCAUCUGUGAAUUCUAUCUCAGCAAAGUGGAGUCUGACAGUGUAAUUCCCAUUUUCUAGACAAUAUCCAUAAUAAGUGAUAGACAGGGGAGUUUUACGUGCUGUUGCAUACAAUCCAAAGUCAACUAGAGAAAUAUUAGAAUUUGGUUGAUGAAACGUAUAUUUGUUAUCAUAGAAAGUACUGUCCAUGAAAUCUCCUGUGCUGCUGAAUCCCCAGUUUGAUCCUGAUCUCUUAUAACUCAUUGCAGCAGCAUUAAUUCCACUAUCUUGAUCACCUUCAUACAAGAUUUUCCCAUUCUUUACAUUUGGUCCACCACAGUUUAUAUGGAAUGAACGAUAAUCUGCAGCACAUAAAACUAGUAUACCAUUAGACAUGUUUCAAUUUUCCGUUUUGUCAUACUUAUAGAAGCGUAUCAAUGGGGAAUGAGUUUACUUUACUACAAAGCUUCAAAACUAUGAUUAGUCACUGGUCAACACUUCAUCAUUGUCGGAUUAGUUCAACUCAAUGAAUUCACUCUGUCAAAAUUUUGGUUUCUGACGGUGAAACCAGUGGUCAAGUUCCACUUCAAACCACGUUUUGAUGUAUAAAUUUUCCAACAAAGUGACCAUGAAUUGACCUUAUUAGUUUUUCGAGAUAGAAUCUAAUUAAAAAGCUAACAAUCAUCAAUGUCAUUCAAACAUUGAAGUACACAAAUAAAUAUGGUACAUCGAUAAACUUUAAUGGCACACUCGGAUUUUAUGAAGUGCACAGGUUCUUAUUAUGAAAAAAAUAAAAUAAAAAACCAUACAUUUUGGGCACCGAGAUAUCUCUGAGCAUGGAAGAAGAUCGCUUCUGUAUAUCAUGGAAAUUAUAGUAUGUUAGAAUAAUAAAGGAUUUUUUGAAAUCACAUGCAGCAGAAUCUCUAUUGCUAAAUUUCAUCUCCAGAAAUAUAAAUACGAAAAAAAUUGCAGUCCACAGAGUAUAAAAGAAGAGCCUUACAAUUUAUUAUUGCUGGACGAGCUUCGAAACCAGUUUAUAUUAUUCCUGAUUUAUAAACUCAAAUCAUUCAGUUUCAAAAUCACAGAAUAUCCCAUUUCAAAUAUUUAUGAACUUCCUUACUCGUUACUGCUGCUGCAUCUUGGUGCCCGUGAAAAGUUAUUGUACGAAACAUCGCUGGAAAAGAUCAAGAAAACCAUAAAUCUAAAUACAAACUUCCACAAGGUUAACAAAUAAAGAGAAUAUAUAAACUUCACGAUGCAAGCGCUAGAAAUGCACUAGCUUUCAUAUAAUGUUUUUUCUUUUAUUGAUGGUGAUGGCUUGGAUGACUAAGAUUUAAUUGAUUUCAAGGGAAAUGGUUUAUUAUUUUUUUUUAGAAUUGAUCUGCUAGAAUUGAUGGAUUAUUUAAGGGGUAUUAUCAAUUUUAUUAUUAGGUUGAAAUUUUUUUUUAAAUGAUUUUUUUAUAUAAUUAAAAAUAAUUAAAUUGUAUUAAUUUAGAUUGAACAAAUUAGAACAACCGGUUACCCCGAUAAGAAUCAGGUAUAGCUAGGGUAUGAGAUAUAAGAGCAGAUUGUGAUGUCUACAUCAUAAGCAUCCUACGAUCUAGCUCAGUCAAGCAGGGGUUGGUUCAACAAGAAAUUAUUGUUGUUACAGCCAAUCUAAGGGCCCAAAUAGAGGCGCAGUCUGAAGAAUGAAAUAGGAAGCAAUAGGAGGAGAUGAUGAUAAACAUGCCAACUCAUUUUCCUUCUUCUUAUAAGAGCAUCUCCAAGGAAAGAAACUGUUCAGAAGAGCUAAAUUGAUAAUGUAAAUAUGAUAUUUUUUAUAUAUGUGCACUCUAAUGAAAAAAAAAGUCAUUUAAAAAAGCCUAUUGUAUUUUAAUAUAUUUGAAAUUGACACAACUAUUUAUUAAUUAUAAUUAACUAAUACAACUCCAAUCAAAACCUCUCUUGAAAUCCUAUUUUAUCUCUCAAAUAUAGCUCUCCCCUUGGAGCUAUAAACAUGAGGGAUGAAAGCCAAUUAGAGAUGUCUUGAACCUUUAGGAGCUAUAUUUGAACGUGAAAAAAAAUCUUUUGACUCUUUUGAUCCCUAAUAUAGAAAUCCUAUUUUAUCACUCAAAUAUAUCUCUCCCCUUGGAGCUAUAAACAUGAGGGAUGAAAACCAAUUAUUUCUUUUUCCUUUUGGCUUUUUUUUAUCUCUUCCCUUAGAGAUGUCUUGAACCUUUAGGAGAUUUUCCUCCCCCUCCCCUCCCCUCCCCACCUCCACUUGCAACUCCAACUUCUUUCUAAUAUAUAAUGAGAGUAGCUGUUGCACAAAUUGUUUACUUUCUAUUGCAAACUCUACAUAAGACACAUGCCAGUGUUCUAUAUAUAUACAUAAACAAUAACAUUAACCUUCAAAUUAUUUAUAAAAAUUCCAUUGUUUCAAUAAAAUUAGGUUUUCAAACACCUUAAAUAUAUGAAAACCACAGGUCGAUACAUGAUUUUCAAGGUUUAAGGAUAGAAUUAACUAAAAUAUUUUUUAAUGUUAAUUUGGACUAUUUAUUGAAAUUAUUGAAAUUUUUAUUUUAUAAAUUUUUACUUCAAGGAAAAUUUUGAAUGGGAGAGAGCUUAUAAUAAUUUUACGAGGAAGAUUUAAGAGAAUCAUGCUCCGAUUAUGAAAGAUCCAAUCCAAAAUUAUUUUUUUAUUCCAAAUAUUAAAAUUUUAUUUUUUAUUUACUAAUAAAUAAUUAAUUUAUACCAUAUAGGUUGCAUGAUUUUUGGUAUGAGGCACAAAAAAAAGCCAAAAAUAUAUGAAAGAAAGAGAUCUUCUAGACUAGAAUGAUGUGAUAGUUUGGAAAGAUUUUGGAUCGUCAUACAUCUUAGAGGCUGUAUUGACAUAAUACAUUCAUAAUGUGACGUCAACACAUUCCACUUGAUGAUAAGAUAUUUUUUACUACAUCCAUUUUUUUUAUUAGUUGUUUUAUAUAUAUAUAUAUAUAUAUAUAUAUAUAUAUAUAUAUAUUGAAUUGACAACAUUUUUUAUUGCAUGCUAUAGUUUUUGUAUGCGAGCCAAGCUUGAUGAAACUUUUUGUUGAAAUGCAUGUGCAGAGUGAUGAUCGUGAAAAAAAGGUGUAGCAGUUCGUUGAUAGCUAAGCUCAAUAUUUUGUGGUAUGUUGGUGUUUAAUUAUAUUUUUCUUAAGUUAUUAUGUCCUUAAAUUUGAUGUCAAAUUUAUUUUUUCUUUACAGGAUACAUAUAACAGCCGGUUGAAGGAGAGAUACGGGGAUGAGCCUUCGACCCAUUUGAAUAUUGAUCUGGAUUUGAGGUUAAAGGGAGAAUCAUUUGGUGGACCUGAUAGAAAUCGAAUGUAUGGACUCUUUAACACUGACUAAGAAUUUAUGAACGACCCGUAGUACUUCAACUGUUGGAUGCUCACAAUCAAUUCUAAGCAAUCAAACUUUGGAAUUCGCAGUGAUGUUAGACCAACAGGUACAAGAUGGGACAACCUAUCUUAAUGAUAAAUAUGAUGAGUCACUACUGGUUAUGAAGAAUUUUAUCGACUAGUAAUGAAGAUGAGAUCACAGAUGGAUGGUUCAUGUUUGGGGUGAGCAAAAAAAACCAACAAACCGAUUAAACUGAGAAAACCAGAAAACACACAACCAAAAAAACCGAACCCUGAAAAAAAAAACUGAGUAUACUGAUUAGAAUAUUUUAAAAAAAAUUCGGUUCAAUUUCGGUUUUAUAAGCUUGAAAUUAAAAAACUGAAUCGAACUAGUUUAGUUAAGAAAUAAACCGAACCGAACCGAACUGAACUGAAAAAACUCAUUAGAAAGUCCAAAAAAACCCAAAAUACAAUAUAAUUUUCAGUUUUUAAUAUCAAAUAAACAAAUCGAAACCGAAUCAAAUCAAAUUGAACCGAAACUAGACAGUUGAGUUUCAGUUUUUAACUUAAAAUAACCAAACUGAACCGAAACCAGUUUUAGUUUGAUUUUUGUUUUUUUUUUACAAAAUUUCAGUUUGAUUGUUUUUAUAGGUAGAAACCGAACAAAACCGAACCGAAAAUGAUCACCUCUUGUUCAUGUGCACCCCUUAAUUUCCCCUACAUUCCCGGUGACAACCUACCUCCUCCUCCUCAUUCAUUGUCGCCUUUAUUUUAGAUUUAUUGUAUUCAAUCAUAUAAAAAAAAAAAGGUAUGCUUUGUCCGUCUGUAAAUUCAUCGAUAUAUUUAUUACCGACAGACUCACCGACAAUCUAUAAAUUACCGAUAAUAGUUUUUUCGAUAGACCAUUAUCCGUGAGUCUUUCAUUAACAUACAUAUUGAUGGAUUGCUAGUGUAAACACCGAAAACAUUUAUGGGUAAAACGAUUAAAUCCGGUAGUGUUCCAUGUUAAAAAAAAUAUAAUUUAUCUACAUGUUGUGGUUCUGGGUCUUUGUACUCAUUAACCUCUUGUGAGUAUGAAAUAUAAGCAUAAUAUAUGAAGAAUUAUUGAGGGGGUGUUCGAAAGUAUGGUAAUGGUUGCAAUUUAAAGUGAUUUUUGCUUGGAAAUACAUUAAAAAUAAAAUUAUUUUUUAUAUCAACACUUAAAAACAAUCUAAAAUUUAAAAAAAUAAAAUUAGAAAACACGGUUUUUACUGCAAAACUUACAGGCAUUAGUCAUGGAUGUUCAAGGAAAAAAGGCAAAGCAUAUCAAUAUUCAAAUAAGUACUGAAUCCAAUGAUGGGUGUAAUUUAGGAACCUACAGAUUUUGGCUGUUUUGGAGGAAUGAGUCCUGCACUGUUCCAGUCAGCUUGUUGCCACUCAAAAACCUGGUAAGAACCACACUCAUACUAUCAGCAUAAUUUAUUGCGCCAUCCUUGAUAAGAUUUCAAUAACCAAAUUUCAAAUUAUCAGAAUUUAGCAUUGCUCACGUAAACUGUCGUCGUCGUAUUGUAUUAGGAGGAAUCUCCCCAACCAACUUGUUAAAAGUUAAGUCGCUGCAAGAAAUUACAGCAAACAAAAUUUUAGGCUUCAGUCUCUGAAGAAGAUUUUACAUCUUUGUAAAUAUAAUGGCAAUAAACAGGUGAAAAUAUAAAUAUAUAUAUGUCUCAUAAUUAAAGGUUAUUAAAUUCUUUGAAGUAGUCCUCUAUUUAUAUUCUUCCUUGGAGAGUUGCAGUUGCUUGAAAUCACUACCUUCUCAUAGGAGCUCAUCCGUUGUGAAAAUAAGUCAAUGUUAUGUUAGAAGCUAGUUGUGAUUCUUCUACUCACUCUAGUAGGACUUUAGUUAUUAUAUACCCAGGAUUAUAUAUUAAUGUAGGAUUUUUAACUUAUACUAACAACCUGAUGAUUCAGGCAGAUCCCACGCACCAGCUGUACAUGAAGAUCAUAUUGGAAAAAUGUGGCAGAAUUGAAAUGUAUAAAAAGAAAUUCUAAUUUGCUUAGCAGCAGAUGCAAGGCAAUGAGUGAAGUUCACACUUACAGUGUAUUUACCACUUUCCAUGCGUUUUCUGGGAUUGUUCCAUUUAAAUUGAUGUUCCUCAGAACCCUUGCAACAAGUCACAGGUUGGUUAAACAGUUCUGAAUAGAACAUAUCCUCAACUUUGCUAUGGAAAGUUAUGAAGCAGUUCACAUACAAGAUUUGCCUUUCAAUCGGCGAGUUAGGUAACGAAAACUCUGGUCCAGGCAUAUCAGCAAUCCUCCUGCAUAACAGUAAGAGACCUUGAAUACAAGUUAAAUGUUCAAUUCCCUUCAUUUAUCUCUCCCUAUCUCUCACACACAAAGAGAAUUCUUCAAUAAUUAAUACAGCAGGAGGUAUGCAGCACAAUAAAGUGGUUUUACUCACAAAUCAGACAGCUUUUCCAAAUAAAAAAUCGCAUGAGGUAUAGGUCCUUGCAAUCCAGUCGCGUACAAAACACUUCAUUAGUCACGAAAAGAACAAAAAAUCUCAAUAAAGUGUCUCAUGUUGCAUUAGAAUGAAUUAAGAUCUUGUGAAGAUAAACAUCUCACAGCUUUUUAAGUUGAGUCCAGCUCCCAAUGAACUCGGGUACGGUGCCACUAAGAUUAUUAUCACUUACGCGACUGCACAUUGAAUAUGUUAAAUAUAAAAAAAAAUGUGUUAAGGAAAAUAAGUGAGGGCUUACAAAUCCUUCAAGUUUUUAUCUGCGCAAGUGCCUCUGGCAAGGUCCCCACUAACUUAUUGCCGGAGAGUAUCCUGCAAUUGUUGAUUCACGGCAUCAAAGCAAAGAUUUCAACUAAUGAAAACGAAAUCUCUGGCAAGUCUUCACAAUGAAGAAUUUAGUUAAAUGUCUUACAGAGUUUCUAAGCUGACAAGGUCGCCAAGCUCAGGUGGGACAACACCAGAAAACUGAUUUGAUUCAAGGCUCCUAUAUUUUAUAAUUGCAUUUGAUAAAGUGAAAUAACCAUUAGAGAACUAAGUAAACUAGCAUUGCUUGCAAUAUUCGAAUAACUCAAACGAGAGGUAGAGCACUAUAGAUUCAAGCCAUACAAGUAGGUGAGGGCAGUAAAACUUCCCAAAUGUGCAGGAAUAUUUCCUGACAAGCGAUCUGCAGUAAGCGAGCUGUAUAAGAGGUUAGUUAGUUGUGUUAAGCUCACUCUUAGAUAGAAAAUAAGAUAAACCAAGAUGAGGGGUGAAUUUAUUAAUGAGCUUACAUGAAAGACAGAUAUUUCAUCGAAGCCCAUUCCACCGGAAUUGUGCCGUAUAGAUAGUUGCGAGUGAAAUCUCUGUCAUAGACAAUGUUGUUGUAUAAAAAUUAUUUUCUAUCUUGAAAAUUGCUCCAAAAAUUAAUAUAAACGCUUGAAAUUUCUAUAUAAACUGUGACAGACAAUGGCAAACUCAUAAUCACAUAACAUCUGAUGAGUAUUAAUUAUCAUCGAGGCAUCUCAAGAUUCAUAAUCAUUUAAUGGAUUCAGAAUUGAGGCCUCGAAGCAGAAACAUGAGCCAAAUAUAUAUGUCCUUAAUUAAGGGUUCUUACAUUUUAUUGACAUAAGUAAGGUUGGCCAAUUCCGGAGGAAGCCUGCCUGGAAGACCGUAACCUUUGAGCUGGCUUUAUUGCAAGCAGGAGAGAGAGACAUCAUUGGUCACAGUUUAGGAAAGCUAAGAUAUAUAUAUAUAUAAGAAAGAAAAACAUAAAAAUGUAAAGUAAUUAAGAGGCUUACAAUGAAGUAAUGUGACAGUAAUUAUCAUCAGUGAUGCUGCAGUUACAGUCGAUGGUGUUGUUCUUUUCUAAGUCUGGUGAAGCAGAAUUCAGUUCUGUCUUAACGAGUCCUUCCUGUUGACAACGAUCGACGAACUUCAAGGAUAGCUGGCCAUCCUCGUUUACUGUCCUACCGAUUUGUCUUAACGUUUCAACUGGUGGGUUUUUAAAAAAAAAAAAAAAAAUUAAUUCAUGAGGAAUGUGCACUAUUCAAAACAUUCUCAAAUAGUUGUUAGGUUAUUAAUAAUAAUAGUAAAUAGAUUAUGGGUUUUUUAUAUAGGUAAAGGCCAUACAGAGACUGAAUGGAUAAAGUUAACUAGAGCUUAUUCCAUCAAGUACCUCGAGACACGCAAUCAUAUAUCAAUUUAUCGUCAUAAUUAUCACUCAGCGCAGGAUUUAAUUUGGUUUAAAAUUUGUAUUGUAUGUUUGGAGGUCAACUUUAAGUUAUAUUCCUUUCAGUUUUUUUUAAUGAAAUUGUUUGCAAUUAAAAAAAAACUAUAAACGAUAUUAUUUUAAAUAAAAAUUAAAAAUAAAAUAUUAUUUGUUAACUAUUAGCUUAACUUAGAUUUAACUAUAUUAACUUUUAAAUUAAUUUAAAAUAAAACACAUUCUAAAUUAAACUCUAGAUUAAUUGAGAGGUUAUCUCUAAAUAAUAUGUUCAAAAACUAUAUUGUGGGUUUGGUGGAUUAUUAAAGUGAAUGGUGAUAAGAAUUUGUAAUGUAUAAAUAUUAUUUUAUUGUUAUUUGUACCAAUAGAUAUAUCUUAAUUGGUAUCUGAUCAAACGAAAGAAAGAAAUCAUGAGUUCAAAUUCUACGGUGAAGUAUGUCAUUUCUUGAAAAAGAAUUAGAUACAAAACAAAAUCACAACUUUUUAGGCGCUAAAAAAUUCAGAUGCCUAUAAAUGAAUCUAAUUAUAUAAAACAAAACACCCAUGGAAGCUAUUUUGUCUUAUAUACGGCCAAAGAUACAUUUUACCGUUUUUUAAGCAUUUGCAAAGUUUUGGUUAAUGUUGUUUAAUUGUGCGAGUCUCUUGAAGUUUAAUCCAAGAAAUACAAUAACUAAAUUUUAUUUGUAAAAGUUAUAUAUUUAUAUUAAUUUAUGUAAUAAUAACUAAAAAUAAUUAUAAAAAAAACGAGGGUAAUUUGAUUAACCAGUCCUCACAAAAUCAUUGUUAAUUGGAAUAAUAAUUUGUUUUUUUAUAUAUAUAUAAUUUUAAUUUUAUCUUUUGACAUUAGAUUUAUUAGAAAUUAUGUUUUAUUUAAAAAAAUUAAUUUUUUUUAUGAAAUUAUUCUAUUCUCAUAACCUAGAUUUUACAGAUUAAUUUGAUUAACUUGAUUUUUUGUUAUUUUUUUAAUUAAAUAUUAUUUUUCAGUAUCUUCAUCAACAUUCAGUUAAUUCAGAUACUUAUAAAUGAACCUAAUUAUAUAAAAAAAAAUACCUUUAUAUGUAUUUAUAUGUAUAGAAGCUAUUUUGUUUUAUCUAUAGACAAAGAUAUAUUUUACUACUUUUAAGUUUGUGUAAAGUUAAAAACACCUGCAUUUAAUUGCUACAAUAAAUUCACCAUACAUUUUAGUUUUGGUUAAUGCUAUUUAAUUGUGCGACAAACUACUCUCUUAAGUUUAAUGAAAGAAAUACAAGUAGUAUAUUUUUUACGUAAAAGUUAUAUAUUCAUAUUAUUUUAUAUAACAAUCAUUAAUAAGAACUUAAAAAAAAAAAAAAAAACAAGGGUACUUCACUAACUCCUCCUUACAAAUCAUUGUUAAUUGAAAUAAUGAUUUUUUUUAUAUAAUUUUAAUUUUAUUUUUUAACAUUCGAUUUAUUAGAAAUUGAGCUUUAUAAAAUUUUUUAAUUUUUUUAUAUGAGAUUAUUCUAUUCUCAUGACUUAGGUUAUGAAUUUUGCAGAUUAAUUUAAUUAACUCGAUUUUUUUGUUAUUUUUUUAAUGGAAUAUUUUUUUUUCAAUUUCUCCAUCAACAUUGAGUUAAUUGGAAUUAGAUUUCAUAAUUUGUUUUAUUUUUUGAUGAAUUUAUCAUAAUCUUGUGACACAAGUUUGGAAGGUUAACUCGGGUUGAUUCAAGUCAUUUUUUUAAUUGAUUUUUUUUUAAUUUUAUCCUUCAACAUUGAAUUUAUUAGGAAUUGAGAUUCAUAAUUAUUUUUCUAUUUGCUUUCUAUAGAGUUAUCAUGGCCUCAUAAAAUGUGUCUUGGAUUUUAAUUUUCUUUUUUCAAUUACAUCCUUCACUAUUGAGAAUUAAUUUUUAUAAUUUUUCUCAAUUUUCUUUCUAUGCGGUAAUCCCGGUCUCAUGAUCUAAGUUCGAUAGGUUAACUCAAGUUUUUUUUUUUUUUUAUUAAAUUUUAUUUCCAAUUUUAUCUUUCAACAUUGGACUGAUUAAGAAUUGAGUUUAUUUUUUUUUUUAUAUAGGGUUAUCACGGUCUCAUGACCUGGGAUGAGGAUUCAACAAGUUAACAUGAGUUGAUCAAAGUCAAUCUAAUAUGUUUUCUUCUUAAUAUUUACAAAAAAAAUAUCAUAUGGAGUUUUUUGAGUUAAACUAGCUAUAUUUUUAUGAGACUGGAUCACAUCAAGUCAAUCUCUACUCGAUUAACUUUUUUUUUCCUUAAAAAACAUGUUAGUAAUGUGCGAUAUUUCUUUACAUUCAAAAUUUGUGUAUUCAACUCGCAUAGCAGUGUAAUGGGAGAUGAUAAUCUGGUAAUAAACUAUUAAGUCAAGGUGCAUAUUGCCUGAACUAAAUUGGGUUGGAUCUCAUUCAAGCUAGCUUGACAAUUACAGCCAGAUAUUAGCUAAAUUACUGUCCUUACCUAUUAAAAAGUUUAGAAGACACGUACAAAUAAACAAUCACCUCAUAAGACAAAAAGAAAACAUAAUUUGUUUUUCAAAAAAGUAAUAAUAAAUAAAUAACAUAAUCUUUUUUCAAAUAAAUAAAUAAUUUGAGCUUCUCUAAUAAUAAAAAGCUGAUAUAGAGUAUAGUUAGAAAAGGUCAUAAAAAUUAGAUAUGACUAAGCCCAACAAGGGUCCAAAUAUUGUUAACCUGUUAACCAAAUUCAAACAAAGAUGAUAUACUAGGAAGUGAAGGGGAAACUUUCUUCUAGCCCAAAUGCCUAGUUUUCACCCCCUUUUUUAUGUUAUUCUCGUUCCAUCAUUUAGUAUAAAGUCGAAAAUAUAAUAAUUAAAUAUGUCUUAAUUAUUCUUUAAUUUUAACUUCUAAAAAAAUACUUUUAAUACUGCUCUCAAAAUAAUAAUAAUAAGAAGAAAAUUACAAAAGAGAAGAAGUAACAAAGAAUCUAAAUUAUCUUUAAUAUUUGUAUUUUUUUUUUAAUUUACUAUAUAUAUUUUCUUAAAUAUUAUAUUUUGAAGAAUCUAAAUUAUCAAACUAAGAUUAAUAUCUAUAAUUACAGUACUUUUUAGUUCCCAACUCACAUCUUUAAUAGAAAAGUCAUUGCAUCAUAAAACAAUAAUAAAAUAAUAAAAUUGGUUAUGAUAUUUGGUACUAAAAACAUUUAGGAUUAUGAUCAAUUGAGUUAUUUGUUCAUAAAAUUCACAAUAUUUACCAACUCAAUGUUGAGUUUGUAAGGAUAAAACAUUUACGUUGACAUUUUUUUGUAUUUUUUAAAAAUAAAGUCAUGAAUAUUAAGGAAUAAUUUAAUAUAUUACCUUCUCCUGGAUGUAGCUGAGAAGCAAGCAAAGUAAUAGAGCUCAAGAAACUGAUCAUCACCAUAACUUGGCAAAGCUGAAACAUCAUUACCAUCUUGUGCUGAAAAUUGGCUGCAAAAGCUCGAAUAAGUUUUUGUAUUUGUCGACAUGAGACGGGCAGGGAAAGAGAGGCUAAUUUGAUUUAUACUUGCCAAAUCUUAAAACGUCACAUCCAGGUGCCAGAGUACUUGUAUCCUAUGUCAUUUCUCUUCGGUGAUAUUUGAAUUCAAUUUUAAUUUCUUGCGAUCAUUAUAAAAGAUUUAUUUCUUUUUAAAGAGUUACUGGUUUUUCAUAAUAUGUGUAGUUUUUUUAAUUUUUUAAUUGCAUAUAAUUUAUUUAAAAUUAUAUUAAUAUUUUAUGUUAUACAAUUUAUGUUGGAAUUAAAUUCAACAAAUUAUAUUAACAAUUUGAUUUAUACUUGCCAAAUUUUAAUUUAUAUUCAUGUAAAAGGUUAUUGGAAUUUUAUUUAUAAUAUAAGUAUAUUUUAGAUCAGAUUAAAAGUAAAGUUUAAUUAUUUAUGAAGUAAAAACUUUAUUGAAUUUAAUUCCAACAUAAAUUCUAUAACAUAAAAUAUCAAUAUAAUUUUAAUUUCUUGCUAUCAUUAUAAAAGAUAUAUCUCUUUUUAAAGAGUUACUGGUUUUUCAUAACAUGUGUAGUUUUUUUAAUUUUUUAAUCGCAUAUAAUUUAUUUAAAAUUAUAUUAAUAUUUUAUGUUAUAGAAUUUAUGUUGGAAUUAAAUUCAACAAAGUUUUUACUUUAAAACUAAUAAGCUUCAGUUUUAAUCUGAUCAUUAUAAAUAAAAUUCCAAUAACUUUUUACAUGAAUAUAAAUUAUCUAAUAAGUUUAAAAACAACUUUAAAAUGUAUAGAGAGAUAUUGAUUUAGUGGAUUAUUAUUUUAGAUGAAUAGUUUUUGGCUUUAAAUUUUUUUAAGUUAAAUAUUAUUAGCUUUAUCUAGUUAGUAAACAUAAUAUCUUAAAAUAUGUAAUUUUUUAUAUAUAAAUCAAGAUAAUAAUAGUAUUAUGAAUCUUCAGCUGGUAUUUUCUUUGGUUCUCCUAGUUGCAGGUUGCAAGAUGUUGAAAUUUAAAAGAUAAGGAUGCAGGCGCAUAUAGAGGCAUUUGAGCUACAAAUUUAUUGACUACGUACAAGCUAUGUUGAAUGAUUAAUAUCACUAUAGCGUCGGCUGCUAAAAAGCAUUUUCAUGGAAAAGAAAAGUCUCAUAUACUUCUCAAUUUAUUGUACACUAAAGCGAUGUUUAUUUUUUAAAAAAUAAUUUAUUUUUAUUUUUUUAUAUUUAUUUGUCAUUAAAAAAGUUGGUCAAUAAAAAACAUUUACUAGUUAAAAACAUUUGGCUUUGUUUCCAGAAAAGUAUUUUCCAGAAAAAUUUAACUGGAAAAUACUUUCUAAAAAUUAUAAAAAAUUUAGAAAUAUCUUAUUAUUUACUGAUUAUAUCAAAUUUGGUUCUUAAAUUUUUAAAUAUUUUAUAUAUAUAUAUAUAUAUAUAUUUUAUUUUGAAUAUUUAUUUUUCAAUUUCAUCUCUUAAAAUUUAAUUUUUAUAGUUGUUAUUUGCUUUCCCCUUAUUAUUUUUUUAUUUAAAUUUCUUAUUUAUCAAAUUUGAUCCUCAUUCUUUUGAUUGUUACUUAUUUUAUUUGAAAUAAUUUAUGAAAUGUUAAUUAUUAUUAUUUUAAUUUCUUCAUCUUUUAUUUUUUUAUUUUUUAGAUUUGAUCUCUUUUAUUUUGAUUAUUAUUUAUUUUAUUUGAGCUAAUUUAUGAAAUUAUAUAUUUUUUUUUAAUUUCAUUCUCAUUCAACCUUUUAAUUUGUAAGAUUUGUUCAUCAUUAUUUUAAUAAACUUGAAAAAAAUAAAACAUUAAUAAGUUAUUUUCCAGUUCAUUUUCCAUGACAUAACUAUACAUUGAAAAAAAAAUUUAUUUAUUUUCUAUUACGGUAUCAAAUAUUAAAAAAUAAUUUAUUUUUCUAAAAGUUAUUUUCUAAAAAAAAAUAUUAUUUUUCAAUAAAUAAAAGGAUACAAAACAAAACCCAAAUUGCUUGAAUUCCAUUCCAAACUGCUGUAAAGUGCACUGAGAACUUCAUCAUCAAUUGUUCACUAAUUGCAAGUAGAAUUUUCUGCUGUAAAAAAAAAAUUAUUUUUCAAUAAAUAAAAGGAUACAAUACUGAUUGAUGUAGACAUAGACCAAUCUCUUUUCCAGCUGGUCCUAAAGAACGACAAGCUAUUUAUUUCUCAAACGAACACGGUCUCGCUAUAACACAAAAAUAGUCUAGUCUCGUGACACGUGGGUUGUACAUGUAUUAUAAAAAAAAUAAUUAUUAUAGUUGUCUACCUACCUACCAGUGAGUUGUGCAUGUAUUAUAAAAAAUAGUGUCGUUAUUUUUCAGAAAAUACUUUGUGAAUGUAAAAUGUUUUCACUCGGCAAAACUGAAGAAGUCCACGCGGAGGCUGAAGCAUCACAAACAUGUUGGGUACAGGAGAAAGACAGAUUCUUAAAUUGGUGAGAAUGACCUUUUAGCUACUUAGAUUUGAUUCCUUUUCAUUUCUAUCUCUCCAAAACCGACAAGGGUUGAUUACAAGAAUAUUCCAGCUGGUAUAUAUCGCAACAGGUAAUUAAUUUCUCCACUUCUCUUUUCCUUGAUCAGCCUAAAUUAUUGAUAAAACCAACAACACUUAAUACCAAGUCCAAUUAUGCCUUUUAUGGUAUUAAAUAUUUAUAUUAAAUAUCUUAUAAUUAUAAGAUAUUUAUCUUAAAAAAUAAACAAACAUAUCCAAAGCAUAAAAAAAGAGGCUAGAAGGACAUAGCUCAUCUCUUUGAAUAACACAAUUCUACUAUAAAACUUAAAUAAGAUUUAAGAAAAUAUUUAAGAUUAGAAAAUACUCAUUCUCCCCGUCACCUGGUUAAAUAAUAUACUAACUUAAACAUUAUAAUGUUUUUCAUGCCGGCACACCAAGUCCUUUAAUUUCAAUCUUAUCAGCCCAUAAAAACCACCCACAAUCUUUGUCUUGUGGAUGUUUUCAAUCCUUUGGAUCCAUUUUUAUCAGCCCAUGAAAACCACUUGCAAUCUUUCUCGAAUGAUUUUUAUUUUGAAGUAAAAAAGUUUUAUUCUGAAAUAAAGAAAAAAAUAAAUUUUUAUUUUUAUUUUUAUUUUUAGAAGUAUUUUUAGAAGAUAAAAAUAAAUAUGCUUCAAUAACAAAAUUUAAUUUAAUUCAAUCUCAAAUAAAAAAAAUUAUCAUUUUUUUUUAACUUAAUGAGAAAGUAAAACAAAAAUUAAAGUCUUGGUCGCGCUGGGGUAUUAAUAAAAGAGACCCACAUUGCUUGAAGUUCAUUCCAUACUGCUGUAAAGUGCACCAAGGACUUCAUUAUCAAUUGUUCACUAAUUCAAAGUAGAAUUUUCUGCUUUCUUUUUUCUUUUUCUUUUUGCAAAUACUGAUUUUAUUGUUAACCCUCCUCAGAAUUCAUUGUUAAUUGGAAUAAUAAUUUUUUUAUUUAAUUUUAUUUUUAUUUUUUAACAUUAGAUUUAUUAGAUAUUGAAUUUUAUAAUUUUUUUUUAAUUUUGUUUAUGAUUUUUUUAUUUUAAUUUUUUUAAUUUAAUUUUGAAUUCACUAUUUUAUUGUUUAAUUCAUUGUUUAAUUUUGUUUAUUUUAAUUUUUAAUUCACUAUUUUAUUUUUGUAAUCUAAAUGAUGAGUUUUGGAGAUUAAUUUGAUUAACUUGAUAUUUUUUUAUUUUUUUUCAGUUUCUUUUUUUUUUUUUUUUGCAUAAAUCUGAUAGACUCAAUUAUAUAGCUGAUUGAUGUAGACAUAUAUAGACCAAUCUCUUUUCCACCUGGUGCUAUUUGAAGUUUAUGAUAGACUCAAUUAUAUAGCUAGUUGGUGCAUCAUUGACAGUUUCAUACUUGCAAUUAUUUUUAUGUUUGAAGAAUGGUUUUAGAAAAAAAUUAAAUUUUUAUUUAUUUUUAUUUUAAAUUAAUAUUUUUAUAUCUUUUUAAUAUAUUUAUAUCAAAAAUAAAUUUUUUUUUAAACAAAACCUUUUUAAAGAAUAUGUUGUUAAUACUUUUUUAAACAAAACAAAAAAAAUUUAAAUUAAUAUUUUUUAAUAAAUUACUAUAUCUGAUAAAGCCGCCCUCGGUUUUAAUACCUUUGCUAGCCAUCAUUUGCUUUGAAUUGUCGCACGUGUACGACGAAAACAUCCACCCUUAAAUUUUAAUUUAAUGGCAAAUGUUUAAGAGACAAGGAAAUUCUCAUCUCUUUAUUAAUGAAAAGUUAGAAUGGAAAUCGCGACCUAGUAUUUUGGUCACUAGGAACCCUAACUAGUCUCAGAGAUCGGAUACGGAGAUUGAUUGUGUAAUGGGAAGGUAUUAGCACCCCAAAUACGCCCUACCUAUGGUAAGCUGCAUUGUUUUAUUGUUUGAUAAAAUUUAAAGUUUUGUUGUGUUUUCUAGUUGUUGGUCCGUCUAUGGUUUAAGAAAAAGUUCUCUUCGGUAAAGAAAUCUUUAUCUUAUUGGGUAAAACCUAAUCGUUCUAACAUCAAUAAUUUAAUAUCCGCAAUACAUCUUACGUAUAAGGUCGUAAUCCUAGAUAUUGAAAGAAAAAACUAUAAUUUUUUUGAAAUUUUUGAAAUAUUGGCCAGUUCUCGUGAGUUUAAUAAAUUGGUUAUUAAAGCUAAAAUGCAUGCUAAAAAUUUAUAUAUAUAUAUAUAUGAAGAUAUAAUAUGAUUAUAUAUAUAUAGGAUUCUAAUAUAGGAUGUUGUAAUCAUUACAGUAACUCAUGUAUCUAUCAGAAUAAUAGAAUGUGUUGGGUUGUGCCUUAGCCAACCUUCCUAUUUAUAUAGAGGCAGCAGAACAAUGCAGUAAUUGUAAUGAUUACAACAUCUUAUAUUAGAAUCCUAUUAUGAUAGAUACAUGAGUAACUGUAAUGAUUACAACAUCCUAUAUUAGAAUCAUAUUCUAUAAUAUGCCCCCUCAAGCUGAGGGUGGGGGAUCAACCCGAAGCUUGAAUCGAAAAGCAGUAAAGGAUGCAACAGGAAGCGGUUUAGUGAAGACAUUGGCAAGUUGAUCCCGAGAGGGAACAAAACGAAUCUAAAUUUCUUUCUUGGCAACACGGUCACGGAUAAAGUGAUAAUCUACUUCAACAUGCUUAGUACGAGCAUGGAAGAUAUGAUUUGUUGAGAGAUAGGUAACACCAAGAUUAUCACACCAAAUGGUAGGGGCAGAGACUGAGAGAACUUGCAAAUCUGUUAACAAGUAUUGAAGCCAAAUGCCUUCAGCGGUACCAUCAGUAAGGGCUUUAUACUCAGCCUCAGUAGAGGAGCAAGCAAUUUCAUAAUUUGUAUGGAGUUAUCCUAACUUUUGACACAAGUUCGAAAGGUUAAUUCGGGUUGAUUCAGAUUAUUUUUUUAAUUGAUAUUUAUUUUAUCUUAUUCUCUAGCAUUGAAUUAAUUAGGAAUUGAGAUUCAUAAUAAUUUUUUUUUAUAGGAUUAUGUUAUGAAUCUUGAAUUUGACUUUUUUUUUAAUUGAAUUUUUUUUCAAUUACAUCAUUCUUUAUUGAGAAUUGAUCUUUAUAAUAUUUAUCGAUUUGUUUUUAAUAGGAUUAUAUUGGUCUCAUGAUCUAAGUUCGACAGGUUAAUCCAGGUUGAUUCAAAUUGUUUUUUUUUAUUUACUUUUAUUUUCAAUUUCAUCAUUAAACAUUGAGUUAAUUAAGAGUUAAGUGUUAUUUUUUUUAUUUUUUUUUAUGGGGUUAUCAUGAUCUCAUGACUCGGGACAUAAAUUUGAUAAGUUAACCCGAGUUAAUCUGAAUCAAUCUAAUAUUUUUUUUUCUCAAUAUUUAUAUAAAAAAUAUCAUUUUAAAUUUUCUAGCAUGACAAUUACAGCUAGAUUAUAAAAAAUGACACGUGGGUUGUGUAUGUAUUAUAAAAAAUGGUCUCGUUAUUUUUCAGAAAAUACUUUGUGAAUGUAAAAUGUUUUCACUCGGCAACACUGAAGAAGUCCAUGCGGAGGCUGAAGCAUCACAAACACGUGGAGUGGGACAGAUUCUUAAAUUGGUGAGAAUGCCAUGUUUGUCGUUAUAAUGACAGGGAAGGAUCAUGUUUUCUUUUAUACGUCACAUCCAUGUACGUACAUACUUGUUUUCUAUGUCAUUUCUCUGCUGACCCGCCAUAUUUGAAUUCAAUUUUAACUUUUUACAGUCAUUAUAAAAGAUUUAUUUCUUUUUCAAGAGUUAUUGGUUUUUCCAUGUCAAUAAGUUUUUUAAUUUUUUAAUUACACAUAAUUUAUUUAAAAUCAUAAUAAUAUUCUAUGUAAAAAAAUUGAUUUUAAACAUUGAAUUCCAAUAAAAGUUUUCUUUUCAAAAUGAUUAAAUUCUACUUUUAAUCUAGUUUAAAAUAUACCUAUAUUAUAAAUCAAAUUCCAAUAAUCCUAUUCAUGAAUAUAUAUUGUCUGAAAAAAGUAAAAACAAUUCUAAGAUUUGUAGAGAGAUGUUGAUUUGGUGAAUCACUAUUUUAAAUGAAUAAUUUUUUACUUUAAUUUUUUUAAGUGAAAUACCAUUUAAUUUGCUUGGCUAAUUAAAAAACACAAUAUCUUAAUAUAUUUGAUUUUUUUAUAUAUAAAUCAAGAUAAUAAUAGUAGUAGUAUGAAUCUUCACCUGGUAUUUUCUAUGAUUCUCCUAGUUAGUUGCAGGUUGCAAGAUGUUGGAAUUUAAAAGAUAAGGAGGCAGGCAUGUAUCGAGGCUUGUGAGCCACAAAUUUAAUGACUACAAGCUAUGUUGAAUGAUCCACAUCACUAGCGUCGUCGGCUGCUAAAAAGCAUUUUCAUGGAAAACCUCUCAGAUAUUUAAACCCGACAUGUCAAUUUAUUGUACACCAAAAGAGACCCAUAUCGCUUGAAGUCCAUUCCAAACCGCUGUAAAGUGCACUGAGAACUCCAUCAUCAAUUGUUCACUAAUUGCAAGUUGAAUUUUCUGCUCUCUUUGUUUUUUUUUUUUUUGCAAAUACUGAUUGAUGUAGACAUAGACCAAUCUCUUUUCGACCUCGUCCUAAAGAACGACGAGCUAUUUAUUUCUCAAACGAACACACUCUCGUUAUAACACAAAAAUAGUUUAGUAUCGUGAGACGUGGGUGGUGCAUGUAUGAUAAAAAAUUAUAAUUAAUAAUUAUAGUGUCUACCUACCUACCAGUGAGUUGUGCAUGUAUUAUAAAAAAUAGUGUCGUUAUUUUUCAGAAAAUACUUUGUGAAUGUAAAAUGUUUUCACUCGGCAAAACUAAAGAAGUCCACGCGGAGGCUGAAGCAUCACAAACAUGUUGGGUACAGGAGAAAGACAGAUUCUUAAAUUGGUGAGAAUGACCUUUUAGCUACUUAGAUUUGAUUCCUUUUCAUUUCUAUCUCUCCAAACCGACAAGGGUUGAUUACAAGAAUAUUCCAGCUGGUAUAUAUCGCAACAGGUAAUUAAUUUCUCCACUUCUCUUUUCCUUGAUCAGCCUAAAUUAUUGAUAAAACCAACAACACUGUAAUACUAAGUCCAAUUAUGCCUUUUAUGGUAUUAAAUAUUUAUAUUAAAUAUCUUAUAAUUAUAAGAUAUUUAUCUUAAAAAAUAAACAAACAUAUCCAAAGCAUAAAAAAAGAGGCUAGAAGGACAUAGCUCAUCUCUUUGAAUAACACAAUUCUACUAUAAAACUUAAACAAGGUUUAAGAAAUAUUUAAGAUUAGAAAAUACUCAUUCUCCCCGUCACCUGGUUAAAUAAUAUACUAACUUAAACAUUAUAAUGUUUUUCAUGCCGGCACACCAAGUCCUUUAAUUCCAAUUUUAUCAGCCCAUAAAAACCACCCACAAUUUUUGUCUUGUGGAUUUUUUCAAUCCUUUGGAUCCAUUUUUAUCAGCCCAUGAAAACCACUUGCAAUCUUUCUCUAAUGAUUUUUAUUUUGAAGUAAAAAAGUUUUAUUUUGAAAUAAAGAAAAAAAUAAAUUUUUAUUUUUAUUUUUAUUUUUAGAAGAUAAAAAUAAACAUGCUUCAAUAACAAAAUUUAAUUUAAUUCAAUCUCAAAUAAAAAAAAUUAUCAUUUUUUUUUAACUUAAUGAGAAAGUAAAACAAAAAUUAAAGUCUUGGUCGCGCUGGGGUAUUAAUAAAAGAGACCCACAUUGCUUGAAGUUCAUUCCAUACUGCUGUAAAGUGCACCAAGGACUUCAUUAUCAAUUGUUCACUAAUUCAAAGUAGAAUUUUCUGCUUUCUUUUUUCUUUUUCUUUUUGCAAAUACUGAUUUUAUUGUUAACCCUCCUCAGAAUUCAUUGUUAAUUGGAAUAAUAAUUUUUUUAUUUAAUUUUAUUUUUAUUUUUUAACAUUAGAUUUAUUAGAUAUUGAAUUUUAUAAUUUUUUUUUAAAUUUUGUUUAAUUUUUUUAUUUUAAUUUUUUAAUUUAAUUUUGAAUUCACUAUUUUAUUGUUUAAUUCAUUGUUUAAUUUUGUUUAUUUUAAUUUUUAAUUCACUAUUUUAUUUUUGUAAUCUAAAUGAUGAGUUUUGGAGAUUAAUUUGAUUAACUUGAUAUUUUUUAUUUUUUUUUCAGUUUCUUUUUUUUUUUUUUUUGCAUAAAUCUGAUAGACUCAAUUAUAUAGCUGAUUGAUGUAGACAUAUAUAGACCAAUCUCUUUUCCACCUGGUGCUAUUUGAAGUUUAUGAUAGACUCAAUUAUAUAGCUAGUUGGUGCAUCAUUGACAGUUUCAUACUUGCAAUUAUUUUAUGUUUGAAGAAUGGUUUUAGAAAAAAAUUAAAUUUUUAUUUAUUUUUAUUUUAAAUUAAUAUUUUUAUAUCUUUUUAAUAUAUUUAUAUCAAAAAUAAAUUUUUUUUUAAACAAAACCUUUUUAAAGAAUAUGUUGUUAAUACUUUUUUAAACAAAACAAAAAAAUUUAAAUUAAUAUUUUUUAAUAAAUUACUAUAUCUGAUAAAGCCGCCCUCGGUUUUAAUACCUUUGCUAGCCAUCAUUUGCUUUGAAUUGUCGCACGUGUACGACGAAAAACAUCCACCCUUAAAUUUUAAUUUAAUGGCAAAUGUUUAAGAGACAAGGAAAUUCUCAUCUCUUUAUUAAUGAAAAGUUAGAAUGGAAAUCGCGACCUAGUAUUUUGGUCACUAGGAACCCUAACUAGUCUCAGAGAUCGGAUACGGAGAUUGAUUGUGUAAUGGGAAGGUAUUAGCACCCCAAAUACGCCCUACCUAUGGUAAGCUGUGCAUUGUUUUAUUGUUUGAUAAAAUUUAAAGUUUUGUUGUGUUUUCUAGUUGUUGGUCCGUCUAUGGUUUAAGAAAAAGUUCUCUUCGGUAAAGAAAUCUUUAUCUUAUUGGGUAAAACCUAAUCGUUCUAACAUCAAUAAUUUAAUAUCCGCAAUACAUCUUACGUAUAAGGUCGUAAUCCUAGAUAUUGAAAGAAAAAACUAUAAUUUUUUUGAAAUUUUUGAAAUAUUGGCCAGUUCUCGUGAGUUUAAUAAAUUGGUUAUUAAAGCUAAAAUGCAUGCUAAAAAUUUAUAUAUAUAUAUAUAUGAAGAUAUAAUAUGAUUAUAUAUAUAUAGGAUUCUAAUAUAGGAUGUUGUAAUCAUUACAGUAACUCAUGUAUCUAUCAGAAUAAUAGAAUGUGUUGGGUUGUGCCUUAGCCAACCUUCCUAUUUAUAUAGAGGCAGCAGAACAAUGCAGUAAUUGUAAUGAUUACAACAUCUUAUAUUAGAAUCCUAUUAUGAUAGAUACAUGAGUAACUGUAAUGAUUACAACAUCCUAUAUUAGAAUCAUAUUCUAUAAUAUGCCCCCUCAAGCUGAGGGUGGGGGAUCAACCCGAAGCUUGAAUCGAAAAGCAGUAAAGGAUGCAACAGGAAGCGGUUUAGUGAAGACAUUGGCAAGUUGAUCCCGAGAGGGAACAAAACGAAUCUAAAUUUCUUUCUUGGCAACACGGUCACGGAUAAAGUGAUAAUCUACUUCAACAUGCUUAGUACGAGCAUGGAAGAUAUGAUUUGUUGAGAGAUAGGUAACACCAAGAUUAUCACACCAAAUGGUAGGGGCAGAGACUGAGAGAACUUGCAAAUCUGUUAACAAGUAUUGAAGCCAAAUGCCUUCAGCGGUACCAUCAGUAAGGGCUUUAUACUCAGCCUCAGUAGAGGAGCAAGCAAUUUCAUAAUUUGUAUGGAGUUAUCCUAACUUUUGACACAAGUUCGAAAGGUUAAUUCGGGUUGAUUCAGAUUAUUUUUUUAAUUGAUAUUUAUUUUAUCUUAUUCUCUAGCAUUGAAUUAAUUAGGAAUUGAGAUUCAUAAUAAUUUUUUUUAUAGGAUUAUGUUAUGAAUCUUGAAUUUGACUUUUUUUUUAAUUGAAUUUUUUUUCAAUUACAUCAUUCUUUAUUGAGAAUUGAUCUUUAUAAUAUUUAUCGAUUUGUUUUUAAUAGGAUUAUAUUGGUCUCAUGAUCUAAGUUCGACAGGUUAAUCCAGGUUGAUUCAAAUUGUUUUUUUUUAUUUACUUUUAUUUUCAAUUUCAUCAUUAAACAUUGAGUUAAUUAAGAGUUAAGUGUUAUUUUUUUUAUUUUUUUUUAUGGGGUUAUCAUGAUCUCAUGACUCGGGACAUAAAUUUGAUAAGUUAACCCGAGUUAAUCUGAAUCAAUCUAAUAUUUUUUUUCUCAAUAUUUAUAUAAAAAAUAUCAUUUUAAAUUUUCUAGCAUGACAAUUACAGCUAGAUUAUAAAAAAUGACACGUGGGUUGUGUAUGUAUUAUAAAAAAUGGUCUCGUUAUUUUUCAGAAAAUACUUUGUGAAUGUAAAAUGUUUUCACUCGGCAACACUGAAGAAGUCCAUGCGGAGGCUGAAGCAUCACAAACACGUGGAGUGGGACAGAUUCUUAAAUUGGUGAGAAUGCCAUGUUUGUCGUUAUAAUGACAGGGAAGGAUCAUGUUUUCUUUUAUACGUCACAUCCAUGUACGUACAUACUUGUUUUCUAUGUCAUUUCUCUGCUGACCCGCCAUAUUUGAAUUCAAUUUUAACUUUUUACAGUCAUUAUAAAAGAUUUAUUUCUUUUUCAAGAGUUAUUGGUUUUUCCAUGUCAAUAAGUUUUUUAAUUUUUUAAUUACACAUAAUUUAUUUAAAAUCAUAAUAAUAUUCUAUGUAAAAAAAUUGAUUUUAAACAUUGAAUUCCAAUAAAAGUUUUCUUUUCAAAAUGAUUAAAUUCUACUUUUAAUCUAGUUUAAAAUAUACCUAUAUUAUAAAUCAAAUUCCAAUAAUCCUAUUCAUGAAUAUAUAUUGUCUGAAAAAAGUAAAAACAAUUCUAAGAUUUGUAGAGAGAUGUUGAUUUGGUGAAUCACUAUUUUAAAUGAAUAAUUUUUUACUUUAAUUUUUUUAAGUGAAAUACCAUUUAAUUUGCUUGGCUAAUUAAAAAACACAAUAUCUUAAUAUAUUUGAUUUUUUUAUAUAUAAAUCAAGAUAAUAAUAGUAGUAGUAUGAAUCUUCACCUGGUAUUUUCUAUGAUUCUCCUAGUUAGUUGCAGGUUGCAAGAUGUUGGAAUUUAAAAGAUAAGGAGGCAGGCAUGUAUCGAGGCUUGUGAGCCACAAAUUUAAUGACUACAAGCUAUGUUGAAUGAUCCACAUCACUAGCGUCGUCGGCUGCUAAAAAGCAUUUUCAUGGAAAACCUCUCAGAUAUUUAAACCCGACAUGUCAAUUUAUUGUACACCAAAAGAGACCCAUAUCGCUUGAAGUCCAUUCCAAACCGCUGUAAAGUGCACUGAGAACUCCAUCAUCAAUUGUUCACUAAUUGCAAGUUGAAUUUUCUGCUCUCUUUGUUUUUUUUUUUUUUGCAAAUACUGAUUGAUGUAGACAUAGACCAAUCUCUUUUCGACCUCGUCCUAAAGAACGACGAGCUAUUUAUUUCUCAAACGAACACACUCUCGUUAUAACACAAAAAUAGUUUAGUAUCGUGAGACGUGGGUGGUGCAUGUAUGAUAAAAAAUUAUAAUUAAUAAUUAUAGUGUCUACCUACCUACCAGUGAGUUGUGCAUGUAUUAUAAAAAAUAGUGUCGUUAUUUUUCAGAAAAUACUUUGUGAAUGUAAAAUGUUUUCACUCGGCAAAACUAAAGAAGUCCACGCGGAGGCUGAAGCAUCACAAACAUGUUGGGUACAGGAGAAAGACAGAUUCUUAAAUUGGUGAGAAUGACCUUUUAGCUACUUAGAUUUGAUUCCUUUUCAUUUCUAUCUCUCCAAACCGACAAGGGUUGAUUACAAGAAUAUUCCAGCUGGUAUAUAUCGCAACAGGUAAUUAAUUUCUCCACUUCUCUUUUCCUUGAUCAGCCUAAAUUAUUGAUAAAACCAACAACACUGUAAUACUAAGUCCAAUUAUGCCUUUUAUGGUAUUAAAUAUUUAUAUUAAAUAUCUUAUAAUUAUAAGAUAUUAUCUUAAAAAAUAAACAAACAUAUCCAAAGCAUAAAAAAAGAGGCUAGAAGGACAUAGCUCAUCUCUUUGAAUAACACAAUUCUACUAUAAAACUUAAACAAGGUUUAAGAAAUAUUUAAGAUUAGAAAAUACUCAUUCUCCCCGUCACCUGGUUAAAUAAUAUACUAACUUAAACAUUAUAAUGUUUUUCAUGCCGGCACACCAAGUCCUUUAAUUCCAAUUUUAUCAGCCAUAAAAACCACCCACAAUUUUGUCUUGUGGAUUUUUUCAAUCCUUUGGAUCCAUUUUUUAUCAGCCAUGAAAACCACUUGCAAUCUUUCUCUAAUGAUUUUUAUUUUGAAGUAAAAAAGUUUUAUUUUGAAAUAAAGAAAAAAAUAAAUUUUUAUUUUAUUUUUAUUUUUAGAAGAUAAAAAUAAACAUGCUUCAAUAACAAAAUUUAAUUUAAUUCAAUCUCAAAUAAAAAAAAUUAUCAUUUUUUUUUAACUUAAUGAGAAAGUAAAACAAAAAUUAAAGUCUUGGUCGCGCUGGGGUAUUAAUAAAAGAGACCCACAUUGCUUGAAGUUCAUUCCAUACUGCUGUAAAGUGCACCAAGGACUUCAUUAUCAAUUGUUCACUAAUUCAAAGUAGAAUUUUCUGCUUUCUUUUUUCUUUUUCUUUUUGCAAAUACUGAUUUUAUUGUUAACCCUCCUCAGAAUUCAUUGUUAAUUGGAAUAAUAAUUUUUUUAUUUAAUUUUAUUUUUAUUUUUUCACAUUAGAUUUAUUAGAUAUUGAAUUUUAUAAUUUUUUUAUAAUUUUGUUUAUGAUUUGUUUAUUUUAAUUUUGUUUAAUUUAAUUUUGAAUUCACUAUUUUAUUGUUUAAUUCAUUGUUUAAUUUUGAAUUCAUUGUUUAAUUUUGUUUAUUUUAAUUUUUAAUUCACUAUUUUAUUUUUGUAAUCUAAAUGAUGAGUUUUGGAGAUUAAUUUGAUUAACUUGAUAUUUUUUUAUUUUUUUUCAGUUUCUUCUUUUUUCUUUUUUGCAUAAAUCUGAUAUCUUUUAAAUAUGAAUUUCAUUGCAACUGUAAUAUCUCACCAUUCAAAUGGGUACAUCCAUCUAUAUUGGACCGGUCCUCCAGCUUUUGCCUCGAACGAUAGAUGUAUAGGGAGAUGCUCCAUUGAGUCAAAAAAUAAAAGAGGGAAUAUCAUCUCAAGUUUGCAUAGUGUCUCGAUGAUAUUCGUUUGAAGCCUCUCAAUGUGCUCAACAUUCAACUUGUUGGAGCAUAUAUCUCUGAAGAAAUGACUAAUCUCCGUCAGUGCAUCCCAUAUUCCCUUUGGCAACAAAUCACGAAAAGCUAAUGGGAUGAGUGUUUGCAUAAACACGUGGCAGUCAUGACUCUUCAUUCCAUAGAAUUUGCAGUCCUCUAUGUUAACAAGCCUUGAUAUGUUCGAUGCAUGUCCAUCCGGAAAACGCAGACUCUUAAGCCAUUUGUAGACUAGCAGUUGUGCGUUUUUCUCUAACACGAAGCUUGCCCUUGGUUUUGCGACCCGUGACUCCUCAUAAACCAACUCCAUAUUUUUACGGUUACAGUAUAAAGCUAUAUCCAAUCUAGACUUGAUGUUGUCCUUUGUCUUCCCCUUCACAUCCAUGACGGUGUUGAAAAUAUUCUCAAACACGUUCUUUUCGAUGUGCAUGACGUCAAGGUUAUGGCGAAGAAGAUUGGUCUUCCAAUAAGGAAGCUCCCAAAAAAUACUUCGCUUUACCCAAUUAUGGGUCAAACCAAAACCAGGAAACUUUUGCUUACCUGAUUGAAGGCCAAACACAAUGUCACAGUACUCUGAUACAACAUGAUGCAAUUCUUCACCAGAAAGACGCGGGGAUGCAACAUCUUUUUCAACUCUACCAACAAAGAAAUUUUUCUUUCUUUCUGAACCUGUGAUUAAGUGGCAAGAAGCGACGGUGACAGUCAAAAAGAAGCUUUACCUCGUUUGCUAGCGUGAAUGCCUUGUUGUUUUCCAUGCAGUAUGGACAUGCGAGUUUCCCAUGUGUGCUCCAACCAGAAAGCAUUCCAUAAGCUGGAAAAUCAUUGAUAGUCCACAUCAAAGCCGCCCUCAUAAGGAAAUUUUUUUCCUCGAUAUAUCAUAAGUCAGAGCUCCGGAGGACCACAACUGCGCCAGCUCAUCAAUCAACGGUCGAAGACAAACAUCUAUAUUCCGCCCGGCUGCUUGGACCGGGUAUGACAGUAGAUAAAAACAUGAACUCCGGCCUCAUACACAUUCCCGGUGGCAAGUUAUAAACUGUGAGUAUGACCGGCCAACAAGAAUAGGGAGCAGCAAAUGACCCAAAUGGGUUGAAUCCGUCUGUACACAACCCAAGACGGACAUUCCUUGAUUCAGCUGAAAAGUCAGGAUGCACACUGUUAAAGCGUUUCCACGCUUCGCCGUCAGAAGGAUGCACCAUCACACCAUCAACCGCAUCAUGUGUUUGGUGCCAUGUCAUGUGCUCAGCAGUCCUUCGUGACAUGAAUAACCUCUGCAGUCUAGGUGUGAUCGGGAAAUAUCUAAGUUUUUUAUACGCCACUAGAGUCUUUCCCCUGCCAGUUCUGGGUUUGUAACGGGAAUGCCCGCAUGUCAUGCACUCGGUCAUCUCAGCAUUUUCAAGGUAGUAUAACAUGCAGAAGUUAGGGCACAUGUCAAUUUUCUGGUAUCCUAAACCGAGGGGUUUCAUCAUGGACUUCGCAGCAUAAAAGUUCUCUUUGAGCCUGUUCCCUUCAGGUAAAAUGCUUCUUGCCCAAUCAAUAAUUUUGUCAUACCCGGCCUCACUCAGCCCGUGAUCUGACUUGAUGGUGAACACCUGUGCCACGGCCGACAAUUUACUGUGGUUUGUGCAGCCAUCCUAUAAUAGUUCGUCAGAAUCUUUCAACAAAUCAAAAAACCUAGCUGCCUCUGCAAUAGGUUCUUCUUCUACGAUUGGACAUUGACUGACAUUACCUUGAUUCAUGCUCAUUGCAUCCAUAACCAUGUUUCUAUAAGGAUUAGUGUUGUCAUUUGCCGCUUCAUGCACGUUGCUAGCACUAGAAGUUAACCCAACCACCGUUUCUCCCAUUCUCCUAUUACUAAUAAAUACCUCUCCAUGUGCAUACCAACACUGGUAAUCCUUCACAAACCCUUUGUGUAGAAGAUGCAUCAUUACAACAUCUAGAUGCAGAUACUUUUUAUUUUGACACUUCUUGCAUGGACACCUAAUACCGCCUCCAGUAAAAUUUCUGGGAAUAGAUGUUGCGAAAUUAAUAAAACCCUGAACCCCGUUACAAUAAUCCAUCCUCCGCAAUCCUUGGGGUGAAUCUAGAUACAUCCAUGAACGAUCAUCCAUGACUUCUAUCGAACCUCUAUAAAAUUAUGAUGACAUCAUGUAUAUAUUAAUUAACUAAGUUAGGUAAAUAAACUUGUAAAUAUAUUACUUUACCUCGAGAUUAUCCAACAAACCAAUCACAACUUCUCAUAAAUAUUAAAUAUUCAUUAUCAUUUAUCAACGUCCAUACAAAUUAAUAUAUAUUUAUAUAUAUAUAUAUAUAUAAAUAUAUAUAUAUAAAUUAACAGAAAUUACAACUCUGCAAUACCAUCGAUAAAACUUAAAAAGGAUCCAUUAAGCAAGCUAUUAAUUAUUUCAAAACAUAACAUGUAAUUCCACAAAGUUUUAACAAUUUACAAACAAAUACAAUCUUACAAAAUCUAAAACAAACCAUAACAGGUAUAAAAUUAUACAUUCAUAAACUACAAGUUUGUUUGAGAAAUAACAAUAAAACAUGUACAUCUACUAAUAAAAAUACAUAUACUAAAAAAACAAUAAAAUUGACAUUUAAAUGUUAAAAUUUAAAAAGAUAGAAUUACUUAUAAAAAUUGAUAAAAUCCGUCGGUAAAUCAGAACACGGAUAUUGUGACCACAAAACUUCAAGAAAUACAACUGCUGAGAUGAGAAAGAUUUUUAUUUGAGGGCGAGGGGCGGCUGGUUAUUUGCAGAUGGGGAGACUUAGGAUUAGGAAGAAGAAGGAGAAAUGGGGGAGGAGAGUGUCGCUGGGCGGCCAUAUAUUCACUUUUUCUGAUAGCCUCACCGACAGAAUAACACCGUCGGUGACUCCAUCGCUAAUUGUGACGGGGAAUCGACACGUCACCGCACGGACCUGCUUUUUCAAAUCCCUCGGUGAUUCCGUCGGUAUUUUUUGACGGUGCGCCUGUCACGUCACCCGUACGGAUCUGGCAUUCAAAUCCGUCGGUAUUUUUGACGGUGAAACGGUCACGUCACCCGUACGGGUCCCAGGUUUUGAAUCCGUCGGUGAUGCUGUCGGAAAAAUUACCCGCCAAAAGCUCCGCCUCAGGUACCCGCCCUUUUUUCAUUAAUUCUGAACUUUUCGUCCGUAAUUCGGUCGGUAAUUACCGACGGAAUCUAACCGUCGGUAAUUACCGAUGGACUUACAGACGAAAAUAUUAUGUCGGUAGUUUCGACCGAAAAAUACCGACAGAAAUAUGUCGUCGGGAUUCCGUUGGUAUUUAGUGAAUUUCUGGUAGUGUCUGAUCUCAAUAUAUAUGUAUGUGAAAACAAAGUAAUACAGUGCUAGCAAGGUUGUUCUUACCUUCUCCUGGAUGUAGCUGAUCAGAAGCAAGCAAAGUAAUAGAGCUCGAGAAACUGAUCAUCACCAUAACUUGGCAAAGCUGAAACAACAUUACCAUCUUGUGCUGAAAACUGGCAGAAAGAGCUCGAAUAAGUGUUCUCUUUGUCGAUAUUUGUAUUCAAUUUUAACUUUUUACGAUCAUUAUAAAAGAUUUAUUUCUUUUUAAAGAGUUAUUGGUUUUCCAUAACAUGUCAAUAGUUUUUUUAAUUUCUCUAUCAUAUAUAAUUUAUUUAAAAUUAUAUUGAUAUUGCAUCUUAAAAAAUUUAUAUUAAAGAUUAAAUUCCAACAAAUGUUUAACUCUAAAAAUAAUUGGAUUUCAUUUUUAAUUUUGUCUAAAAUGUACCUAUAUAAUUUUAAAUAAAAUUCUAACAAUCGCCUUCAUAAAUAUAAAUUGUCUAAAAAAAAUUAAAAUUGAUUCUAAAAUUUGUAGAGAAAUAUUGAUUUGGUGGAUCACUAUCUUAAAUGAAUAAUUUUUUAUCUUAAAUUUUUUUAAGUAAAAUACCAUCAGAUUUACUCAAUUAAUUAAAAUAUUUAUUUUUUAUAUAUAAAUCAAGAUAAUAAUAGUCAUAUGAAUCUUCUCCUCGUAUUUUCUUUGGUUCUCCUUAGUUGCAGGUUGCAAGAUGUUGAAAUUUAAAAGAUAAGAAGGCAGGCGUAUAUAGAGGCAUUUGUGCCACAAAUUUAAUGACUGCAAGCUAUGUUAGAGUGUUAUUUACAAUACAAAUACUCUAUAUUUACAAUGCAAUGAAUUUAUGCUCAUAGUAAAUGCCCAUUAUUUUCCCCUUGCGUUUUAAUAUAUAUAAGCAUAGCAACAAUAAAACACCGAUUGGGAACGUGGUGCAAACCGCGUUUCCAAAAAAUUCAAAAAAAUUCUUUUUGGUUACAAUUUAUUAUAGUUUGUAUAUUUUAGAUCGUUUUGAUGUGCUGAUAUAUAUAUAUAUAUAUAAAAGCAGAGCAACAAUAAAAACAGUGAAAAUCUUUUUUCUAUUUAUUUCUAUGUUUUAAAAAUGUUUUUAAAAAAAUUUAAAAGUGUUUCUUCUAUUAAUUAAUUAGCUAGCAAGGUUAUUCUUACCUUCUCCUGGAUGUAGCUGAUCAGAGGCAAGCAAAGUUAUAGAGCUCGAGAAACUGAUCAAUAUCACCAUAACUUGGCAAAGCUGAAACAUCAUUAACAUCUUGUGCCCAAAAUUGGCUAGAAAAGCUCCAAUCAGUUUUGAAAAAAAACAUAUUUUUGUGUUUUUUGAAAUUAGGAAAAAAAGUUUGAAUUUUUAUUUUGAAAUUCCAGAGAAAAAUAAAGUAUUUUUGAUAUCGGGUUUGUAUCUUAUAGUGUAAGUCUACAAUCUAAUAUUAGGCAAAAACUAUUUUCAAAAACACGUGAGGAACCCACAAAUAAUUUCAAAAUGGUCAUUGAAUUUGUUUUUCAGAAUCUUCUUUUUGAAAUUUUUAAGGGCCUCUUUUACUAAACCCCAAAAUAAAAACAAAUUUAAACUAAAAAAAAAAAAACUUAGGGUAGGUUUGCCAAAAGCGUUCUUAGCCUAAAAUUAGAGACAUUAAAAUUUCUUAAGGUUGUGUUUGGCAACACGCCUUAAGGACCCAAACAAAGCCUUAUUUCCUUAACAAAAUUGAUUGACACAAGUCAAAGGCACCUUUAGCUUUUGGGUUUGGCUUAGCCUAGCCACAUGGGUUGGCCUAUUGAGUUGGCUUGAGGCCUAAACCCCCACAUGGCUUAAGACCUACCCAACUUGAUUUUUGUUGGGCCAAAAGAUGUCCCAAAAGGCUUUUGUCUUAUAAACCUAUCCUAACCACAAGGUGAUAGGACCUUAAGUCAAGAAGAAAUGAACAUUCAAAAUCUUGCUUACAAAUUGUCUUCAGGACCUUAACUCCAAUAUACAAAAAUCUUUAAACUAAGGUAAACACAUUCCAACUAGGAACAUGAAGGUUUUUUUUUCCCCAAGUAAUAACCACACAAAACAUGGUUCAAUUUAGCUAAGGAAAAACUCUUGUCCAUUAAAUUCUAUAUUGGCUAUGAACUCGUAAAUAUUCUUAUUAUAUUGCUCACAUCUUAUAAGCCUUAAAAUUUCACCCCCUUCCAAUAUAGCUAAAUAUAUUUCCUGCUAGCAUAUCUUAUUUUUAAGUUCAACUCAGAAUCAAAACUCAUUAAUUAUAUGUAAGCAACACAAUUAAGGUUAAUAAAAUAAUGUCACACGAAAUUGUCUCAUCAAUAAUAAUCUUCAUAACUUUACUAGUUCAUAUCUUUUCCCAUAUCUUUGAUCUAAUUUGGCCACAUCAUAGGACUAGAGCCUCACAUUUGUUCUUAUUACGAUAUGAUCUAUGUCUUAGCAUGGUGGGUUGCAAAGAUCUUUAUUGUUUGUUUAUCAACAUGAUCUUCCUUACUAAUGAUUCCAACAUUAAGUUUCAACCACUCUUUUAAUGUUACAGAGAGAUGAUAAUUUGCUAACACCACUAUCAUCAUCUUAAGCAUUAAGUUGGUGCAAUUAUGAACACUUCUUCCUGUUAUGAUUGUCACAUUCGGACAUCGCGACAACCCGAUUAAAAAAUUUUCAAGGAAAAAGAAUAGAUAUCUGACAUCUUGUUUUUUAGAAGAAAAAAGUCUUGUUUAAAAAGUUGUCACCUAGUAUUAUGAUCAUUAGAAACCCUAAUUGGUUAACAUAGAUUCUAUGGUACGGGACUGCUUACGCGAAAGGGAAGAUACUAUUACCCCUUAAGUGUCCUACUUGAGGCAAGCUGCAUUGCUGGUUUUGUCUUAAAUUGCUAAAAGUUUUUUUUUUAUUAUGCUUUUCAUGGUCUGCCUAGGAUAUUCCUAACUCUAGCGUAAGUGAACACUUGACUACAAAUAUUUUCAACUCUAGCAUUAGUAAAUAUUACGCAACCCAAAAAGUAUAGCAUUCCUAACUCUAGUGCUAGUGAAUAAACCCAUAAAAUUUGGAUUAAAAGAAAAAAAAAACUAUUUUUAUUAUAUUUUUUGGGGGGCUAGAUCGAGCCUAGCUGCACAGCCUGUGCUGGACCCAAUUGGCCUGACCUAAUUAGCUCGACCUGGUCACUGGCCCAAGCUAAUGACCUGGCUGGUCACUGUUGCAUGUAUGCAUAAACUAUUCACGUAUGCUGUGCAUGGUGUGAAGGUAAUUUUAAUUACCUUCGCACAAUGUCAAAUACAAAUUACAAAGCAAAAAGAACAUGCUUGGUUCUGGAGACAAGAGGGUAUUUAGGAGUGUGGUAGCGCUUGCUUUCCAAAGUGAUUUUCAUUCUAAAAUACAUUAAAAUAAUUUUUUUAAAAAAAUUAUUUUUGACAACAACACUUCAAAAUGACAUGAAAACAUCAAAAAAUAUUAAUUUCAAGCAAAUAAAAAAAUAAAAAAUUUCAAUUUUUUUUUAAACACUUUUUAAAACGCAAUGCCUAACAUUAUUUAUUGUUUCUCGUUCACUUCCCCUAUGUUCUCUCUUUUGGUCUCCUAUUCUCUCUAUUUCUGUGCUUGCUAUGUUAUCUCUUUUGGUCUCCUAUUCUCUCUAUUUCUCUGCUUGCUAUGUUAUCUCUUUUGGUCUCCUUUCGCUCCCUAUUUCUUUGCUUGCUAUGUUAUCUCUUUUGGUCUCCUAUUCUCUCUAUUUCUCUGCUUGCUAUGUUAUCUCUUUUGGUCUCCUUUCGCUCCCUCUGUCCCUGUGUUUUCGUCCGUUUUUUCUGUCUCCUCUAGUAUUCUUCUGUCGUCCUGUACCUGUGUUUUCGUUCCUUCUCUUUCGUGUCUAUCUUCUCCUCUGGUUCUUUCUGUGUUUGUUUCUGUUUUGUCUUUCGUCUUUCAGUUCGUCCUCUCGGUUUCUUCGUUCUCUGGUUUUUUUUGUUGUGGCCUUCUCCUGGAAUGCUCUGUUUCUGGUGCAGUAGCUACUGAAUAUGGAGACCUAGCGUAAGGGCGUCCCUGCUGGUGAUCCUAGAGGCUGAUUUUCAGCUGAGGAGAAGAACUCUCGGAGUUUACAGGUUGCUGCUAUUGCUGGUUGGAGGCUGGUGUUCAGCUCUGCUAUGGCUGAUGAGGAACGGUAUUAUAGCUGCGCCUGUGGUGAGUGACCCGGCAGCCCUUAUGGUAUUCUUGUUGGGUGACUGAUCUACCGUGACAAUGAUUUAUGGACUGGUGCAGUCGCUGGUUGGAGCUGCUGCCAUUGGGAGAAGAGAGAUGGAGCAGCACCGGUUGAGAUGUGAAGGAACUGGCCACGGGGGAGAAAGCUGCGACCUUCGGUGAUGGCUCAAUGACCUGUAAUGGUUCUUAGUUUAAGAGAAGGUUGUGGUGGCCAUUUUUUGUUAGGGUUGCUCAGCCAUGCAACCGAUUGUGCCUUUUUUUUUUUUUUUAAAUUCUUCUACUUAGGUUUUCUUGUAAUGUAUUCCCCCAAAGGUUUCUUGUGAUGGUCUCUCCCUUCUUGUGCAUGUGGAGAUUUGUAUUUAAAUAAAAUAUAAUUAAAAAAUCCCAAAUAAAUUUAUUAUUUUUUUGAAAUUUAAAUAUAAUUAAAAAUCAAAUUUGAAAGAGAAUAAUUAUUAUUAUCUUGAUGAUAAUGAUAUAAUAAUUAAAAUAUAUUGUAUUAUCUAGUUUUUAUGUAAAUUAACAAAUUAUAUUUUUCAUUCAAACAAAUCUCAGAUCUUUUAAUUUUAUAUUUUAUCCCUUAUAAAAUUAAAUUAAAAACUAAUUAAUUAAAAUUGGAUUAUAACAAUGAUCAUCCAUCAUGUAUACCCUUUACCAUUAAUCCCUUUUAAAGUUACAAAGUCCACUAGAACACAAUCAGCCAUUAAUCUCUUUCAAACUCAGAAAUUCCGUUUCAGUACUCUAAAACCAAAUAUAACAAACCGUGAUUUCAUAAGUAAUUAAGACAAUAAUUCAACAUCACAUUCAUGAAAAUAUGGUCAUUUGUUUUAUCAUUUAACAACUCAUCAUGAUAAAAUCUUCCAUUUUACAAUUAACUCAAAUGAGUAAAUCCUUUUUCCCUUUUACUUUUUAUUUACAUUAACUUUUUUCCACACUUUAACAUAUGUUUCAUUUUUUAUUCAUAACUUUCACAUUUUUAGUCUUAGUGACUUCCUUUCUUAUAUGAAUCCACCUUAUAAGAAUUUCAUUUUUCUUUAGCCUUUCAUUUAGGAUUACCAACUCCAAUUGUUUAUAAUAUUCACCGGCAAGAUGGAAUGUUAAUGAUAUCUAACAUAUUGGAACAUUCAUUUAAUAUCCACCUCUUUUUAGCAUAAUUUACUCGAACAAACCUCAUUUUCUUAGGAAAUAUCCAUAUUACUUAUUUAGACCCUUUUUUAUAAUACUAUGGUUUUUAGGUAGAUUUGCUCGAUUUAAUUAAAUUUUGGUAAAGUUUUUUCUAUGUAGAACUCAAUCUACUUUUAACCUUAGAUAUGACCUACAAAUAGAAAUACAAAAUAGAAAAACAAUCAAUUAUUACAAUUAUAAGCUCAUAUACAAACAUUUCUAAUUUAUUAAAUUUAUAAAUUUACUAAAAGUAAUCCAAAAUCAUAUUAAAAGGAAGAUCUAUCAAUUCAAAUAUGCAAACAAAUUGAGUAAUAUGCAACUAAUAUUAAUAUUAGGGAAAUUCAACAAUUGUUCCCAAUACACCAUCAUUAAAACACAAUUCUUUUUAUUUUCUUUUUGGCCUUUUCUUGACUAUACUACCUAUUUCCUUAACUUUUCAUUUGUAAUUCUUUGCAAACAAGCCCUUACUCUUACACAUAAUUAUAAAUACUUCACACUAAUAACUUUAUAUCAUCUAUGUCGCACCCAAAAAAAAAAAAAAUCCAGCGCGCGAGAGCGGCUGUCGAUUUAAGUCUCGUUGUUGUGUUUGCUUUGAAUUCGUACGUUGGAGUCGCCACCUAGUAAUUUAUUGAGGGCUACUAGGAAACCUGAUGUACUGGUCUUAUCAGAGAUCGCGGGUAAGGGACUAGUUGUGGUUAGGGAAGGUAUUAGCACCCCUAACACACCCUACCUGAGGUAAGCUGCUUCGUGUCUUGAUGUGAUUUGAAAAUUUAAAAUAUUAAUCAAAUUCUAAGGCUUGAAUAAAUCAGUUAUUAAAUCCCCGAAUAUAUGUAGAAACUUGUUCUCACAUUUUCAUGGAAAAUACAACUUGAUUUUAUUUGUCCUUGAGAUAUUUAACUAUAUUUAAAUUAACAAUUAAAUCUUUUUGUCUUUUUUUUUUAUUUUUAUAAUUCAAUAACAUAAAUAAAAAAAAAUACAAACACACAACUUUUUUAUCAUUUAUUUUUCUUUUCUUUUCUCUUUUCUUUUACAUCACAAUACAAAUACAAAAUCAAAUACAAAUACAAAUUCAAAACAAAUAAAUAAAAAUUACAUUAAUUAAUUCCAAAUUUACACAAUAGUCCCUAAAAACUCCGGAAAUUGCAGGGAAGGACUUCUGCACCCGCAGGAACCUUGGCGGCGCGUCUCAACACGCGCCACCGUCACUGGCGGCGCGUGGGUUCACGCGCCGCCGUGAACAAAGACAGAACACGGGUAGAUCUGGUUCAACUUCCUUUCCCUUUCCCCUCUCUGCUGGUGGUGACAACCACCGUCACCUGCAAACGAAAAAAAAGAACACAGGCAAUCGAUUUUAAUUUUUUAGAUCUGUUUUAAUUUUUUUUCUUCUGCCCGUUUCAGGUCUGCUCAUUUCGAUUUUCUCUCCUCCUCCGGUGCUAGAUCGGGCAGUUGGUGGAUCUGUGGCCGGGCAUGGAGAUCGGAGGAGAAGGGAACUGCUAGGCGGUUGGAAGGAGAUGAAGAAAACGGCGGGGCCGCCGCUGCGUUUGGUUGAGGAGCUGGAGACGGCGCCGAAGGAGAUGACGAAGACUGCUGGAGGCAGUGAGCUGGGUGUGGCUGGAAAUGGCUGGGACUAUGGAGGCAACAACCGACCUCUGUUUCUGGGAGAACCGAGAGAGGGAGGUUGUAGAUGGGUGUGGCCUGGUUUGUGUUUGGCGAAAAUGGAGAUUGAAACCGUGUGGGGGGAGGAAAGUGGCUGUUGGGUCUGCUGAGGGGUUUCGGUGGAGGCCGGUUCGGUUGGUUCUUUCCUCUGCCAAGAAGAUGGAGAGACCAAUAGGAGAUGGGAGGGGCGGCUGGUUUCUUUUCCCAGUGAGAGGCGGCCUCAAGAAGAAGAAGAUCAAAAAUGGAGGGGGGGCUGUCUUUGGGUUUCUCUAAGUGUCGGCUCUGUGUUGGGGAAGAAGGGGGAAAAAAAAAAUGGUGAUGAAGGGGAGUCCUGAAAACCGGCUGUUGAAGGGGGGAAAAAAUCAAAGAGCUCAGGGGCUCUCUUGGGUGAGCGGCUGCAGGGGAGAAGAAGAAAAUCUCCAACGGGACUGGGGACUGUGGGUGCUGCCCCCUACUGCCGGGACCCGAAAAAUGACUCCCAUCCCCCCUUUUGCCCAGCUGGGAAUGAGAAGAAAUAGGGGAUUUUCUUGUCAUUACGAGGAGGGCCACCAUGUCGGCGGGAAACAAGGAAAAGAGGAUCAUGGGUGGGGCUGAGCUGCUAAUUUUUAGCCGAAAGAGAGGGAUUAAAUAAUGGUCUUGGGCCAUGGGCAACGACUAGUUUCGGGUGAAGAGAAAAAAAUUCUUAGGUUGCCCCUUCUUCCAAAAUUCAAAAUUCCAUAUACAUAGGCAAAAAUAUUGUUCCGGCCUCAAAAUUGGUCCCUUAAUUUUCUUUUUUUGUAAAAUUUGAUUUUUCUUGUUUUUUUGUAUUUUUUUGAAAACGAGCAAUAUCAACGUCGACUCAAAUACGGAAAAUCAAUUAUUUUAAAAAUGACGCGUGAAAAGUCGAACGCGUUCGAAAGACCCUUAAAAAUGUUUAAAAAUUUUAGACGACGUUGAAAAUGCUAAAAUGACAAAAAUAUAUUAAAAACAUAUUUUUUUUGGAUUUUCUUUGUUUUUCUUUAUUUUUGGAUUUUUUUGAAAAUCUAUCAAAAACAUGGGUCAAAAAUUGGGUAGCAACAAUCUAGUAUAUUGGAUUAUCAAAGUUAUGGCCUAACCAUGCAAUUAGCUUAGUUCUUUCUGAUAUCUUUGAUGUCCCUUUCUAAAAUCAUCCAAAAGACAUUUGAUAUGUAGAUUUCUACUCGAAUGACCAACUCAUAAAUGUCAAAGAACCAUCUCAAUCCAAUAACUUAAGCUGUUAGGUGAGGUUCUAGGAUAUGAUUUAUAUUAUUCUCUAACACACUCCCUCAAGUGAAAGCCCUUUGGGCUUGAAACUUGCAUAGACCCACAUUACCUUGUACUUAAUUUUUAUCAAAUAAAUGGAGAAUGUGAGAUUCGAACUCGUGACCGCUUGGUCAUCAAGGCUCUGAUACCAUGUCAAAGAACCAUCUCAACCUAAUAGCUUAAGCUGUUAGAUGAGGUCCCAGGAUAUGAUUUAUAUUAUUCUCUAACAAUAAACACUCGAUCCAUAGUCUCCACUCAUGUGGUUAGCUUAUCAAUUCAUGACAAGUAACCCCUAUUUAUGUGGUUGGCUUAUCAAUUAAUUUUAUAUAUCUUUGAUAUAUAUUUUUUUUAGAUGCAAACACAAUAAUAAGAAGUUUAAAAGUAACAUUGUUUUAAAUAUAAGUAAGGUGGAGAACAUCUAUUUGUUCUUUCGGAUGAUCUAGUUAUUAAAUACUGAUGCCUCUUUUUAUAAAAAAGAAGAUCCAAACAUUCACAUUUAUGUUAUCAUUGUUGAAUUCAUAACAAGACAUUUCAUUAUACCCUAAUUUCUACACCUUUCAAUUAGUCCAUUUCUUAUUUCCAUUAUCUUAUAUAUUAAUUUCCUUGUUUUACAAUAAUACACAAUAUUAGCAAUAAUAUUUACUAGCAUCAUUUUUCUCUUAACUUAUUUUAUUUGACACAUUCCGCAUCUUAUAACUUGGUCAAAUAUUUAAUUUUGUUUAAUAUGCUAAUAUUUUCCACAUUGCAUUGCAUAUACAACCUUUCAAAAUUCACAGCUUACCACUUAAUUUCCAUAACUACCUUGAAAUUUCUAAACACACGAAGUCAAUAUAAUAUAUUUUAAUGAGUAUGCAUGCACUCAAGAAUUUUUAUCAAUAUCAAUUUUAAUUUUUAUUCUUUUAAUUUUGUUUUUACAAUAAUUAAAAAUUAAAUUAUACAAAAUUAUCCUACCAUUUAAUAUGCAAAUAACAUCCAAUACAAUGGACCCAUAAUAAUAUACAAUAUGAAUAGUAUGAAAAAUAUGAAGGCAAUGAAAAUAUAACUUAUAAGAUCUAAAUUGUACAUUAUCAUUGUUCACUAACAUCCAAGCUGUAAAAUCUUAAAAAUCAUCUAAUCAUUAUCAGCUAAUAUUCUUUUAGUUUGAGAACUUUUUUUUUUAUCAUGUUCAAGGAGUCUGUUCUUUUUUAUAAAUCAUGUAUAUAAAUUUGCUGGUUCUCCAUAUAUUUUUUUUAUUUGAUAUAUAUAUUUUUGAUUAAAAAAAACACAAAAUCUAAAAAAUCAAAUAAAAAAAAUUAUAACACAACAUAAACAAGAGAUAAUUGCAUUAACAGUACAUGAAUUUUAUUUUAUUUUUGUUUAUAUACACCAACUUAAGUAAGAAUUCUAAUCAAGCACUUUCAUCCAAACUCUGUUAGUUCCUUUUUUGUUUACGUGUACUUUGGUAUUUAUUAAAAAAAAAUUGCAACAUUGAUAUACCAACUUUCAGUUUUCAUCAGUCAAGUAAAUAAACUUUUUUUUUUCCAUUAAAGUACACCAUUUUUAAAAAAUCUCAUACAAAAACAAGCUGAUUCCUUCUUUAAAUUUAAAUUUUAUUAAAAAUAUUCAUAAUAUCCAUCCCCAUAAAUCGGGAGUAAUAAUCACUGGCCAGGAACAGUGCCUUGGGCUCUGAAUUCUCACAACCACGGAGAUAGCUUUCAGAGACCGUUUACAUAUAUAGAAUUAUAAAUCCAUAACCAUACCAAGAUGGAUGGUAAGCAACAAAACGUUGUGUAGACGUCUAAAUAUUGAUCCUCUGUAUCAUCAUUAUAUGAUUACAAACGAAGCUCCCAGCAUGUCUUUGGCUUUUUUCAAAUUAAAGACGAGGUUUCCCUGAGGUUUAAACUUACGGACUUGGGAUUGAUGAGGUAAAGAUCAGGGGCAGAUGUAGAGGAAUUUCCAAUCCGUGAUUUAUCUGAUGGAGGAAAGAGGUCUUGUGUGCUGUUUAAACUCUGGUCUGUGACCUGCUGAUAGUGGCCUUUGACACGUUUGGAGUAUAAAUGCUAGGAUCUGAGGUCACCUCCGGGAUGCUGGUCUGUCCUUCAAGCAUGCUCACCACUUCUGACAUUGCAGGCCUUAUAGAUGAAGAAGCAUUGGUGCAUAAGAGAGCCGCUUUGAUCAUCCUCUCAGCCUCUUCCUUGUUGAAUUCAGACUGCAGCUUUGGGUCCACUAUCUCCAUUAAAUUUUCCUUUUUUCGCAAUACAUGAGCCUGUGACGACAAUUUCAAAGAAAAAUAAGAAGGAAGCUAUGAUAUUUUACCAAAUGUACCAUGUUUUGCAUUGAGAACUGAUGCCUCACGCGUCAUUAAUUCAGGAUAGCAACAGAAACAGACUGACGAUGAUUUACCCAGUCAAGAAGACAAACAUUUUCUUUCUCUGGCCUGUAACUUGAGUUGCUCUUUCCACUGACAAUUUCUAAGGCGACAACCCCAAAACUAUAAACAUCUGCUUUAUCUGUUAGAUAGCCCCACAGUGCUAUUCUGGAGCCAUAUAUCCUCUGAAAUAUAUAUAAAUAUAUUUUUAAAAUGCAGAAUUAGUGCCCUUCAGAGACUUGAGGAGUAUUACUAUCAAUAAACUUCACGAAUUAAAUUAGUCUCAAUACAACAUACAUAGUUCCAGCAACUCGAGUGCUAAUAUGAGUGUUCUCAUCUUCAUUGAGCUUAGCUAGUCCGAAGUCUGAUAUCUUGGCAUUUAGAUCUUUGUCCAGUAAUACAUUUGUACUUUGAUGUCCCUGUGAACGAUCCUGAUUGCAGAUCCUUCAUGGAGAAAUGCUAAACCUCUGGCUAUUCCAACACAUAUCUUAUACCUUGUUGGCCAAUCCAGCAUCAGAGCACUUGUUUCGGAACCUGCUCCUAAUAGGAUUGUUGAUAAGAUCAUUUCAUGUUUGCUAGUUGAUGCAGUGUUAAAAAAUAUAUUUACUGGAAAUUUAUCAACAAAUGCUACAUGGUUACCAAAAAGUGCACGAGAGAGGGAGUUGUUUUCCAUGUACUCGUACACCAGAAGCAACUGGUCUCCUUCAAUACAGCAUCCAUAUAGCCUUACAAGAUUGGGAUGCUGUAAACAAGAUAUCAUGCCUAUUUCGUUCACAAAUUCACGGUUUCCUUGCCUGGAUUUAGGAGAUAGCUGCUUAACAGCAAUAAUAGUACCAUCUGCUAAUUCACCCUGCAUUGGAAGUCAAUCACGCAUCUAAAUGCUAUAGUGUUUUGGGGGCGGAUUCACCCAUGCAUGAUUCCAAUAAUAAAAUUGUGAUAAUAUGAAAAAUUCAUUAGAUGACAAACCUUGUAUACAGAUCCAAAACCACCCUCUCCAAUCUUGUUUUCUGAAUUGAAAUUGUCAGUGGCCGCUUUUAGCUGCCUCAAGGUGAAGGAACCAGUUUUCAAAUCUAGCCCUUUAAGCUCUGCACGUAGCAGUUGAACAUCAUACAUCCAUGCACUACGCGCAUUCUUUAGUGUGAUUCGCCAUUAUUUAGAAAAUUAAGAGAAGACUCAGUGUGAGGAAAUGACUGAUUUUACAAUACCUCGUUCUUUUGUGUAUUUGUGUCCAUAGCAGAGCUUCCAAUAAAUGAAACCCAUUACCAAGAGAAUAAGGAACGCUGCUGAAGUGACAACUCCGAUCACAAUAGGUUUCUUGCUUGUUUCCUCAGGUUCUGAUAUUAAAUAAAAUUGCAAACGCAAAGAAGGCUAAACAUCCCAUCAAAUGGAUAAUAAACAUUAACGCUGUAAAGACCACUAUAGCACAGUUCAAUUCUCACCUUCACAAUAAGUUCUGUAACCUGAAAAACCACAGAUCACGGAAAGAUUCUUAGGAUGGGAUAAUGAAGUGAGUGGAAGAAGCUUACAGUUACAGUGACAACAAAAAUCAGGCUAAUCACUUAUGCAGAUUGGUUUAUGAGACACCUUAAAUGUGUUUAAUCUUGUUUCACAUUCUCUCAGAUAUUUCCUACAUCAGUUAGGGGAGGAUAAAAAACCCAGAAAGCUCAGAAAAUUGAAAUAGAAAUGAAUUCAAUGGUGUCCUACUGUAUAACUUAAACUCCUUGAAGUCUGUAAGUUUCAAAUGAGAGGCAGAAAAAGAACAUGUAACAUACCUGAACAUACGGAUAUAGCAGAAAUUAUAGGACCAUAAUUUCCUCUUAUUGGAAUGGUAGUAGUGCCUUUUCCAGCCCAGUAUAAUCGGAUCUCCAGGGUACGGUCUGUCACAGUGGUGUUGAAUGCUCUUGUGAAAUUUCUGUUAGAUCCUUUGGCUUCCUCUGUAAAGUUAAAAUCCUUUCGCACUUGUAUUCCCUGGAACAAAGUUUCCUACUCAAAAGGGUUUCUUUGAAAAAAAAAAAGAAGACAUCCACAAUCUCUUCGGAAGGAAAAGAUAAUUAAUUACUUGAAUGUAAAUAUCAAAAACACGCCUUGCAACUUUGUCGUACAGUUUUUCAUCUGUGAAUUGUAUCUCAGCAAAGUGGAGUCUGACAGUGUAAUUCCCAUUUUCUAGACAAUAUCCAUAAUAAGUGAUAGACAGUGGAGUUUUACGUGCUGUUGCAUACAAUCCAAAGUCAACUAGAGAAGUAUUAGAAUUUGAUUGAAGCGUAUAUUUGUUAUCAUAGAAAUUUUCAUCAUCCAUGAAAUCUCCUGUGCUGCUGAAUCCCCAGUUUGAUCCUGAUCUAUAAUAACUCCUUGCAGCAGCAUUACUUCCACUAUCUUGAUCACCUUCAUACAAGAUUUUCCCAUUCUUUACAUCUUGUCCACCACAGUUUAUAUGGAAUGAACGAUAAUCUGCAGCACAUAAAACUAGUAUACCAUUAGCAUAUCAAUGGGGGAAUGAAUUUACUUUACUACAAAGCUUCAAAACUAUGAUUAGUCACUGGUCAACACUUCAUCAUUGUCAGAUUAGUUCAACUCAAUGAAUUCACCCUGUCAAAAUUUUGGUUUCUGACGGUGAAACCAGUGGUCAAGUUCUACUUCAAACCUCGUUUUGAUUUAUAAAUUUUCCAACAAAGUGACCAUGAAUUGACCUUAUUAGUUUUUCGAGAUAGAAUCUAAUUAAAAAGCUAACAAUCAUCAAUGUCAUUCAAACAUUGAAGUAAACGAAUAAAUAUGGUACAUCGAUAAACUUUAAUGGCACACUCGGAUUUUAUGAAGUGCACAGGUUCUUAUUAUGAAAAAAAAAAAAAAAAACCAUACAUUUUGGGCACCGAGAUAUCUCUGAGCAUGGAAGAAGAUCGCUUCUGUAUAUCAUGGAAAUUAUAGUAUGUUAGAAUAAUAAAUGGUUUUGUAGAUUGAAUUCUAAGAAUCUGGUAUCAGAAAAUAGCCUCGGAAUCAGAAUCAAAACAUGCUUAAAAAAGUUGUAUCACUUGAGGAAAAUAUUCAAGAUGUGUUUGCUCUUUGAAAAAAUGAUAAGCAUUAUACUUUGAGCAUAAAUUAAUUUUGGAUAUCUAUCUAUUCUGCUUAGGUAGGAUUUAAAGAUGUAGUAUAGUUAUUAUUUAGUUACAAUAUCAAAAUAUGUUUUGUCUGAAUUCCACGUUCAUCCGAAGUAAUUGUAUCUGUCUCUGCAACUCUGUACUCAUGAUAGUAUAUUUUGUUAUUGCAAAUAGGUACAAGAUCUUGCUGGUAAUUCUUUUGACCCUGUGGGAUUUUUUGAAAUCACAUGCAGCAGAAUCUCUAUUGCUAAAUUUCAUCUCCAGAAAUAUAAAUACGAAAAACAUUGCAGUCCACAGAGUAUAAAAGAAGAUCUUACAAUUUAUUAUUGCUGGACGAGCUUCGGAACCAGUUUAUAUUAUUCCUGAUUUAUAAACUCAAAUCAUUCAGUUUCAAAACCACCAAGAAUAUCCCAUUUCAAAUAUUUAUGAGCAUCCUUACUCGUUACUGCUGCUGCAUCUUGGUGACCGUGAAAAGUUAUUGUACGAAACAUCGCUGGAAAAGAUCAAGAAAACCAUAAAUCUAAAUACAAACUUCCACAAGGUUAACAAAUAAAGAGAAUAUAUAAACUUCACGAUGCAAGCGCUAGAAAUGCACUAGCUUUCAUAUAAUGGUUUUUCUUUUAUUGAUGGUGAUGGCUUGGAUGACUAAGAUUUAAUUAUUUUCAAGGGAAAUGGUUUCUUAAUUUGUUUUAGAAUUGAUCUGCUAGAAUUGAUGGAUUAUUUAAGGGGUAUCAUCAAUUUUAUUAUUAGGUUGAAUUUUUUUUUUAAAAUGAUAUUUUUAUAUAAUUGAUGACAAUUAAAUUGUAUUAAUUUAGAUUGAAUAAGUUGUAGCAACUGAUGUAUCCGAUAGAAAUUAGGGAAUGAGAUAUAAGAGCAGAUUGUAGUGUAUAUAUCAUAAGCAUCCUACGAUCUAGCUCGGUCAAUCAGGAGUUGGUUCAACAAGAAAUUAUUGUUGUUACAGCCAAUCUAAGGGCCCAAAUAGAGGCGCAGUAUGAAGAAUGAAAUGGGAAGCAAUAGGAGAAGAUUAUGAUAAACAUGUCAACUCAUUAUCCUUCUUCUUAGAAGAGCAUCUUUAAGGAAAGAAACUGUUUAGAAGGGCUAAAUUGAUAAUGCAAAUAUGAUAUUUUUUUUAUGAAAAAAAAAGUCAUUUAGAAAAUCCAAUUGUAUUUUAAUAUAUUUGAAAUUUAUAUAACUAUUUAUUAAUUAUAAUUAACUAAUACAACUCCAUUGAAAUCCAAUUUUAUCUCUUAAAUAUAGCUCUCCCCUUGGAGCUAUAAACAUAAGGGAUGAAAACCAAAUAUUUCUUUUUCCUUUUGGCUUUCUUUUUUUUUCUCUUCCCUUAGAGAUGUCUUGAACCUUUAGGAGAUUUUCCUCCCCCUCCCCUCCCAAUCUCCGCUUGCAACUCCAACUUCUUUCUAAUAUAUAAUGAGAGUAGCUGUUGCACAAAUUGUUUACUUUCUAGAGAACAAUUGUAUUGCAAACUCUACACAAUACACAUGCCAGUGUUCUAUAUAAAUACAUAAAGUCAUAAACAAUAACAUCAACCUUCAAAUCAUUUAUGAAAAUUUUAUUGUUUCAAUGAAGUCAGGUUUCCAAACAUCUUAAAUGAAAACCACAGAUCAAUACAUGAUUUUCAAGAUUUAAGGAUAGUAUUAACUAAAAUAUUUUUUAAUGUUAAUUUGGACCAUUUAUUGAAAUUAGUGAAAUUUUUCUUUUAUAAAUUUUUACUUCAAGGAAAAUUUUGAAUAUGAGAGAGCUUAUAAUAAUUUUACGAGGAAGAUUUAAGAGAAUCACGCUCCAAGUAUGAAAGAUCCAAUCCAAAAUUAUUUUUUUUAUUCCAAAUAUUAAAAUUUUAUUUUUCAUUUACUAACAGAUAAUUAAUUUGUACCAUAUAGGUUGCAUGAUUUUUGGUAUGAGGCACAAAAGAAAGCCAAAAAUAUAUGAAAGAAAGAAAUCUUCCAUGCUAGAAUGACAUGAUAGGUUGGAAAGAUUUUGGAUCGCCAUACAUCUCAGAGGCUGUAUUGACAAAAUACAUUCAUUAUGUGACGUCCACACAUUUCACUUGAUGAUAGGAUAUUUUUUACUACAUCAAUUUUUUUAUUAGUUGUUUUUUUUAUAAAUAUAUUGAAUUGACAACAUUUUUUAUUGCAUGCUAUAGUUUUUGUAUGCGAGCCAAGCUUGAUGAAACUUUUUGUUGAAAUGCAUGUGCGGAGUGAUGACCGUAAAAAAGGGGUGUGGCAGUUCGUUGAUAGCCGAGCUCAAUAUUUUGUGGUAUGUUGGUGUUUAAUUAUUUUUUUUAUUAAGUUAUUAUGUCUUUGGAUUUGAUGAAUUUAUUUUUUCUUUACAUGAUACAUAUAACAGUCGGUUGACGGAGAGAUACGAGGAUGAACCUUCGACCCAUUUGGAUAUCGAUCUGGAUUUGUGGUUGGAGGGAGGAUCAUUUGGUGGAUCUGAUAGAAAUUGAGUGUAUGGAAUCUCUAACACUGACUGAGAUUUUAUGAAUGACCCGCACUACUUCAACUGUUGGAUGCUCGGAAUCAAUUCUAAGCAAUCAAACUUUAGAGUUCGUAGUGAUGUUGGACCAACAGGUACAAGAUCGAAUAACCUAUCUUAAUGAUAAAUAUGAUGACUCACUACUGGUUAUGGAGAAUUUUGUCGAUUGGUAAUGAAGAUGAGAUCAUAGAUGGAUGGUUCAUGUUUAGGGUGAGCAAAAAAACCAACAAACCGAGAAAACCAAAAAACAAACAACCAAAAAAACCGAACCCUAAAAAAAAACUAAGUACACUGAUUAGAAUAUUUUUUUAAAAAAUUCGAUCCGGUUUCGGUUUCAUAAGCUUGAAAUUAAAAAACUGAAUCGAACCAGUUUAGUUAAGAAAUAAACCAAACCAAACCAAACCGAACUAAACUGAAAAAACUCAUUAGAAAGACCAAAAAAACAAUAUAAUUUUCAGUUUUUAAUAUCAAAUAACCAAAUCGAAACCGAAUCAAAUCAAAUUGAAUUGAAACCGGGCAGUUGAGUUUCAGUUUUUAACUUAAAAUAACCAAAUUGAACCGAAACUGAUUUCAGUUUGAUUUUUUUUUUCUUUUACAAAAUUUCAAUUUGAUUGUUUUUAUAGGUACAAACCGAACUGAACUGAAAAUGAUCACCUCUAGUUCAUGUGCACCCCUUAAUUUCCCCUACAUUCCCGGUGACAACCUACCUCCUCCUCCUCGUCCAUUGUCGCCUUUAUUUUAGAUUUAUUGUAUUCAAUCAUUAAAAAAAAUUGAUAUGCUUUGUCUGUCUGUAAAUUCAUCGAUAUAUUUAUUAUCGAUAAGCUCACUGACAAUCUAUAAAUUUUUGACAAUAGUUUUUUCGAUAGACCAUUUCUAUCUUUGAGUCUUUUCGGUAACAUACAUAUCGAUAGAUUGCUAGUGUAAACACCAAAAAAAUUUAUGGGUAAAACAAUUAAAUCCGGUAACGUUCCAUGUUAAAAAAUAUAAUUUAUCUACAAGUUGUGGUUCUGGGUCUCUAUACUCAUUAACCUCUUAUGAGUAUGAAUAUAAGCAUAAUAUGAAGAAUUAUUUAGGGGUCUUCGAGAGUAUAGUAAUUAGAGACAAGCAUGAGAAUGAACUAAUCUCAUGAUGAAAUUGGGAAUGAACUUGUUCAUGAUGCAUAAGAGACAAGCAUGAUGAAAUUGAAUGCAGUGCUGUCAGCAGUGAGACUGCAGUGCAGAGUGUUAGCAAAGUGAAGUCAAACAAUGUCCCACCUCCACCAUAUACAACUGGGAAUAACUAAUCUCCCACUUAGCACAUGAUGAAGGCUUAAUUUAAGACAUAAAUCAUAGCAUGAUUUAUGCCCUUUGCUCCCAGCUUAGUGUGUAGAGAGAGUACAAAGAGAACAAGAUAGAGAGAGCUUGAGUGAGAGUGAGUUGAGUGGAGAAGAGUGUUUUUCUCUUCCUUUUUUAUUUGAAUUGUUUCUUUGAUUGAUUAAUAUAAAAUAGUAGUCCCGUAGAGAAGACAAGUUGCCCGAACCAUGUAAGUUUAUAUGUGUUUGAUAUCUGAAAUUUCCCAAUACAGAGAAGGCGAAAAAAGUAAAGAGGUUUUUUUAAAAUCAAAAUUAAGUACUUGCAGCUUCCCUCCCAGGUUAUAUUACUGUGUUUCAGCGCAGAGAGGUCAAAUCUCAUAUUUGUAUAUUCAGUUAAGGUCAUGCAGUUCAUAAACUUACAGGUAUUAGUCAUGGAUCUUCAAGGAAAAAAAGCAAAGCAUAUCAAUAUUCAAAUAAGUACUGAAUCCAAUGAUGGGUGUAAUUUAGGAACCUACAGAUUUGGGCUGUUUUGGAGGAAUGAGUCCUGCACUGUUCCAGUCAGCUUGUUGCCACUCAAAAACCUGGUAAGAACCACACUCAUACUAUCAGCAUAAUUUAUUGCGCCAUCCUUGAUAAGAUUUCAAUAACCAAAUUUCAAAUUAUCAGACUUUAGCAUUGCUCACGUAAACUGUCGUCGUCGUAUUGUAUUAGGAGGAAUCUCCCCAACCAACUUGUUAAAAGUUAAGUCGCUGCAAGAAAUUGCAGCAAACAAAAUUUUAGGCUUCAGUCUCUGAAGAAGAUUUUACAUCUUUGUAAAUAUAAUGGUAAUAAACAGGUGAAAAUAUAUAUAUAUAUAUGUAUAUAUGUCUCAUAAUUAAAGGUUAUUAAAUUCUUUGAAGUAGUCCUCUAUUUAUAUUCUUCCUUGGAGAGUUGCAGUUGCUUGAAAUUGUUGGUGGGAGGAACCACUGGUGGUGGCUUUGAAACACUCAGAGGGGAUAAAACACACUGGUUUUAUUACAAAAUCCGAAGCUUACAAAUAACACAAAAUAAAAGCUUAAUACACGCCCUCUCUCUCUCUCUUUCUCUUUCAAGUGUUUCUCUCUAUUCUCUCCACACGAAAUAACAUAACUGAGCACCCUAUUUAUACAUAAAUUCAGAAUACGAAAAUCUACUGUUCCAGGUGUGAAGGCGGCUGUUGACCGGUGGUGUGAAGGCGGCUGGCGGCUGGUGGCUGCGGUCGGCGGCUGGUGGUUGCCUUCCUUGACCAUCUAUGUGAGUUUAUUAUUCAACAAAUCUCCCCUUAAACUCAAUCGAGGGAUGUCAUGCCAAGCAUGAACUUUAAUCGGAUGAAUACUUCUCCUUCAAUGGCUUUGUGAAGAUGUCAGCAACUUGAUCAUUUGUGUUGCAAGAUAUCAGUUGGACUUCUUCAUUCUUCACAUGUUCCCGGAUAAAGUGAUGACGUGUAUCAAUGUGUUUGCUCCUCUCAUGAUACACUGGAUUCUUUGCUAAUGCGAUUGCUGAUCGAUUGUCAAUAUAAAUCUCCGUAGGACUUUCUUGAGGAAAUCCCAAAAACUUCAGCAUAUUCCUUAACCAUAUUGAAUGGCAUACGGCUGAGUUGGCAGCAACAUACUCAGCUUCACAGCUUGAUAAUGUGACAAUCGAUUGCUUCUUGGAUGACCAUGUGAAAGAUGUGUCUCCCAUGAAAAAGACAAACCCUGUUGUGCUUUUCCUUUCAUCCAGAUCUCUACCCCAAUCACUAUCCGAGUAGCCUACAAGAUUAAAGUCUUUACUUGAGGUAUAAAACAUACCUUCAUUCAUUGUGCCUUUGAUGUAGCGAAGAAUUCUCUUGGCUGCAUUCAAAUGAGACUGGUCUGGUGUCUCCAUGUAUCUGCUGACGAGUCCGACUCCGUAGAGUAUAUCCGGUCUGGUACAUGUCAAGUACCUUAAGCUUCCUACUAAGCUUUUGAAGUAAGUUGGAUCAACAUUUCCAACCUUACUCUUCCUCAAUUCCACUCCAUUCUCAACUGGAGUUGAUACCGGAUUGCAGCUUUCCAUCUUGAACCUUUCAAGAAUAUCUUUGGCGUAACCGCUUUGGGAUACAAAAAUCCCUUCUUCCUUCUGCGUUACUUCUAAGCCAAGAAAAUGUGACAUUAGACCAAUGUCAGUCAUUUCAAACUCCUGUACCAUGCUUCGUUUGAAGUCGUCAAACAUGGUAGGGUUGUUGCCGGUGAAUAUCAAAUCAUCAACAUACAGGCACACAAAUAAGAUGCUGCCAUCUGCUCCUUUCUUCACAUACAUUGCGUGUUCAUAUGGACAUUUUUCAAAUCCAUUAUCUUGAAAAUACCUGUCAAUUCUGGUAUUCCAAGCACGCGGAGCUUGCUUCAAACCAUAGAGAGCCUUCUUCAACUUGUAUACUUUGCCUUCAUUUUCAGCAUCAAUGUAUCCAAGUGGUUGUUCAACAUAGAUUUCUUCUUCUAGGAAGCCAUUCAGAAAUGCUGACUUCACAUCGAGUUGAUAGAUCUUCCAUCUAUGUUGUGCAGCUAGUGAGAUCAUCAGUCUGAUUGUCUCUAGCCGGGCUACUGGAGCAAAUACUUCUCCAUAGUCAAUGCCUUCUCUCUGUUUGUAGCCUUUAGCCACUAAUCUGGCUUUGUAUCUUUGCACUUCUCCUUUGGCGUUCUUCUUCGUCUUGUAGACCCAUUUGACACCUAUUGCUUUCUUGUUUUCUGGUAGAUAAGUCAGCUUCCAGGUAUCAUUCUUCUCAAUGGCAUGUAUUUCUUCAUCCAUUGCUUCUAUCCAUUUCUCUUCUGUGACAGCUUCAUUGAAGUUUAAUGGGUCACUAUCUGCAAAGAAACAAAACAGAGUUGUAUCUUCCAUGACCUGAGUGGUAUCGUACAACUCUUCAAGAUUCCGCAUCCUUCUUGGUCCUUCUGAUGAGGAUGCUGGUGGUGUUGAUGAUGAUGCUCCUGGUGUGUUCCUCCUGUUGAAUACAGGGAAACUGUGUGCCGGACUUUGUGGUUCAGCUGCUGGCACAAUCGGUUCUUCGACAAGUACUGUUGGUACUUCUUCACCUUCAAGGAUCAAAUCAAGUUGAUCCAUUGACUGCUUCUUGAUCACCAUUCCAUGCCCAAGAUUUAUCUUCUUCAAAGAUAACAUCUCUACUCGUAAUCACCUUCUUCGUGAUGGGAUUAUACAGCCUGUAUCCCAUCCUUCUUUCACCAUAUCCGACAAAGAUGCAUUUCUCGCUUUAUCAUCGAGCUUUCUCCUUCUUGCAUCUGGGAUCUUUGCAUAUGCCACACAACCAAAGACUCGUAGAUGAGUAACACUUGGUUUGUGACCACUCCAUGCUUCUUCUGGAGUGACUCCUUGCAAACUUCUGGUUGGGCAGCGAUUCAGUAGAUACACUGCACAUGAUACAGCUUCAGCCCAGUAUUGCUUGGGCAGCUUCUUUGCUUUGAGCAAACUUCUGCCAUGUCAAGAAUCGUGCGAUUCUUCCUUUCUGCUACACCGUUCAGCUGUGGUGUAUAAGCUGGCGUCGUCUGAUGUCUGAUGCCUUGUUGUGUACAAUAGGCUUCAAAGUCAUUUGCUGUAUAUUCUCCACCUUGAUCAGAUCUCACUGUUCUGAUCGUGUAACCAGUUUGCUUCUCCACAAUUGCUUUAAAAUCUUUAAAACAAUUGAAUACUUCUGACUUCCUCUUCAGAAAGUAUAUCCACGUCUUUCUACUAAAAUCAUCAGUAAAAGUGAGGAAGUACCUAUUUUGUCCAGUCGACAUAGGCGUAAUUGGGCCACACACAUCUGUGUGUACUAACUCCAGUGGCCUCUUUGCUCUCCAGUUGACUUCUUUGGCAAAACUGGAUCUGUGAUGUUUGCUGAGGACACAACUCUCACAGACUUCAUCUGGAUGAUCAAUGUGAGGCAAACCUUUGACCAUCUUCUUGCUUGCUAGCAUCUUCAUACUCGUGAAAUUCAGAUGUCCAAGCCUCAGGUGCCAAAGCCAUUCUUCACUGUUGGUGAUGGCACUCAAACACCUUGUUGCAUCAUACUGGAUGUUCAAAGGAAACAUCCUAUUCUUGGACAUUUUCACGUAGGCCAUUAAUCUCCCAUUGUUGUCUCUAAUUGUCAGAUGACAAUUCUUCGAGUAAAAACUAUAUCCUCUCUCCAAAAGUUGACCUAAGCUGAUCAGGUUCUGCUUUAUGGCUGGGACAUAAUACACAUCGGCGAUGUAGCUGGAAUCGCCAUUCUUCAACUUGACUGGGAUGUUGCCUUUACCUUUGAAUGGAACCUUUGUGGUAUCUCCAAAAGUAACUAGACCUUGCUUGGUCUCAUCUAGAUCACCAAAUAACUCUCGGUAGCCGCACAUGUGAUUGCUGGCUCCAGUAUCUAGAUACCAUAUAUUUUCUUGUUUCUCGCCAAGUUCUUGUUGGACAAGAAAUGCAGAUGCUUCUCCAUCAUGCUUCUCUACAUAGUUGGCUUGCUCACGUGUCUCCAACGGAGCUUUCCAUCUGCAUUCAGUGCUAUAGUGCCCAAAUUGAUUGCAGCUAUAACAUUUGAUAUUUCUCUUGUCACGGUUAUUGUAACUGCCUCCUCUUCUGGUGGUGUUUCUACCACCUCUUCCUCUAAAGCUUGUAUUCCAAGAACCUCUUCCUUGGAAUUGCUGGAAUCCUCCUCUGGAUUGUUGACUUCCUCCUUGAGUGGUGUAGCCACCUGUUGAAGUCUCCCCUUGCUCAUAUCUGUCCUUGAAAGACAGCUUUGCUUGUAAGGCAUGCUCAAUGGCCUUAUCUUCAUUUCGCAUUACAAUCUUCUGCUCAUGAGCUUGCAAAGAACUCAUAAGCUCAUCAACUGUCAACUUGUCCACUUCCUUGGACUCUUCAAUUGCGACAACAACAUGAUCAAAUUUUGGAUCUAUGGAUCUCAAAAUUUUCUCAAUAAUUCGAGUAUCUAUGAUGGCUUCUCCAUUUCUCCUCAUCUGAUUGACUAUCACCAUAAUCCUUGUAUGAUAAUCAGAAAUAGAUUCUGAGGACUUCAUUCGUAAUAAUUCGAAUUCUCCUCUCAAAGAUUGAAGACGAAUCUUCUUGAUUCUGUCAGCACCUUUGUAUUUCUGUUGGAGAGCCUCCCAUAUAUCAUGUGACGUUUCAGCGGAAGCUAUUAUCUCGAAUGUAUCUUCAUCAAGACCUUGAUAGAUGAUGGUCUUUGCUUUGUUGUCCUUCUUUCUGUUGACUUUAAGGCUUGCUUCUGUGCCUCUUGUAAAGCAUCUUCUCUUUCUUUGGACUCUGGUUCAUCAUAACCAGUUUGUACAAUAUCAAAACACUCUUGUGACCCAAGAAUGCCUUCAAUCUGAUGCACCAACUAUCAUAGUUGUCUUUGGUCAGCUUCGGGAUGAGUGUAUGUGUACCUUCUGUAGUCAUUUUGCUCUUUGAAUGACUAUAUCCUUUCUGGGAGCCGAAUUUGCCAAACGGACACUGUAGAUCGAUCCGGAAUGGUCCAAAUAGUAGGGAACCGGUCUGACUUUGUUGAAAUCGGGUCAAAAAUGGGUGAACCGGUCAAAAACCAAUUCUGUACGGCGGGCGGUUCGCUGGGUUGAACCGGGAAUAUUCUGUGGAAUAUCUGGAAUAUUCGGGAAUAUUCUGGGAAUAUUCCUUCGGCUCGGCUGGCUGGAACGCGGCUCGGCUGGCGCGGGGUACGCUCGGCUUAGGCGGCUUACACGGCUCGAAUAUGGCGCGGUGUGGCUCAGUCGUCUUCAACCUCGGGCGCGUGGGAUGCGCGUGGGCGAUCUGGCUGAAUAUUCAGGCGGCGCGUGUGGGCUACCCGGACUCCGAUGGCUGAUUUUUGCGGCAGUGAGUUCGUCUUGAUGAGCUCUACACUGUGGAAUGAUCAAAACUUGUUUUUGACAACUUUGAAAAUUCGGAUAUACCCCAAAACUCUUCUGUUUUCCGACGAACGGGGCUCUGAUACCAAUUGUUGGUGGGAGAACCACUGGUGGUGGCUUUGAAACACUCAGAGGGGAUAAAACACACUGGUUUUAUUACAAAAUCCGAAGCUUACAAUAACACAAAAUAAAAGCUUAAUACACGCCCUCUCUCUCUCUCUUUCUCUUUCAAGUGUUUCUCUCUAUUCUCUCCACACGAAAUAACAUAACUGAGCACCCUAUUUAUACAUAAAUUCAGAAUACGAAAAUCUACUGUUCUAGGUGUGAAGGCGGCUGUUGACCGGUGGUGUGAAGGCGGCUGGUCGGUUGGUGGCUGGUCGGUGGCAGCUGGUGGUUGCCUUCCUUGACCAUCUAGAUGUUGAGUUUAUUAUUCAACAGAAAUCACUACCUUCUCAUAGGAGCUAAUCCUUUGUGAAAAUGAGUCAAUGUUAUGUUAGAGGCUAGUUGUGAUUCUUCUACUCACUCUAGUAGGACUUUAGUUAUUAUAUACCCAGGAUUAUAUAUUAAUGUAGUAUCUUUAACUUAUACUAACGACCUGAUGAUUCAGGCAGAAAUUCUAAUUUGCUUAGCAGCAGAUGUAAGGCGAUGAGUGAAGUUCACACUUACAGUGUUUUUUCCACUUUCCAUGCGUUUUCUGGAAUUGUUCCAGUUAAAUUGAUGUUCCUCAGAACCCUUGCAACAAGUUACAGGUUGGUUAAACAGUUCUGAAUAGAACAUAUCCUCAACUUUGCUAUGAAAAGUUAUGAAGCAGUUCACAUACAAGAAUUGCCUUUCAAUCGGAGAGUUAGGUAACUGAAACUCUGGUCCAGGCAUAUCAGCAAUCCUCCUGCAUAACAGUAAGAGACCUUGAAUACAAGUUAAAUGUUGAAUUCCCUUCAUUUAUCUCUCCCUAUCUCUCACACACAGAGAAUUCUUCAAUAAUUAAUACAGCAGGAGGUAUGCAGCACAAUAAAGUGGUUUUACUCACAAAUCAGACAACUUUUCCAAAUGAAAAAUCGCAAGAGGUAUAGGUCCUUGCAAUCCAGUCGCGUACAAAUCACUUCAUUAGUCACGAAAAGAACAAAAAAUCUCAAUAAAGUGUAUCAUGUUGCAUUAGAAUGAAUUAAGAUCUUGUGAAGAUAAACAUCUCACAGCUUUUGAAGUUGAGUCCAGUUCCCAAUGAACUCGGGUACGGUGCCAUUAAGAUUAUUAUCACUUACGCGACUGCAUAUUGAAUAUGUUAAAUUAUCAACAAAAAAAAAAUGUGUUUAAGGAAAAUAAGUGAGGGCUUACAAAUCCUUCAAGUCUUUUAUCUGCGCAAGUGCCUCUGGCAAGGUUCCCACUAACUUAUUGCCGGACAGUAUCCUGCAAUUGUUAAUUCACGGCAUCAAAGCAAAGAUUUCAACUAAUGAAAACGAAAUCUCUAGCAAGUCUUCACAAUGAAGAAUUUAGUUAAAAUUUCUUACAGUGUUUUUAAGUUGACAAGCUUGCCAAGCUCAGGUGGGACAACACCAGAAAACUGAUUUGAUUCAAGGCUCCUAUAUUUUAUAAUUGCAUUUGAUAAAGUGAAAUAACCAUUAGAGAACAAAGUAAACUAGCAUUGCUUGCAAUAUUCGAAUAACUCAAACUAGAGGUAGAGCACUAUAACAGAUUCGAGCCAUACAAGUAGGUGAGGGCAGUAAAACUUCCCAAAUGUCCAGGAAUAUUUCCUGACAAGCGAUUUGCAGUAAGCGAGCUGCAUAAGAGGUUAGUUAGGAAGGAAGUUUUAAGCUCACUCUUACAUAGAAAAUAAGAUAAACCAAGAAGAGGGGUGGAUUUAUAAAUGAGCUUACAUGAAAGACAGAUUUUUCAUCGAAGCCCAUUCCACCGGAAUUGUGCCGUAUAGAUAGUUGCGAGUGAAAUCUCUGUCAUAGACAAUGUUGUUGUAUAAAAAUUAUUUUCCAUCUUGAAAAUUGCUCCAAAAAUUAAUAUAAACGCUUGAAAUUUUAACAUAAACUGUGACAGACAAUGGCAAACUCAUAAUCACAUAACAUCUGAUGAGUAUCAUCGAGGCAUCUCAAGAUUCAUAAUCAUUUAAUGGAUUCAGAAUUGAGGCCUCGAAGCAGAAACAUGAGCCAAAUAUAUAUGUCCUUAAUUAAGGGUUCUUACAUUUUUUGGACAUAAGUAAGGUUGGCCAAUUCCUGAGGAAGCCUGCCUGGAAGACUGUAAUCUUUGAGCUGGCUUUAUUGCAAGCAGGAGAGAGAGACAUCAUUGGUCACAGUUUAGGAAAGCUAAGAUAUAUAUAUAAGAAAGAAAAACAUAAAAAUGUAAACUAAUUAAGAUGCUUACAAUGAAGUAAUGUGACAGUAAUUAUCAUCAGUGAUGCUGCAGUUACAUUCGAUGGUGCUGUUCCCUUCUAAGUUUGGUGGAGCAGAAGUCAGUUCUGUCUUAACGAGUCCAUUCGGUCGACAACUAUCGACGAACUUCAAGGAUAGUUGGCCAUCCUCGUUUACUGUCUUACCGAUUUGUCUUAACGCUUCAACUGGUGGGUUUUUUUUUUUUUAUUAAUAAUAAUAAUAAUAAUAAGAAAUAAAUUAUUAUUUCAAAAAAUAAAUAAUAAAUAAAUAAUUUGGGCUUCUCUAACAAUAAAGAGCCUAUAUAUAUUGUAUAGUUAGAAAGAGUUACAAAAAUUAGAUAUGACCAAGCCCAACAAGGGUCCAAAUAUUGUCAAUAGUUAUCCAAAUUCAAACAAAGAUGAUGCUAGGAAGUGAAGGGGUUAACUUUCAUUUGGCCCAAAUCCUAGUUUUCACCGCUCUUUUUUUUUUUUUUUUUAUGUUAUUCUCGUUUCAUCUACUAAAGUCUAAAAUAUAAUAAUUAAAUAUAUGUCUUAAUUACCCUUUAAUUUUAACUUCCGAAAAAGAAGAAGUAACAAAGAAAACCUAUAUUUUAAGGAUUGGAUUUUAUCUUUGAUAUUUGUAUGUUUUUUUAAUUUACUAUAUAUAUUUUCUUAAAUAUUAUAUUUUGAAGAAUCUAAAUUAUCAAACUAAUUUAGAUAAUUCUAAUUGAAUUAUAUUUCUCUUGACUCUGAAAAAAAUCUUUCGAUAUUUGUAAUUGAAUCCUUUCGUUCCUAAUUUCCGAUUAAAGGUUACAAGUGAGAAGCAAAUCUGUUGAUGUUUUGAUCAGAUGAGUUGAACAAUUUGAAAGAUCUCACUGAUCUGAUCUCAAUAUACAUUACUGUGAAAACAAAGAACAGUGCUUGGGCAAUUAAUUAAUUAAGGAGGUAGCUACGUUGUUCUUACCUUCUCCUGGAUGUAGCUGAUCAGAAGCAAGCAAAGUAAUAGAGCUCGAGAAACUGAUCAUCACCAUAACUUGGCAAAGCUGAAACAUCGUUAACAUCUUGUGCUGAAAAUUGGCUGCAAAAGCUCGAAUAAGUUUUUGUAUUUGUCGAGAGACGGGCAGGGAAAAACUCUCAGAUAUUUUGAACAUGCUAAGAACAUACUGGAAACGAGAGAGAUUCCACUCAGAAAACAGAGAAAGAAAAAGGAUUUAUCCUUGUUUACAUUGUUUCAGACCAAUCUCUUUUCCACCUGGUGCUAAAGGACAUGCUAAAAUACUGAUUGAUGUAGACAUAUAGAGACCAAUCUCUUGUCCACCUGGUGCUAUUUGAAGUUUAUGAUAGACUCAAUUAUUUAAGCUGGUCAUCUCUCCAGCUGAUCGGCCUAAAUUAUUGAUAAAAUUAACUACACGGUAAUACUAAUUCUUAUGGUAUAUAUUUUAUACAAUAUCUAUACUUUCAUUAAUAUUUUUAUAAAUAUCUAGGAUAUUUUUAAAGUAUUUAUAUUAAAUAUUUAUCUUAAGACAAUUUAUAUAAACAAAUAAAGAAAGAGGCUAAAAUAAAAGAGCCAAUCUCUCUAGACAACAUAACUAAUAUAAAACUUAAAUAAGAUUUAAGGAAUAUUGAAGUUUAGAGAAUACAAAUGUUGUAUUACUUUUAAUUUUAAUGUUGUUAGAUAAUAAUAUAAAUCAUAUCUUUAGAUUUUAUCUAAAAUCUUAAGUUAUUAGGUUGAGAUGAUUCGUUAACAUGGUAUCAGAACUUUGAUGACUAAGUGGUCACGAGUUUGAAUCUUAUUAUUUUUAUUUAUUUGAUAAAAAUUAAGUAUAAUAUAAUAUUAAUUUAUACAAAUUUAAAUUUAAAAAAUUUAAAUUUAAAAAAUUUUCAUUUAAAAAAAUAUAUUAAAAAAAUAAUAUAAUUACACCUUAUCUAAAUCAUUAAACUAUUAGAUUAUUCUUCAUCAUUAAUUGUUCACUGAUUGCAAGUAGAAUUUUCUGCGUAAAGAGAUUGAUGUAGACCCAUCAAUCCCUUUUCCACCUGGUGGUAAAGGACAACAAGCUAUUUGUAGUUUAUGAUAGACUCAAUUAUAUAGCUAGUUGGUGCAUUGACAGUUUCAUACUUGCAAUUAUCUUUAUGUUUGAAGAAUGGUUUUAGAAAAAAAUUAUAAUUUUAUUUAUUUAUUUAUUUUAAAUUAAUAUUUUUUAAUGUUUUGAUAUUAUUUUAAUAUAUUUUAAAAAAAACUUUUAAAAACACCAAUUAUAUAUCUUAUAAAGCCGCCCUCGAUUUUAAUGCCUCUGUUAGCCAUCAUUUGCUAAUUGAAUAUUGAGUUUUUUCCCUACACUGUCACCGUGAGCAAAUUUAUUUCUCAAACGAACACUCUCGUUAUAACACAAAAAUAGUCUCGUUACACGUGGAUUGUGCAUUUAUUAUAAAAAAUAAAAAAUAAUAAUUGUAAUUGUCUACGUACCUACCUGUGGGUUGUGCAUGUAUUAUAAAACAUAGUCUCGUUAUUUUUCAGAAAAUACUUUGUGAAUGUAAAUUUUUUAUCAGAUGAACACACUCUCAAUAAAGUGUAAUCUUUUUUUUUUUGUUUUUGUGAAUGUAAUUUUUUUUAUUACUUAUCCAAUGGCUCUUCUAUUUUAUUUUUUCAAAUUUUUAAAUAAAGUGUAAUUUUUUCAAUUUCAAUAUCAAUUUCGCACCCCACAUUACAAAUGAAGUUUAGAAUGUAAACAGUGGAAGAGCCAUAAUGGAUCAAAAAGAGACAAUAACCCCCUUAAAUUGUUUUUUAUAUUAAUAUAUUAGUGGGUGUUAAUUAUUGCUACAAGAAAAAAAAGUUUUUUAUUUUUUUAUUUUUUUAUUAUUGUUGACUAACUUGACUCAUAUAUAUAUACACAUAUGUAUAUAUUAUAGCUCCUCAAUUUUUCCUCUUUUCUCUUUUGUUUUUUUUUAUCUUUCCCUGUAUAACAAAACAAAGAGGGUUUUUUUUCAGCUGUUGUUCCUACCUUUUCUAUAUGCAAAUUUCUCAUCAAUUAAUUUUUUUUGCCUUUUAUUUAAUGCUUUAGGUAAAUUUUUUUCAUCUUUCUAUUUGUUUCAUUGUCUAAUUUUAGUUUUAUUCUUUUAUAAUUAGUUAUUAAAAAUAUUAGGGUUAUGAUAAUAUUUUAGGGGUUUUGGUAUGAAUAUGUUCAAAAUAAAUGUUUAAAUCUAUUAAUUUAAUCAAUUAAGUGUUUCUUUUCUUAUUAUAAACAAAUAAAUUAAUAUUCAUGCAGAACCACUAUUCUUGACAUCUCUUGCAUUGACAGAGUUGUUUAUUGAAAUUUAAUAUUUUAACAUGAUUUGUUUGUAAAUAAAAUAUCAAGUAGAAAUCAUGUUUUUCAAGCAUUGUUCCUUAAUUAAAUGUCUAGAAAUGAUUAAGUAUAAUUUAAUCAACAUACUUAUUAUAUGCAUAUAGAUAUGAAUUGAAAUAGGUUUUGAUUUUGAUGAGUUGAUGUGUAUUUUGCUAUUAAUUUUAUAUGAAAGAUUUAGAAUUAUUGUGUAACUCAACUGACUUUUGUUUAACAAUGAAUUAUUGUGUAGUUGUGUUAAUUAUUAUGUAGACACUAAUGAUGAUAAAAAAAAAUCCAGUAGGUUUAUAUUAAUUUAACAUAUCACUAGACAAGUAUUUAAAGUGUAAAUCAUUUGAAGAUGGAGAGUUAAUCAAAGCUUCAAGUCAUGUAACUUAAUCAAGUUCAAAGAAAAGUCAUAUUGAAAUCAACCCCGACACUCUCCUUAUUGACCCUGGCUUAAGAAGAUCAAUUUAUGAGUACCAUAUAAAUGAUAAGGAUGAAAUCCGAAGAGCUUAUUUACAAAAAGGUCCUUGUCAACCUUCACACUAUGAUUUUCUUCAAAAACAAUUUGGGAAUAUAUCAACACUACGACGCUUUAAUCCGACUUGGUUUGCUGCAUACCCAACAUGGUUAGAGUACAACAUAGCCAAAGAUGAUGCCUUUUGCUUGUAUUGUUACCUCUUCAAGUCAAAAUGGGGUGUUGAUUCGUUUAUGGGUGAUGGGUUUUCAAAUUGGAAAGAAAAAAAGGGAAAGAUUUGAUCUUCAUAUUGAAAAGUCUAAUAGUAGUCAUAAUGCAGCUUGGAUAAAAUAUAAGAAUUUGAUGAAUGAAAAACAAAGUAUCAUGACUUUGUUAUAUGAGCAGACAGUAAAGAGUCAAAGUGAUUAUCGAACUCGAUUGAAUGCUUUAAUAGAGUGUGUUCAUUUUUUAUUGCACGAAGGACUUCCAUUUUGUGGUCAUGAUGAAUGUGAAUGUUCAAGCAACCAAGGAAAUUAUCUAGAGCUCUUGCAUUUCCUUUCCAAAAAUAAUGAAGCUAUUAAAAGAGUUACUUUCAGUGAAGCUUCUAAACAUAACAAAUUGAAUUCUCUAGAUAUUUAAAAAGACAUUACUCAAGCUGCUACAGAGGAGAUUACGAAUGUGAUUAUCAAAGAUGUAGGUGACUCAUUAUUUUCAAUUUUAAUUGAUGAGUCACGUGGUAUAUCAAUCAAGGAACAAAUGACAGUUGUUAUACGAUAUAUAGACAACAAUAGACAUAUAAUUGAACGUUUUCUUGGCAUUCAACAUGUGUCAGAUACAACUGCUAGUUCACUCAAGGCAGCUAGUUCACUUGGAUUGUUUUCAUAUCAAGAUUGCGUGGUCAAGGAUAUGAUGGAGCUAGUAACAUGUGAGGUGAAUUCAAUGGUGUGAAAGCACUUAUUCUAAAUAACAAUCUAAGUGCAUAUUAUGUUGUUUUGCUCACAAACUUCAAUUGACUCUUGUGACAGUUACAAACAAGCAUAAUGAAGUUGGAGAUGCUUUAAUUUUAUUUCUAGCAUUAUAAAUAUAGUUGGAGCAUCAUGUAAACGGAUGGAGGUGAUUAGAGAAAACAAAUAUGCUAAAAUUAUUGAAGGACAUGAAAAUUGAGAAAUUUCUAGUGGACAAGGCCUGAAUCAAGAAACUUCUCUUAGAAGGUAUGGUGAUACCCGUUACAGCUCCCACUAUGUUACAAUUAUUCAUCUAUUUGCAAUGUUUUCAUCAGUUCUUGAUGUGCUUGAGAUUAUAAGGGAGGAUGGGAUGAACUCAGAACAAAAAACAGAAGUGGUUGUUUUAACAGGUAUUAUGGAAUCAUUUAAUUUUGUGCUCAUGCUUCAUUGUUUGAGAAGGAUACUAGCAGUUACUAAUGAGUUCUCACAAGCAUUAUGUCGCACCCCAAAAAAAAAAUCAUCGCGCGCGGCAUCGGCUGGAGAUUAUUCGUUCUGUUUUGCUAAUUUGGUUCUUUGGAGUCGCCACCUAGUAAUUCAUUGAGGGCUACUAGAAAACCUGAUGUACUGGUCUUGUCAGAGAUCGCGGGUAAGGGACUGGUUGUGGUUAGGGAAGGUAUUAGCACCCCUAACGCACCCUACCUGAGGUAAGCUGCUUUGUUGACUUGAUGUGUUAAAGAAGUUUUAAAAAUUCUAUUCUUUCAUCGAAUUUUAGAAAAUACAACUUACAUGUAAGUUCAUGAUUCUUUAUCCGUGAUUAAAUCGGAAUAUUAAAUCCUUCUUUAUUCCUGCAAUUUUAUCAUAAAAAAAACAUUCAUAAACAAAAAAAACACACCACAUUCACUGUCAAGCUUCAUGGACUUGCUGUGAUAUUAAAAAUCAAUUUUUAGCCCAAUUCCAAGGCUUUGAUAAAUCAGUUAUUACUUUUCCAGACUAUAUGUAGAUACAUGUUCUACAUUUCCAUGGAAAAUUCAACAUGAUUUUUAUCUGUCCUUUAGAUAUUUGUGCAUAUAAAUAAAAUUCCCUUUUUUUUUUUAUUCAAUAACGUACAUAAAAAAAAACAUACAAGCACACACAAACAUUUUUCCUUUUUUUUUAUUCAUCACUUUCUCUUUUCUUUUCUUUUCCUUUUUCUUUUACAUCCACAUUUACAUAAUACAAAUAAAAAAUUCAAAACCAAAUAAAAAAUACAUCAAACAAAUUUUAAAUUACAAAACAGCCCCUAAACAAUCUAGAAACCACUUCUGCACCUCCGGAACAGUGUCAGCAGCAUUUACGGGGGCAGAAACACUGGCGGCGCGUGGAUCUCACUCACCACCGCCACUGGCGGCGCGUGAAUCCACGCGCCGCCGCCAGAAAAAAAAAUCCAGCAGCAGGGGUUCUGGAUCUCCUUCUUCCCUUCUUCAAUCUCCUGCUGCCCGUGAGAAAACUCAACACCUGCAAAUCCAAGAAACGCAAAUGGCAGUUGAUUUUAAUUAAAUUUUUUGUUUUCAAUUUAUUUCUCUUCCUCUUCGUUUCGGGUCUGCUUCCCUCUGCCGAUCUGUUCUUGUUUCUUCUUCUUCUCCGGUGGCUGAUCGUCGUGGAGGAGGAGACGAUCUGGUGAUGGGGAGGGCUGGAUGUUGGAGGAGGAUGGCGCUGCUGCCCGGGGAGCGGAUCUGCCCUCCUUUGGUCUUGGUGAGCUGGCGGCUGGAGAAGGGAGCAGCUGAGAGGGGAAGAUGCCCACGAUCGGGCUGGCUGCUGGGUCUUCGGCGAGGACGGCUGGUUCGGGUGGAGGCUGAGCUGGGUCUGUCCGUGGUCGUUGAAGCCGCGGUGGAGACGGGCGAAGGAGAAGAAACCCACGGGUCCAAACUAGGGAAACAACGGUCAUCUUCAACAGGAAAAGGGAAGCUUCGGCUGAGGGGAGAAGACUUGGGAGGCGCCGGAGCAUGCGGGGAUGAGGAAAGGAGGUCGGCGGUGGCUGGUUUUCUGGUGGCUGUAGGAGAAGAAAAUCAAAAUGAGGGGGGACUGUUUGGGGAUUUGAAAGUAAAAGGGGGGGGGGGCGGCGCCUCCGGUGAGUAAGAAAAAAAAGAAAAAAAAAUGUUGAUCAAGGGGCUGGGGAGGCGCCGGCCUAGCGGCUCAGAAAAGAAAAAAACAAAAAAGGCUUGUAGGGUUUUUCUUUUGUGUUUUUUGGAAGAAAGGAUAAAAAAAAAAAAUUCCAAGAGGGGGUGGCGGCUGCCUUUCGAGAGAGGGAGAAGAAAAAGUUCUAACUCCUAGGGUUUCUGCUUUGUGUUCCCUCUCCCCAAAAUUACCAAAUGAACCCCCCCUAGAUAUUGAGUUUUCAACCUAUAUUUAUAGGUAAAAGUUUGUUCAAACCACCAAAUUGGUCCCUCAAUUUUUUUUUAUAGAUUUUGAUUUUUCUUGUUUUUUUUUUUCUUGUAUUUUUAAAAACGAGCAAAAUCAACGUCAAUUCUAUGAGAAAAAUUACGAUUUUAAAAUGACGCGUGAAAAGUCGAACGCGUUCGAAAAAACAAUUUGAAAAUUAAAAUUCUUUUUUUUUAAAAGACGUUGAAAAUGCUAAAAACAUUGCAAAUAUAAUAAAAACAUAUUUUUUUGGAUUUUUGUUGUUUUUCACUAUUUUUGGAUUUUUUUGAAAAAUUUAUUAAAAAAGGUGGGUCAAAAAUUGGGUAACAACACAUUACAAAGAAAAGAUCAAGACAGAGAAAAUGCUAUGAGUUUGUUGGAAACAUCAAAAGAACGAUUCAAAAUGAUGAGAGAGGAUUAUUGGGAUCUUCAAGGCAUUAAUCAUGGAUCUUCAGGCAAAGCAUAUCAAUAUUCAAAUUAAUAAGUACUGAAUCCAAUGAUGGGUGUAAUUUAGGAACUUACAGAUUUGGGCUGUUUUGGAGGAAUGGGUCCUGCACUGUUCCAGUCAGCUUGUUGCCACUCAAAAACCUGGUAAGAACCACAAUCAUAGUAUCAGCAUAAUUUAUUGCGCCAUCCUUGAUAAGAUUUCAAUAACCAAAUUUCAAAUUAUCAGACUUUCGCAUUGCUCACGUAAACUGUCGUCGUCGUAUUGUAUUACGAGGAAUCUCCCCAACCAACUUGUUAAAAGUUAAGUCGCUGCAAGAAAUUACAGUAAACAAAAUUCUAGGCUUCAGUCUCUGAAGAAGAUUUUACAUCUUUGUAAAUAUAUCGGCAAUAAACAGGUGAAUAUAUAUAUAUAUAUAUAUAUAUAUAUAUAUGUCUCAUAAUUAAAGGUUUUUAAAUUCUUUGAAGUAAUCCUCUAUUUAUAUUCUUCCUUGGAGAGUUGCAGUGGCUUGAAAUCACUACCUUCUCAUAGGAGCUCAUCAGUUGUGAAAAUAAGUCAAUGUUAUGUUAGAAGCUAGUUGUGAUUCUUCUACUCACUCUAGUAGGACUUUAGUUAUUAUAUACCCGGCCCAGGAUUAUAUAUUAAUAUAGGAUCUUUAACUUAUACUAACGACCUGAUGAUUCAGGCAGAUCCCACGCACCAGCGUACAUGGAGAUCAUAUUGGAAAAAUGUGGCAGAAUUGAAAUGUAUAAAAAGAAAUUAUAAUUUGCUUAGCAGCAGAUGUAAGGCGAUGAGUGAAGUUCACACUUACAGUGUUGUUUCCACUUUCCAUGCGUUUUCUGGGAUUGUUCCAGCCAGUUUCCAUGCGUUUUCUGGGAUUGUUCCAGUUAAAUUGAUGUUCCUCAGAACCCUGACAAGUUACAGGUUGGCUAAACAGUCUGAACAGAACAUAUCAGUUAUGAAGCAGGAGGUAUGCAGGCACGUUAGGUAACUGAAACUCUACUGUGAAAAGUUAUGAAGCAGUUCACAUACAGGGUAUCCCUUCGAAUCGUCACGUUAGGUAACUGAAACUCUGGUCCAGGCAUAUCAGCAAUCCUCCUGCAUAACAGUAAGAGACCUUGAAUACAAGUUAAAUGUUCAAUUCCCUUCAUUUAUCUCUCCCUAUCUCUCACACACACAGAGAAUUCAUCAAUAAUUAAUACAGCAGGAGGUAUGCAGCACAAGAAAGUGGUUUUACUCACAAAUCAGACAACUUUUCCAAAUAAAAAAUCGCAAGAGGUAUAAGUCCUUGCAAUCCAGUCGCGUACAAAACACUUCAUUAGUCACGAAAAAAACCAAAAAUCUCAAUAAAGUGUAUCGUGUUGCAUUAGAAUGAAUUAAGAUCUUGUGAAGAUAAACAUCUCACAGCUUUUGAAGUUGAGUCCAGUUCCCAAUGAACUCGGGUACGGUGCCAUUAAGAUUAUUAUCACUUACGCGACUGCACAUUGAAUAUGUUAAAUUAUCAAAAAAAAAAAAAUGUGUUUAAGGAAAAUAAGUGAGGGCUUACAAAUCCUUCAAGUUUUUUAUCUUCGCAAGUUCCUCUGGCAAGGUCCCCACUAACUUAUUGCCGGAGAGUAUCCUGCAAUUGUUGAUUCACGGCAUCAAAGCAAAGAUUUCAACUAAUGAAAACGAAAUCUCUGGCAAGUCUUCACAAUGAAGAAUUUAGUUAAAUGUCUUACAGAGUUUCUAAGCUGACAAGCUUGCCAAGCUCAGGUGGGACAACACCAGAAAACUGAUUUGAUUCAAGGCUCCUAUAUUUUAUAAUUGCAUUUGAUAAAGUGAAAUAACCAUUAGAGAACAAAGUAAACUAGCAUUGCUUGCAAUAUUCGAAUAACUCAAACUAGAGGUAGAGCACUAUAACAGAUUCAAGCCAUACAAGUAGGUGAGGGCAGUAAAACUUCCCAAAUGUGCAGGAAUAUUUCCUGACAAGCGAUUUGCAGUAAGCGAGCUGCAUAAGAGGUUAGUUAGUUGUGUUAAGCUCACUCUUACAUAGAAAAUAAGAUAAACCAAGAAGAGGGGUGAAUUUAUAAAUGAGCUUACAUGAAAGACAGAUUUUUCAUCGAAGCCCAUUCCACCGGAAUUGUGUCGUACAGAUAGUUGCGAGUGAAAUCUCUGUCAUAGACAAUGUUGUUGUAUAAAAAUUAUUUUCCAUCUUGAAAAUUGCUCCAAAAAUUUAUAUAAACGCUUGAAAUUUUAAUAUAAACUGUGACAGACAAUGGCAAACUCAUAAUCACAUAACAUCUGAUGAGUAUUAAUUAUCAUCGAGGCAUCUCAAGAUUCAUAAUCAUUUAAUGGAUUCAGAAUUGAGGCCUCGAAGCAGAAACAUGAGCCAAAUAUAUAUGUCCUUAAUUAAGGGUUCUUACAUUUUUUGGACAUAAGUAAGGUUGGCUAAUUCCGGAGGAAGCCUGCCUGGAAGACUGUAAUCUUUGAGCAGGCUUUAUUGCAAGCAGGAGAGAGAGACAUCAUUGGUCACAGUUUAGGAAAGCUAAGAUAUAUAUAUAAGAAAGAAAAACAUAAAAAUGUAAAGUAAUUAAGAGGCUUACAAUGAAGUAAUGCGACAGUAAUUAUCAUCAGUGAUGCUGCAGUUACAUUCGAUGGUGCUGUUCCCUUCUAAGUUUGGUGGAGCAGAAGUCAGUUCUGUCUUAACGAGUCCAUUCGGUUGACAACUAUCGACGAACUUCAAGGAUAGUUGGCCAUCCUCGUUUACUGUCUUACCGAUUUGUCUUAACGCUUCAACUGGUGGGUUUUUUUUUUUAUUAAAUAAAUAAAUAAUUCAUGAGGAAUGUGCACUAUUCAAAACAUUCUCAAAUAGUUGUUAGAUUAAUAAUAAUAAUAAUAAUAAAUAGAUUAUUAUUUCAAAACAUAAAUAAUAAAUAAAUAAUUUGGGCUUCUCUAACAAUAAAGAACCUAUAUAUUGUAUAGUUAGAAAGAGUUACAAAAAUUAGAUAUGACUAAGCCCAACAAGGCCCAAAUAUCGUCAGCGUAGUUAUCUAAAUUCGAACAAAGAUGAUACUAGGAACUAGGAAGUGAAGGGGUAACUUUCAUAUGGCCCAGAUGCCUAGUUUUCACCCCCCCUUUUUUUAUGUUAUUCUCGUUCCAUCUACUAAAGUCUAAAAUAUAGUAAUUAAAUGUAUGUCAUAAUUACCCUUUAAUUUUAACUUCUAAGAAAUUCCUUUUAAACUACUCUCAAAAUAAUAAUAAGAAGAAGAAAAACAUUUACAAGAAAGAAGAAGUAACAAAGAAAACCUAUAUUUUAAGGAUUGUAUUUUAUCUUUGAUAUUUGUAUGUUUUUUUAAUUUACUAUAUAUAUUUUUUUUUUUUUCUUCUUAAAUAUUAUAUUUUGAAGAAUCUAAAUUAUCAAACUAAUUUAGAUAAUUCUAAUUGAAUUAUAUUUCUCUUCACUCUGAAAAAAAUCUUUCGAUAUUUCUAAUUGAAUCCUUUCGUUCCUAAUUUCCGAUUAAAGGUUACAAGUGAGAAGCAAAUCUGUGGAACAAUUUGAAAGACCUCACUGAUCUGAUCUCAAGAUAUAUUUACUGUGAAAACAAAGUAAUACAGUGCUUGGGCAAUUAAUUAAUUAAGUAGGUAGCUACGUUGUUCUUGAAAGUAAAGAAGGAAAUUUGGUAAUUGUAAAAUCUUUAUUAAAAUCUUACGUUUACACUGUUGUAGUAUAUAUACAAAAAAAAAAGAAUUUGUAACGUUCUAGGUUCCUAUUAUAAUUAGGAAAUUUACAACUGUAGAAUAAAUCAAUUCCUAGAAUCUCUCCAAUGACAGUAAAUGCUAACACUCCCCCUCAAGUUGGUGCAAAGAUAUCUUCGAUGCCCAACUUGUCAAGUGAAUUCUGAAAAAUUUUGCUGGAGACGGCCUUUGUAAGGAUAUCUGCGAGCUGGUUUUCUGACCUCACGAAUGGAAAAUUAAUCACCCCUUCUUCGAGAUUUUGUUUGAUGAAAUGCCUGUCUAUCUCGAUAUGUUUUGUGCGGUCAUGUUGAACUGGGUUGUGAGAUAUUUCGAUGGCAGCUUUAUUAUCGCAGUAUUAGGUUCAUCUUUGAUUCUGGACUGAACCCAAUUUCGGACAAUAACCUCUUGAGCCAUAAUAAUUCGCAUAGUCCCUUUGCCAUUCCUCGAAACUCGGCUUCUGCACUUGACAAGGCAACUACCUUUUGUUUCUUGCUCCUCCAUGUGACUAAGUUGCCGCCAACAAAUGUGAAGUAUCCCGACGUAGAUUUUCUAUCCGAUAUGCUUCCUGCCCAGUCAGCAUCUGUGUAUCCUUCAACCGCUAGAUGACCAUUUUUAGAAAAUAAAAGGCCUCUUCCAGGAGCUGAUUUUAAGUAACGUAGUAUUCUAAUUACAGCAUCCAUGUGUUCUUCAUUCGGACAAUGCAUACAUUUGCUGACUAUGCUUACUGCAUAACAAAUAUCAGGCGAGUAUGUGACAAAUAAAUUAAUUUUCCCACCAGCCGUUGAUACCUUUCCUUAUUAGUUGAAGCCCUUUCCGUAGAGUCCCCAAAUUUCUGAUUUUGAAUCAUGGGGUGUCAGCCGGUUUGCAGUCAAGCAUUCCUACUUCGGUUAGUAGGUCUAGCACAUAUUUCCUUUGUGAAAGAAAUAUGCCUCGGUUUGAUCUAGCCACUUCAAUCCCAAGAAAUACUUUAGUCCUCCUAAUUCUUCAUCUCGAAUUCGGUAGCCAUUGUCCUGUAGUUCAAAGAUUUCUCUGUAUCGUCUCCAGUAAUGAUCAUGUCAUCCACAUAGAUUAUCAAUGCAGUCACCUUUCCCUGUCGUUGUUUUAGAAAUAGAGUAUGAUCCGAGUUGCUUUGUUGAAAGCCAUAUUUCUUCAUUGCCAUACUGAAUCUCCCAAACCACGCGCGAGGUGAUUGCUUUAGCCCAUAUAAUGCCUUCUGUAGUUUGCAAACAAUUCCAGUAUUUGGGGAUGAGGUAUAUCCAGGUGGGAUGUCCAUAUACACCUCUUCUUCCAGGUCUCCAUGCAAGAAAGCAUUUUUUACAUCAAAUUGGUGUAGCGGCCAAUCUAGAUUUUCUGCUAGUGAUAACAGCACUCGAACAGUGUUUAACUUUGCUACCGGAGAAAAAGUCUCCUGAUAGUCCACUCCAUAUGUCUGAGUAUAUCCUUUUGCUACCAGUCUUGCUUUAAACCGCUCAAUGGUUCCAUCCGCUUUGUGUUUGAUAGAGAAGACCCAUCUACACCCAACUGUUUUCUUCCCCUUCGGCAGUGGAAUAAGUGCCCAUGUUUUAUUUUUCAUCAGUGCUUCCAUCUCCUCUUCUACUGCUCGUGCCCACUUAGGAUCGGUCAAGGCUUCCUGAAUUUCAUGCGGGAUAUGAUGAGCUGACAGCUUAUUGGUAAAGUCUCUAAGUGGUUUGGUCAGCAUUUGAGUUGUUACAUGGUUGGAGAUGGGAUACUUCGAUUGUUUUCCCUCUGUGCUAGGGGAGUAUCUAGCUGGAGGCUUUCCCCUAUUUUUCCUGGCAGGUAAUUUGUAACCAAUAGGAGUAUUCAAAACAGGAUUGGAGGAUGGAGCAAGAGAGUUUACCUCAUGGAUAUUCUCUGGCGAGGAAUGAUCAUCGUCGAGUACAGAGAGUAGAGGGGUCUGACUACUAGAUGUGUGUUCGACUGCCAAGUCUGCAAUUAAGUCCUCCUCUCCCAUGUCCACAGAUACACCCAUCUCUUCCUCAACCGUGGCUGCCCUUUUUGUUUCCAUGUCUUCUGAUGGAGUACCCGUGGCAUCAUCGUCAUCUUCCCUUUCCACGUUGAUGACUGCCCGUAUGUCCCUCUCUUCGUCUGCAUGUAUAGGCAGUAUGCCCAUCUCUUCGUUUCCUGCAUUGCCCGUUCCAUCAUCCGCGGGCAGUGCAGGUAUUGGUUCUAUAUUUGGGCAGCUCCACCACUUCUCUUCUUCCGUCCAUGUCUCCCCCUGAAGCUGAGAAGUGGACACUGGAGAAUAAUAAUUUUCAGCUUCUGAGAAGGUUACAUCCAUUGUGAUGUAUGUGCGUUUAGUUACUGGAUUGUAGCAACAAUAGCCCUUCUUUGAUGCGCCAUAUCCCAGAAAGAUGCACCGAUCAGCACAUGCAUCCAGCUUGUUUCGUUGGUUCUUGUGAAGAUGAACAAACGCUACACAUCCAAAUACACGUGGGGGCAACAUUAGUAUAGAUGGUAGUGUAGUAUGAGUGGCCAAGACUUGCAGCGGAGUCUUAAAUUCUAAGACUUUAGAAGGCAUCCGGUUCAUUAGGUGCACAGCCGUGACCACAGCUUUAUCCCAGUAUCUAUGGGGAACGUUUGCUCCAAUUAGUAGUGCACGAGCAGUUUCUAAAAUGUGUCUGUUUUUCCGUUCAGCUAUACCAUUUUGCUGUGGUGUUUGACUGCAAGAAAAUUCAUGUAGGAGACCAGCAUUGUGGAAGUAUUUCACAAAGUCUUGAUUGAUAUAUUCCCCUCCAUUAUCCGACCUCAAAAUUCUGAUUUUUGCUGAGAAUUGGUUCUGUAUCAUAGCAUGAAACGCACAAAAUACACCAAAGACUUCAUUCUUAUUUUGAGCAAAUAUAUCCACGUCAUCCGGGUGCAAUCAUCUAUAAAAGUCACAAACCAUCGAACACCAUGAACCGUGGUGAUCGGGGAUGGUCCCCAAACAUCCGAAUGGAUUAAUGCAAAAGGAAUAUCACUUUUAUUAUAGCUAACCGGAAAUGAUACACGGUGGCUUUUUGCAAAAAUGCAUGUAUCACAUUUGAGGUCUAAAUGUUUUUGACUAGAAAAUAAAUCUGGAAAUAAUUGCCUCAUAUAGCCGAAUGACGGGUGCCCCAAACGAGCAUGCCAUAGCCGAAUCUGUUUUUCUUGUGCAGUGGUUGAGUUCUUCACCAUAUUGAUUUUUCCGAUACUGAACUCAUCUAUGUAGUAUAACCCCUCUCUCUUAGUACCACGCCCAAUGAUCUUCUUCGUGAGAAUAUCCUGAAAAAGGCAAAAAUGUGGAUACAUUAAAACAAUGCAAUUUAGGUCUUCAGUAGCUUGUCCCACAGAUAUUAAUUUUGUUGUAAGAGAAGGAACUAAAAGAGUAUUAGUUAAGGAUAUUGAUGGUGAUAAUUGUACUGUUCCAGCCCCUGUUACUGGAUACAAGACCCCAUUAGCAUUUGAAAUAUUGUUCCUUCUUGGCGUUAUGUAUUCAUCAAGGUCGUCUGGAUUGUAGGUCAUAUGGUCUGUUGCACCAGAGUCUACAAUCCAGUCAUCAUCCUUUUGUUUCGGUAGAAACUACCAAAGCACUGCUGGUAUAACAGCAGCCUUUACCUUGAUCACUGCCAUUACUAGCCGUCUCUGCCUUUGUCUCUACACAGGGAAUGAGAGAAAGAGUAGGUUCUGCAUGUGCUAUUGCUGUCCGUUCAACUCCUCCAUGUGCUAUUGCUGCCCGUCCAACUCCUCCAUUAGCUUCCUGUGAUUUCUUUGCUUUAAAUUCAUUCCACCAUUCCGGAUAACCAUGUAGCUUGAAGCACGUUUCCCGUGUGUGUUUGGCAUUACCACAAUGGGAGCAGCCAAGUCCUCCAGACAGAUUUUUGCUUCCCCCCGUUGCUGCAUAUCCGGGUGCUCUUUUGGUCAUGCGCAGCAUUUGAUUUUGUUUCCCACUCUUCGUUGCCAUAACUGAAGCAGUAGGGCCACCAUUUGUUUCAAGCAUUACAGACUGCCUAAUGUCCUCUCUUCGAACAUAUGCGUAGGCCUGCUCAACAGAUGGAAACGGUUGUAAUUGUAGAACAUCACUUCUGAUUUUAUCUAGCCGAUCGUCCAGUCCAUCAAGGAACACAUACUCUUGAAGCAGGGUGUUGUGUCUGUACAUCAAUUGCACACUCCAUUGGGUUUGGUCGCGGUAAUCAAUUUCCCUCCAUAAGCCCUGAAGACAAUUGUAAUAUCCCUCAAUAGAUUCCCCAUUUUGUUUCAUUCGAGUGACCCUUCUCUUCAAAUCGUAUACCUGCGAUUUAUCAUUCCCAUCAAAAUAAGUUGUGGCAAUUGAUUCCCAUACCUGUUUUGCUGUUGGAAAUCGGAUAAAGUUGCCGACUAGAGAAGGGUCCAUUGAAUUAAUCAGCCAACCCUUUACAAUAGAGUUUUCUGUCCUCCAUCUUCUGAAUGUUGGAUCAUUCAAUUCUGGUUGCGGAAGAUCACCAUUGAUAUAUCCUAGUUUGUCUUUUCCUGAGAUAUACAUCUCGACAAUCUGAGACCAUAGAGCAUAAUUAGUUCCAUUGAGUUUGAUAGCAAUCGGUGCAGCAGUAUCAUAUGUUACUGCAGGGGUCUGGUUCAGGCUUUGUCUCAAAGCCUGGGUCAUUCUCGUAGUCAAAUCUUCCAGGAUAGCCUCUGUUCCUUGUUGAUUUUGUUCUACUAAAUCGGUAGGGGCUGCCAUCGUAUCUACUAAAUCAGUAGGAAUUUCCAUCAAGUUUCUACGCUAACAGGGAGAGAUAGUUUGUUCUGGGUGGCGGCUGCCUCUUUGUUUCACAACUCAAAGGAAAAAAAGGUUAAAAAAUUUAGGGUAUUUGCUCUGAUACCAUGAAAGUAAAGAAGGAAAUUUGGUAAUUGUAAAAUCUUUAUUAAAAUCUUACGUUUACACUGUUGUAGUAUAUAUACAAAAAAAAAAGAAUUUGUAACGUUCUAGGUUCCUAUUAUAAUUAGGAAAUUUACAACUGUAGAAUAAAUCAAUUCCUAGAAUCUCUCCAAUGACAGUAAAUGCUAACAGUUCUUACCUUCUCCUGGAUGUAGCUGAUCAGAAGCAAGCAAAGUAAUAGAGCUCGAGAAACUGAUCAUCACCAUAACUUGGCAAAGCUGAAACAUCGUUAACAUCUUGUGCUGAAAAUUGGCUGCAGAAGCUCGAAUAAGUUUUUAUUUGUCGACAUGAGAGGCAGGGAAAAACUCUCUGAUAUUUUGAAACAUGCUAAGAAUUUUCUGCUCUUUUUUUUUCUUUUUGCAAAUACUGAUUGAUGUAGACAGAGACCAAUCUCUUUUCCACCAGGUGCUAAAGGACAACAAGCUAUUUGGAGUUGAUGAUAGACUCAAUUAUAUAGCUAGUGGACAACAGGCAUAAUUGACAGUUUAACACUUGCAGCAGGUUUAUUUCUAUGUUUGAAAAAUAUUUUUAGAAAGAAAUUGAAUUUUGUUUUUAACUCAUAGAAUUGGUGACAAAUAAUAAAAUUAUUGACUAAUGUUAUUCCAUCAAUAAAUUAAUUAGUAAAAUUUUUAUCAAUAAAAUGAUAAUUUUAUUCCACACAAAAAUAAGGAAAUACAAAAAAAAAAUAUAUCAAAAAAUAUAUUCAAAAGAAAACAAAAAACAAAUAAUGGGAGCGAGAAAAAGAUGUUGGAAUGUCAAAAAAUAACUAAAAAUUGGUUGAAGAGGUUUAAAAAUACAAAAGAUUAAAAUUUGAUAGUAUAUUUUUAACUGGCGAGGGCCAUGUUAACAAGGAAAAUUCAGCUUGAGGACGAAAAGCUCGAAAUCAGAUGUUUAUGGACUUAAUUAAACUUUAUCUAAGGUUUAAUUGAAUUUAUGGAGGGUUUGAUUGUAAGAAAAAAUAAUAUCUAAGUCCAUUUAGGCUUUUUUUGAAAACAAUUAAAGUUCUGGGGUCCAAUUAUAAUUUUAAAGAGUUGAUUUGGUCAAAUCAGGGGUUUAAUUGCAUAGUUAUUGAAGUUUAAUGGCUAAUUAUAGACUUAAUUGAAACAAUAUGAAACCAAUAACCAAACCGGAAAAGACGCUAAAAUCAAGGGAUCCAAUUAUAAUUUAUAUCGGGGCUUGAUUACAACAUUGUUAAAACAUCCAAGGACCAAAUCAUAAAUAUCAUUAAGAGUUUCAAAACGGUGCCGUUGCCUUAAAACACUAUUCACUGUCUUCUUCCAGCCGUUACAGCAGUAAAGGCCGAAAAACGUUUUCUUGCAGCAACAGUGCCAAUUCUCUUCAAUUAUGGGGCAUGUGUCACAGCUGUCAUCCCUCUGCAAACCGUUACCAAGCCAACUGUUGCCAGCACAAAGCCUUCUCUGGCAUUAUAAAAGCAAAAGAACGCGACAGAGAAGAGGGAGAGAAAGAAGAGGGGGGGCGGAAGGAAGCAGAUGAUAGUGAGGAAAGAAACAAAAAGGGAGGGAAAAAAAAGAAAGAAAAGAACAAAAAAAAAAACGAGAGAGACAGAAACGAGUGAAGGAAAAAUGUAAGCAGCAGAGGAAAUCGUUGAGACCAGAACCAGCUGCCAUCGUCUUCGUCAUUUCAGAAAGCAAGAAACGAAGAGAAGAAGAAGAGUGCAGGAAUGAAACAGUAGAAGAAGGAAAGAAAAAGGUCGUCCGAUCAGCAUUGAUCCCUCAACUUCGUCUUCAUCUUCAGGUAGCUUCAGGGGACGUUUGAGACCAGAGAGGGAGAGAAAGAUAUAACAGGGAACAAGAGGAAGAGUAGAUCGAAGAAAAAAAAAAAGCAGAAGGGAAACGCAGAGAAAUAAAGAAGAACCGCCGGCCAGUCAGCACCACAGUUCGCAACCGCAUCAGCAGCACCUCUUUCAGAAGCCACCGCAGGUCCACCCCUUUUCCUUCUUCUUCUUCCUCCACUUCAUCUUCCUUGGUUUCGUCCCCCACUGUUCUGCGUGAACAGUGGAGAGUGAAUUAAUUCACUCUCCACUAUUUAUUACGAGAAAGAAGAAAAAUGAUGAACUGAGUAAUAUUCUUCUUAUUCAACUUGGCAACAUUGUUCACUGUUACAUUGUUUAUAUAGGCUCAUGAAUGAAUAAAGAUUAAUUAACAAUAGUAACUGAUUUGCAAUUAUCAGUUAACUAAAUCUUCUAAGUGUCUUAACUAACUUCCAACUGCUUUAAGAAACUCUAACUGCUGCAAUUGCGUGCUGAAGACGUCAACUAUGCAUUACUGGAGAGUGCUUCUGCUGAUGAUAACUCCUCUGCUUUGCUGUAGCUGCAUGUAAGUUUAAUACUCCCCCUCAAGAUGAGACAUAAAGAAUCAAGGGGAAUAGAUGUUAUGAAGGCUCAUCUUGGACACCAAAGGAAAGAAAAGAGAGAAACCAAGAGUCUUGGUAAACACAUCUGCGAUCUGAUUUGUGGAAGAAACAUGAAAAGUACACAGAAUGCCUAACUGAAUCUUCUCUCAAAUCACAUGGCAAUCAAUGUCUAUAUGUUUGGUUCGUUCAUGAUAUACAGGAUUAGCUAAAAUAUGGAGAACAACUUUACUGUCACAGUAAAGAAAGUAGUUUGUGAAGAACUUGGAGGUCCUGAAGAAGAGAUCGAAGCCACACAACUUCACAACAAGUAGAUGCCAUGCUCUGUACUCAGCCUCCGCAGAAGACCUGGACACAGUGGUUUGUUUCUUUGAUUUCCAAGAAAUUAAAGAAUGAUCAAGGAAAAUGCAAUACCCUAUCACUGAUCGUCUAGAAUCCACGCACCCUGCCCAGUCAGAAUCACAAAAUGCUUUCAUUUGUAAACUGAGAGGACUGGAAAGAACAAUCCUUGGGCUGGAGAAGCUUUAAUGUAACGUAAAACUCUAUAAGCUGCAGCUAAAUGAGGAGCACGUGGUUGAGCCAUAAACUGACUUAGCACUUGAACAACAAAUGAAAUGUCAGGUCUGCUGAUGGUGAGAUAAAGCAAGCGCCCAACAAGUCGUCUGUAAGCAGUAGGGUCGUCUAAGAGUUGUCCAGAGUCUUUAGAAAAUUUACAUUAGGUCCAUGGGAAAUGGUCUGGCUUUGAAGCCAACAACCCGAGUCUUCAAGAACUUCCAAUGCAUACUUUCUUUGACAAACAAGAUGCCAAGUUCACUACGGGCUAUUUCCAAACCAAGGAAAUAUUUCAGCUGGCCAAGGUCUUUGAGUUGAAAUUUAUCAUUAAGUAAUUGGAUAAACUUUGAAACCUCUUGCUGAAUUAUCACUAGCAACCACUAUGUCAUCAACAUAACUAAUAAUGCGAUGAAUGGUCCAAAGUUCUUGUAAAUAAAGUGUAGUCAGCUUUAGAUUGUAUGAAUCCAAACUCAAGUAGAGCAGUGGAGAAUUUAGCAAACCAUUGCCUAGAAGCUUGCUUUAAGCCAUAAAUUGACUUGUGAAGCUUGCAUACUUUGGACUCCCCCUUACUGGAAUCCAGGAGGUAAUGACAUGUAAACUUCUUCAUCUAAUUGACCAUGAAGAAAAGCAUUAUUCACAUCCAAUUGGUGAAGAUGCCAUGUUUUACUGCUGCCACUGCUAAAGUGCGCACAGUGGUGAGUUUAGCCACAGAGAAGUUUCAUAGUAGUCCAAGCCCUCACAUUGGUUAUACCCUUAGCAACUAACCUGGCUUUAUACCUCUCUAAAGUCCCAUCAGAUUUGCAACUUGACUUUGUAGACCCAUUUGCACCCAAUGACAUGUGUUAAGCAGGAAGGUCAACAAUAGUCCAGGUCUUAUUGAGCUCAAGUGCUUUAAUCUCAGUAUUCAUAGCCUCACGCCAUUCCUCAUGUUUGACAGCUUGAGUAUAAGAUGUUGGUUCAACAAGUGUAGAGACAGAAAGACUAAAAAUUUUUGAGAAGGGGAAAGAUGAUCAUAUGAAAGACUGAAGAAAGGAAUAAGGAAUACCUGAAGCUGUGGACGAAGAUGUGGGAUCUGAAGUGGAGGUUGCAAGAUGACAAUGAUAGUCAUGCAAAUAUCCAGGUGUCUGUUUUACCCUAGAAGAUUUUCUGCUAGGCUGAGGUAUAGAUGGUUCUGAAGUAGAAUUCCAAAGAGAUGAUAUGCAGGUUCUGAAGUGGAAUUUGGUUACUUGGACUAGUAGGUGAAGAAUUUGAAGCAGGGGAUCAAGUAAAGGAUAGUGAUUCAUGCAUUGCUGGUAAAGGUAAAACAGAAUCAUUAGCAGAUGGUGGAUUUUUGAGUGCAAAAGGAAAUAUAUUUUCGUGAAACACCACAUCUCUGGAGACAAACACAGUAUGAGAUUUAAAUCAUAGAGUUUGUAACCUUUCAUCCCAUAUGGAUAACCAAGAAGUAUGCAAGGCUUAGCUCUAGGAUCAAAUUUAUGUCUAUUUCUAAGAAGGUAUUGCAUAACAAAGACAACCAAAUACCCGCAGAUGAGAAUAUGAUGGAGAAGACUUGAACAAAACUUCAUAAGGGGAUUAUUUUGUAGUGAAGGAGUGGGAAUCGAUUUAUCAAGUGCACUGCAGUGAGAGUGCAAUCCCCCCAAAACUGUAAAGGUAAGUGUGAAUGAAAAAGGGAUCUAGCCACAUUCAAGAUGUGCUGGUGUUUGCGUUCAACAAUGAAUUUUGUUGAGGUGUUUCAACACAACUAAGUUGGUGGAUAACACCUUUUGUGGCAUAAAAUGAUUCAUGUUGAACUCAGCACCAUUAUCCGACCUUAAGAUUUUGAUUUUGGCAUUGAAUUGUGUUUCACUACCAGAAAUUCGCUAAAUACCAACGGAAUCACCGACGGCAUAUUUCUGUCGGUAUUUUAUGGUCGAAAUCACUGACGUAAUAUUUCCGUCCGUAAUUCGGUCGGUAAUUACCGACGGUUAUAUUCCGUCGGUAAUUACUGACCGAAUUACAGACGGAAAGUUCAGAAUUAAUGAAAAAAGGGCCGGUAGCUGGCGUAGAGGUUUUGGUGGGUGAUUUUUUCGAUAGAAUCACCGACGGAUUAAAAACCGGGGACCCGUACGUGUGUUUGGACCGGUUCAUCGUCAACAAUACCGACGGAAUCACCAACAGAUUUGAAAUGCCAGUUCCGUACGGAUGACGUGACCGGUGCCCCGUCAAAAAUACUGACGGAAUCACCGAGGGAUUUGAAAAGCAGGUCCGUACAGUGACGUGUCUAUUAACCGUUGUAAUUACCGAUGGAGUCACUGACGUAUUCACCGACGAUGUUAUUCCAUCGGUGAUUCCGUCGAUAAAAGUGAAUAUAUGGCCGCUCUGCCGACACUCUCCUCCCCCAUUUCUCCUUCUUAUUCCUAAUCCUAAGUCUCCCCAUCUACAAAUAACCAGCCCCCCUCGCCCUCAAACAAAAAUCUUCCUCAUCUCAGCACAACAAGUUGUAUUUCUUGAAGUUUUGUGGUCACAGCAUCCGUAUUCUGAUUUACCGACGGAUUUUAUCAAUUUUUGUAAGUAAUUCUAUCUUUUUAAAUUUUAACAUUUAAAUGUCAAUUUUAUUGUUUUUUUAGUAUAUGUAUUUUGUUAGUAGAUGUACAUGUUUUAUUGUUAUUUCUCAAACAAACUUGUAGUUAUGAAUGUAUAAUUUUAUACCUGUUAUGGUUUGUUUUAGAUUUUGUAAGAUUGUAUUUGUUUGUAAAUUGUUAAAACUUUGUGGAAUUACCGAAUUACAUGUUAUGUUUUGAAAUAAUUAAUAGCUUGCUUAAUGGGUCCUUUUUAAGUUUUAUCGAUGGUAUUGCAGAGUGGUAAUUUCUGUUAAUUAUAUAUAUAUAUAUAUAUAUAUAUAUAUGGACGUUGAUAAAUGAUAAUGAAUAUUUAAUAUUUAUGAGAAGUUGUGAUUGGUUUGUUGGAUAAUCUCGAGGUAAAGUAAUAUUUUACAAGUUUAUUUACCUAACUUAGUUAAUUAAUAUAUACAUGAUGUCAUCAUAAUUUUAUAGAGGUUCGAUAGAAGUCAUGGAUGAUCGUUCAUGGAUGUAUCUAGAUUCACCCCAAGGAUUGCGGAGGAUGGAUUAUUGUAACGGGGUUCAGGGUUUUAUUAAUUUCGCAACAUCUAUUCCCAGAAAUUUUACUGGAGGCGGUAUUAGGUGUCCAUGCAGGAAGUGUCAAAAUAAAAAGUAUCUGCAGAUGUUGUAAUGAUGCAUCUUCUACACAAAGGGUUUGUGGAGGAUUACCAGUGUUGGUAUGCACAUGGAGAGGUAUUUGUUAGUAAUAGGAGAAUGGAGAAACGGUGGUUGGGUCAACUUCUAGUGCUAGCAACGUGCAUGAAGCGGCAAAUGACAACACUAAUCCUUACAGAAACAUGGUUAUGGAUGCAAUGAGAAUGAAUCAAGGUAAUGUCAGUCAAUGUCCAAUCGUAGAAGAAGAACCUAAUGCAGAGGCAGCUAGGUUUUUUGAUUUGUUGAAAGAUUCUGAUGAACCAUUAUGGGAUGGCUGCACAAACCACAGUAAAUUGUCGGCCGUGGCACAGGUGUUCACCAUCAAGUCAGAUCACGGGUGAGUGAGGUCGGGUAUGACAAAAUUAUUGAUUGGGCAAGAAGCAUUUUACCUGAAGGGAACAGGCUCAAAGAGAACUUCUAUGCUGCGAAGUCCAUGAUGAAACCCCUCGGUUUAGGAUACCAGAAAAUUGACAUGUGCCCUAACUUCUGCAUGUUAUACUACCUUGAAAAUGCUGAGAUGACCGAGUGCAUGACAUGCGGGCAUUCCCGUUACAAACCCAGAACUGGCAGGGGAAAGACUCUAGUGGCGUAUAAAAAACUUAGAUAUUUCCCGAUCACACCUAGACUGCUGAGCACAUGACAUGGCACCAAACACAUGAUGCGGUUGAUGGUGUGAUGGUGCAUCCUUCUGACGGCGAAGCGUGGAAACGCUUUAACAGUGUGCAUCCUGACUUUUCAGCUGAAUCAAGGAAUGUCCGUCUUGGGUUGUGUACAGACGGAUUCAACCCAUUUGGGUCAUUUGCUGCUCCCUAUUCUUGUUGGCCGGUCAUACUCACAGUUUAUAACUUGCCACCGGGAAUGUGUAUGAGGCCGGAGUUCAUGUUUUUAUCUACUGUCAUACCCGGUCCAAGCAGCCCGGGGCGGAAUAUAGAUGUUUGUCUUCGACCGUUGAUUGAUGAGCUGGCGCAGUUGUGGUCCUCCGGAGCUCUGACUUAUGAUAUAUCGAGGAAACAAAAUUUCCUUAUGAGGGCGGCUUUGAUGUGGACUAUCAAUGAUUUUCCAGCUUAUGGAAUGCUUUCUGGUUGGAGCACACAUGGGAAACUCGCAUGUCCAUACUGCAUGGAAAACAACAAGGCAUUCACGCUAGCAAACGGAGGUAAAGCUUCUUUUUUUACUGUCACCGUCGCUUCUUGCCACUUAAUCACAGGUUCAGAAAGAACAGAAAAGAUUUCUUUGUUGGCAGAGUUGAAAAAGAUGUUGCAUCCCCGCGUCUUUCUGGUGAAGAAUUGCAUCAUGUUGUAUCAGAGUACGGUGACAUUGUGUUUGGCCUUCAAUCAGGUAAGCAAAAGUUUCCUGGUUUUGGUUUGACCCAUAAUUGGGUAAAGCGAAGUAUCUUUUGGGAGCUUCCUUAUUGGAAGACCAAUCUUCUCCGCCAUAACCUUGACGUCAUGCACAUCGAAAAGAACGUGUUUGAGAAUAUUUUCAACAUCGUCAUGGAUGUGAAGGGGAAAACAAAGGACAACAUGAAGGCUAGAUUGGAUAUAGCUUUAUACUGUAACCGUAAAAAUAUGGAGUUGGUUUAUGAGGAGUCACGGGUUUUUCAAAACCAAGGGCAAGCUUCGUAUUAGAGAAAAACGCACAACUGCUAGACUACAAAUGGCUUAAGAGUCUGCGUUUUCCGGAUGGACAUGCAUCGAACAUAUUAAGGCUUGUUAACAUAGAGGAUUGCAGAUUGUAUCGAAAAUAAUUACAACAAAAUGCCACAAUCACCGACAGUAACACCGACGGAACUCCAUCUGUCGGUAUCUCACAGAGAGUUUGAAAAUAAUUACAAUAAAAUGCCACAAUCACCGACGGCUUUUUCGGUCUCAAAUUUUACCGACAGAAAUACCGACAGCUCGUGCGAUUUCCAAAGAGUGUGAAUUGAAUGCACCGCUGACCGUGUCAGAUCGCCGACGGACUACGAAAAAUAUGGAGGGUAAUUAAAAAUUUCGGUGCGAAAUUCAAAAAUUACCGACGGAUUUAAAAAAAUUAUAAUAUUUUUUUAAUAUCCGUCGGUAAAUCUGCCAUAUAACCUAUAACUUCCAGCCCCCGCCACUUCGCCUCAUUUUUUCUUCUCCUCCGCUGCCCUAUAAUUUUCAGUUUUUUGCUCUCAAUCCUUUAAGGCUUUCACCUUGAAUAUCUUGCAAGAUUUGAAUAAAGGUAUGUGGUUUUUUCUAUUUUAUUUUAUUUUAUUUUUAGUUGUUUUUAUUUUUGUUAUUUUGUUGUUUUGGGGUAUUGUUUUGUAAUAUAGAUAAAGUUUUGAAUUGGACACAUUAUUAAGGUACGUAUAUUUCGUUCCUUUUCUUGAUGUAGUUUUUUUUUUUGAAUUUUUUGAAUAUUGUGUUGUCAUAAUUGUUAUUAGUUAAUUUGUUGAAUAUUUUUUGUUAAAGUUGAAUUUAACUUAGAAUUAGUAAUUGACUAUGUUAGAAUAAUUAGAAAUUUUACUCUAUUAUUGCAUGAUUUGUGUUUUAUUAUUUCCAUUGAUUUUAAUUGUUAGUCUAUAUAUGUUUUUUUUUUUAAUUUAUUGAAUAUAAUUUAUUGUUGUAUUGCCAUAUAUAAUUAUUGAUUAAUUUGUUGAAUUAAUAUUGUUAAAGUUGAAUUUACCUUAGAAUUAGUAAUUGCAUUUGUCAGAAUAAAUAGUAAUUGCAUAUGUUUUUAAUUGUUAGUUUAUAUAUAUUUUUUAAUUUAUUGAAUAUAUUUUAUUGUUGUAUUGCCAUAAUUAUUUAAUAAUUUGUUGAAUUAAUAUUGUUAAUGUUGAAUUUAUCUUAGAUUUAGUAAUUGAAUAUGUUGGGGAGAAUUAUUAAUUUUACUCUAACUUGAUGAUUUAUGGAUGAUUGUUUCUAUUUAUUUUGAAUUUAUAGUUUUGUUGUAUUGACAUAAUUAUUGAAUAAUUUUUUGAAUUGUAAUUGUUAAUGUUGAAUUUACCUUAGGAUUAGUAAUUGAAUAUGUUGGAAUAAUUAGUAUAGAUUGGGUCAAUUGGUUGUGGCUAUUAUUAAUACUUGCAGGUUUGUGGAUUUGGGUAGUAUCCAGUAUAGGGGAGGUGGUGCCAAAUUUUUUUAACUUUUGAAUUUAAUUGUAUAAUUAUUUAUAUAAAAUUGUUUAGAUGCGCAAAAUGAAAACCAAAGUUACACGUCCAGUCGAAUCAAGUUCGUCUAGUAGCGAUGCUGAUAUUUCCUUAGGUGCCUCUCAAGAAGAGGCACCUACACCACCUGGGCUGUCAACCGAUGCUGCCUCUUCCAGCGAUGUUUCACAUCGCAGAAGCGGCGUGCCUUCGCAGCGGAAUCAAUUUUCCCGCAAGUACGAGGCACAGUGGAAGGAAGAUCUUUCAAUGUAAGUUUGUUAAGGUUUUUUUUUUUUUAAAAAAAAAAACAAAUUUAAAACAUAAUUUAUGAAGUAAUCACUAUUUUAUUAAUUUCAUUUCUUUUCAGGUUCACAAACAUUGAGGCCGCCCGAGUAAUAUCAUCGGCAUUUAAAGCGUCGAUGGAGAUUCCAUUGUUUCAAUGGAGUCAGAUAUCCAGGCAUCCUGAAUGGAUGCCUCAAAUCAAUGCAUGGUUUCGCAGAUUUGAGGUUUGUGUUAAUAUAUAAUUUUCAGCUUAUUUCUAAUAAAUUCUACAUAUAAUUGCAAAUAAAUUAUUAACAUUUUAAAAAAUUAAUUUUUUAUACACAGCAUCAAUUCUGCUGGGACGAUGAACAUAACACUGUUGUGAGGAGGGUGUGGGAAAAUCACGCGGCAAUUAGGUAACAUCGAAAACAAUACAACUUUUUUUUACAUAAAAAUUUAUGUUUCAAAAUGUAAUUUUUGCUUGUGUGAAUUAUGUUGCGUGAUUUUUGGUACGAUACCCAAAAAAAAGCAAAAAAACUGCGAGGGAUAAGGGGUUCCAAGGCUGGAACGAUGUUGCGGUUUGGAGGGAUUUCAAACCGAUAUACAUCCCGGAAAAUAUAUGGCCGCACUAUCUUCAGCACAUGACGUCUGAGCGGUUCACACGACGCUCAUAGUCCGGUGCUGGCAACCGGAAUCGACAAUUCAUGGCUCAGUGACAACACACCGACGACUCUGUUCCGUUUGCUGCACAUGCAAAACGGAUAGUAAGAUUAAUUUAAAUGAAAUAUAUCGUUCAAUUAGUUUGUUGUUAAUAAUUUUUUUUCAUUAUAGGCUACGUCUCUUGGACGUGAGCUGAGCCCUAUGGAGCUGUUUGUGGAGACGCACGUUCGGAGUCAAGACCGCCAAAAGGGGGUGCAACAGUUCAUUGACAACCGCGCUCAACAUUUCUCGGUCGGUACUGCUUCAACCGUCGGGAGCUCCCAAUCAGUAUCGAGCUUCCAAUCUAAAGAGUUCGUGGCCUUGCAGCAAAAGUGUGACCACCUAUCAGAGGCGUACACACAACUCAAAGAACAGCAAAGAGUGGCGUCCGAACAACACAGAGUAGAGUCUGAACAACAUUACAAAAUAAAAAAUCAAAGUUAAAUAAUAUUCAUUACAAAAUGAAUGUGUUUCAAAAACACAUUAAACGAAAUUUUAAAUGUAAAUAAUAUUUAUUAAAAAUUAAUAUAAAGGUGGAGGAGGAGGAGGAGGAGGAGGGUGGGGGUUAGGCGUCCAAAAAGGAUUAGGCGCACAUGUUCCGCCUUGUGUCAUGUUCAUGACCAUUUGACGAAGCUCUUCAUAGGCCGCUCUUUGUUGUUCAGACUCUGCUCUGCGUUGUUCGUCCGCCAAUCUAUGUUGUUCGUUCGCCAAUCUUUGCUCUUCUUUGAGUUGUGUGUACGCCUCUGAUAGGUGGUCGCACCUUUGCUGCAAGGCCACAAACUCCUUAGAUUGGGAGCUCGAUACAGAUUGGGAGCUCCCACCGGUUGAAGCAGUACCGGUCGACCGCAACUUGGCAGCGGUAGUGUUGGAGAGCCCGUAAACCAGAUUUUUAUCGGGUCCACCUGACGAUCCAGCCUCCAUCCACAAAUCCGGAUCGAAUUCCGGAUGGGUCGAAGGAUCAUCCCCGUAUCUCUCCCUCAACCGAUUAUUAUAGGUCUCCUGAAAAAAAAAAUCAUAUUGAAUUCAAUAAACAUAAUAAUAACUUACAAAAUAAAAUGGUUGAACAAACACACCACAAACUGUUGAGCACGGUUGUCAACGAACUGUUGCGUCCCCUUUUGGCGGUCAUGACUCCGCACGUGCGUCUCCACAAACAGCUCCAUAGGGCUCGGCUCACGUCCAAGAGACGUAGCCUAUAUAUAAUGAAAAAAAUGUAUUAACAACAAAUUAAUUGAACGAUAUAUUUCAUUUAAAUUAAUCUUACCAUCCGUUUCGCACGUGCAGCAAACGGAACGGAGCCGCCGGUGUGCGUUGUAACCGAGCCAUGAAUUUGCCGAUUCCGGUUGCCGGCACCGGACUGUGAGCGUCGAGUGAACCGCUCAGACGUCACGUGCUGAAGAUAGUGCGGCCAUAUAUCUUCCGGGAUGUAUAUUGGUUUGAAAUCCCUCCAAACCGCAACAUCGUUCCAGCCUUGUAACCCCUUAUCCCUCGCUGUUUUUUUUGCUUUUUUCUGGGCGUCAUACCAAAAAUCACGCAACCUAAUUCACGCACGAAAAAAUUAUAUUUCAAAACAUAAAUAAUUAUGUAAAAAAAAGUCGUAUUGUUUUCGAUGUUACCUAAUUGCCGCGUGAUUUUCCCACACCCUCCUCACAACACUGUCAUGUUCAUCAUCCCAGCAGAAUCGAUGCUGUAUAUAAAAAAAUAAUUUUUUAAAAUGUUAAUAAUUUAUUUACAAUUAUAACUUGAAUUUAUUAGAAAUAAGCUGAAAAUUAUAUAUUAACACGAACCUCAAAUCUAUUGAAACCAUGCAUUGAUUUGAGGCAUCCAUUCAGGAUGUCUGGAUAGCUGACUCCAUUGAAACAAUGGAAUCUCCAUCGACGCUUUAAACGCCGAUGAUAUUACUCGGGCGGCCUCAAUGUUUGUGAACCUGAAAAGAAAUGAAAUUAAUUUGUGAUUACUUCAUAAAUUAUGUUUUAAAUUUGUUUUUUUUUUAUAUAAAAAAAACUAAAACCUUAACAAACUUACAUUGAAAGAUCGUCCUUCCACUGUGCCUCGAACUGGCGGGUAAAUUCAUUCCGCUUCGAAGGCAUGCCGCGUCUGCGAUGUGAAACAUCGCUGGAAGAGGCAGCAUCGGUUGACGGCGCAGGUGGUGUAGGUGCCUCUUCUUGAGAGGCACCUAAGGAAACAUCAUCAUCGCUGCUAGACGAACUUGAUUCGACUGCUUUUUUUGCUCUGGUUUUCAUUUUGCGCAUCUAAACAAUUUUAUAUUAAUAAUUGUAAAAUAAAAUUCAAAAGUUAAAAAAAAAUCGGCAGCACCUCCCCUAUACUGGAUACUACCCAAAUCCACAAACCUGCAAAUAUUAACAAUAGCCACAACCAAUCGAACCAAUCUAUACUAAUUAUUCCAACAUAUUCAACUAUUAAUCCUAAGAUAAAUUCAACGUUAACAAUUACAAUUCACAAAUUAAUCAAUAAUUAUAUUCAAAACAAUAAAAAAUAUAACAAAAAAUAAAUUCAAUAAAUUCAACAAAUUAUACUUCAACAAAUUAACAAUUACAAUUCAACAUUAACAAUUAUAAUUCAACAAAUUCAAAAAUUCAAAAAAAUUCAAAUAUUCAACUUUAACUAAUUCUAAGUUAAAUUAACUAAUAACAAUUCUAACAACACAACAACAAAAAAUAUUCAAUAAAUCAACAAUUAAAUUCAAUUAUUCAACAAUUAAAUUAACAAAUAUUCAACAAAUUCAAAAAAUAUUCAAAUAUUCAACUUUAACUAAUUCUAAGUUAAAUUAACUAAUAACAAUUCUAACAACACAACAACAAAAUAUUCAAUAAAUUCAACAAUUAAAUUCAAUUAUUCAACAAUUAAAUUAACAAAUAUUCAACAAAUUCAAAUUCAAAAAAUAUUCAAAAAAUUCAACUUUAACUAAUUCUAAGUUAAAUUAACUAAUAACAAUUCUAACAACACAACAACAAAAAUAUUCAAUAAAUUCAACAAUUAAAUUCAAUUAUUCAACAAUUAAAUUAACAAAUAUUCAACAAAUUCAAAAAAUUCAAAAAUAUUCAACAAUUCAACUUUAACUAAUUCUAAGUUAAAUUAACUAAUAACAAUUCUAACAACACAACAACAAAAAAUAUUCAAUAAAUUCAACAAUUAAAUUCAAUUAUUCAACAAUUAAAUUAACAAAUAUUCAACAAAUUCAAAAAAUAUUCAAAAAAUUAAAAAAAAAGGAACGAAAUAUACAUACCUUAAUAAUGUGUCAAAUUCAAAACUUUAUCUACAUUGCAACAAAAAACACCAAAACAACAAAAAUAAAAACAACUAAAAAUAAAAUAAAAUAAAAUAAAUUAGAAAAAAAACACAUACCUUUUGAUAUAAUGAAGAUUUACAACACCAAAUCUUGCUAGAGAUUAAAGGUGAAAGUGUUUAAGGAUUGAGGGGGAAAAAAAUGAAAAAUCUAAGGUGAAAACGGAGGAGAAGCGAAGAAGCGGCGGGGAGAAGAAGAAAAAAUGAGGCGAAGCGGCGGGGCUGGAACUUAUAGGUCAAUUUUACCGACGGAAUUAACAUCCGUCGGUAACAGGUGAAAAUUCCGUCGGUAACAGAUCAAAAUUCCGUCGGUAUUUUUCGAAUUUCGCCCCGAAUUUUUAAAAGCCCUCCAAAAUUUUCGCAGUCCGUCGGUGAUUCCAUCGGUAAUCUGACAAGUUCAGAGGCGCAUUAAUUAACGCACUUUGGAAAACGCGCGGUCCGUCGGUAAUUCUAUCGGUAAUAUGUGUAACCGACAAAUUACCGACGGACCUAAGCCGUUGGUAAUCCCGUCGAUGGUGGUGUUAUGUUUUCGAGCUUGCUGUGAGAUGCCGACAGACUAUAUUCCGUCGGUAAUCCCGUCGAUGGUGGUGGAUGUUUUUCGAGCUUACUGUGAUAUGCCGACGGACUAUAGUCCGUCGGAAUUCCGUCGAUGGUGGUGGAUGUUUUUCGAGCUUACUGUGAGGUGCCGACGGACUAUAGUCCGUCGGUAAUCCCGUCGAUGGUGGUGGCAUGUUUUUCGAGCUCACUGUGUGAUGCCGACAGAUUUCAUUCCGUCAGUAUAGUUGUCGGUGAAGCCGUCGGUAAUUGCGUCGGUGUUGGUGGCAUUUCGCGUAAAUAUUUUCGAACUCUCUGUGAGAUACCGACGGAUGGUGAUUCGUCGGUAUGGACGUCGGUAAGUUUGCAUUAUGCAGGAAAGGUUGUCUUUGUAUUGCCUGUUUACCUUCCUGCAAUAACUUAACUGAUAAACUGUCUAUCACAUAAAACAAUAACCACAUUGCUUAAACAAUAAAUAUUUUGUUUUACAAAAUACAUCAUCAAUAAUCUAAAUUACAUGAGACAAAUGUUUUUACAUAGGGCUUCAUUUUUAUAAUUAGUCAAGAAUUUUCUUCUUCUUCCUCAUCAAUUGAAUUGUCAUCAUCUUCAUCGCAAUCUUCAAUAUGGAUAUCAUCUUCUUCAUCGACAUUUGGUUGUCCACUAGAGCUGAGAACAACAUUCAACUCCUCUCCGUCAAUAUCAACAAGACUAUCAUCGAGAACUCGAAAAUUUGAAUUUUCUUCCAAUUCAAUCGAAGGAGCAACUCGAUAUGGUUCAACCAACUCACGAACUUGAAAGACUUCAUCUCGCACACUUGUGUCUUCGUUCUCAUCCUGAACAACCUCGACACGACCCCGUGGUUUCGUUUUUUAAAACGGACAACCAAUCAAAAUCCUUUCUAAUGAAGGGGUGUAUGUGUAAUAAACUUGUUGACAUUGCUUUGCGAAAACAAAGACAUCGUUUAUGUUGCGGAGUCUAGCUUUUGAGUUGAUUUUGACCAGACCAUGGUGCGGAUCAACUCUGAUUCCUCUGUCCGUCGUGUCAUACCAAUAGCAUUUGAAUAAAAACAAAUGAUAUUGCAGUUCGACGACCUCUUCUAAUCUACCAUAGUAGUCAACUUCUAACUGGCUACUUGUGGAUCCCUUAACACAAACACCGCAGUUGUAUGUCUUUCUUCCUUGCCCGUAUUCUUCAGUAUGGAAAACAUAUCAUUGACAAAAUACCCGUUGUAGCACUUAACUUUUCUUUCAGGGCCGAGGCUUAGUGAAGACAAUGACUUGGGCGCACUCCUUCCCAUUUGAUAAACCUUGUAAAUAUAUGUAAUUAAAUGUACAUCAAUACAUGGUAAAUGAACGAGAAUCUCGUAACGACAUGCAUACGUUAGAAUGAGUUUGUGAUAGUGCUUACAUGUGUUCUGAACCAUGUGGCAAAUUGUUCAUCUUGUAAUUGAAAGAUCUGGGAUUCGGUCAGCUGCGAGUUAUUGGAGAGCAAAUAUUGUUGAUGUUGCCUGCAAGUGAUAAUGAGUGUAUGAUAUUACAAUAUAUAAUUAACAGUAUAUUACUAACAAAGUUUAAUUACUAUUACACAUAUAUAGACUUACUGAACAAAUGGUCUCAGCUCAUCACAGUUAAAUAGAACAUAGUUGUGUGCUUGUUUGAAUUCUAUUUCCGACAAAUAUCUUCCUCUUACGGCAUUUUUAGGUGUGGGUCGUCCAGUAUUGGAGAAUAUUGACAAGUUCCCACUGGAAGGCACUUCACCGCCAUCGUCAUGCCGUGGAACGCGAUUAAGUCUUGUUCUCAGAUGAGGUUCGAAAUAGUACGAGAUAAAUGUUGAUAUCUCUUCAACAAUAUAGGCCUCAGAUAUCGAAGCCUCAACAUGCGCCUUGUUCUUAACCUUUUUUUUUAGAUUAAACAAGUACCUGCAUUGAAGUACAAUUCAAGUAUUUUCAAAUAAGAAAAACAUAGAAAAUACUUCAAGAUAUGAAUUCCAUUGCAACUGUAAUAUCUCACCGUUCGAAUGGGUACAUCCAUCUAUACUGGACCGGUCCUCCAGCUUUUGCCUCGAACGGUAGAUGUAUAGGGAGAUGCUCCAUUGAGUCAAAAAAUAAAGGAGGGAAUAUCAUCUCAAGUUUGCAUAGUGUCUCGAUGAUAUUCGUUUGAAGCAUCUCAAUGUGCUCAACAUUCAUCUUGCUGGAGCAUAUAUCUCUGAAGAAAUGACUGAUCUCCGUUAGUGCAUCCCAUAUUCCCUUUGGCAACAAAUCACGAAAAGCUAAUGGGAUGAGUGUUUGCAUAAACACGUGGCAGUCAUGGCUCUUCAUUCCAUACAAUCUGCAGUCCUCUAUGUUAACAAGCCUUGAUAUGUUCGAUGCAUGUCCAUCCGGGAAACGCAGACUCUUAGGCUGUGUUUGAUUGCAGGAAAGUGAAUUCCCGGAAUUCACUUUCCUGCUUUUCCUGUGUUUGGCAGCAACAAAGGAAAGUGGUCAAAGGAAAGUGGUUUCCGGUCAACUUAAAAUUAAUAACAUUGAGAAAGGAAAGUGUUUUCCUUCCGUUAAAGAAAGGAAAACACUUUCCUUUUUUCUACACAUUCUCAGUAGCUGAACGAGAAUACACAACUUUGAAAUUUUUUCUUCAAAAAUCACACCGUCUCUUUUCCUUCGAAAUCAAUCGGGAAGCUGAGCAAGAACAAGAGUAUUUCUCUGGACCAAAAAUAUCAGGUAUUUGUUUUCCUCUUUCAUUUCUCCUUUAUGUUUUCUUCUGCGUAGAUCUGAAAAAUGGAGGCAUAAAUCUUUGAUAUUCUGCUACUGCUACUGUUAUAAUUUUUCCAUAAUUCUUCUCAUCAAUCUCGUCACAUUCAACUCAUCAAGCAAUCCAAAAAAAAAAACACAUUUUACUACUACACUGUUACUGUUGUCUUCUUCACGAAGGAGGAAAAAUUCGGCAGCUCCCUAACCAAACAAAGAGACAAACCGGGGGGGGGAGAUAGGGGGAGAUAAUUGUGGGGGGGGGGGCGAUCGAUUUCCAUAACAUCAAAACGAAUGGGGGGUGGGGCGAUCAUUUCUGUGAGGGGGCGAUUUCUGCUACUGCUAAGAGACCGAGAGACAGAGAGACAGGAUCUUUGCUGAGGGAAGCGAGCACCUCCAUGAGCAGCACUGUGUGUUAGAAGAGAGAGGAGAGAAGAGAGAGAGGAGGAUGGUAUAAAACCGGUUUCUGUAAAAGGAAGUGAAAGUGCAGCACCGUGUGUUAGAAAAGAAAUGAUGCAUCCAGAUUCGUUAAGUCUUCCAUUCAGGAGGGCUCCAUAUCUUUUCUUCCUAACAGCGUGCGAUGAAAUGAUGGACUCUUUCAUAUAGCAAUAGAUGCCAUAGAGUAGGGCAGAAGAAGCACAGGCUAGCAUUCUAAGUGGGUCAGGGUCAAGUCGGAAAUUAAACAUAUACUCUUGUUAUCUCGUAGUAGAUAUACGUACACCUUCGUGUCUCCAUACCAAAGGUCCAGGGAGGAGAAUUUUCUUUUCGUCGUUUCUUAAACAUAUACUCUUGUUAUCUCGUAGUAGGAUGCAUAUUUUUGGUCUCCAUGGAUAGCACGUAGUUGCUUUUCGAAGGCAAGUUAAAAUCGAAAUAUUUUCAUAAAGGAGUGUUGGUGAACUUGUGAAUUGCUAGAGUAUAUGUUUAAAUAUUAAUUACCUACCAUACGUUUAAAUAUUUGUUCCUCCUCCCAUCAAAUUUUGAGCUGCUCCAGUAAAAAAGAGUAAAUAUAUGGAGGCACGUUUAAGUCUGCUUGAGAGUGAUACAUAAUAUGAGAAAUGAGAUAAAAGACGGUGGCCUCUUUAAUUGAAUGAUAGUUGUACUUCGAAGAAGGGCAGUCAACUGGGGGGGGGGUCAUGCAUUCAACAAACUCUACUCUGUCUGCCCAGUCUUUCUUGAUACUGAACUCACGCAGAUGGUGAUGCUCGUUGAGGGAUAGCAGCCGGUGAUUCUGUUGAAGAAGCAAAAAAUUUAAAUGAAGGAGGACUAAAUUGAAAAAAAUGUAUCAUAAAUUGGAAUUGAAUGAUAAAAUUGAAAAACAAAUCACUAAAGGACCAAGAAAAAAUAUACUUCUAGUUUUUUGCAUUUGAAAAUGAUGUAGAAGUUGAGGUAGAAGUCAAAUAUAAUCUAACCAUGCACAAAUAUAACCUGCAAAAAAAUCUACUUUUUUAACAGUGAAUAGUGUUUGAUUAGUGUUUGAUUAUAUUUGUUAUAUAUGGAUAAAUUUGUGUGACUAUGCCGGUAAUUUAUUGCAUUGAUUGUGUUAGUAUUUUAUAUGCUUUUUUUAAUAUUUAUUUCCCUAAAUUUUUAGGUUUCGUUAUCAGAAAACUUCACUUUCAUGUUAUGGAUAGUAAGAUAAUUCAUGCAGCAUGUAUGGGAGCAGCUGUAUCUGUGAUAGCUACAAGGGUAGUUAUUAUUGAACAAGAAAGAAAUAGAAUUAAUAUACCACGAGAACCACGUAUAAAUGCAAUUCCUCAACGAGAAUUCUAUAUUGACAGCAUUUUGAAUCGAGGUGAUAGACAUUGCGUUGAACAAAUUCGUAUGAAACCUGUUGUCUUCUAUAGAUUGUGUGAUGUUCUCACAAGUCGUAACCUAUUACGAUCAACUCAAAAUGUGUCUAUUAGAGAGCAAGUAAUUGUGUUCUUACAAAUUGUAGGCCAAAACCAAAGAUUUCGGGUUAUUAGUGGUAUAUAUUAUAGGUCUGUUGAAACUAUCCAUCGAUACUUUAGAAUUGUUUUAAAAGCAGUUCUUAAGUUAUACAAACACCUUAUUAAAGAUCCAGAGGAUACAGUUCCAGCAGAGAUAAUGAAUAAUAGAAGAUUCUAUCCUUAUUUUAAGGUAUGAAAACAAUACCACUAUUUUUAUGAAUUAAUUAAUUACAUUCAUAAGAAAAUGUUAUAAAUUAUUUUUUCAUGUUUGUAUAGGAUUGUGUGGGAGCAAUUGAUGGUACCCAUGUUCCUGCAAAUGUUCCUGUUGAGAUUCAAGGAAAGUUUCGAGGACGAAAAGAAGGAACAACACAAAAUGUUUUAGCAGCUAUAACUUUUGAUUUAAAGUUUAUAUAUGUUUUAGCUGGCUGGGAAGGAAGUGCCCAUGAUUCACGGGUUUUAGGUGAUGCAUUAUCAAGAUCUAAUGGUCUAAAAAUUCCAGAAGGUAUAUAAUAAAGUAUGUAUUAUAUGCAAUAAACAUAUAAAAUGUCUUAUUAGAUAAAGAUAGUAAUAGGUUUUAUUUUUUUGAAUUUGUAGGGAAAUAUUAUCUUGGUGAUGCUGGUUACGGUAUUCGAAAAGGAAUCAUUUCUCCUUUUCGUGGAGUUCGAUAUCACUUGAAUGAGUUUACAGAACGUGCACCAGAAAAUGAAAAGGAGCUAUUUAAUCUUCGACACUCUUCAUUGAGAACCGCUAUUGAGCGAGGGUUUGGUAUUUUGAAGAGUCGUUUUAGAUCAAUUGAUGGAAAAUCUUUUUGGUCAUAUGAAACACAAGUAGAUGUUGUGCUUGCAUGUUGUAUUAUUCAUAAUCAUAUAAUGGGGGUUGAUCCUUAUGACUUUAUUAUGGAAGAAAUAUGUUCGGAUAUGGAACCAAUUACACGAACAAUCAACUUAAGUCAACGGGAGGAAAGGGAAGAGAAUAGGGAGUGGGUAACAAAAAGAGAAUUGAUUGCAUCAACCAUGUGGAAUGACUAUAACACUCAAAGAAACAAUUAAUUGAGUGUUAAUUAUGUGUUUGUUUUUAUUAUGUAUUGCUUAAGUUUGUAUUAUCUUUGUUAUGUAUUUGGAGUAGAUGUUGACUUUAUUAUAAUUUCUCUUUUAAUUAUUAAUUGUAGUUUUUAUAUGAAAUUUAUUAAAUCUAAAUAUUGUAUGAUUUUAUUUUGUAUAAAUUUAUAAUUUCUUUUUUGUAGAAAUGAGUUCCACGCAGAAUGAAAAAUGCAAGGGCAAACACUUCAAUGGUCGAAGCCAAUGUCUCACAUGUUGCUUGCGAUAUUAGUGAGGAGACUUAAAGGAGGCAAACCUUCUUCGACCUUUAAAGCUGAAUCUUUUGUUAAGGUGGCUACAGAAAUCAGUCAAAAGUUCAACGUCCAAUGCGAGCCUAAGCAUGUGGACAAUCAUCUCAAGACUGUGAAAAAGAAUGGGGAAUAAUAACCAAACUUAAAAAUAAAAGUGGUUUUGGCUGGGAUGAUUGUUUGAAGAUGAUUACAGUUUCGAAAGAUGUAUAUGAUGAAGAAGUAAAGGUAUGAUAAAUAUUAUACUCUUUGUAAUUUUUUAUGUACUUUUGUUUAAAAUGCUAUACAAUGAACUAAAAAAUUGCAUAUUCUAAACUUUAUGAACAGGCACACCCCAAUCAUGACAAGUUUCUCAACAAAAAACUUGAUAUGUACGAGGCAAUGGCAAUUGUUGUUGGAAAAGACAUGGCAACCGGAAAUUAUGCCAAAUCAUAUGCUGAUGUCAACUUGGAAGAGAACACUGAAGAGCAAUCAAUUUCAAUUGAAAAUGAAGGUGAAUAUGAAGAAACUUCAAAGGGAAAAGACAUCUUCCUCUAGUAUACAAAAGAGGCAACAUAGGAAGAGAAAUCGCAUGUAUGAAGAUAAUGGUGUUGAAAAGUUGUCUAAACAGAUUGGAGAUGUAGCAUUUGCAAUUCAAAGUCUCAGCAAAAAUCAACUUGAUGUUAAUGCGUUGUAUGCGGAAGUGAUGAAAGUUGAAGGCUUUGAUGAGAUCACUCUUGGGGAUGCAUUCGAUCAUUUGGUCCAAAAUGAAAUGUUGGCAAAAGCAUUUAUGGCAAAAAAUGCUAAUUUGAGGAAAAUUUGGGUUCAGAAUUUUGUGAACCAACACUGCUACAGGCCUGCUUGCUAAGAUGGUUUUAAUAUGUCGAAAAUUUGGGUUCAGACUAUGUUUGUUAUUUGACAAGUAUGUUUACUUGUUUAAUUCGGUCUAGCAUGUUUAUGUUUGUAAUUUGAACUAAUAUGUAUGUAUAUGACAUCGAAACGUAAUAUUUAUGCAUGACUGUGUUUGAUGUUAGGUAUUUAUAUUUAUUUCUUAAUGAUUAUUUGAUAUAUAUUAAAGGGUAAUUGCCUUUACCCGUAAAAAAAAAUAUUUAUCCAAAAAACCAAUCAAAAUAUUUUUGUAUGUAUUUAUCUUUUAAUCAUACCAAAAAAAAAAACCCAAAUAUAUAACUAUUACCAUAAACUAAUUUGGCUUUCUUCAUAUGAAAAAAAAAACUUAUUUUAAGCUUUUAAAAUUGAAAAAAAUAUAUUACUAGGUUUUACUUCAAAAAUAUUUCACAAGCUUAUUUCUAUAUAAUAUGAUAUGACAUAUAUAGUUAUAUUUUAUAAAAUAAGCUAUGUAUGAAUAUAGGAUAUAAUAAUAAUAAUAAUAAAUUAUCAUUAUACUUUUUAGAUUUCAUUUUUUUAUUGUAAGUGAUUAAAUAUUUAUAUUAAAUAUUAUAUAUAUAUAUAUAGAUAAACUUGAAAAAAAAUUAAUUCAAUAAUAAAUUAUUUUCCAGUUCAUUUUCCAUAACACAAACAAACACCGGAAAGUGUUUUCCAGUUCAUUUUCCAUAACACUACCAAACAUCGGAAUUCACUUUCCCCGGAAUUCACUUUCCUGCAAACAAACGGACCCUUAAGCCAUUUAUAGACUAGCAGUUGUGCGUUUUUCUCUAACACGAAGCUUGCCCUUGGUUUUGCAACCCGUGACUCGUCAUAAACCAACUCCAUAUUUUUACGGUUACAGUAUAAAGCUAUAUCCAAUCUAGCCUUCAUGUUGUCCUUUGUCUUCCCCUUCACAUCCAUGACGGUGUUGAAAAUAUUCUCAAACACGUUCUUUUCGAUGUGCAUGACGUCAAGGUUAUGGCGGAGAAGAUUAGUCUUCCAAUACGGAAGCUCCCAAAAGAUACUUCGCUUUACCCAAUUAUGGGUCAAACCAAAACCAGGAAACUUUUGCUUACCUGAUUGAAGGCCAAACACAAUGUCACCGUACUCUGAUACAACAUGAUGCAAUUCUUCACCAGAAAGACGCGGGGAUGCAAUAUCUUUUUCAACUCUACCAACAAAGAAAUCUUUUCUGUUCUUUCUGAACCUGUGAUUAAGUGGCAAGAAGCGACGGUGACAGUAAAAAAAAGAAGCUUUACCUCCGUUUGCUAGCGUGAAUGCCUUGUUGUUUUCCAUGCAGUAUGGACAUGCGAGUUUCUCAUGCGUGCUCCAACCAGAAAGCAUUCCAUAAGCUGGAAAAUCACUGAUAGUCCACAUCAAAGCCGCCCUCAUAAGGAAAUUUUGUUUCCUAGAUAUAUCAUAAGUCAGAGAUCCGGAGGACCACAACUGCGCCAGCUCAUCUAUCAACGGUCGAAGACAAACAUCUAUAUUCCGCCCCGGGCUGCUUGGACCGGGUAUGACAGUAGAUAGAAACAUGAACUCCGGCCUCAUACACAUUCCCGGUGGCAAGUUAUAAACUGUGAGAAUGACCGGCCAACAAGAAUAGGGAGCAGCAAAUGACCCAAAUGGGUUGAACCCGUCUGUACACAACCCAAGUCGAACAUUCCUUGAUUCAGCAGAAAAGUCAGGAUGAACACUGUUAAAGCGUUUCCACGCUUCGCCGUAAGAAGGAUGCACCAUCACACCAUCAACGACAUCGUGUGUUUGGUGCCAUGUCAUGUGUGCUCAGCAGUCCUUGGUGACAUAAAUAACCUCUGCAGUCUAGGUGUGAUCGGGAAAUAUCUAAGUUUUUUAUAUGCCACACUAGAGUCUUCCCCCUGCCAGUUCUGGGUUUGUAACGAGAAUGCCCGCAUGUCAUGCACUCGGUCAUCACAGCAUUUUCAAGGUAGUAUAACAUGCAGAAGUUAGGGCACAUGUCAAUUUUCUGGUAUCCUAAACCGAGGGGUUUCAUCAUGGACUUCGCAGCAUAGAAGUUCUCUUUGAGCCUGUUCCCUUCUGGUAAAAUGCUUCUUGCCCAAUCAAUAAUUUUGUCAUACCCGGCCUCACUCAACCCGUGAUCUGACUUGAUGGUGAACACCUGUGCCACAGCCGAUAAUUUACUGUGGUUUGUGCAGCCAUCCCAUAAUGGUUCGUCAGAAUCUUUCAACAAAUCAAAAAACCUAGCUGCCUCUGCAUUAGGUUCUUCUUCUACGAUUGGACAUUGAUUGGCAUUAUCUUGAUUCAUUCUCAUUGCAUCCAUAACCAUGUUUCUGUAAGGAUUAGUGUUGUCAUUUGCCGCUUCAUGCACGUUGCUAGCACUAGAAGUUGACCCAACCACCGUUUCUCCCAUUCUCCUAUUACUAACAAAUACCUCUCCAUGUGCAUACCAACACUCGUAAUUCUCCACAAACCCUUUGUGUAGAAGAUGCAUCAUUACAACAUCUGGAUGCAGAUACUUUUUAUUUUGACACUUCCUGCAUGGACACCUAAUACCGCCUCCAGUAAAAUUUCUGGGAAUAGAUGUUGCGAAAUUAAUAAAACCCUGAACCCCGUUACAAUAAUCCAUCCUCCGCAAUCCUUGGGGUGAAUCUAGAUACAUCCAUGAACGAUCAUCCAUGACUUCUAUCGAACCUCUAUAAAAAGGACCCAUUAAUUAAGCAAGCUCUUAAUUAUUUCAAAACACAACAUGUAAUUCGGUAAUUCUACAAAUUAAGUUUUAACAAUUUUCAAACAAAUACAAUCUUACAAAAUCUAAAACAAACCAUAACAAGUAUAAAAUUAUACAUUCAUAUACUACAAGUUUGUUUGAGAAAUAACAAUAAAACAUGUACAUCUACUAAAAAAAAUAAUACAUAUACUAAAAAAACAAUAAAAUUGACAUUUAAAUGUUAAAAUUUUAAAAGAUAGAAUUACUUACAAAAAAUGAUAAAAUCCGUCGGUAAAUCAGAACACGGAUGCUGUGACCACAAAACAAAUACAACUUGUUGUGCUGAGAUGAGGAAGAUUUUUGUUUUGGGGCGAGGGGGGGGCUGGUUAUUUUGCAGAUGGGGAGGGUUAGGAUUAGGAAGAAGAAGGAGAAAUGGGGGAGGAGAGUGUCGGCAGAGGGGCCAUAUAUUCACUUUUGCCGACGGACUUACCGACGGUUUUAUUCCGUCGGUGAAUCCGUCGGCAAACCGUCGGUAAUUCUGACGGGCAAUCGACACGUCACCGCACGGACCUGCUAUUCAAAUCCCUUGGUGAUUCCGUCGGUAUUUUUAACGGUGCACCCGUCACGUCACCGGUACGGAUCUGGCAUUUCAAAUCCGUCGGUGAUUCUGUCGGUAUUUUUUGUUGGUGAAUAGGUCCCAUCACGCGUACGGGCCCCAGUUUUUAAUUCCGUCGGAAAAAUCACCCGCCAAAACCUCCGCGCCACUGCCCGCCCUUUUUUCAUUGAUUCUGAAUUUUCGGUCGGUAAUUACCGACGGACAUAUUCCGUCGGUAAUUACCGACCUAAUUACCGACGAAUAUUUACCGUCGGUGAUUUCGGUCGAAAAAUACCGACAGAAAAAAUUCCGUCGGUAUGUCCGUUGGUAUUUAGCGAUUUUCUGGUAGUGGUCGGCAUGUGACAAUAGCUGCCAAACGUAUCGACGAAUUUACAAACGGAUAUAUUCGGUCGGUAUCUCAAAAACACACCGACCAAUUUACGACGGAUGGUGCAAGUUUAAUACUGUUCACGCUGUAUUGUGCUGAAAAAGCUCGAAUACGUGUUCUAUUUGUCGACAUGAGACAGGCAGGGAAAAACUCUCAGAUAUUUUGAAACAUGCUAAGAACAUACUGUAAACGAGAGGGACUCCACUCAGAAAAGAGAGAAAGAAAAAGGAUUUAUCCUUUUAUACAUUGUUUCAAGAUUAAUAAAAGAGACCCACAUUGCUUGAUAGUGCAUUCCAUACUGCUGUAAAAGUGCACUAAGGACUUCAUCAUCAAUUGUUCACUAAUUCAAAGUAGAAUUUUCUGCUUUCUUUUUUCUUUUUGUUUUUGCAAAUACUGAUUGAUGCAGACAUAGAACAAUCUCUUUUCCACCAGGUGCUAAAGGACAACAAGCUAUUUGGAGUUCAUGAUAGACUCAAUUAUAUAGCUAGUUGGUGCAUAACUGACAGUUUUAACACUUGUAGCAGGUUUUUUUUUUAUGUUUGAAGAAUGGUUUUAGAGGAAAAUGUUUUUAAAUUUUUUUUUUAAUUUAAAUUAAUAUUUUAUACUGCUUUUAUAUUAUUUUAAUAUAUUUAUAUCAAAAAUAUUAUUGUAGUAUAUUUUUAAACAAAAAAACUUUAAAAAACACCAAUUAUAUAUCUUAUAAAGCCACCCACGAUUUUAAUGCUUCUGUUACGUACCCAUCAUUUGCUUUGAAUAUUGAGUUUUUUUCCUACACUAUCACCGUGAGCAAAUUUAUUUCUCAAACGAACUCUCUUGUUAUAUCACAAAAAUAGUCUCGUGACACGUGGAUUGUGUAUUUAUUAUAAAAAAUAAAAAAUAAUAAUUGUAAUUGUCUACUUACCUAGCUCUGGGUUGUGCAUAUAUUAUAAAACAUAGUCUCGUUAUUUUUCAGAAAAUAAUUUGUGAAUGUAAAUUUUUUAUCAGAUGAACACACUCUCAAUAAAGUGUAAUUUUUUUUUUAAUGUAUUUUUUUUUAUUACUUAUCCAAUGGUCUCUUCUAUUUUAUUUUUCCAAAUCUUUUAAUAAAGUGUAAUUUUUUCAAUUUCACUGUCGAUGUCGCACCCGACAUUACGAAUGAAGUUUAGAACGUAAAAAUGGAUAAGAAAUCACCAUAAUAGAAGAAGUUGAGUUUACAGUGUGGGUUAACGGCUGGCUAGGGAUGAUGGUGCCGGUGAGAGGGCUGAUUCGGCAAGAAAGGAGCUGGAAUUUUUGGGUAUGAUUCUGGUUAAAUGCGGGACACAAUUUAUGCCUUGUGUCUUGUGUAUUUCUUUCUGGCCACCAAGCUUUAUACACAGGUCUAUAUUUAUAAUUCAAGAGUCCGUAGUCAUAUGAAAUUCAAGAAUCUCAUACAAAAACAAGCUGAUUCCUUCUUUAAACUUAAAUUUUAUUUAAAAUAUUCAUAAUAUCCAUCCCAUAAAUCGGGAGUAAUAAUCACUGGCCAGGAAAAGUGUCUGGGGCUCUGAAUUCUCACAACCACGGAGAUUAGAUUCCAUAGACCGCUUACAUUACAUAGAAUUAUAAAUCCAUAACAUACCAAGAUGGAUGGUAAGCACAAGACGUUGUGUAGACGUCUAAAUAUCGAUCAUCAGUAUCAUCAUUAUAUGAUUACAAACGAAGCUCCAAGCAUGUCUUUGGCUUUAUUCAAUUAAAAGACGAGGUUUCACUGAUGUUUAAAUUUAUGGACUCGGGAUUGAUGGGGUAAAGAUCAUGGGCAGAUGUAGAGGAAUUUCCAAUCCAUGAUUUAUCGGAUGGAGGAAAGAGUCUUGUUUGCUGUUUAAACUCUGGUCCAUGAACCUGCUGAUAGUGGCCUUUGAGAAGUUUGGAGUGUAAAUCAUCACCAUAAAUGCUAGGAUCUGAGAUCAUCUCCUGGAUGCUGGUCUGUCCUUCAAGCAUGCUCACCACUUCUGACAUUGCAGGCCUUAGAGAUGGAGAUGCAUUGGUGCAUAAGAGUGCCAAUUUGAUCAUCCUCUCAGCCUCUUCCUUGUUGAAUUCAGACUGCAGCUUUGGGUCCACUAUCUCCAUUAAAUUUCCCUUUUUUUUGCAGUACAUGGGCCUGUGAAAGCAAAAGGUAAAGUAUUUGCAGAGAGGAGUAGUGCCUAAUGCAUCAUGGAUUCAAGAUAGCAACAAGAACAGACUCGUAACUUACCCAGUCAAGAAGACAUACGAAUUCAUUUGUUGUCCUGUAGCUCGAAUUGCUUCUUCCACUGACAAUUUCUAAAGCAACAACUCCAAAACUAUAAACAUCUGCUUUGUCUGUUAAAUAACCCCACAGCGCAUAUUCUGGAGCCAUAUAUCCUCUGAAAUCAGAACCAUGCCAGAUUAGUAACUCUACCGGAGUAUAUUGCGAUCACUGAAUAAAGGAAGCUGCAAAUUAAGUCUGAUUAAAACUUACAUGGUUCCAGCAACACGAGUGCUGAUGUGAGUGUUCUCCUCUUCAUUGAGCUUAGCUAGUCCAAAGUCUGAUAUCUUGGCACUUAGAUCUUUGUCCAGUAAUACAUUUGUACCUUUGAUGUCUCUGUGAACAAUCCUGAUUGCAGAUUCUUCAUGGAGAAAUGCUAAACCUCUGGCUAUUCCAACACAUAUCUUAUAUCUUGUUGGCCAAUCCAGCAUCAGAAAACUUGUUUCUGAACCUGUAGCUAAUCCAGUAAAGGAGGUUCACUAAAUAAAAUGACUUCAACUUUGCUAGUCGAUGCUAUUAUUCAAAAAUAAAAAUAAAAGAUUUUACUGGAAAGUAAUCAGAUGCCAUUAUGGUUACCAAAAAGUGCUUUUGCGAGGGAGUUGUUCUCCAUGUAUUCGUACACCAGAAGCAACUGAUCUCCUUCAAUACAGCAUCCAUAAAGCUUUACAAGAUUGGGAUGCUGUAAACCAGAUAUCAUGCCUAUUUCAUUCACAAAUUCUCGGUUUCCUUGCCUGGAUUUAGGAGAUAGCUGCUUAACAGCAAUAAGAGUUCCAUCUGACAAUUUACCCUGCAUUGAAUUUAUUGUAGACAUUUUGCAUGAUCAAACAAAGGUCCAAUGAUCAACUGGGAUAAUAUGCAAGAGAAUAUUAGAGUGACAGACCUUGAAUACGGAGCCAAAUCCACCUUCUCCAAUUUUGCCAGCAGAAUCAAAAUUGUUAGUGGCAGCUCUCAGCUGCCUCAAAGUGAAGGAACCCGUUUUCAGAUCUAGCCCCUUGAGAUCUGCACAUAAUUGUUAUAUUCUGAAUGUUUGCGUGUGUAAUAGCUGCUAAUUAACUAAUUAAGGAAAAGGCUUUAGCACGCAGAUGAUUGAUUUCAAUGUACCUCGUUCUCUCAUGAACUUGUCUCUAAAAUAGAAUUUCCAACAAAUUGUUGGUGGGAGGAACCACUGGUGGUGGCUUUGAAACACUCAGAGGGGAUAAAACACACUGGUUUUAUUACAAAAUCCGAAGCUUACAAAUAACACAAAACAAAAGCUUAAUACACGCCCUCUCUCUCUCUAUUCUCUUUCAAGUGUUUCUCACAAUUCUCUCCACACGAAAUAACAUAACUGAGCACCCUAUUUAUACAUAAAUUCAGAAUACGAAAAUCUACUGUUCCAGGUGUGAAGGCGGCUGUUGACCGGUGGUGUGAAGGCGGCUGGCGGCUGCGGCUGGUGGCUGGCGGCUGGUCGGUGGCAGCUGGUGGUUGUCUUCCUUGACCAUCUAGAUGUUGAGUUUAUUAUUCAACAAAUCUCCCCCUUAAACUCAAUCGAGGGAUGUCAUGCCAAGCAUGAACUUUAAUCGGAUGAAUGCUUCUCCCUUCAAUGGCUUUGUGAAGAUGUCAGCAACUUGAUCAUUUGUGUUGCAAGAUAUCAGUUGGACUUCUUCAUUCUUCACAUGUUCCCGGAUAAAGUGAUGACGUGUAUCAAUGUGUUUGCUCCUCUCAUGAUACACUGGAUUCUUUGCUAAUGCGAUUGCUGAUCGAUUGUCAAUAUAAAUCUCCGCAGGACUUUCUUGAGGAAAUCCCAAAAACUUCAGCAUAUUCCUUAACCAUAUUGAAUGGCAUACGGCUGAGUUGGCAGCAACAUACUCAGCUUCACAGCUUGAUAAUGUGACAAUCGAUUGCUUCUUGGAUGACCAUGUGAAAGAUGUGUCUCCCAUGAAAAAGACAAACCCUGUUGUGCUUUUCCUUUCAUCCAGAUCUCUACCCCAAUCACUAUCCGAGUAGCCUACAAGAUUAAAGUCUUUACUUGAGGUAUAAAACAUACCUUCAUUCAUUGUGCCUUUGAUGUAGCGAAGAAUUCUCUUGGCUGCAUUCAAAUGAGACUGGUCUGGUGUCUCCAUGUAUCUGCUGACGAGUCCGACUCCGUAGAGUAUAUCCGGUCUGGUACAUGUCAAGUACCUUAAGCUUCCUACUAAGCUUUUGAAGUAAGUUGGAUCAACAUUUCCAACCUUACUCUUCCUCAAUUCCACUCCAUUCUCAACUGGAGUUGAUACCGGAUUGCAGCUUUCCAUCUUGAACCUUUCAAGAAUAUCUUUGGCGUAACCGCUUUGGGAUACAAAAAUCCCUUCUUCCUUCUGCGUUACUUCUAAGCCAAGAAAAUGUGACAUUAGACCAAUGUCAGUCAUUUCAAACUCCUGUACCAUGCUUCGUUUGAAGUCGUCAAACAUGGUAGGGUUGUUGCCGGUGAAUAUCAAAUCAUCAACAUACAGGCACACAAAUAAGAUGCUGCCAUCUGCUCCUUUCUUCACAUACAUUGCGUGUUCAUAUGGACAUUUUUCAAAUCCAUUAUCUUGAAAAUACCUGUCAAUUCUGGUAUUCCAAGCACGCGGAGCUUGCUUCAAACCAUAGAGAGCCUUCUUCAACUUGUAUACUUUGCCUUCAUUUUCAGCAUCAAUGUAUCCAAGUGGUUGUUCAACAUAGAUUUCUUCUUCUAGGAAGCCAUUCAGAAAUGCUGACUUCACAUCGAGUUGAUAGAUCUUCCAUCUAUGUUGUGCAGCUAGUGAGAUCAUCAGUCUGAUUGUCUCUAGCCGGGCUACUGGAGCAAAUACUUCUCCAUAGUCAAUGCCUUCUCUCUGUUUGUAGCCUUUAGCCACUAAUCUGGCUUUGUAUCUUUGCACAUCUCCUUUGGCGUUCUUCUUCGUCUUGUAGACCCAUUUGACACCUAUUGCUUUCUUGUUUUCUGGUAGAUAAGUCAGCUUCCAGGUAUCAUUCUUCUCAAUGGCAUGUAUUUCUUCAUCCAUUGCUUCUAUCCAUUUCUCUUCUGUGACAGCUUCAUUGAAGUUUAAUGGGUCACUAUCUGCAAAGAAACAAAACAGAGUUGUAUCUUCCAUAACCUGAGUGGUAUCGUACAACUCUUCAAGAUUCCGCAUCCUUCUUGGUCCUUCUGAUGAGGAUGCUGGUGGUGUUGAUGAUGAUGCUCCUGGUGUGUUCCUCCUGUUGAAUACAGGGAAACUGUGUGCCGGACUUUGUGGUUCAGCUGCUGGCACAAUCGGUUCUUCGACAAGUACUGUUGGUACUUCUUCACCUUCAAGGAUCAAAUCAGUGUUGAUCCAUCUGACUGCUUCUUGAUCACCAUUCCAUGCCCAAGAUUUAUCUUCUUCAAAGAUAACAUCUCUACUCGUAAUCACCUUCUUCGUGAUGGGAUUAUACAGCCUGUAUCCCAUCCUUCUUUCACCAUAUCCGACAAAGAUGCAUUUCUCGCUCUUAUCAUCGAGCUUUCUCCUUCUUGCAUCUGGGAUCUUUGCAUAUGCCACACAACCAAAGACUCGUAGAUGAGUAACACUUGGUUUGUGACCACUCCAUGCUUCUUCUGGAGUACCCUUGCAAACUUCUGGUUGGGCAGCGAUUCAGAUACACUGCACAUGAUACAGCUUCAGCCCAGUAUUGCUUGGGCAGCUUCUUUGCUUUGAGCAAACUUCUGCCAUGUCAAGAAUCGUGCGAUUCUUCCUUUCUGCUACACCGUUCAGCUGUGGUGUAUAAGCUGGCGUCGUCUGAUGUCUGAUGCCUUGUUGUGUACAAUAGGCUUCAAAGUCAUUGCUGUAUAUUCUCCACCUUGAUCAGAUCUUACGGUUCUGAUCGUGUAACCAGUUUGCUUCUCCACAAUUGCUUUAAAAUCUUUAAAACAAUUGAAUACUUCUGACUUCCUCUUCAGAAAGUAUAUCCACGUCUUUCUACUAAAAUCAUCAGUAAAAGUGAGGAAGUACCUAUUUUGUCCAGUCGACAUAGGCGUAAUUGGGCCACACACAUCUGUGUGUACUAACUCCAGUGGCCUCUUUGCUCUCCAGUUGACUUCUUUGGCAAAACUGGAUCUGUGAUGUUUGCUGAGGACACAACUCUCACAGACUUCAUCUGGAUGAUCAAUGUGAGGCAAACCUUUGACCAUCUUCUUGCUUGCUAGCAUCUUCAUACUCGUGAAAUUCAGAUGUCCAAGCCUCAGGUGCCAAAGCCAUUCUUCACUGUUGGUGAUGGCACUCAAACACCUUGUUGCAUCAUACUGGAUGUUCAAAGGAAACAUCCUAUUCUUGGACAUUUUCACGUAGGCCAUUAAUCUCCCAUUGUUGUCUCUAAUUGCAGAUGACAAUUCUUCGAGUAAAAAUAUCCUCUCUCCAAAAGUUGGCCUAAGCUGAUCAGGUUCUGCUUUAUGGCUGGGACAUAAUACACAUCGGCGAUGUAGCUGGAAUCGCCAUUCUUCAACUUGACUGGGAUGUGCCUUUACCUUUGAAUGGAACCUUUGUGGUAUCUCCAAAAGUAACUAGACCUUGCUUGGUCUCAUCUAGAUCACCAAAUAACUCUCGGUAGCCGCACAUGUGAUUGCUGGCUCCAGUAUCUAGAUACCAUAUAUCCUCUUGUUUCUCGCCAUGUCCUUGUUGGACAAGAAAUGCAGAUGCUUCUCUCAUCUUCUCUGCAUAGUUGGCUUGCUCACGUAUCUCCAACGGAGCUUUCCAUCGGCAUUCAGUGCUAUAGUGCCCAAAUUGCAGCUAUAACAUUUGAUAUUUCUCUUGUCACGGUUAUUGUAACCGCCUCCUCUUCCUCUAGGAGUGAAUGCUUGUUGGCCUCGGCCUCCUCUGGUGGUGUUUCUGCCACCUCUUCCUCUGAAGCUUGUAUUCCAAGAUCCUCUUCCUCUUCCUUGGAAUCUAUGAAAUCCUCCUCUGGAUUGUUGACUUCCUGCUUGAGUGGUGUAGCCACUGUUGAAGUCUCCCCUUGCUCAUAUCUGUCCUUGAAAGACAGCUUUGCUUGUAAGGCAUGCUCAAUGGCCUUAUCUUCAUUUCGCAUUACAAUCUUCUGCUCAUGAGCUUGCAAAGAACUCAUAAGCUCAUCCACUGUCAACUUGUCCACUUCCUUGGACUCUUCAAUUGCGACAACAACAUGAUCAAAUUUUGGAUCUAUGGAUCUCAAAAUUUUCUCAAUAAUUCGAGUAUCAUGAGGCUUCUCCAUUUCUCCUCAUCUGAUUGACUAUCACCAUAAUCCUUGUAUGAUAAUCAGAAAUAGAUUCUGAGGACUUCAUUCGUAAUAAUUCGAAUUCUCCUCUCAAAGAUUGAAGACGAAUCUUCUUGAUUCUGUCAGCACCUUUGUAUUUCUGUUGGAGAGCCUCCCAUAUAUCAUGUGACGUUUCAGCGGAAGCUAUUAUCUCGAAUGUAUCUUCAUCAAGACCUUGAUAGAUGAUGGUCUUUGCUUUGUUGUCCUUCUUUCUGUUGACUUUGAGGGCUUGCUUCUGUGCCUCUUGUAAAGCAUCUUCUCUUUCUUUGGACUCUGGUUCAUCAUAACCAGUUUGUACAAUAUCAAAACACUCUUGUGACCCAAGAAAUGCCUUCAAUUUGAUGCACCAACUAUCAUAGUUGUCUUUGGUCAGCUUCGGGAUGAGUGUAUGUGUACCUUCUGUAGUCAUUUUGCUCUUUUAAUGACUAUAUCGCCUUCUGGGAGCCGAAUUUGACCAAACGGACACUAUAAAUCGAUCCGGAAUGGUCCAAAUAGUCGGGAACCGGUCUGACUUUGUUGAACUCGGGUCCGAAAAUGGGUGAACCGGUCAAAAAAACAAUUUUGUACGGCGGGCGGUUCGCUGGGUUGAACCGGGAAUAUUCUGUGGAAUAUUCGGGGAAUAUUCUGGGGAAUAUUCCGGGGAAUAUUCCUUCGGCUCGGCUCGGGGGGUACGGCUCGGCUUGUGGCUCGGCUGGACUCGGCUUGUGGCUCGGCGUAUACGGCUCGGCGCGGCUCAAAUAUGGCGCGCGUGUGGCUCAGUCGUCUUCAACCUCGGGGCGCGUGGGAUGCGCGUGGGCUAUCUGGCUGAAUAUUCAGGCGGCGCGUGUGGGCUACCCCGGACUCCGAUGAGGCUGAUUUUUGCGGCGUUGAGUUCGUCUUUAUGAGCUCUACACUGUGGAAUGAUCAAAACUUGUUUUUGACAAUUUUGAAAAUUCGGAUAUACCCCAAAACACUUCUGUUUUCCGACGAACGGGGCUCUGAUACCAAUUGUUGGUGGGAGGAACCACUGGUGGUGGCUUUGAAACACUCAGAGGGGAUAAAACACACUGGUUUUAUUACAAAAUCCGAAGCUUACAAAUAACACAAAACAAAAGCUUAAUACACGCCCUCUCUCUCUCUAUUCUCUUUCAAGUGUUUCUCACAAUUCUCUCCACACGAAAUAACAUAACUGAGCACCCUAUUUAUACAUAAAUUUUCAGAAUACGAAAAUCUACUGUUCCAGGUGUGAAGGCGGCUGUUGACCGGUGGUGUGAAGGCGGCUGGCGGCUGCGGCUGCGGCUGGUGGCUGGCGGCUGGUCGGUGGCAGCUGGUGGUUGCCUUCCUUGACCAUCUAGAUGUUGAGUUUAUUAUUCAACACAAAUGACACCCAUUACCAAGAAAACAAGGAGUAAGGCUGAAGUGACAACUCCAACCACGAUAGGUAUUUUACUUGCUUCUCCAGGUUCUGAAAUUAAACAAAGUUAAACACAGAAAGCCAAUGGGACAAUAAAUCACUGUAGGGCAGCAGUUUACUUCUCACCUGGACAAUAAGUUCUCUGGCCUGAAAACAACAAACCAUAAAGUGCUUCUUAGAUAGUAUAAUGAACUGAGUAGAAGCUUACAUACAGUUAUGAUGAAAAUCAAAGCCAGGUUCAUAAGGAAGAAUUUGUUUGUUAAUUAUGUAACCGGUAGGGGAAAUUAAUGACCAAGUCUGAGUCUAAGGGGUGAUGAGAUUUGAAUUCAUAAGUACUUGAUCAACAAAGCUAUGAUAUCAUUGCUCGGUUUUCAUUUUAACUUAAUUGAUAAAGGUCAUUGUAUAUGAUUGAAAUCGCAAAGUCAGUGACUUUCAAAUGAAAUGCUGGGAAUAUAUAUAUAAAACAUGCCUGAGCAUACAGUUAUUGCAGAAAUAAGAGGACCGUAAUUUCCUCUUGUUGGAAUGCAAGUAGUCCCUUUUCCAUUCCAGUAUAAACGGAUCUCCAAGGUUGUGUCUGUCACAAUGGCAUUGAAUUUUAUAGAAUAAGCUUUGUUAGAUCCAUUGGCAGCCUUCUGAAUAUUAAAAUCUUGUUUCUCUAGUUUCCCCUGCAAAACAAAUCCCAAGUUAAAAGGAUCUUUUGGAAAGAAAGAAAAAAUCUUUUUGGAUAAUUUAAUCUCAAUUACCUGAAUAUAAAUGUCAAAAAAGCGUUUUCCAACUCUUUUGUACAAUUCGUCAAUAUCUGUGAAUUGUAUCUCAGCAAAGUCGAGUUUAACAGUGUACAUCCCAAUUUCCAGACAAUAUCCAUAAUAAGUGAGAGAGAUGGCAGCUCUGCGUGCUGUAGAAAACAACGGUUCAGUCAAGUAGUUUGAAGUAAGUGUAUAUCCGGGGCUAUCACCACCGUCAUCCAUAAAAUCUCCAGUGUUGCUGAAUCCCCAGUUUGAUCUUUUAUUGGAAUAAAUCGUAGCAGCAUCACCUAUAAUACUAUCGUCGCCUUCAUACAAGAUACCCCCACUGGUUACAUCCGGUCCACCACAGUUUACAUGGAAUGAACGAUAACCUGCAAUACGUCAAAUUAGUACAGAUGCAAAUAUUCCCUUUGUAGGGGCGUGUAAGUGUUGAGAUUUUUGGAUCCGUUUGCUCUACAACAAGAGCUAUUACUCUACUAUAUAGCUUCAAAUCGAUUAGUCAUUGGCUAAUACUUUUCCAAGUGGCUUGUCACAAUCAGUGUUCAACUCGAGUCGGUGAAAACGUGUGGUGCUCAAGUUCUGCUUGAGGCCAUGUUUUGGUUACAGAUAAAUCCUUACUUGUCCAACAAAAACUGAGAAUGAAUACAUCCUUAAUAGAUCUGUGUGCAGAAUAGAACGUAUAAUUUAGGCAAAAAAAUCUACGUUGAAAUUAGUACUCGUUCUCAAAUAAAUACACAGACACUGAUAUUAUAGUAGAUCACUGAUUUCGGUAUGCUGAUAAAUUUGAAACAGAUUUGCUUUGAUUUUAAUGAACUUCGUUACUUCUUAAUUAAGGAGGAAAAAGAAUAUCAUACUUUUGGGGCACUCAUGUAUGCCUGAGCAUGGAAGAAGUCCGCUUCUGUAAGACAUGGAAAUUAUAGUAAGAAUUUCAAAUGGUUCUGCAAACUGCAAUAUAAGAAUCAGAUAUCGAAACCAUGCUGUUCAUUAUAGUAAGAAUUAGCAUUAUUUCACCCCCCAAAAAAAAAAUCAUAUUAUUGAAGUAAAAUAUUCAUUUUAUGUUUGCUCAUUGAGAAAAUCGGUGCAUUGCUGUUCCCUCUUCAUGAGUGUUUGUGCUUAUAUCUUGGGGUAAAUGAAUAAUAAAGCAUGUCACAUUCUUAUGUUCUUCAUUCAUUCAUUCAGCAUUAAUGAUAUAAGUAUAUCUGAUCCUAGGAUACCAAGUUUGCGCUGAGAAAGAAAAUCCUGCUUAGGGUUUAAAGAUAUAAGUAUAAAUUGCAGAUUUAACUCCAAAGAUAUUCAGUUAAAAUACUGCUUAGCAUCUGAUAUAUAAUGUAUUUUUUUCCCCUCAAAACUAUAUAUGAACAUGACAUGGUUUACAUGAUUAGCAAAGAUGUUUUUAGUCUACGGGGGUGAGUUUUUAUAAGGGAUAUUUACCUGCCUGUAAGCAUUUAAGAAAUCCGUUUAAAAUAUCCCAAAAGGGAAUUUUGAAAUUUUAUCCUGCAAGAGCUCCAUUUCCAAAUUAAGGUUAUCCAUAGGGACCUCAUUUCAUCCUAGAUUUCUGCUAAGCAUAAAUACACCUCUUUUACAUUGUAUCAGUUGUGGUUCUUUUUCCUUGGAACAAGAUUAUUGGACUUGGUAUGACAACUACCAGAUUGGAUCUCCAACAACAUGAAAUACCAAAAAUAUCGCUCUCCAGAGUGUAUAAGAGGAGCCUUACAAGCUAUUCUUGAUGAAUGAACUCCUGUACGUGUUUGUACCCCUGGUUUAUACAUUCAAAUCAUUAAGUUUCGCAGCAACCAGGAGUAUCCCAAAUUUAAGAAAAUAGAUAUCCUUACAGGUGAUCUGGACAGCUUGGCGGCAAUGAAAAGUUAUUGUAGGAAACAUCACUGCAAGAAGCCAAGGGAAUCAUAAAUAUGAAUAUGAACCUCAACAAAAUUAAUAAUAAGUGGAACAAAUGAAAUGCUAAGCAAGAUUAAAAAAAAAUAAAAACCACAUUUUUUCAGAAACCAGGCUUUCGUUGAGGCGCCACCGGGGAUAGAUAAAAAUGCCUAUGGCAUGAAUAUAUAUGCAGCCUUAGAUUAUCAAGAUUCACUCAGAAGACCACUUUAAAAAUAUUAAUGGUUGAUCAAUCAUCAGCAGUUAUAUCUUCGCAAGAGAGCAGAGAAGUUGAACAGAAUAUCUAAACUGAAAUAACUGAAACCUGUGAUACAUUUCAGAAACAUACAUUUUUUUGUCUGUUUUGAAAAAUGAGUCUGGGACACUUCCAGUCAGCUUGUUCCCACUCAAAAACCUGGUUUUCAAAAGCCAGAUUGAUUCUUUCAGCAUAAUUCAGUCAUCCAUCCAUGGUCAGAUUUCAACAUUCUGAUUUACAAUAUUCAAAUCUAAAUACUUACAUAAAUUCAAGUAUUUUUGCAUCCUGAGGAAGGCCUCCUUCCAUCUUGUUGAAGGUUAAAUCCCUGAAAAAGAUUACAGUAAAAGAUUUUCCAGCUUUAGUUUUCAGAAUAUCCCUUGUACCUUUGUAAGUUUUUUCAAUAGACAAGCUCCUUCUGUGAAAUGCAAAUACCUGCAUUGGUUUUGUCAAAAAACCAUCUCAACUCAAAAGCUUAAGCUGUUAGGUGAGGUCCCAGGAUAUGAUAUAUAUUAUUCUUUAACACACCCCCUCAAGUUAAAGCCCUUUGGGCUUGAAACUUGCACAGGGCCAUGUUACCUUGUGCUUAAUUUUUAUCAAAUAAAUGGGGAUAGUGAGAUUCAAACUCGUGACCGCUUGGUCAUCAAGGCUCUGAUACCAUGUCAAAGAACCAUCUCAACCCUAAAGCUUAAGCUAUUAGGUGAGGUCCCAGGAUAUGAUUUAUAUUAUUCUCUAACAGUUUUUACUUAGGUUGCAUUUGGUUCAUGGUGAAACACAAACCGAGUUAAAUAUCAAGGGUGUAAAAGUGCUUAGAAUGUUUGGAAGAAAGUUUAGAAAUAAAGUUCUAAAUGUUGAAAGUAAGAUUUUUAGAUAUUAGUUGAUCGGUUAGGAACAGGUCAACCGGUUAAAACACAGCGACCAGUUGAAUUAAAUGAAUCGGUCGACCUGUUCAGUCGACUAAAUACAAUUCCUGUUCAAAUUAAUAUUUUCUAGUUUUAGUUUAAUUCCUUGAUUGUUUAUGACUUUUAUGCUUAUAAAAAGGCUUGCAAUUUAGCAUUAUUAUAAGUACAAAAAGAGAGAGAAAUAAUUAAGGGAACUUAAAGAUAAACACUUAAAAAAAAUAUUUAUUUUUCUCAAACUUCUUCUUAUUCUUGAGUUUUUUUGCCGGAAGAGCAUUUGGUUAGGAUAGAGAGAGUAUAGUCAUAUGGAGCUCUCUCAAACUUCCUGCUAUGAGAAUUAAUGCCAUAUGUCUCGUAGUACGUAGAUGGUUAGUGUAUUAGAAUUUCAAACCCAUCAGUAACAUAUCCCGAUGAAUAGAUUUCUACUUGUUUCUCACCUUUGAGCAAGUUAUGAGAGGAUUUCAUUAGAAAUUUUGCAUCCCAUACAGUACAUGGAGAUCAUAACCCGGUAGUGAGGCAAUUUUUGCAGUGUUAUUAAAAUAUAUUCAUGUUAUUAACUUCUAUCACAUUAUAGCACAUAUAAGGUGAUGAGUGAAGGUGUUAAGACUUACAGCAUUAUCAGAAAACCCGAUCUCCACACAUCUGUUGGGAUCCCUCCAGUUAAAUUGAUGUUUCGCAAAACCCUUCAAAGAAAUUAAAGAUAGGCUUAAUUAGUUCUCAAUAGAACAUGUUAAUUCUCAAGUUUAUUUAUUUUAGACAUUUUACGGACAGUUGACGAACAAAUAAUUCACUAUGGGGGGGAUGUUGGUUAAAUUAGACUCUGGUCCAGACAUAUCAGUGAUCCUCCUGCAGUACAUUGAAAAGAAAAGAAUGUGUUAUAGUUCCCUUUAUUCUUUCUGUCUUCUUCAAAGAGGAAACACCAAAAUUAUUGUUUUAUAUAUUGCUAUGCAUCUCAGGAAGUAGUUUCACUCACAAGUCUGUCAGCUUCUCUAAAGAAAGAAUGGCAGGAGGUAUGGGCCCUUGUAGUCCACUUGCGUAUAAUUCACUUCGUUAGUCCAAAGAGGAAAAACAAAAUAUCAGAAUAUUGUGCAACAUGCAGCAGAGAAAUGAAUUAACGAAAAUAUCAUGCAGAUAGAGAUCCUCACAGUCUACCAAGAUUACUCCAGUUCCCAAUGAAAUCAGGUAUUCUGCCACUAAGAUUAUUAUCACUUGCACGACUGCACAUUGCAAAACCGAAUUAAGGAAACCAGAUGCUAUUUGGAUGGAUUUUGUAUGGUUUUCUUUGCUUUGGUUUAUCUUAAGCUGCGCUUUAUCCUUCAUAUGACUUUAUGCCAUAUUCAGAUAUUAUGUAGCUUUUGUACUAUUCCCGUCAGACUUUGACGCUUAUAUAAUAUACACAUCUUUCAAAAAAAAAAAAGGAAACCAGAUGCUAUUGAAUUAUCAAAAACUGUGUUUAAAGAAGAAAGGAAUUGAUUGCUUACAAAUGAGUCAAGUUUAGCUUAGCGAGAGUCUUUGGCAAGGUUCCCUCCAACUGAUUGGAGGAAAGUACCCUGCAACCAUUAAUUCAUAGCACAGCAUCAAAGAUUGCAACUAAAAUGUCUAGCUUGCGUUGGUUUAAUAAUGAUGAACAGUUAAACGCCUUACAGGAAUGUUAAGUUGACAAGAUCACCAAGCUGAAAAGGAAUAGUACCAGAAAACUGAUUUGCUUCAAGGGACCUUCAUGUAUUUGUAUUUGAUUAAUUGACAAAAAUGAAAUUAGUCUAGCAUUGUCAAAAACAGAAACAGAAAACAAAACAAAUGAUAAAUCAGGCAGAACAUAUAUUUAUGACUUCAAUACAUACAAGUCAGUCAGGCUACGAAACCUUCCCAAGUACCCAGGAAUAUUCCCUGACAAGCGAUUGGAUGUAAGGAAGCUGCAUGCAUAAAAUGUUAUCUAGUUAUGGUGAAUUCUGCCUUGAGUAUGAACUGGUAAGCAAAGAUAUUGAGGUGAAUGAACUUACAGUUUUGUCAAAUGUUUCAUUGAAGCCCAUUCCUCAGGAAUAUUGCCAGAAAUGUAGUUGCGAGUUAGGUCACUGUGACAGAUAAUAUAGCAUCAAUACUUGAGAAUUUAACUUGUUCAACUUAUAAAUUAGUCGAUAAAAGUUACUUUGAGGUUAUAAAAUUAAUACAAAUAAAUUAUAUCCUGGAAAGGUUCUUACAAACUUUCAAGAUAUGUAAGGUUGGCUAUUUCAGGCGGGAGCUUGCCUGGAAGACUGAGCCGUUUUAGAUUUCUGUUAUUGAAAGAGGAAAACACCAUCAGUAUAUAAAAAAAUGUUUAGACGAUUGAAAAACAAACUCAAAACUACUUGUGCUAAUUUACUUAUAUUUGAUCCCUGGUACUGUGAUCUUUAACUUUUCUAUGUAUAUUCUGUUAAUCACUUAUUUUUUGACAUUUGAUAACUUCAAAAACUGUAAUUUUUUUUAUAUUUAAUCUCCUUUGCUGUAAACUAUAUAUAUAUAUAUAUAUUUGUUUAUUUAUUUAAUUCCUUCAUCACUUAACCCCCCUCAAGGGUUGGCGUAAUAACAUUUCAGAUUUAAAAUUUAAACAAUUAAUUUAAAUCCAAUACCAAACACAACUUUAAGAUUAGAGAUAUUUUCAGACAAUUAAUUUAAACAUGGGAGAAAUGUAUCCAAUCUAUUUAAAAAUGGGCUAUCCAUACUACAACUAAUUCAACACCAAAACAUUUAUUUUAUCAACAAGUAUUCAAAUAAAUAUGGAAGGAAAAAAAAUAAAAAUCUUACAGUGAGGUGAUAUGACAAUAACCAUCAUUAUUGAGGGUGCAAUUGCACAUGACGGUGCUAUUGGCUUCUGAAUCAACUUUUUUCGUUUCGUUUUUCAACAGAUUCAUAUUGUACAGAGUUCCUGGUUGGUUGCAAGCAUCGCCCACCUCGAAGGGUUGCCCACCCAGCAGUGUCUCGACAAUAUGUUUUAACGCCGUCACUAGUUCAAGGAUCAUGCAUCCACGGAAAAUUUUAUCAAAAUAAAUUCAUAUCCAUAACAUCGGUUAAUAUUAACUCUUAUCACCGAAAAAAAAAACUAAUAGUUUUCGAGUGGUACAAAUCCAGUAAAAAUAGAAAUAAAUAGUGAAAAUAUAUAAAUAUUGGAUCCAAAAUUUUUAAGUGUUUUUCAUUUAAUAUUGGAUCCAAAAUGAUCGGAAUCUUGUAUUUAUAAUUUUAUAGAGGUAUGGCCGUAUUGUGUGUAUUUACACAGGCUAUCAAAUGAUGUACGAGAGACAAUAAUUAACUUUCCUUCUUGUUAAUGUAUCGACCAUGUGAUAACAUUUAUAGAAUUGAAGAAAAUUACAAUAUUCAUGAAAUAACAAAAAUUAUCCAAAAGUGAAAAACAAAACUCCUUAUUAUACCCUAGAUCCGCGUAAUUACUAUAUAGUAAAAAAAAACAAUAGUUAAAUAAGGGAAUUUUAAAAAUUAGACAAAAUACUUAAAAGGAAACUCAAAAAAUAAAAACUAACUUGAACUAAAUAUUAAUAUUAAUAUUAUUCAUAUAUUGAAAAAUCAUGCCCCAUUUUCUUAUAUUCUUUUUCUCUAAGUCUUUUUUUUUAGUUCUUGAUUUAAAUAUCUCUUAAAAAUAAUAAUUAAGGGCAUUUUUUGGUAUAAAAAAGGUUUUAUUAAUUAGAUAUUCAAACUUCUUUUCAUACUCUUUGUAGUUCCAAAUACCUCGAGAAUUAUUGUAAUUUGUAGAAAAAAGAAAUCUGACACACAUUAAAUAAUUUAUGCAUCUUUAAUAUCAUCCCCACAUGAGCUACUUCCCGUUGGAUGCACAGUUGAGAGUGAAUGUACGGAUUUGGGGCUUUUUUUUUUUCAGAAUUUCCUUUUAUGUUCUUACCCCAUUAGUUAUUUUUCUGUAGCUGCAGUGUAAAGUGAAGAAAUGAUUCUCCAAUAAAGUAAUUAAUGAACUAUAAAUUUAUAUUAAUGAAUUUCUUAAUCUUAAAGUAUGAGGUUGUAGUUGUAAGCAAAUCUGUGGAUAUGUGACUUAGCACACCAAUGGAAUGGAAAGUGUGGAAAUUAAUUAGCUCAGAUUAUUACAACACUCCAUUAUUGCAAUAAAAACAAAGCUUACUCUCUUACCUUCGUCUGGAUGUAACUGAUAUGGUAUAGCUGCACUGAAAGUAGCAGAACUGAAAAGAGUGAUCACGACCACCAUAACUCGGCAAAACUGAAGAAGUCCAUGCGGAGGCUGAAGCGUCGUGAACAUGUUGGGUGCAGGAGUAGGGAAGAAGAUUGAAUAAGUUUUCAUUUUAUGAGGAACGUACUUGAUUUAUACUGGACGGACGUGGGGACAAAUCAUUCAUGUUUUUAAAAAUCUUUUUUCAUGGCUGAGAAUACAUCUACGGCUACACCAACAACACAUGAUGCUUGUAACUUUUGGUUGUGGUAACUUUUGUAGUUGUAGUUUGAAAAAAAUUAUUUUAUAAAAAGAAUUUUUAGUUGAGAUUGAUUUGAUGUUUAUAUAUAUUUGGUUAAAACUGUGGUUGAAAUUGAGGUUGAAUAAAAAGUAGUUUAAUGUGUUUGGUUAAAUAUUCUUUUCAAAUUGAGGUUAUAAAAUAACUAAUAUAUAUAUAUAUAUAGAUAUAUGAUUAGUACUUAAAAGUGCAUAUUUAUCAAGGUUUUAUAUCAUCAUUUUACACUUAAAGUAUCAAUAACUCCUUAACUAAAGCAUGUUUUAUAAUAACAAGUCUAAUAUUAUAAAAUGCCUUAAUAUAUGGUAAAUGUUCAUCUUAAAUGCAGGCUUAUCACAUAAAUCAAAGGAUUGAUUGAUGAAUUCAACUACUAAAAUUUUGAAGAUAAAGAAGGGUGAAGCUUAGAAAAGAGAUGUUGGUGCAGUCCAAACUGGAACACUAUUCGGUAUUUGGGUCAUAUCUCAAGUUCUAGAUGUACAAAUGAUCUCAAAUUUUUACAAAAACUUGGUGAGACAUAGGCCUACAACUUUCAUGUGAACAUAAAAAUCUAACAAGGCCAUUUUCAAGUCCAAAUCAUAGCAACAACGGAGAAGUCUGAAUCUGUCCUGCACCCCGAACACUUUUCAGUGUUUGGCCCAUAUCUGGAGUUCUAGAAGUCUAAAUCACCUCCAACUUUCAUGGAAAGCUGAGUCAAUUUCCUACAACUUUCAUGUUUUCAAGUGGACCCAGUUCUGAUGCUAGAAUUUUCGUUUUAUUCAGACAAGAAGAUAAAGAUUUUCACAAAGUCAAGAGUUGGCCACCCACUCAACAAUUAGUCAUCAAAUCAAUAAUUCCAAAUUUUGGCCUAUAAUACUAUUAUUAUUAUUAUUAUUAUUACUAUUAUUAUCAUAAAAUCAGUAUAUAAGCUGGAAACUUGUGACCCGAUCUUUUAAAUCAUUCUCAUGUAUAACAACGCCACGUACUGAGUAUUAUUAUUAUUAUUAUUCCUACUACUACUAUUAAUAUUAUUAUUACUAUUACUAUUAUUAUUCUUGUUGUUGUUGUUGUUGUCUUGUUAUUUAUAAUUUAUACAAUUAACCUCUCUGUGGUUGGACCCCGGUCUUGCCGGGUUAUUUAUUACUUUGACACUCCUGCACUUGGGAGAAGACAUCAAUCUUUUGGUCGUGUCAAUAUAUAUAUAUAUAUAUAUUGAUAAUUUUAAUUUAAAUACUGUAGAUUUAACCACCAAUAUUACAUCAUUAAAUAAAUAAUACUUUAUAUCAAAUAUUUUUUAUUGUUCCAUUAGCUUAUCUAUAAUUUCAUCACAUAUGAAAUUCAUCCGAUAAGGACUACAGUUUUCAUUGUCUUUUGAGCGUACAAUAAAAUAAGGUAAAAUAUCAUCAUAAAUAAAAUUAGAAUUGCGAUCAAAUUCUAAAAAUGAUAUGUCAUCAUGCGAUCUCCUUCUAAUUUAUAUAGUAUUAUUGAAUAAUAUUAAACACUAAUUUUUUGAGAAAAAAUACAAUUAUAAAAAAAAAUGUACAGUUACUCAUGAAAAAAUAUACAAUUAUUAAACACUAGUUUUUACCGGGUAAAACGCGAUCAAUGAAUAUUAACUCGUGAAUUAAUUCACCUGGUACUAUUUAAGUGAACAGUAGUUAAUUCACUCUACACAUAUGGCAAUGGGGUGGGUAAUGAAAAGCAGCAAUUUUUUGCUUUAGCAUUUAAAAAAAUAAAUGCAAAAAUCAUGGAAAAAAAACAUGUAAAAAAUGAAAAUAAAAAUAUUAGUAUAACAAAAAUAAAAAGGUAGAAAAAACUAGAUUAUUUUCCCUACAUUUUUUAAGUAUUGUUAAUAAUAAUCUGGACAGGCUAGGUCUACCUGAUCUGGUUUCUGGUUCAGAUCAGUAACCAGCUUAGACAGCAGGUUCACGCGUGCACUGUACAGUGCGAAGAUAAUUAAUAUUACCUUAUCUUCGCACUGUUUAACAAUUUAGAAAUGCAGAAAGUGGUCAGAAAGAAAGGCGUACCUGGAGUUGUCACUUGAAGAUGAAGAUGAUGGUGAUGGAAAGCUUGAGGUUGCUGGCCGAACAGACACUUUCUUCUCUGUCAUUCUCCUGUUUUUUUUUUUUUUUUUUUUUCCUUUGGUUGUCUAUUCGUCGUCCGCCCUGCGUGCCUCUGUUUUCUCCGUCUGUGUUCUGUUUCUUUUUUGUUUGUGUUUUUCUUCUCCUCUGAUCGCCUCCCAGUUGUAUAACCCUCAGUCCUGUUUCUAGUGUCCUGUUUCUUAUUUUUUUAUUUUUUGCCCGUAUUGUUCUCUUGUUAGAAGUCUUUUUUUUCUCUCCUUUCUCUCUCUUUUCUCCUUUGAUCUCCCCCCCUGCGAUGGCUGCUUAGUUAGCUUUUUAUAGGGGCUUGUGUGAUAGUCUUCCAGCACGCCUCUUCCUUCCGGGGAGGAGGAUAAAGCUCGCUGGGGUGUUAGUAUCCUGCUGGGUCUCGGAUUUCAGGAGUCCUGCCACUACAGGGCUGUUGGUGGUGGCUAUCUUCACGCCUCCAAUGGCGUCUCGUGGGAGAUGACCUGGGAAAACGGUGAUGGAAGUCGUGGGGAUUGCCUUGCGUUUGUGGGUUGUCCGUGGUGAUCGGCCCUUUUGGCUAAAUCAGUUCUGAAUUUUAAUAUUUCUUCGAUUAAGCUAGUUGGUUUUGUUAAACUAAUUCUAAGCGUAAUUAUAUGCUCUCACUUAUCGAUUCUUUUAAUUUUUUUAAAAAGUGAAUCCUAAAUUUAUAAAUCUAUAUUAUUUUAUAAUAAUAAUUAACAAGAACUAAAAAAAAACGACGUACUUUAAUAACACUGUUAAUUGAAAUAAUGAUUUUUUUUAAUAUAAUUUUAUUUUGAUUUUUCAAUAUUAGAUUUAUUAUAAAUUAAGGUUUUUUUAUUUUUUUUCUAUAGAAUUAUUCUAUUUUCAUGACUCAAGUUAUGAGUUUUACAAAUUAAUUUAAUUAACUUAUUUUUUUUUUAUUGAAUAUUGUUUUUAGUUUCUUCUUCAAUAUUGGGUUAAUUGUAAUUAAAUUUCAUCAUUUGUAUGGAGUUAUCCUAACUUGUGACACAAGUUUAGAAGGUUAAUUCGGGUUGAUUCAGAUCAUUUUUUUAAUUGAUAUUUAUUUUUAUUUUUUUCUAGCAUUGAAUUAAUUAGGAAUUGAGAUUUAUAAUUAUUUUUUAUUUAUUUUUUAUAAAGUUAUCACGAUCUCUCAUAACAUGUAUGUUGGAUUUUACUUUUUUUUUAAUUGAAUUGUUUUUUCAAUUACAUCAUCAUUUUUUAUUGAGAAUUGAUCUUUAUAAUUCUUUUAUUUCCAAUUUCAUCAUUAAACAUUGAGCUAAUUAAGAGUUAAGUGUUAUUUUUUUCUUAUUAAAUUUUUAUGUGGUUAUCAUGAUCUCAUGAUUCGGGAUAUAAAUUUGACAAGUUAACACGAGUUAAUCUGAAUCAAUCUAAUAUUUUUUUUUCUUAAUAUUUAUAUAAAAAUAUCAUUUUAAAAUUUUCUAGCGUGACAAUUACAGCUAGAUUAUAAAAAAUGACACGUGGGUUGUGAAUGUAUUAUAAAAAAUGAUCUCGUUGUUUUUCAGAAAAUACUUUGUGAAUGUAAAAUGUUUUCACUCGGCAACACUGAAGAAGUCCAUGCGGAGGCUGAAGCAUCAGAAACAUGUGGAGUGGGACAGAUUCUUAAAUUGGUGAGAAUGACUUUUAGCUACUUAGAUUUGAUUCCUUUUCUUUUCUAUCUCUCCAAGCCAACAAGGGUUGAUUACAAGAUUCCAGCUGGUAAAUAUCGCAACAGGUAAUUAAUUUCUCCCCUUUUCCAACGCCAUUGCGUCCUCGUGCAACGAACCAGCAAUCCUUUUUUAUUUAUAAUCAUGAAAAACAAUACUUAUCACAGGUAUUAUAGUAUCGUCUAUUUGCUUUUUAAUGUAGUAUAUAUAUAUAUAUAACUUAAAAAAAAACAGAGCAACAAUAAAAACAAUUAAGUUUAGAUAUUUUUAAAAAUAUUUUUAAAACACGGCUCCAAACGGUUAAGUUUUUGUAUUUGUCGUUAUGACAGGCGGGGAAGGAUUAUGUUUUUUUUUAUAAGAUCACAUCCAUGUACGUACAUACUUGUUUCCCAAGUCAUUUCUCUGCCGACCCGCCAUAUUUGAAUUUAAUUUUAACUUUUUACAAUCAUUAUAAAAGAUUUAUUUCUUUUUCAAGAGUUAUUGGUUUUUCCAUGUCAAUAAUUUUUUGAAUUUUUUAAUUACACAUAAUUUAUUUAAAAUCAUAAUAAUAAUAUUCUAUGUAAGAGAAUUUAUUUUAAAGAUUAAAUUCCAGUAAAAUUUUUCUUUUCAAAAUGAUUGAAUUCUACUUUUAAUCUACUAUAAAAUAUACCUAUAUUAUAAAUAAAAUUCCAAUAAUCCUAUUCAUGAAUAUAUAUUGUCUGAAAAAAGUAAAAACAAUUCUAAGAUUUGUGGAAAGACAUUGAUUUGGUGAAUCACUAUUUUAAAUGAAUAAUUUUUUACUUUAAAUUUUUUUUUAAAGUGAAAUACCAUUUAAUUUGCUUGGCUAAUUAAAAAACACAAUAUCUUGAUUUUUUUAUAUAUAAAUCAAGAUAAUAAUAGUAGUAGUAUGAGUCUUCACCUGGUAUUUUCUUUGGUUCUCCUAGUUACAGGUUGCAAGAUGUUGAAAUUUAAAAGAUAAGGAGGCAGACACGUAUCGAAGCUUUUGAGCCACAAAUUUAAUGAUUAAUAUCAUACAUCAAUAAUUCUCGACUUGUCAAUUUAUUAUACACUAAAAGAGACCCGCAUUGCUAGAAGUCCAUUCCAAACCGCUGUAAAGUGCACUGAGAACUUCAUCAUCAAUUGUUCACUAAUUGCAAAUUGAAUUUUCUGCUCUUUUUUUUUUUGGCAAAUACUGAUUGGCGUAGACAUAGACCAAUCUCUUUUCGACCUCGUCCUAAAGAACGACGAGCUAUUUAUUUCUCAAACGAACACAGUCUCGUUAUAACACAAAAUAGUUUAGUCCCGUGACACGUGGGCUGUGCAUGUAUGAUAAAAAAUAAUAAUUAAUAAUGGAUUUUGAAAACGAAGCUGAAGAAACAUGGCGGAGUAGAGCCCAACUUGUUGCAAAGGGGUACAAGCACGAAUUUGGUAUUAAUUACAAAGAGAUGUUUGCACCAGUUGCAAAAAUAGACACUAUUCGGUUGGUAUUAUCAAUUGCUAUUCAGAAUUUAUGGUCAAUAUAUCAACUUGAUGUAAAGUGUGUGUUCUUACAUAGAACAUUGGAAGAGGAGGUGUAUAUUGAUCAACCUCCUCGAUAUGUGAAACAAGGUCACGUGGAUCAGAUAUAGAAAUUAAAGAAAGCGUUAUAUGGACUGAAACAAGCUUCAAGAGCUUGGUACAGCCGUAUAGAUGCUUACUUUAACAAGGAAGGUUUUCUUAAAUACCAUUAUGAGCACACUCUAUAUAUUAAAUCUGUAGUUGAUAAGAAGGUGUUAGUUAUGUGCUUAUAUGUUGAUGAUCUCAUUUAUAUGGGUAAUGAUAGUUCCAUGUUUACUGAGUUUAAGAAUUCUAUGAUGAAGGAAUUUGAUAUGAUAGAUUUGGGGAUGAUGCAUUAUUUUUUAGGCAUUGAAAGAGGAGGUGUAUAUUGAUCAACCUCCUGGAUAUGUGAAACAAGGUCAUGUGGAUCAGGUAUACAAAUUAAAAAAAAACAUUAUAUGGACUGAAACAAGCUCCAAGAGCUUGAUACAGCCGUAUACAUGCUUACUUUAACAAGGAAGGUUUUCUUAAAUGCCCUUAUGAGCACACUUUAUAUGUUAAAUCUGGAGUUGAUAAGAAGGUGUUAGUUGUGUGCUUAUAUGUUGAUGAUCUCAUUUAUAUGGGUAAUGAUAGUUCCAUGUUUACUGAGUUUAAAAUUUCUAUAAUGAAGGAAUUUGAUAUGACAGAUUUGGGGAUGAUGCAUUAUUUUUUAGGUAUUGAAAUAGUGCAAUCAUCUGAUGGUAUAUUUAUCUCACAUAAAAAAUAUGCUCUGGAGAUAUUAGACAGGUUCAAAAUGUCGAAUUGCAAUUCAAUUUCCAUCCAAAUUGAUCUCAACUUGAAACUUGUCAAAGAUGAUGCAGGAAAGAAAGGAAUGCUACUCUUUAUAAGCAAAUAGUUAGGAGUCUUAUGUAUUUAACAACAACCAGGCCGGAUAUCAUGUAUGUUGUCAGCUUAAUCAUCAGAUAUAAAGAGUGUCCAACUAAAGCUCAUUUCUUGGUUGCAAAAAUAUUUUUUCACUACUUGAAAGGCACUGUAGACUAUGGAAUCUUGUAUAAAAGGGAUAUCAAUUCAGCUAUGAUUGGUUUUUCAGAUAGUGAUUAUGCAGGAUCUCUUGAUGAUAGAAAGAGUACUUCCGGAUUGGUGUUCAUGUUAAAUUCUGGAGUUGUUUCAUGGUCAUCAAAAAAAUAACAAAUAAUAGCUUUAUCAACCACUAAAGCUGAAUUUGUUGCUGCAACAUCAACUUCAAGUCAAACAAUUUGGUUACACAAGCUACUUGAGUUCUUACAAAACAACUAGCAACAAGGUCCAACCUUAAUCUACUGUGAUAACAUGUCCACCAUAAAGCUUUCAAAGAAUCCAGUACUUCAUGGGAGAAGUAAACACAUUGACGUCAUGUUUCAUUUCUGACGUGAUCUAUGUAAAGAAGGUAUUAUUGAUCUAGUGUUUUGCAAGAGUGAAGAUCAGAUUGCAGAUAUAUGAACUAAGCCUUUUAAGCCUGUAAUUUUUGUUAAGCUUCAAAAUCUACUUGGAUUGUGCUCUUCAAAAGAUGUCAUUAGAGAGGAGUAGCAGCUGUUAAUUUCUAAACCAAUAUCUACAUAUAUUAAUUUAAGGGAAGGUGUUAAAAUAAGUUAUGUUAUGUUGCUUAUGUUUUUGAGUUAUCUGCAAUAAGUAGUGGAAGACCUAUUUUAUACGAGUUCAAUCCACGUUUUAGUUAGUGGAGAUUUUAUUGUUAUUCUGUUGCUAUUUGAUUGUUACUGCACAACCUAUUUAAAGGCUUGUUGUUGCUAUAUUCAAUACACUAAGUGCAUUAAUCUUCUAUUUAUUUUUAUUAUCGUAACAUAAAAUAUACCUAUAUUAUAAAUAAAAUUCCAAUAAUCCUAUUCAUGAAUAUAUAUUGUCUGAAAAAAGUAAAAACAAUUUUAAGAUUUGCAUAGAGAUAUUGAUUCGAUGAAUCACUAUUUUAAAUGAAUAAUUUUUUACUUUAAAUUUUUUUAAAGUGAAAUACAAUUUAAUUUGCUUGGCUAAUUAAAAAACCCAAUAUCUUAAUAUAUUUGAUUUUUUAUAUAUAUAUAACUCAAAUAAUAAUAGUAAUAGUAGUAUGAAUCUUCACCUGGUAUUUCCUAUGGUUCUCCUAGGUGCAGGUUGCAAUAUGUUGAAAUUUAAAAGAUAAGGAGGCAGGCACGUAUCGAGGCUUUUGAGGCACACAUUUAAUGACUAGAAGCUAUUAUGUUGAAUGAUUCACAUCACUAGCGUCGUCGGCUGCUAAAAAGCAUUUUCGUGGAAUAACUCUCAGAUAUUUAAACCCGACAUGUCAAUUUAUUGUACACCAAAAGAGACCCACAUUGCUUGAAGUCCAUUCCAAACCGCUGUAAAGUGCACUGAGAACUUCAUCAUCAAUUGUUCACUGAUUGGACGUAGAAUUUUCUGCUGUUUUUUUUUUUUUUUUUGCAAAUACUGAUUGAUGUAGACAUAGACCAAUCUCUUUUCCACUCGGUCCUAAAGAACGACAAGCUAUUUGAAGUUUAUAAUAGUCUCGUGACACGUGGGUUGUGCAUGUAUGAUAAAAAAUAAUAAUAAUAAUAGUUGUCUGCCUACCUACCAGCGGGCUGUGCAUUUAUUAUAAAAAAUAGUGUCCGAAAAAAAAUACCAUUUAAUUUGUGGAGAGAUAUUGAUUUGUUGAAUCAUUAUUUUAAAUGAAUAAUUUUUUACUUUAAGUGAAAUACCAUUUAAUUUGCUUGGCUAAUUAAAAAACACAAUAUCUUAAUAUAUUUGAUUUUUAUAUAUAUAAAUCAAGAUAAUAAUAGUAUUUUCUUUGGUUCUCCUAGUUGCAGGUUGCAAGAUGUUGAAAUUUAAAAGAUAAAGAGGCAGGCACGUAUCGAGGCAUUUGAGCCACAAAUUUAUUGACUACGUACAAGCUAUGUUGAAUGAGUAUUAUCAUUUUUUUGUUUUUGGCAAAUACUGAUGUAGACGUAGACCAAUCUCUUUUCCACCCGCCGGUCCUAAAGAACGACAAGCUAUUUGAAGUUUAUAAUAGUCUCGUGACACGUGGGUUGUGCAUGUAUGAUAAAAAAUAAUAAUAAUUAUAGUUGUCUGCCUACCUACCAGCGGGCUGUGCAUUUAUUAUAAAAAAUAGUGUCGUUAUUUUUUAGAAAAUACUUUGUGAAUGUAAAAUGUUUUCACUCGGCAAAACUGAAGAAGAGCAUCACAAACAUGUUGGGUACAGGAGAAGGACAUAUUCUUAAAUUGGUGAGAAUGACCUUUAGCUACUUAGAUUUGCUUUCUCUCUCUCCAAACCGACAAGGGUUGAUUACAAGAAUAUUCCAGCUGGUAUAUCUCGCAACAGGUAAUUAAUUUCUCCACUUCUCUUUUCCUCGAUCAGCCUAGACUAUUGAUAAAACCAACAACACUGUAAUACUAAGUCCAAUUAUGCCUUUUAUGGUAUUUUGUACAUUUUACAUAUUUUUAUAAAUAUCUAGGAUGUUUAUAAAAUAUUUAUAUUAAAUAUCUUAUACUUAUAAAAUAUUUAUUUUAAAAAAUAAACAAAUAUAUCCAGAGUAUAAAAAGAGAGGCUAAAAGACCAUAGCUCAUCUCUCUACAUAGCAAAAGUGUACUAUAAAACUUAAACAAGGUGUAAGAAAUAUUUAAGAUUAGAAAAUACUCAUUCUUAAACACUAUACUAACAUAAAUAUUAUAAUGUUUUUCUUGCAACUGUCACCGGCACACCAGGUUCUUUGGAUUCAAUUUUAUCAGCCCAUAAAAAGUGUCCACAAUCUUUCUCUUGUGGAUUUUUUCAGCCUUUUGGAUCCAAUUUUAUCAACCCAUGAAAACCACACAAUCUGAUAUGAUUUUUAUUUUGAAGUAAAAAAGUUUUAAUUUCAAAUAAAAAAAGGAAUUUUUUAUUUUUAUUUUUAGAAGUAUUUUAAAAAGAUAAAAUCAAGCAUACUUUAAUAACAAAAUUCAAUUUUACCGUAUGAGAAAGUAAAACAAAAAUUAAAGUCUUGGUCGCGCUGGGGUAUUAAUAAAAGAGACCCACAUUGCUUGAAGUUCAUUCCAUACUGCUGUAAAGUGCACUAAGGACUUCAUCAUCAAUUGUUCACUAAUUCAAAGUAGAAUUUUCUGCUUUCUUUUUUCUUUUUCUUUUUGCGAAUACUGAUUUUAUUGUUAACCCUCCUCAGAAUUCAUUGUUAAUUGGAAUAAUAAUUUUUUAAUUUUAUUUUGUAACAUUAGAUUUAUUAGAUAUUGAAUUUUAUAAAUUUUGUUUAUGCUUUGUUUAUUUUAAUUUUGUUUAAUUUAAUUUUGAAUUCACUAUUUUCUUUUUAUAAUCUAAAUGAUGAGUUUGGAGAUUAAUUUGAUUAACUUGAUAUUUUUUUAUUGUUUUAUUCGUUAUUUUUUUUCAGUUUCUUCUUUUUUUCUUUUUUGCAGAUACUGAUUGAUGUAUACUUAGACCAAUCUCUUUUCCACCUGGUGCUAAAGGACGACAAGCUAUUUGAAGUUUAUGAUAGACUCAAUUAUAUAGCUAGUUGGUGCAUCAUUGACAGUUCCAUACUUGCAAUUAUUUUUAUGUUUGAAGAAUGGUUUUAGAAAAAAAUUAAAAUUUUAUUUAUUUAUUUUUUAUUUUAAAUUAAUAUUUUUUUAAUGUUUUUAUAUCUUUUUAAUAUAUUUAUAUCAAAAAUAAUAUUUUUUUAAGCAAAACCAUUUUAAAAAACACCAAUUAUAUAUCUUAUAAGCCGCUCUCGAUUUUAAUGCUUCUGUUAGCCAUCAUUUGCUAAUUGAAUAUUGAGUUUUUUUCCUACACUAUCACCGUGAGCAAAUUUAUUUCUCAAACGAACACUCUCGUGAUAACACAAAAAUACUCUCCUGACACGUGGAUGGUGCAUUUAUUAUAAAAAAUAAUAAUUAAUAAUUUUAAUUGUCUACGUACCUACAUGUGGGUUGUGCAUGUAUUAUAAAAAAUAGGCUCGUUAUUUUUCAGAAAAUACUUUGUUAAUGUAAAUUUUUUAUCAGAUGAACACCCUCUCGUGAUUUUUUUUUGAUUACUUAUCCAACUUGUGAUGGAGCUAGAAUUUUUUAAAUAAAAGGAUGAAUAAUUAAUAAAUAUUUGAUAUUAUAUACUAUACAAACAUUUGUUAUGUAAAGAAAUUAAUUAAAAAUAUAUAUACAAACUCAAGUCAAGUAAAAUUAAUUUAAGAAUACUUUUAAAAUAAAAAAAUUUAUAUUAUAAUUGUUCUCUUCGAUAUUUUAUAUUUUAAAACUGCUUUAUAAUAAUUUAUUUUUAAUCUUAUUAAAAAUAUUUUUCUCAACAUAUACAACAAACUUUUAUUUAUCUAUUUCUAAAUCUUUCAAGGACUAAAAAAGUUUUUUGCAACAAUUCUAUGCUGACAUAUGGUACAUAACAUUUAAAAUCAUUGCUUAAAAGAAUUGUCAUAAAUUGAUGUUAUUCUUGCUGACUUGUUGUUUUGUACAAGUACAGAUUAAACAAAAAUAUUAAAUGUUUUUUUUAAUUUAUCUAUUAUGUUCCUAAUUUUUUUAAGUUGUCCCGUACUUCAUUUUUAAUCACUAGUAAAUUCAUCACCAUUAUUUUUCAUAUGAAAUUCAUAGUAAAAUACUUAUCAAUUCAUCAAAACUCAUUUCAAUUCAUAUCCAUUAGCAUAUAAUAUUACCCAUAAACAUAUUAAUUCAACAAACCCAUAAAUUAUUGUAAACCUCAACAUUUUCAAUAACUAAUUAUAAAGAAAUAAACCUAAAAUUAGAUAAUGAAAUAAAUAGAAAAGAUGAAAGAAACUUCCUUAAAGCAAAAAGUAUAAAAGGUUAUUUCUUAACUAAUUAAUAGCUGAGGGCUUGACAGAAAUUUUAUAUAUAAAAAAGAGAGGCAGAGAUAAUAAUAAAAAAAAGAAAAGGAGCUUGGAUUAAUCAGUAGCUAACAAAAAAAGAAUUAACCUAGAAAAGCUAUUAUAUUAAUAUUUUAAUAUAAAUCAAUACUUAAAAAAAAAAUAAAAAAAUUAAGGGCAAUUGCUCCCUAUUGCUCUAUUGUGGCUCUUUCACGGUAUCCAAUGAUUUCUUCUAUUAAUUUUAUUUUUCAAUUUCAAUUAAUGUCGAUUUCGCACCCCACAUUACGAAUGAAGUUUAGAAUGUAAAAAUGGAUAAGAAAUCACCAUUUGUGGAGAAGAUGAGUUUACAGUGUGGGUUAAUAGAUGGCUACGGGAGGUUUUCGUGAGAGGAAGUGAAUGGAGGAGGCAAGAUGAUGGUGCUGGUGGAGAGGGCUGUGUUUGUGUCUUGUGUAUUUCUUUCUGGCCACCAAGCUUUAUACCAGUUCUCUAUUUAUAAUUCAAGAGUAUGUAGUCAUAUGAAAUUCAAGAAUCUCAUACAAAAACAAGCUGAUUCCUUCUUUAAAUUUAAAUUUUAUUAAAAAUAUUCAUAAUAUCUAUCCCCAUAAAUCGGAAGUAAUAAUCAUUGGCCAGGAAAAGUGUCUGGGGCUCUGAAUUCUCACAACCACGGAGAUAGCUUCCAUAGACCAUUUACAUAUAUAGAAUUAUAAAUCCAUAAGCAUACCAAGAUGGAUGGUAAGCAACAAGACGUUGUGUAGACGUCUAAAUAUUGAUCCUCAGUAUCAUCAUUAUAUGAUUACAAACGAAGCUCCAAGCAUGUCUUUGGCUUUAUUCAAUUAAAGACGAGGUUUCACUGAUGUUUAAAUUUAUGGACUCGGGAUUGAUGGGGUAGAGAUCAUGGGCAGAUGUAGAGGAAUUUCCAAUCCACGAUUUAUCAGAUCGAGGAAAGAGGUCUUGUGUGCUGUUUAAACUCUGGUCCAUGACCUGCUGAUAGUGGCCUUUGAAAAGUUUGGAGUGUAAAUCAUCACCAUAAAUGCUAGGAUCUGAGAUCAUCUCCUGGAUGCUGGUCUGUCCUUCAAGCAUGCUCACCACUUCUGACAUUGCAGGCCUUAGAGAUGGAGAUGCAUUGGUGCAUAAGAGAGCCAAUUUGAUCAUCCUCUCAGCCUCUUCCUUGUUGAAUUCAGACUGCAGCUUUGGGUCCACUAUCUCCAUUAAAUUUCCCUUUUUUUGCAGUACAUGGGCCUGUGAAAGCAAAAGGUAAAGUAUUUGCAGGGAGGAGUAGUGCCUAAUGCCAUCAUGGAUUCAAGAUAGCAACAAGAACAGACUCGUAACUUACCCAGUCAAGAAGACAUACGAAUUCAUUUGUUGUCCUGUAGCUCGAAUUGCUUCUUCCACUGACAAUUUCUAAAGCAACAACUCCAAAACUAUAGACAUCUGCUUUGUCUGUUAAAUUACCCCACAGCGCAUAUUCUGGAGCCAUAUAUCCUCUGAAAUCAGAACCACCAGAUUAGUGACUCUAACGGAGUAUAUUGCGAUCACUGAAUAAAGGAAGCUGCAAACUAAGUCUGAUUAAAACUUACAUGGUUCCAGCAACACGAGUGCUGAUGUGAGUGUUCUCCUCUUCAUUGAGCUUAGCUAGUCCAAAGUCUGAUAUCUUGGCACUUAGAUCUUUGUCCAGUAAUACAUUUGUACCUUUGAUGUCUCUGUGAACAAUCCUGAUUGCAGAUUCUUCAUGGAGAAAUACUAAACCUCUGGCUAUUCCAACACAUAUCUUAUAUCUUGUUGGCCAAUCCAGCAUCAGAAAACUUGUUUCUGAACCUGUAGCUAAUCCAGUAAAGGAGGUUCACUAAAUAAAAUGACUUUAACUUUGCUAGUCGAUGCUAUUAUUAAAAAAAAAAAAAAAGAUUUUACUGGAAAGUAAUCAGAUGCCAUUAUGGUUACCAAAAAGUGCUUUGGCGAGGGAGUUGUUUUCCAUGUAUUCGUACACUAGAAGCAACUGAUCUCCUUCAAUACAGCAUCCAUAAAGCUUUACAAGAUUGGGAUGCUGUAAACCAGAUAUCAUGCCUAUUUCAUUCACAAAUUCUCGGUUUCCUUGCCUGGAUUUAGGAGAUAGCUGCUUAACAGCAAUGAGAGUUCCAUCUGACAAUUUACCCUGCAUUGAAUUUAUCGUAGACAUUUUGCAUGAUCAAACAAAGGGUCCAAUGAUCAACUGGGAUAAUAUGCAAGAGAAUAUUAGAGUGACAGACCUUGUAUACGGAGCCAAAACCACCUUCUCCAAUUUUGUCAGCAGAAUCAAAAUUGUUAGUGGCAGCUCUCAGCUGCCUCAAAGUGAAGGAACCCGUUUUCAGAUCUAGCCCCUUGAGAUCUGCACAUAAUUGUUGGUGACACAAGGGAAAUGCUUCAACAUCAUCAAUGCGCGGAUGUGUUAUAUUCUAGAUGUUUGCGUGUGUAAUAGCUGCUAAUUAACUAAUUAAGGAAAAGGCUUAUGCACGCAGAUGAUUGAUUUCAAUGUACCUCGUUCUCUCAUGAACUUGUCUCUAAAAUAGAAUUUCCAACAAAUGACACCCAUUACCAAGAAAACAAGGAGUAAGGCUGAAGUGACAACUCCAACCACGAUAGGUAUUUUACUUGCUUCUCCAGGUUCUGAAAUUAAACAAAGUUACACGUACAAACACAGAAAGCCAAUGGGACAAUAAAUCACUGUAGGGCAGCAGUUCACUUCUCACCUGGACAAUCAGUACUCCGGCCUGAAAACCACAAACCAUAAAAUGCUUCUUAGAUGGUAUAAUUAAUGAACCGAGUAGAAGCUUACAUACAGUUAUGAUGAAAAUCUAAGCCAGGUUCAUAAGAAAGAAUUUGUUUGGUAAUCAUGCAACCGGUGGGGGAAAUGACCACGUUUAAAGGAUAAUGAGAUUUAGACUCCUAACUAUUUGGUCAACAAAGUUAUGAUAUUAUUGCUCGGUUUUCAUUUUAACUUAAUUGAUAAAGGUCAUUGUAUAUGAAUGAAAUCGCAAAGUCAGUGACUUUCAAAUGAAAUGCUGGGAAUAUAUAUAUAUAUAAAACAUGCCUGAGCAUACAGUUAUUGCAGAAAUAAGAGGACCGUAAUUUCCUCUUUCUGGAAUGCAAGUAGUCCCUUUUCCAUUCCAGUAUAAACGGAUCUCCAAGGUAGUGUCUGUCACACUGGCAUUGAAUACUAUAGAAGCUUUGUUAGAUCCAUUGGCAGCCUUCUGAAUAUUAAAAUCUUGUUUCUCUAGUUUCCCCUGCAAAACAAAUCCCAAGUUAAAAGGAUCUUUUGGAAAGAAAGAAAAAAUCUUUUUGGAUAAUUUAAUCUCAAUUACCUGAAUAUAAAUGUCAAAAAAGCGUUUUCCAACUCUUUUGUACAAUUCGUCACCUGUGAAUUGUAUAUCAGCAAAGUCGAGUUUAACAGUGUACAUCCCAUUUUCUAGACAAUAUCCAUAAUAAGUGAGAGAGAUGGCAGCUCUGCGUGCAGUAGAAAACAACGGUUCAUUCGAGUAGGUUGAACGAAGUCUAUAUCCGGGGCUUUCAGCUUUAUCAUCCAUAAAAUCUCCAGUGUUGCUGAAUCCCCAGUUUGAUCUUUUAUUGGAAUAAAUCGUAGCAGCAUCACCUAUAAUACUAUCGUCGCCUUCAUACAAGAUACCCCCACUGGUUUCAUCCGGUCCACCACAGUUUACAUGGAAGGAACGAUAACCUGCAUUACGUCAAAUUAGUACACCAUUAGAACAGUUGCAAAUAUUCUUCUCAUAUCGUAGGGGCGUGUAAGUGUUUAGAUUUUUGGAUCCCUUUGCUCUACAACUAGAGCUAUUACUUUUCCAAGUGGCUUGUCACAAUCAUUGUUCAACUCGAAUCGAUGGAGGUUGUUCUAUCAACCUUUGGUUUCCGAUUAGUGAUAUUGAUGGUGAAAACGUGAGGUGCUCAAGUUCUGCUUGAGGCCAUGUUUUGGUUACAGAUAAAUCCAUACUUGUCCAACGAAACUGAGAAUGAAUACAUCCUUAAUAGAUCUGUGUGCAGGAUAGAAUGUAGAAUUAAGGCAAAAAAAUCUACAUUGAAAUUAGUACUCGUGCUCAAAUAAAUACACAGACACUGAUAUUAUAGUAGAUGACUGAUUUCGGUAUGCUGAUAAAUUUGAAACAGAUUUGCUUUGAUUUUAAAGAACUUCGUUACUUCUCAUUUAAGGAGGGAAAAGAAUAUCAUACUUUUGGGGCACUCAUGUUUGCUUGAGCAUGGAAGAAGUCCGCUUCUGUAAGACAUGGAAAUUAUAGUAAGAAUUUCAAAUGGUUCUGCAAACUGCAAUAUAAGAAUCAGUUAUCGAAACCAUGCUGUUCAUUAUAGUAAGAAUUAGCAUUGUUUCACCCCCAAAAAAAAAAUAUCAUAUUAUCCAAGUAAAAUAUUCGUUUUAUGUUUGCUCAUUGAGAAAAUCGGUGCAUUGCUGUUCCCUCUUCAUGAGUGUUUGUGCUUAUAACUUGGGGUAAAUGAAUAAUAAAGCAUGUCACAUUCUUAUGUUCUUCAUUCAUUCAUUCAUUCAGCAUUAAUCAACAACGUAUAUAAUUGAUGAUUUCUAUUGGUAUUUUUGCAAGCAGUACGUUUACAUAACAUGAUCUAAAUUAAAAAGUUCAAAAUGCACAAGUUAGCAUAUAUACGUUUCACUCCUACAUGGAUUUAAAAACAUAUAAAAUUUGCAUAACUGAUUUGAAAUAGUAAAAAUAUUUUGAGCAUAAAAGCUACAAGGACAUGGCCUGGUAUAUCUGAUCCUAGGAUACCAAGUUUGUGCUGAGAAAGAAAAUCUGGAUAGGAUUUAAAUGUAUAAAUAUAAAUUGCAGAUUUAACUCCAAAGAUAUUCAGUUAUAAUCCUGCUUAGCAUCUGAUAUAUAAUGUAUUUUCCCCCCCUGAAAACUACAUAUGAACAUGAUAUGGUUUAUAUGAUUAGCAGCAUAUUCUGUUAACGCAGGUUCCACCAUUGCAAAGAUGUUUUUAGUCUACGGGAGUGAGUUUUUAGAAGGGAUAUUUACCUGCCUGUCUGCAUUUAAGAAAUCCCUUUAAAAUAUCCCAAAAGGAAAUUUUGAAAUUUUAUCCUGUAAGAGCUCCAUUUCCAAAUUAAGGUUAUCCAUAGGGACCGCGUUUCAUCCUAGAUUUCUGCUAAGCAUAUAUGAGUUUUAUAUGUACAAACAUACAUACACCUCUCUUACGUUGUAUCAGUUGUGGUUCUUAAUUUUUCCUUGGUAUCAUGACAACUACCAGAUUGGAUCUUCAACAACAUGAAAUACCAAAAAUAUCGCACUCCAGAGUGUAUAAGAGGAGCCUUACAAGUUAUUCUUGAUGAGUUGACUCCUGUACGUGUUUAUAUCCCUGGUUUAUAGAUUCAAAUCAUUAAGUUUCGCAGCAACCAGGAGUAUCCCAAAUUUAAGAAAAUAGAUAUCCUUACUGGGCAUCUUGACAGCUUGGCAGCCGUGAAAAGUUAUUGUAGGAAACAUCACUGCAAGAAGCCAAGGGAAUCAUAAAUAUGACUAUGAACCUCAACAAAAUUAAUAAUAAGUAGUGGAACAAAUGAAAUGCUAAGCAAGAUUAAAAAAAAAAAAAACCCACAUAUUUUCAGAGAAACUAGGCUUUUGUUGAGGCCCUAUAUAUGGCUUGAAAAUAUAUGUAGCCUUAGAUUCACUCAGAAGACCACUUUAUAAAUAUUAAUGGUUGAUCAAUCAUCAGCAGUUAUAUCUUCACAAGAGAGCAGAGAACUUGAACAGAAUAUCUAAACUGAAAUAAUUGAAACCUGUGAUACAUCUCAGAAACAUACAUUUUGUUGCCUGAGUUGAUAAAUGAUUCUGGGACAAUUCCAGUCAGCUUGUUUCCACUCAAAAACCUGGUUUUCAAAAGCCAGAUUGAUUCUUUCAGCAUAAUUCACUCUAUCCAUGGUCAGAUUUCAAAUAUUCAAAUUUAAAUACUUACAUAAAAUCAUAUCUUUUUGCAUCUGGAGGAAUUUCUCCUUCCAACUUGUUGAAAGUUAAAUCCCUGCAAAAGAUUACAUUAAAAGAUUUUCCAACUUUAGUUUUCGGAAUAUUCCUUGCGCCUUUGUAAGUAGUUUAGCAAUAGACAAGCUGGAGCUUCUGCGAAAUGCAAAUACCUGCAUUAUUUUUACUUAUGUUUCAUUUGGUUCAUGGUUAAACACAAACCAAGUUAAAUGUCGAGGAUGUAAAAGUGUUUAGAAUGUGUGGAAGAAAGUUUAGAAAUAAGGUUCUAAAUGUUAAAGGUAUAUUGAUUUCUAGAAAUUAGUGGAAUUGGUCGACUGGUUGAUAAUAGGUCAAUCAGUUGAGACAAAGCGAUUUGUUGGAUUAAGAAACGGUCGACUGGUUCAGUCAUCAUAAUACAAUUCUUGUUUAGAUUAGGAUUUCCUUGUAUUAAUUUAAUUUCUUAAUUAGUUAGGACUUUAUGUUUAUAAAAAAGCUUGUAAUUCAACAUUACUAUAAAUACAAAAGGAGAGAAAAUAGCUAAGGAGGCUUAAAGAGAAACACUUAACAAAAGUAUUCAUUUCUCUCAACGUACUUUUCUUGUUCUUCAGUUUUUCACCUUACAUUAUUGUGUUGAUCUUAUACCGCACUUGUUUUACUUUCAACAAGUGGUAUUAGAACUUAGGUUUGAUUAUUUGAUAUGGUCAAUCCAAACUUCUCACUUCAAUGUCAUAGAUUGAUAAAGGGCAACUAUGAAAUUUAGUGUAUUUGAGUAAAAGCUUAACUAAGUUUCCAAAUAUAUAUGGGAGACAUUUGAAAAAAGCUUUGAGAAGCCUAUAGAUGAAGCAACAUUAACUUCAUCCCAAAAGGAGGUCGUGCAAAAGGCAUGAAGGAAGAAUCAACAAGCACUCACAAUCAUCUAUCAAUGUCUAAAUGAUGCCACUUUUGAGAUAGUGGCUAAUGCAGUCGCCGCCAAACAUACAUGAGAAAUUUUGGAAGAAUCAAAUCAAGGAGUUGAGAAUGUGAUAAAGGUAUGUUUACAAAAGCUAUGUGGUGACUUUGAAAAGGUACAUUUGCUUGAAUCAAAGAAUAUUUCAAAAAUACUUUGCAAGAGUAUUAGUCAUAUACAAUCAAAUGAGGAGAUAUGAAGAGAAGAUGGAAGAGACACGUGUGGUACAAAAAAAGUUUUAUAAUAUGGUUAUCAUGAUAGAGGAAUCACAAAAUAUAAUGUUCUCUCAAUAUAAAGUCUCAUAGGAAAAUUACAAGUUCAUAAAAAAGUCAAUGAGAUUCAAAAGGAUGUGGAUGCACAAGCACUUAUUUCAAAGAAAGAUGGUUUAUAUUCCUAAAGGGGUAGAGGACAUGGACAAAACAAAUAAAGAGAAGUAAGAGGCAGAUUUGAAAAAGGAGGUCAAGACAACCUUAAUAGAUCAAUCAGUCGAUCGCAUAAAACAAACUGGUCAAUCGGUUACACCGAAAAUGACAAUCUAAGAUCCAGGUUUGACAAAUCAAAAGUUAAAUGUUAUAACUGUCAAAAGAUAGGUCAUUAUGCUAGGGAUUGCUAGAUUCCAACCAAGAGGUUUGAGGAGAAUGAAAAUAUUAUAAUAUAAGAAUAGAAAGAAGCCACCUUACUAUAAGUGCAUAAUAAAAGAAUGCAAGACAAAGAGAAUUGAUGGUAUCUAGAAAAUUGAGCUAGCAACCACAUGUGUGGAGAUAAAAACAAGUUCAUAGAGCUUGAUAAAGCAAUUAGAGGCAAUGUCACCUUUGCAGAUCAUUCAAAAGUUAUCAUCAAAGAAAAAUAAAUGAUUUUGAUUAAAUUAAAAGAUGGAAUUCAUCAAUGUAUUGGUGAUAUCUAUUAUAUACUAACAGUGAAAAGCAACAUAGUGAGCUAAGGACAUCUGUUGUAGAAGGGAUAUGAGAUUAAGAUGAAAUAUCAUACUUUAACAUUACUUGACACUAAAAGUGUUAUGAUUGCAAAGGUAACCAUGACAAAGAAUAUAAUAUUGUUGUUAAAUGUCAUAACUUAUUUUUGGAUUAUUUUCCAAGUUUACUUAUUUUUCUUCCAAAACAAAAAUAAAAAAAUAAAAUGAAGACCGGUGACGCGGAGAAAGAAGGUUGAGGAGGUUCUCAAACAUAUAGGAAAAUCAAGCUGUAAUUUUGAAUGAAAUUCAAAGCUUAAUUAUACUCAUUAUACCCAAGACUAAGGCAACAAUGUAGAUUCAAUGUCAAAUUAAAUGAUUAUUGAACGAAUCUGUAUAGAAAUUGUUAGAGAAUAAUAAUAUUAAUUAUAUCUUGAGACCUCACCUAAAAGUUUAAACUAUUGGGUUGAGAUGGUUCUUUGACAUGAUAUUAGAACCUUGAUAACCAAGCGGUCACGAGUUAAAUUAGGGGCUUAACAAGUGGAAAAUUAAAUUUGAAAGCUCAAUUUAGGUUUAUUUGAGAAGAUUGAAAUUUUAAGAAACCAAAUUUAAUUUUUACCAAGUCAGUUGAUUGAAAUUAAAGACAAAAUUACAAGAAAAUUAAAAUUUUAUAAUACAUUAAAAAUUAAAUUAAAAAAAUUCACAGUUAAUGACCAUUUUGCAGUGUUAUUAAAAUAUAUUCAUGUUUUUAACUUCUAUAACAUUACAGCACAUAUAACGUGAUGAGUGAAGGUGUUACGACUUACAGAGUUUUCAGAGAAUCCGAUGUCCACACAGCUGUUGGGAUCACUCCAGUUAAAUUGAUGUUUCGCAAAACCCUUCAAAGAAAUUAAAGAUAGGCUUCAUUAGUUCUCAAUAGAACAUGUUAAUUCUCAAGUUUAUUUAUUUUAGACAUUUUACGGACAGUUGACGAACAAUUUUUUCACUAUGGGGGGGAUGUUGGUUAAAUUAAACUCUGGUCCAGACAUAUCAGUGAUCCUCCUGCAGUACAUUGAAAAGAAAAGAAUGUUAUAGUUCCCUUUAUUCUUUCUGUCUUCUUCACAGAAAUUAUUGUAUUUAUUGCUGUGCCUCUCAGGAAGUAGUUUGACUCACAAGUCUGUCAGCUUCUCUAAAGAAAGAAUGGCGGGAGGUAUGGGCCCUUGUAGCCCACUUGCGUAUAAUUCACUUCGUAAUUAGUCCAAAGAGGAAAAACAAAAUAUCAGAAUAUUGUGCAACAUGUAGCAGAGAAAUGAAAUGAAAAUCUCGUGCAGAUAGAGAUCCUCACAGUCUAUCAAGAUUCCUCCAGUUCCCAAUGAAAUCAGGUAUUCUGCCACUAAGAUUAUUAUCACUUGCACGACUGCACAUUGCAAAACCGAAUUAAGGAAACCAGAUGCUAUUGCAUUAUCAAAAACUGUGUUUAAAGAAGAAAGGAAUUGAUUGCUUACAAGUUAGUCAAGUUUAGCUUAGCGAGAGUCUUUGGCAAGGUUCCCUCCAACUGAUUGGAGGAAAGUAUCCUGAAACCAUCAAAGAUUGCAACUAAAAUGUCUAGCUUGCGUUGGUUAAAUAAUGAUGAGCAGUUAAACGCCUUACAGGUCUGUUAAGUUGACAAGAUCACCAAGCUGAGAAGGAAUAGUACCAGAAAACUGAUUUGCUUCAAGGGACCUUCAUGUAUUUGUUUUUGAUUAAUUGACAAAAAUGAAAGUAGUAAGCUAGCAUUGUCAAAAACAGAAACAGAAAACAAAACAAAUGAUAAAUCGGCAGAACUUAUAUUUAUGACUUCAAUACAUACAAGUAAGUCAGGCUACGAAAACUUCCCAAGUACCCAGGAAUAUUUCCUGACAAGCGAUUGGAUGUAAGUGAGCUGCAUGCAUAAAAUAUUAUCUAGUUAUAGUGAAUUCCGCCUUGAGUAUGAACUGGUAAGCAAAGAUAUUGAGGUGAAUGAACUUACAGGUUUGUCAAAUGUUUCAUUGAAGCCCAUUCCUCAGGAAUAUUGCCAGAAAUGUAGUUGCGAGUUAGGUCACUGUAACAGAUAAUAUAUCAUCAAUACUUGAGAAUUUAACUUGUUCUGUCAAAGAAUCUUCUCAACCCAGUAGGUUAAGCUGUUAGGUGAAGUUGCAGUAUAUAAUUUAUAUUAUUCUCUAGCAUAAUUUCUUAAAUAAAAACGUUUUAGACUUGAAACUUGCAUAUAUUCAUAUUACCUUACACUUAAUUUAACUUGAGAAUUUAACUUAACUUGUUCAACUUUAUAAAACGUCAUGUAGACAUUGCUUUGGAGUAUAAACCUUGCUUGUUGAAAAUAAAGUUUCUUUUACAACAUAAUUUGAAUUAGACGAUACUUUUGUUUCUGUUAAGGUCGUGUCUAUGAUGCAAAUCUUGCAUGUUAGAUUUUGAAUGCACAUAUUAUUACCAAAUACUUCAUAGGUGCAUGCAUUCAAUACCUUUAAGCAGUUGAAGUAUGCAGAUUAGUGAAUGCUCAUGCAGAAAAUAUUCUCAAGACGUUCACCCUUAGGAAUUUUUUUUAUUCUCAUUUGUUAGAUUUAGCUGCGUCAAAUAUGCUUCUUCUUUUUAUUAUUAUUAUUAAGGUAUUUCCAUUCCACAAUUUAUAAAUUAGUCGAUAAAAGUUACUUCGAGAUUCUUCAAUCAAUACAACAUAGAAACAGAAAUAAAAUAUAUCCUGAAAAAAUUCUUACAGAUUUUCAAGAUAUGUAAGGUUGGCCAUUUCAGGCGGGAGCUUGCCUGGAAAAUUGAGCGUUUUGAGAAAUCUGUUAUUAAAAGAGAAAAACACCAUCAGUACAUAAACUCAACUUUAAGAUUAGAUGAUUGAAAAACAAACUCAAAAAUUUACUUGUGCUAAUUUACAUCCAAUUCCAAACACAACUUUAAGAUUAGAGAUAUUUUCAGAUAAUUAAUUUAAACAUUGGAGCAAAGUAUCAAAUAAAUAUAGAAGGCAAAAAAAAAAUCUUACAGUGACGUGAUAUGACAAUAACUGUCAUUAUUGAGGUUGAGGGUGCAAUUGCAUACGAGGGUGCUAUUGGCUUCUGAAUCUUGUUCCGACAGAUUCAUAUCAUGCAGAGUUCCUGAUUGGUUGCAAGCAUCGCCCACCUCGAAGGGUUGCCCACCCUGCGUCAGUGUCUCGACAAUUUGUUUUAACGCCGUCACUAGUUCAAGGAUCAUGCAUCCACGGAAUUUUUUAUCAAAAUAUGCAUAUCCAUAACAUAACAUCGGUUAAUAUCACCAAAAAAAUUAACACUAAUAGUAUUCAAGUGGUAUUCUAACACAAUAAAAUGGUCGGAAUCUUGGGUGCAAAUCCAGUAAAAAUAGAAAUAAAUAAUGAAAAUAUAUAUAUAAAUAAAGUAAACGGAUUGUAUAUUAACUCCAGAAUUUAAUUAGAAAUAAUUCAAAGUUCUCCUUUUCAAUUGGUUGCAUGUAUUUUAGGAGAAUUGGAAAUCAAAAAACACUUUUUUAUUAACUCAUUUACAUGUUUAAUUUUUUUUACUCAAUAUAUUUUAAAAAUCAUGUCCCAUUUUCUUAUAUUCUUUUUCUUCAAGAAUUGUUUUUAGUUCUUGAUUUAAAUAUCUUUUUUAAUAAUAAUUAAGGGCAUUUUUUUUGGUAUAAAAAAGGUUUCUGUAAUAUUUUCUUAAAAGUGAGAGAGGAUUUAUUAAAUAUUCAAACUUUUUUUCAUACUCUUUGUAGUUUCCAAAUACGUCGAGAAUUAUUGUAAUUUGUAGAAAAAAGAAAUCUGAUACACAUUAAAUAAUUUAUUCAUCUUUAAUACCAUCCCCACAUGAGCUACUUCCCGUUGGAUGCACAGUUGAGAGUGAAUGUACGGAUUCGGGCCCUUUUUUUUCAGAAUUUCCUUUUAUGUUCUUACCCCAUUACUUAUUUUUCUGUAGCUGCAGUGUAAAGUGAAGAAAUGAUUCUCCAAUAAAGUAAUUAUUCAUGAGCAAUGAACUACAAAUUUAUAUGAAUGAAUUUCUUAAUCUUAAAGUAUGAGGUUGUACUAUUACGCAAAUCUGUGGAAAUUAAUUAGCUCAGAUUAUUACAACACUCCAUUAUUGCAAUAAAAGCAAAGCUUACUCUCUUACCUUCGUCUGGAUGUAACUGAUAUGAGACAACCAAAGUAGCAGAACUGAAGAGAGUGAUCACGAUCACCAUAACUCGGAAAAACUGAAGAAGUCCAUGCGGAGGCUGAAGCAUCGUGAACGUGUUGGGUGCAGGAGUAGGAAAGAAGCUUGAAUAAGUUUUCAUUUUAUGAGGUACGUACUUCAUUUAUAGCCACUUGAUUUGAUUGCUUUUCAUUUAUACCAACUGGUAAAUAUCGCAACAGGUAAUUAAUUAUAAGUUGGACAAGUUUAAGCUGGUCAUCUCUCCAGCUGAUCAGCCUAAAUUAUUGAUAAAAUUAACUACACGGUAAUACUAAUUCUUUGGCCGAGUCCAAACAGACUUAUGGUAUAUAUUUUAUACAACAUCUAUACUUUCAUAAAUAUUUCUAUAAAUAUCUACUAGGAUAUUUUUAAGAUAUUUAUAUUAAAUAUUUUAUAAUUAUAAAAUAUUUAUCUUAAAAAAGUUUAUAUAAACAAAUUAAUAUAUGUAGGAACAUAAAGAAAGAGGCUAGAAGACCAGAGCCAACCUCUCUAGACAACAUAAUUCUUAUAAAACUUAAAUAAGGUUUAAGGAAUAUUGAAGUCUAGAGAACACAAAGAUUUUAUUACUUUUAAUGUUGUUAGAUAAUAAUAUAAAUCAUAUCUUGAGAUUUCAUUUAAAAGCUUAAGCUAUUGGAUUGAGAUGGUUUGUUGACAUGGUAUCAGAGCUUUGAUGACUAAGUGAUCACGAGUUUGAAUCUCAAUAUACUUAUUUAUUUGAUAAAGUCUAAAAAAUUUUAACUUGAAGAAAUAUAUUAAAAAAUAAUAUAAAUUAUAUUUUGAAAUCUUAUCUUAAAAAUUUAAGCUAUUAUAUUAAAAUGGUUAUUUAUAAGUGAUUCAUCAUCAAUUGUUCACUGAUUCCAAGAAGAAUUUUCUGCCUAGAGAGAUUGAUGUAGACAGGGACCAAUCUCUUUUCCACCUGGUGGUAAAGGACAACAUGCUAUUUGUAGUUUAUGAUAGACUCAAACGCAUGCAUUUAUAUAGUUAGUUGGUGCAUAAUUGACAGUUUAACAGUCACCGAUCUGAUCUCAAGAUAUAUUUACUGUGAAAACAAAGUAAUACAGUGCUUGGGCAAUUAAUUAAUUAAGUAGGUAGCUACGUUGUUCUUACCUUAUCCUGGAUGUAGCUGAUCAGAAGCAACCAAAGUAAUACUAUUGUAGCACGUGUGCGGUGUCGCGUUGAUCGUCUACCCUCAAGGAAAAUAUAAAUGGUUUGUUCCUGGCAAAUGUUGUGAGAUAAGGAAUUCUUGUCUCUUAUCAGUAAAAUAUGGACUGGGAAUCGCUACCUAAUAUUCUGGUUAUUAGGAACCCUAACUGGUUUUAGAGAUCUUUCCUUAUAUAUAUAUAUAUAAAGAAAAGUAUUUAUUGGCCUUUUAACAAAACAGCAACGUCCACCAACCCAGAAAAGUAUUAUUCUACAUGCAACAAUCCAAACAAACCUAGUAAAGUGUAAUUUAUUAUAAUUGCUUUCAACAGGUACAAGUGAUCUUUCCUUAUAUAUAUAUAUAAAGAAAAGUAUUUAUUGGCCUUUUAACAAAACAGCAACGUCCACCAACCCAGAAAAGAAAAGUAUUUAUUGGCCUUUUAAGAAAACAGCAACGUCCACCAACCCAGAAAAGUAUUAUUCUACAUGCAACAAUCCAAACAAACCUAGUAAAGUGUAAUUUAUUAUAAUUGCUUUCAACAGGUACAAGUGAUCUUUCCUUAUAUAUAUAUAUAUAAAGAAAAGUAUUUAUUGGCCUUUUAACAAAACAGCAACGUCCACCAACCCAGAAAAGUAUUAUUCUACAUGCAACAAUCCAAACAAACCUAGUAAAGUGUAAUUUAUUAUAAUUGCUUUCAACAGGUACAAGUGAUCUUUCCUUAUAUAUAUAUAUAAAGAAAAGUAUUUAUUGGCCUUUUAACAAAACAGCAACGUCCACCAACCCAGAAAAGUAUUAUUCUACAUGCAACAAUCCAAACAAACCUAGUAAAGUGUAAUUUAUUAUAAUUGCUUUCAACAGGUACAAGUGAUCUUUCCUUAUAUAUAUAUAUAAAGAAAAGUAUUUAUUGGCCUUUUAACAAAACAGCAACGUCCACCAACCCAGAAAAGUAUUAUUCUACAUGCAACAAUCCAAACAAACCUAGUAAAGUGUAAUUUAUUAUAAUUGCUUUCAACAGGUACAAGUGAUCUUUCCUUUUAUAUACUGUUGAAAGCGAUCUUUCCUUUUAUAUAUACUGUUGAAAGCAAUGCUUUCAACAGUAUAUAUAAAAGGAAAGAUCACUUGUACCUGUUGAAAGCAAUUAUAUUUUAAAGCAGCAAAAAGAAAGGGCAUAGAAUUUUCCGCAAAGACUUUUCACAACGAACUCAAGUAAUCUCAUGGAUGCAUGGAUCAAUCAAUAUUGAUGCUAGUCUUUCUCUCUCUCCAAUAAAGACAUAGGUAGAAAUAACUUGCUGCUUUUAAAUGCUGAUAGGUUGAUUGAUGCAAACAUGACUUCUUUUUUCCACGUUGGUUCCUGUUAAUCUCAUGGACUUGAUCAAAAAGAUGCAUGGAUCGAUCGAUCAAUAUAGGCGGAGUCAGAGUAUUUAAAAUGAGGAGUAAAUUAAUUAACAAAUAUUAUAUUAUAUUAUUUAGAUAUGUAAUAAAAAUCAAUGUAAAAAUCAAUUCAACCAAAUAUACUAAGCAAAAUUAAUGUAAAAAUAUUUUUAAAAUGAAAAAACUUAUAUUAUCAUUAUUCUCUUUAAGUUUUCGUAAUAAAAAAAUUCAGUUUAGUUAUAUAACAAUUGUAAAUCCUUCAUAUAAAAUACAUAUUAAUUUAUCAAAACUCAUUUUACACCCCAUUACCAUGUAGCAUGCUGUAAAUAAUGUAUGGAUGUGGAUCAUCAUUGAUAGUUUAAAUUUAUCAUGAUAGAUCAUUUUUUAAAAUAAAAAAAUAGUUUCUUUCUUUUAUUUUUUAAGAAAAAACCAAGCUUUAAUUUUAUAAAUAUCAAUAUUUACUCUCUGACAACAAUUGAAAUGUUUGCUUAUUUAUCUCAUGAAAAAAUUUAAUUUCAUACCGUAACCAAUUCAAUUAGAAAUAAUAUAACCUUUAAUUAAUUUAAAAUAAUUAAAUCAAUACCUAUUCUUUAAAAAAAAUUAAAAAAAAUUAAGGGGGCAAUUGCCCCCUUAAUCUCCUAUGUGACAGUGUUGAUUAAUUUUAGUAAUUCCCAUUCCCGUCCUUCUUAUUUAUUGGUUAAUUUGUCUCAAAUAUUAAAAAUUAUUUGGUUGACUCAAGUAGUCUUAACAUGAAGAAGAAGAAGAAAAGAAUUGGGCAACUGGCAAGUCCUAAAAGAAAUAAGAUUGCAACUCACACUGCUAGCUUAAAGGGCAAAUAUUUUACCACUGUGCUAUAUCUGAAAGCUAAUUGUGGUAAAUCAAUCAAUAUUCCAUUAGAGAUAACUUUUGACCUAUAUCUAAAAGUCAUUUUGGCUGUGGUUGAUAUAUAAUGCCAUAGCUAGUGAGUGAGUACCUUGCCCUUCUCUAUAGUCUGCAUCGUUCGGCCCCAUGCAGCAGGACCCAGACUUAUCAUCUUUGAUUCGGUGAGUUCAUCAAGUCACAAUAAAUUAUAACAUGCUCUAUACUAGGAAUAAUUUUAAAAUAAUAACAAAUGCAGCAUAGAUUUAUAAUAACCAAUCCAGCAUAAAUUUAUUAGAAAUUAAAAAUAUUAUAUUAAAAAAAAAUAAUUUAAUGCAUCAAAAUAUCAUAUUUUCAAUGUGACACAUCGUCAGUUAAAUUAAGAGAUUCGAAUGUUAAUAUAAUAUAUAAUAAAAGGACCUUAUUAUAUAUGUUCAUAAUAAAAAGACCUAAAUUAAAAUUUAAUAAUAAAGGGAUGUUGGAUAUAAUUAACCUUGUCGUUCCACUUACACUAGAAAAGCAAUGGAGAUGCUACUUCUAUAUAUAUAUAUAUAUAUAUAUAUUGCUACUCGCGUGUUUUGAGAAGAAGCUAUCCUUAUUGCUGUAAGCUUGAUUAAUACAAUCUCAUCUUCUUAUAAUUCAGGUUUUUCUGCUUUUGAAAAAUUAUAUGGGUAUAUUCCUGAUUAUUCCUUCUUUAGAGUUUUUAGUUAUACUUGUUUCAUUCUUCAUCCCCAUGCAGAAUGCAGUAAGUUUUCCUCUCGAUCUGUUAUGUGUGUCUUUUUGGGUUAUUGUGAAGGUAAAAAGGGGUAUCGUUGUCUUGAUUCAAUAACUCAGAAAUUUUAUGUGUCUCGUCAUGUUGUCUUUCUCGAGCAUAUACCUUUCUUUUGUAUUCCAUCCACUACUCAUAGCUUGACUAGACCUGAUAUUAUUCAUAUAGAUCCCUUUUAUGAGGAUUUUGAUAGUUUAUCAUCUCAAGUUCAUAGUACCUCAAAUACUCCUUCCCAUGUUUGACCAAUUUGUACUCAUCAUUAUGUAGGUACUGACACUUUACUCUUCGACACACUUGUAGCUCCAUUCUUAUCUACAUCCCCCCAAGCUUCUUCUAAGAUUGUGGAUCCACCUUUACGUUAAUCCACACGCAUUCGUAAGUCCACAAAACUACUAGAUUUUGCUUAUUCUUGUUAUUCUUCAUCUUUUACUUCAUUUUUAGAUUCUAUUCAUUGUCUCUCUAAGCCCUCUUCCUAUAAAGAGGCAAUUCUUGAUCCUCUUUGACAACUAGCUAUGGAUGAGGAACUUUCUGCUUUGCAUAAGACAGAUACUUGGAAAUUGAUUCCUCUACCUCCUGGUAAGAGUGUUGUUGGUUGUCGUUGGGUGUACAAGAUCAAAUCUAAUUUUGAUGGAUCUAUUGAUUGAUACAAAGCUAGGUUGGUUGCAAAAGGAUACUCUCAAUAGUACGGUAUGGAUUAUGAGAAGACAGUUGCCCUUGUUGCAAAAAUGACUAUUAUUCGUACUCUUCUUGUUGUAGCUUUGGUUCGUCAAUGACAUAUCUCACAACUUGAUAUUAAAAAUGCUUCUUGAAUUAAGAUCUUUAAGAAGAAGUUUGUAUGGCGCCUCCUCCUAGUGUUUCACAUGACUUUGACUAUGUAUGUAAGCUCAAGAAAGCAUUAUAUGGUCUCAAACAAACACCUCGUGCUUGGUUUAAGAAAUUUUAUAUUGUGAUCUCAUCUCUUAGAUUUGUUUCUAAUAGUCGUGACUAUGCUCUUUUUAUUAAUUGCACUAAUGCAAGUCGUAUCAUGUUUUUUGUAUACGUUGAUGACAUGAUUAUUACUGGUGAUGAAAUUGAUGGUAUCUUAGUUUUGAAGACAGAGCUGGCCAGAUAGUUUGAAACAUAGUUUUGAAACCCGGACCGGCCCGGCGGGUGGACCCGGGACCCGGCCGACCCGGUCAUGGGACCGGUCCGGGUCUAAGCAAAAACCCGCCUGGGAGUUGGCCCGUUGAAACCCGGUCGACCCGGGUAAACCCGGAUGAGACCCGACCCUUUUUUUUAAUAUGCAUAGAGGUUAACGACGUCGUUUUGGCCUUUUAAAAGGCCAAAACGAUGAAGAUAAAUGAUGCACUGAUGCUGAAUUGCUACAAGCCUGCAAUUGCAAAUAGAGAAAACCUAAUACAGAAAAACAAUUUCAAUCGCCAAUUGCAGAGCAGAAGAUUAUUGAUUCCUUCAAUAAGGUUAGACUUUGGUUUCUCUUCACGAAUCUCCUACUUUCACUCUCUCUUUUCUUUGUUCGUUGCCUUUUUUUGAACUCACAGAUCUUGAUUCAAUCAUCAAGAUUCAAAACUCCCUUCAUCUCCCACCAUUUUCUCAACAACCCCAAAAGCAUUUAAAGAAGUAAGAGAACUGAUACAUUACCCGAAGAAAAGGUGCACUUCGUCUUGUUAUGAUCACCACUACUUCUUUUUCUCUUCCCCGUAACAAAAGAAAAACUUUGAUAGUUUAGUCCCUUUAUGGUUGCUGAUGAUAUUUACUGUUAAAAGGGUUUUAAUUUGCGAUGAUACGAACUUUUAUGUGUUCUGACUUCUGAAGUACCUACGAUCAUCAAAACACAUAGGAAGGGAAAGAGAAGUGAUUUUAAAAAGUUUCAAGAUAGUUUAUGUUUGAAAAAAAACAAAAAGAAAGAAAAAACGUGUGAAACGGUGGGUUAGGGAAUUUGGAGUGGCUAUUUUUCUUGUUAAAAACAAAUUAAUGUAUUGAUAAUAAGAAUGAAUUAAAAAAAUAUAUAGAAAAAAUAUUAUAAUUAUAUAAGAAUGAAUUAAAAAUAUUUUUUUUGGUUGACCCGGGCCAACCUGGGUCAACCCAUCUGACCCAUGACCCGAUCACUGGACCGGGUCGAUAACCGGGUUGGGUUUCAAAACUAUGGUUUGAAAUGAAGGAUUUGGGUUCUAUUUAAUAUUUCCUGGGUAUUGAGGUAGCUUACUCACCUAGAGGUUACUUUCUUUCUUAGUUGAAAUAUGUUGCAGAUAUUCUUGAGCGGGCUAGACUUACUGAUAACAAGAUUGUAGCCACUCCCAUUGAAGUUAACGCAAGGUAUUCUUCUUCCGAUGGUUUACCUUUGAUAGAUCUGACUUUAUAUCAUACUAUUGUUGAGAACUUGAUAUACCUCACUAUUACUUGUCCAGAUAUUACAUAUGUUGUUCAUGUGUUAGUCAGUUUAUUGCUUCUUCUACUACUGUUCACUGGGCAACUAUUCUUCAUAUUUUACGAUAUCUUUUAGGGUACAGUCUUUUACUUUCAUCCACCUCUUUCUUGGAGCUGCGUGCAUACUUUGAUGUUGAUCAUUGUAGUGAUUCCACAUAUCGAAAUUUGUUACUGGUUUCUAUAUCUUUUUAGGUGAUUCUUUUAUUUUUUGGAAGAGCAAGAAACAAUCUAUCUUUUUUUAAUCCUCAACCGAAGCAAAAUAUCGUGCUAUGACAUCUACUACUAAAGAGAUUAUUUGUUUACGUUAGUUACGUGCAGAUAUGGGAGUUUCACUCUCUUAUCCUACUCUUAUUUAUUGUGACAACCAGAGUUCUAUUUAGAUUGCUCACAACUCGAUUUUUCAUGAACGAACUAAGCACAUUGAGAUUGAUUGUCAUCUUACUCGACAUCUUCUCAAGCAUGGCACCACUACUUUGCCUUUUGUUUCUUCUUCAUUGCAGAUUGCAGAUUUAUUUACCAAGUCGCAUUCCAUUUCUUAUUUUCGUUUUCUAGUUGGCAAACUCUUGAUGCUUGUAGCUGCCGCAUCGUGAGUUUGAGGGAAGAUGAUAAAUAAUACAUUUAUCUUGUUUUAUUUAUUAAGGGUCACUACUAGAAAUUCGCUAAAUACCAACGGACUCACCGACAGAAUUUUUUCUGUCGGUAUUUUUCGGUCGAAAUCACCGACGGACUAUUUUCGUCGGUAAUUCGGUCAAUAAUUACCGACGGAUAUGGUCCGUCGGUAAUUACUGACUGAAUUACCGACAGAAAAUUCAGAAUUAAUGAAAAAAGGGCAGGUAGGUGGCGCAGAGGUUUUGGCGGGUGAUUUUUCCAACGGAAUCACCGACGGACUAAAAACCGGGGAGCCGUACGCGUGAUGGGACCUGUUCACCGUCAAUAAUACCGACGGAAUCACCGACGGAUUUGAAAUGCCAGAACCGUACCGGUGACAUGACCGGUGCACCGUUAAAAAUACCGACGGAAUCACCGAGGGAUUUGAAUAGCAGGUCCGUGCGGUGACGUGUCGAUUGCCCGUCAGAAUUACCGACGGUGUCGCCGACGUAUUCACCGACGGAAUAAAACCGUCGGUAAGGCCGUCGGCAAAAGUGAAUAUAUGGCCACUCUGCCGACACGCUCCUCCCCCAUUUCUCCUUCUUCUUCCUAAUCCUAACCCUCCCCAUCUGCAAAUAACCAGCCCCCCCUCGCCCCAAAACAAAAAUCUUCCUCAUCUCAGCACAACAAGUUGUAUUUCUUGAAGUUUUGUGGUCACAGCAUCCGUGUUCUGAUUUACCGACGGAUUUUAUCAUUUUUUGUAAGUAAUUCUAUCUUUUAAAAUUUUAACAUUUAAAUGUCAAUUUUAUUGUUUUUUUAGUAUAUGUAUUUUUUUUUAGUAGAUGUACAUGUUUUAUUGUUAUUUCUCAAACAAACUUGUAGUAUAUGAAUGUAUAAUUUUAUACUUGUUAUGGUUUGUUUUAGAUUUUGUAAGAUUGUAUUUGUUUGUAAAUUGUUAAAACUUAAUUUGUAGAAUUACCGAAUUACAUGUUAUGUUUUGAAAUAAUUAAGAGCUUGCUUAAUGGGUCCUUUUUAUAGAGGUUCGAUAGAAGUCAUGGAUGAUCGUUCAUGGAUGUAUCUAGAUUCACCCCAAGGAUUGCGGAGGAUGGAUUAUUGUAACGGGGUUCAGGGUUUUAUUAAUUUCGCAACAUCUAUUCCCAGAAAUUUUACUGGAGGCGGUAUUAGGUGUCCAUGCAGGAAGUGUCAAAAUAAAAAGUAUCUGCAUCCAGAUGUUGUAAUGAUGCAUCUUCUACACAAAGGGUUUGUGGAGGAUUACGAGUGUUGGUAUGCACAUGGAGAGGUAUUUGUUAGUAAUAGGAGAAUGGGAGAAACGGUGGUUGGGUCAACUUCUAGUGCUAGCAACGUGCAUGAAGCGGCAAAUGACAACACUAAUCCUUACAGAAACAUGGUUAUGGAUGCAAUGAGAAUGAAUCAAGAUAAUGUCAAUCAAUGUCCAAUCGUAGAAGAAGAACCUAAUGCAGAGGCAGCUAGGUUUUUUGAUUUGUUGAAAGAUUCUGACGAACCAUUAUGGGAUGGCUGCACAAACCACAGUAAAUUAUCGGCUGUGGCACAGGUGUUCACCAUCAAGUCAGAUCACGGGUUGAGUGAGGCCGGGUAUGACAAAAUUAUUGAUUGGGCAAGAAGCAUUUUACCAGAAGGGAACAGGCUCAAAGAGAACUUCUAUGCUGCGAAGUCCAUGAUGAAACCCCUCGGUUUAGGAUACCAGAAAAUUGACAUGUGCCCUAACUUCUGCAUGUUAUACUACCUUGAAAAUGCUGAGAUGACCGAGUGCAUGACAUGCGGGCAUUCCCGUUACAAACCCAGAACUGGCAGGGGGAAGACUCUAGUGGCAUAUAAAAAACUUAGAUAUUUCCCGAUCACACCUAGACUGCAGAGGUUAUUUAUGUCACCAAGGACUGCUGAGCACAUGACAUGGCACCAAACACACGAUGUCGUUGAUGGUGUGAUGGUGCAUCCUUCUGACGGCGAAGCGUGGAAACGCUUUAACAGUGUUCAUCCUGACUUUUCUGCUGAAUCAAGGAAUGUUCGACUUGGGUUGUGUACAGACGGGUUCAACCCAUUUGGGUCAUUUGCUGCUCCCUAUUCUUGUUGGCCGGUCAUUCUCACAGUUUAUAACUUGCCACCGGGAAUGUGUAUGAAGCCGGAGUUCAUGUUUCUAUCUACUGUCAUACCCGGUCCAAGCAGCCCUGGGCGGAAUAUAGAUGUUUGUCUUCGACCGUUGAUAAAUGAGCUGGCGCAGUUGUGGUCCUCCGGAUCUCUGACUUAUGAUAUAUCGAGGAAACAAAAUUUCCUUAUGAGGGCGGCUUUGAUGUGGACUAUUAGUGAUUUUCCAGCUUAUGGAAUGCUUUCUGGUUGGAGCACGCAUGGGAAACUCGCAUGUCCAUACUGCAUGGAAAACAACAAGGCAUUCACGCUAGCAAACGGAGGUAAAGCUUCUUUUUUUUACUGUCACCGUCGCUUCUUGCCACUUAAUCACAUGUUCAGAAAGAACAUAAAAGAUUUCUUUGUUGGCAGAGUUGAAAAAAAUGUUGCAUCCCCGCGUCUUUCUGGUGAAGAAUUGCAUCAUGUUGUAUCAGAGUACGGUGACAUUGUGUUUGGCCUUCAAUCAGGUAAGCAAAAGUUUCUUGGUUUUGGUUCGACCCAUAAUUAGGUAAAGCGAAGUAUCUUUUGGGAGCUUCCGUAUUGGAAGACUAAUCUUCUCCGCCAUAACCUUGACGUAAGUUUCUUGGUUUUGGUUCGACCCAUAAUUGGGUAAAGCGAAGUAUCUUUUGGGAGCUUCCGUAUUGGAAGACUAAUCUUCUCCGCCAUAACCUUGACGUCAUGCACAUCGAAAAGAACGUGUUUGAGAAUAUUUUCAACACCGUUAUGGAUGUGAAGGGGAAGACAAAGGACAACAUGAAGGCUAGAUUGGAUAUAGCUUUAUACUGUAACCGUAAAAAUAUGGAGUUGGUUUAUGAGGAGUCACGGGUUGCAAAACCAAGGGCAAGCUUCGUGUUAGAGAAAAACGCACAACUGCUAGUCUACAAAUGGCUUAAGAGUCUGCGUUUCCCGGAUGGACAUGCAUGGAACAUAUCAAGGCUUGUUAACAUAGAGGACUGCAGAUUGUAUGGAAUGAAGAGUCAUGACUACCAUGUGUUUAUGCAAACACUCAUCCCAUUAGCUUUUCGUGAUUUGUUGCCAAAGGGAAUAUGGGAUGCACUAACGGAGAUCAGUCAUUUCUUCAGAGAUAUAUGCUCCAGCAAGAUGAAUGUUGAGCACAUUGAGAUGCUUCAAACGAAUAUCAUCGAGACACUAUGCAAACUUGAGAUGAUAUUCCCUCCUUCAUUUUUUGACUCAAUGGAGCAUCUCCCUAUACAUCUACCGUUCGAGGCAAAAGCUGGAGGACCGGUCCAGUAUAGAUGGAUGUACCCAUUCGAACGGUGAGAUAUUACAGUUGCAAUGGAAUUCAUAUCUUAAAGUAUUUUCUAUGUUUUUCUUAUUGAAAAUACUUGAAUUGUACUUCAAUGCAGGUACUUGUUUAAUCUAAAAAAAAAGGUUAAGAACAAGGCGCAUGUUGAGGCUUCGAUAUCUGAGGCCUAUAUUGUUGAAGAGAUAUCAACAUUUAUCUCGUACUAUUUCGAACCUCAUCUGAGAACAAGAAUCAAUCGCGUUCCACGGCAUGACGAUGGCGGUGAAGUGCCUUCCAGUGGGAACUUGUCAAUAUUCUCCAAUACUGGACGACCCACACCUAAAAAUGCCGUAAGAGGAAGAUAUUUGUCGGAAAUAGAAUUCAAACAAGCACACAACUAUGUUCUAUUUAACUGUGAUGAGCUGAGACCAUUUAUUCAGUAAGUCUAUAUAUGUGUAAUACUAAUUAAACUUUGUCAGUAAUAUACUGUUAAUUAUAUAUUGUAAUAUCAUACACUCAUUAUCACUUGCAGGCAACAUCGACAAUAUUUGCUCUCCAAUAACUCGCAGCUGACCGAAUCCCAGAUCUUUCAAUUACAAGAUGAACAAUUUGCCACAUGGUUCAGAACACAUGUAAGCACUAUCACAAACUCAUUCUAACGUAUGCAUGUCAUUACGAGAUUCUCGUUCAUUUACCGUGUAUUGAUGUACAUUUAAUUACAUAUAUUUACAAGGUUUAUCAAAUGGGAAGGAGUGCGCCAAGUCAUUGUCUUCACUAAGCCUCGGCCCUGAAAGAAAAGUUAAGUGCUACAACGGGUAUUUUGUCAAUGGAUAUGUUUUCCAUACUGAAGAAUACGGGCAAGGAAGAAAGACAUACAACUGCAGUGUUUGUGUUAAGGGAUCCACAAGUAGCCAGUUAGAAGUUGACUACUAUGGUAGAUUAGAAGAGGUCGUCGAACUGCAAUAUCAUAGCGAGCAGAAUAAAGUGUUUUUAUUCAAAUGCUAUUGGUAUGACACGACGGACAGAGGAAUCAGAGUUGAUCCGCACCAUGGUCUGGUCGAAAUCAACUCAAAAGCUAGACUCCGCAACAUAAACGAUGUCUUUGUUUUCGCAAAGCAAUGUCAACAAGUUUAUUACACAUACACCCCUUCAUUUAGAAAGGAUCGUUCAAGAGUUGAUUGGUUGUCCGUUUUAAAAAAAACCACGGGGUCGUGUCGAGGUUGUUCAGGAUGAGAACGAAGACACAAGUGUGCGAGAUGAAGUCUUUCAAGUUCGUGAGUUGGUUGAACCAUAUCGAGUUGCUCCUUCGAUUGAAUUGGAAGAAAAUUCAAAUUUUCGAGUUCUCGAUGAUAGUCUUGUUGAUAUUGACGGAGAGGAGUUGAAUGUUGUUCUCAGCUCUAGCGGACAAGCAAAUGUCGAUGAAGAAGAUGAUAUCCAUAUUGAAGAUUGCGAUGAAGAUGAUGACAAUUCAAUUGAUGAGGAAGAAGAAGAAAAUUCCGACUAAUUAUGAAAAUGAAGCCCUAUGUAAAAACAUUUGUCUCAUGUAAUUUAGAUUAUGGAUGAUGUAUUUUGUAAAACAAAAUAUUUACUGUUUAAGCAAUGUGGUUAUUGUUUUAUGUGAUGGACAGUUUAUCAGUUAAGUUAUUGUAGGAAGGUAAACAGGCAAUACAAAGACAACCUUUCCUGCAUAAUGCAAACUUACCGACAUCCAUACCGACGGAUAACCAUCCGUUGGGUAUCUCACAGAGAGCUCGAAAUUGAUUACGUGAAAUGCCACCAACACCGACGACAUUACCGACGGAUUCACCGACACAUACACCGACGGAUUCUAGUCCGUCGGCAUCUCACAGAGAGUUCGAAAACAUUUACAACAAAAUGGCAUAAUCAUCGACGGGCAUACCGACGGAAUAUAUCACCGAGAGACAACAAAAUGUCACAAUCACCGACGGAUUCACCGAUAGAUUUUUCGAUGCUAAUACCGACGGAAUAUUUCCGUCGGUAAUUUGUCGGUCACACAUAUUACUGACAGAAAUACCGAUGGACCACGCGAUUUCCAAAGUGUGUGAAUUAAUGCGCCUCUGAACUUGUCAUAUUACCGACGGAAUCACCGACGGACUCUGAAAAAUAUGGAGGGCUUUUAAAAAUUCGGUGCGAAAUUCAAAAAUUACCGAUGGAUUUUUGACCUGUUACCGACGGAAUGUUUGACCUGUUACCGACGGAUAUUAUUUCCGUCGGUGAGUCCGUUGGUAAAACUGCCCUAUAAGUUCCAGCCCCGGCCGCUUCGCCUCAUUUUUUCUUCUUCUCCCCGCGCCACUUCUCUUCUCUUCUCCUCCGUUUUGCACCUCAGAUUUUUUAUUUUUUUGCCCUCAAUCCUUCAAGAAUUUCACCUUCAAUCUCUAGCAAGAUUUAGUGUUGUGAAUCUUCCUCAUAUUAAAAGGUAUGUAUUUUUUUCCAAUUUAUUUUAUUUACUUUUAAUUUAUUUUUAGUUGUUUUUAUUUUUGUUGUUUUGGUGUUUUUUUUUGUAAUGUAGAUAAAGUUUUGAAUUUGUCACAUUAUUAAGGUAUGUAUAUUUCGUUCUUUUUCUUGAUGUAGGUUUUUUUUUGAAUUUUUUGAAUAUUUUUUAUUGUUUUGUUGUCAUAAUAACAUAUUAGUUAAUUUGUUGAAUAUUUGUUGUUAAAGUUGAAUUUAACUUAGAAUUAGUAAUUGAAUAUGUUAGAAUAAUUAUUAAUUUUACUCUAUUAUUGCAUGAUUUGUGUUUAAUUAUUUUCAUUGAUUUUAAUUGUUAGUCUAUAUAUUUUUUUAAUUUAUUGAAUAUAAUUUAUUGUUGUAUUGCCAUAUAUAAUUAUUGAUUAAUUUGUUGAAUUAUAAUUGUUAAUGUUGAAUUUACCUUAGAAUUAAUAAUUGGAUAUGUUGGAAUAAUUAGUAUUUUUUUAUAUAUUAUUGCAUGAUUUGUGUUUAAUUGUUUCCAUUGAUUUUAAUUGUUAGGCUAUAAUUCUUUUUUAUUUUAUUGAAUAUAUUUUAUUGUUGUAUUGCCAUAAUUAUUUAAUAAUUUGUUGAAUUAAUAUUGUUAAUGUUGAAUUUAUCUUAGAUUUAAUAAUUGAAUAUGUUGGAAGAAUUAUUAAUUUUACUCUAACUUGAUGAUUUGUGUUUAAUUGUUUCUAUUUAUUUUGAAUUUAUAGUUUUGUUGUAUUGACAUAAUUAUUGAAUAAUUUGUGAAUUGUAAUUGUUAACGUUGAAUUUAUCUUAGGAUUAAUAGUUGAAUAUGUUGGAAUAAUUAGUAUAGAUUGGGUCAAUUGGUUGUGGCUAUUGUUAAUAUUUGCAGGUUUGUGGAUUUGGGUAGUAUCCAGUAUAGGGGAGGUGCUGCCGAUUUUUUUUAACUUUUGAAUUUUAUUAUACAAUUAUUUAUAUAAAAUUGUUUAGAUGCGCAAAAUGAAAACCAGAGCUGGUCGUUCACGUCCAGUCGAAUCAAGUUCGUCUAGCAGCAAUGCUGAUGUUUCCUUAGGUGCCUCUCAAGAAGAGGCACCUACACCACCUGCGCCGUCAACCGAUGCUGCCUCUUCCAGCGAUGUUUCACAUCGCAGAAACGGCGUGCCUUCACAGCGGAAUCAAUUUACCCACAAGUACGAGGCACAGUGGAAGGACGAUCUUUCAAUCUAAGUUUGUUAAGGUUUUAGUUUUUUUUAUAUAUAUAAAAAACAAAUUUAAAACAUAAUUUAUGAAGUAAUAACUAUUUCAUUAAUUUCAUUUUUUCUUAGGUUCACAAACAUUGAGGUCGCCCGAGUAAUAUCAUCGGCGUUUAAAGCGUUGAUGGAGAUUCCAUUGUUUCAAUGGAGUCAGAUAUCCAGGCAUCCUGAAUGGAUGCCUCAAAUCAAUGCAUGGUUUCGUAGAUUUGAGGUUCGUGUUAAUAUAUAAUUUUCAGCUUAUUUCUAAUAAAUUCUAGUUAUAAUUGUAAAUAAAUUAUUAACAUUUUAAAAAAAUAUUUUUUUAUACACAGCAUCGAUUCAGCUGGGACGAUGAACAUGACACUGUUGUGAGGAGGGUGUGGGAAAAUCACGCGGCAAUUAGGUAACAUCGAAAACAAUACAACUUUUUUUUACAUAAUUAUUUAUGUUUCGAAAUGUAAUUUUUUCGUGCGUGAAUUAGGUUGCGUGAUUUUUGGUAUGAAACCCAGAAAAGGCCAAAAAAACAGCGAGGGAUAAGGGAUUCCAAGGCUGGAACGAUGUUGCGGUUUGGAGGGAUUUCAAACCGAUAUACAUCCCGGAAGAUAUAUGGCCGCACUAUCUUCAGCACAUGACGUUUGAGCGGUUCACUCGACGCUCACAGUCCGGUGCUGGCAACCGGAAUCGGCCAAUUCAUGGCUCGGUGACAACGCACACCAGCGGCUCCGUUCCGUUUGCUGCACAUGCGAAACUAAUGGUAAGAUUAAUUUAAAUGAAAUAUAUCGUUCAAUUAAUUUGUUGUUAAUAAAAUUUUUUUAUUAUAGGCUACGUCUCUUGGACGUGAGCUGAGCCCUAUGGAGCUGUUUGUGGAGAUGCACGUGCGGAGUCAUGACCGCCAAAAGGGGACGCAACAGUUCGUUGACAACCGUGCUCAACAGUUUGUGGUAUGUUUGUUCAACCAUUUUAUUUUGUAAGUUAUUAUUAUGUUUAUUGAAUUGAAUAUGAUGAUUUUUUUUUUCAGGAGACCUAUAAUAAUCGGUUGAGAGAGAGAUACGGGGACGAUCCUUCGACCUAUCCGGAAUUCGAUCCGGAUUUGUGGAUGGAGGCUGGAUCGUCAGGUGGACCCGAUAAAAAUCGGGUUUACGGGCUCUCCAACACUACCGCCGCCAACUUGCGGUCGACCGGUACUGCUUCAACCGUUGGGAGCUCCCAAUCUGUAUCGAGCUCCCAAUCUAAGGAGUUUGUGGCGUUGCAGCAAAGGUGCGACCACCUAUCAGAGGCGUACACACACCUCAAAGAAGAGCAAAGAUUGGCAAACGAACAACACAGAGCAGAGUCUGAACAUGACACAAGGUGGAACAUGUGCGCCUAAUCCUUUUUGGCCGCCUAACCCCCACCCUCCUCCUCCCCCUCCUCCUCCACCUUUAUAUUAAUUUUUAAUAAACAUUAUUUACAUUUAAAAUUUCGUUUAAUGUUUUUUUGAAACACAUUCAUUUUGUAAUGAAUAUUAUUUAACUUUGAGUUUUUGUUGCUUAAUAUAAAUUUUAUUUGCAUAAUUGGUUUGUAUUACCAUUAAUUUAUAUUAUUUUUUCUAAAUAAUUAAAAAAACAUUUUAAAAAAAAUUACACAGGGCUUUACCGACGGAAUAACUCCGUCGGCAUUGGACAAUGUCUGCCACCAUCACCGGACGAAUAUUCAGACGGACAGAUUCGGUCGGUAUUCCAUCCCAUCACCGACAUAUUCACCGACGGACAUAAUCCGUCGGUAUAAACUUACCGAUGAAUUUACAGACGGAAAUAUUCGGUCAGUAUGAAAUAUCACCGACACUUUUACCGACGGAUGUAGUCCGUCAGUAUUUACAUAACACCGACGGAAUAUUUUCCGUCGGUAUAUUCCAAGCGGGAAACCUUUUUUUUUUGGCGCUCACGGUCCGUCGGUAAAACCGUCAGUAAAUGUUUUUUUUGUAUUUCCGACCGAUAUAGCGACGGAAUGUGAAAUCACCGACAAAAGGUAUUCCGACGGGCGUAUUCCGUCGGCAAUAUAGUCGGUAAAUAAUUUACCGAUGAACGUUCUAUCACACACCGACAGAAUAUUUCCGUCGGUAAAACUGUGAAAUCUUGUAGUGGGUAAAAUAAUAUUUUUAGCUAACCUAUAUAUAAGCUCUUUGUAUUUAGGUUAAAAGAUGUAAUUUUUACAAAUCAAGAGAAUUCUAGUCUCCCCUCUCUUUUGUGUUCGCAUUUAUUUUAUGUUAAUUGAAUUGUUUUAAUAGCAUCACCCAAAAAAAAUGAGAGGAGUAAUCUUUGUUGAUGUAGAGGCUAGGAUGGCGCUGAGAAUAAGUUUGUCCUGUCUAACCCAAUGUGUUUUGUUUGGGUUGAUAGCAAAACUGAGAUCAGUUGCAGGGCAGGAAAUAUCACCAUUUACAUAAUCAAGCAGGUCGUAUCCAAUCAAUAAUGCUUCAAACUGAGCACGCCAUUGAGGGAAGGUAGAUGGAGUUAAUUUUUCGUUGAUCUGUGCAGUAAUAUUUAGAGCAAUUAAAGAUUUCCCAGAUUCAGAGGAGGGGAAUGUAUUGGGGCUGAGAUUUUGGCUUUGCUGUGUAGGUGAAGACAUGUUGAGAUCUGAGUUAUUCUCGUUGGAGAUUUCUGGCUCUGAUACCAUAUAGAAUAUUAAACUGAUGUGCACAGAAUUAACUCUCUCGCUUGUAUUGCUCUGUGCAUGUAUCAUGCAUAUUUAUAUACAUUAGUUAUUCACUGGUUGUAGAAGUCCUUUGGUGAAUAGGACUUGUAUAAAGCUAGACUUUGUCUUUAGAUAAAAUUACAUUAAAACAGAAUUGUAUUAGAUGUUAAACUGCAGGAAUGUUAAGAAUUGACCCUGCAACUGAUCUCUGUUAAGAAUUGCACAUAGUUGUGACAUAAAAGAGAGAGAGGAGGGGGCAGAGGAUACUCCAAACAGGAUAGUUGAGAUCUUUUGCAAAGUACCUUGUAUACAGGACCAAAACCACCUUCUCCAAUCUUAUUAGAAGCAUCAAAGUCAUUAGUGGCAGCUCUAAUUUGCUUAAGAGAAAAUGUUCCCUUCGGAAAAUCAAGUUCUUUAACAUCUGUUCAAGUAGGAGACAGGACAUAAAGUGCCAACGAAUUGUCAGUCUUUUGAUAUAUUUACGAGUCAAAAUCAGUUCUGGAGAAAAGUAGACCAUGAAACUCUAUUGAAAAGAGGCAUUUUUCAUUCUCCAACAUAAGCAUGUCUACCCUGAACUUUCCUCCUCCUCAGGAAAGCACCCUUACUACAUACAAUGCCAAUCAAACUUGUACAAUUAAUAAUUGUGUGUAAAUCUUGAGGUGAAAUAUCGCAGCCACUUGUAUCAGAAUAAAAGAUAAGCCCAUGAAACUUGAUGCUUCUUUUGCUUUUCUUUUCCCUAAAUGUCCAUGCAUAAUUUUAGCAAAGAAAUCUCAAGUUGUUUCCAUCUAGUUCACAAUCUCAUACUAGAAACAAAAAUCCAUAGGAUGCUGUUUGAGGCUGCAGUGUUUGGGCAGCUAUGUAAGUUAUACCCACAUACAAUUUUUCCUACAUCUGGCAAACAUGGAUGCAGCGUGGAAUUUUAUUAGACUACUAACACAAACAUGGGUAAAUAAUAUAUAUGGCGUUACCUCUUUUCCUGUGCAAUUUUCCUGGCAAGUUUCCUUUCCACCAAAGAAUUACCAGUAUAAUGGCAACCAGGCAUGAUGCUCCAACAGCUCCAACAACCACAUAAACAGUUCCCUUCUUUUUCCCACUAGAACAAACUUUCAAAUCUGCCCAUUAAACAGAAAAAUUAGUCACAAUCACACACACAGAUUGGAUAUUUAAACUAAAAUAUGACACUUCCUUAAAUUACACGAGUUUCUCUGUAAUAAUUUACCCAAAUGGGACUUGGAUGCCAGAAUCUGAAUAAUACUCUCUUGAGGUACCAAACUAUUUUAUCAUAAUAUUGGAGAACUUAUAAAUAAAAUAGUUGUUUCAUACUAUCCACGCCUUCCUGAGUCUCUGUUACCCUACACUACAUUUACAUUUACAGGGGAAGGAGAGGAGAGGAUAAGUGACCAGGAGAGAGGAGAGGAGAGGUAGGCAUAUUGUUGUGGAUCUCAACCCAUAAUUUAAACAGAGACCAAGUGCUAUCCAGCAAGGGAAGGUCAAAUAUAAGAAACAUAUCAAAAUUUGUUAUGCAGCCCUAAAAUCUUCUUCUUUAGCACAUUGGUGCUGAUUUUAAAUCAAUCAUAUGUACAUGCACUGCUGAUAAUUGUAUGAUCGAGAAUAAAUGUCAAACAGACAACUUACCAGAAAAUACAGAGAUGGCUGAUAUGAUGGGACCGUAAACUCCCCUAUCAGGAAUCCUUGUUGUCCCUUUUCCGGCAAAAUAGAAUCUGAUCUCCAACAUAUUAUUGGUCACAUUGACAUUCAAUACUUGCUUCACUAAAGGCUUUUCAGCACUGCCAACCUCAUCUUCAAUAUUGAAAUCUUUCGAAACCAAUCUUUCCUGUGACACAGUAGUCCAGCUAAGUCCUUGCUUCCAACUUCAAAAAAAAUUAAGUUUCACAUUAGAGUGACUACUUACCUGAACAUAAAUGUCAAAAACACGCCUGCCUAAGCUGUUAUAUGUAUGGUCAUUAGUGAACUGUAUCUCUGCAAAGUGAAGGUUUACUGUGUAGUUCCCAUUUUGUAAGCAAUAAUGGAAAUAGGUAAGAGAAAUUGGGGAUAUGCGAGCUGUUUGGUAUAAUUCAGGGAUGGUUGAUGAUUGCAGAGAUACAGUAUAACGAGUAUUUUGGUAAUCAUAAUCAUCCAUAAAGUCCCCAGUGCUACUGAAACCCCAGAAGCUUUGGUCAUUUACAAAAUAUUUAGCUGCACCACCUUCUACUUGUCCAUCUCCUUCAUAUGACAAGGUUGUUUUGUUUUCAUUGAUAGUUAUGUCCUUUCCACCACUGUUAACAUGUAAACAGUUUGAAUCUGCCUACAAAGAAAUAAAAUGAGAGCAGAUAAAAGACAUUUGAGCAUUUUAUUUAGUCCAUUGUUCCAGUCUAUGUUAGUUGAUUGAAGUACAUUGUUUACUUGUUACAGCCGCAAGUGUUAUUACACCUGUGCAGGCUGAAACAGUAACUAUUAUACCCAGUUUAUUAAUGAAAAAGCGACCAUUUUUUGCAGUUGUGGUUAGGACAUAGACAAUCCUAUAUGUCAUUGUAGCUUUUCUGCAUGAGAUAUAACACUUUUAAAGGAAAAACACUGCAUUUACUAUGAAUAUAGAAUCAUUGCACUAUGAAUCAUGCUAUAAAGAUAGUGUGUUUGCCCUAUAAAUGACAUUGUAGUGUCAUGAAGGCAUUAUUUUUACUGCUUUUUAGUCAAAAAAUAUUAUUAAAAGUGUUGUCUUUUUUGUUUUUUGCGCCAAAAGUUGUUGGGUCUAGUUAUAAAAGUGUUGGGUUUGACUUGGCAGCUAGACUCAAUGCUAUUAGAUCCGACUUUUAGCCACACUCACCAAUCUUAGUUUGUCUGGGCCGCCAGAUAUUUUUUUAUUUAUUUUUUAUGGGGUUAUCACAAUCUUAUGACUCGGGACGAGAAUUUAACAGGUUAACCUGAGUUAAUCCGAGUCAAUCUAAUAUGUUUUUUUUUUCCUUAAUAUUUAUAAAAAAAAAUAUCAUUUUGAAUUUUUCAAGCGCGACAGUUACAACCAGAUACUAGCUAAAUUAUUGUUCAAACCUAUUAAAAAGUUUAGAAGACACUUGCAAAUAAACAAUCACACCAAAAGACAAAUAAGAAAUGAUAAUAAAUAAAUAAAAAGAAUUAAUUAAUAAUAUCACGGAAUUACCCAGAUUCAAAUUUAAAAUCACAAUCAAUUGAGUCCCAGUAAGCAACUAAUUUCCUUCACUCUCUCUCUCUCUCUGUCUCACUAAACCUUUCUUAGUUAUUUUAUUCUGAUUUUAUUUUUAUCCUCUUCUAAUUUUGUUUAUUUUUAUACUUAAUAAUUGAACAUGUUAAUGUUUUGACAAAAACCCUAUAUUUAUUUAUGCAAUCUACACAGAAUAGAAAACACGUCAUCACUUUCUCAAUGAAUGUUAGCAAAAGUACUCCAUUAAUAACAUUUCAAAAAGGAGGAAAGAGAGAAAGAAAUGAGAGAAGAAGGCAGGUUCAACCGAGCUCAAACAGGGAGAAUGAGAGAAAGAGGAGAGGAAAUGAGAAAGAAAAGAGAGGAGAAGAGAGGUCCAAACUCGAAGAGAGGAUAAAUGAGAGAAGAGGAAAAGGAAAGGGAGGAAGAAAUGUGAGAAGAAAGCAGGCCCAACCAGUGUAAUUAAUCACUACAUUAAUAUAAAUUGUCUGACUUGUUUAAAAAACCACUCUAAAAUUUACAGAGAGGUAUUGAUUUAGUGGACCAUUAUUUUAGAUGGAUAGUUUUUGGUUUGAAAUUUUUUUAAGUGAAAUAUUAUCAGAUUUAUUUAGCUAAUAAACAUAAUAUCUUAAUAUAUUUGAUUUUUUUAUAAAUAAAUCAAGAUAAUAGUAGUAGUAUGAAUCUUGACCUCGUAUUUUCUUUGGUUCUCCUAGUUGCAGGUUGGAAGAUGUUGAAAUUUAAAAGAUAAGGAGGCAGGCACGUAUCGAGGCAUUUGAGCCACAAAUUUAUUGACUACGUACAAGCUAUGUUGAAUGAUUAAUAUCACUAUAGCGUCGGCUGCUAAAAAGCAUUUUCAUGGAAAAGAAAAGUCUCAUAUACUUUUCAAUUUAUUGUGCACUAAAAGAGACCCACAUUGCUUGAAGUCCAUUCCAAACUACAGUAAAGUGCACUGAGAACUUCAUCAUCAAUUACUGUGAAAAAAAGAAGUAAUAGAGGUACAAUGGUCGUGAUCACACUUGGUUUUGAUAAGAUGAGUUGAAAAGUUUGAAAGACUUGCUGUAUACUUACAAGACCUCACUGAUCUCACAACAAGAAUUCACAGUUUUACUGACGGACAUAUUCUGUCGGUCUGUGAUUGAUAGGACGUCGGUAAAAUAUUUACCGAUUAAAUUACCGACGGAAUACGUCCGUCGGCUUAUCUUACGUCGGUGAUUCCCCAUUCCGUCGCUAUAUCGGUCGGCAAAACAAAAAAACCAUUUAGCGACGAUUUUACAGACAGAAAUUUUGCGCCAAAAAAAAAAAUUCCCGCUUCAAUAAUACCGACGGAUUGUUAUUCCGUCGGUGAUAUCACAGUGCACCGACGAUUACUAUCUGUCGGUAACUUAGUCGGUGAAUUGUUGAAAUACCGACAGAAUAUAGCGUCUGUAAAUUCGUCGGUAAGUUAUCAUACCGACGGACGUAAUCCGUCGGUAAAUCUGUUGGUGAGUCAUGAAAACACCGACAUAAUUUAUCCGUCUGGAAAUUUGUCGGUGAUGGUCGCGGCUACUAUCUAAUGCCAACGGAUAUAUUCCAUCGGUAAAUCCCUUUGUAAUGUUUUAUUUUUUUUAUUUUUUUAUAAUUAUUUAGAAUACAUAAUAUAAAAUGAUAUAAAUUAAUGGUAAUAAAACCAAUUAUGCAAAUAAAAUUUAUAUUAAGCAUCAAAAACAAAAAAUGAAAGAUAAAUAAUAUUCAUUACAAAAUGAAAUGUUUCAAAAAAACAUUAAAUGAAAUUUUAAAUGUAAAUAAUGUUUAUCAAAAAUUAAUAUAAAGGAGGAUGAGGAGGAUCAGGAGGAGGAGGAGGCUGGCUGUUAUGCGGCCAACUUGGAUUGGGUGCACAUGUUCCACCUUGUGACAUGUUUAUGACCAUUUGACGAAGCUCUUCAUAGGCCGCUCUUUGUUGUGCAGAUUCUGUUGGGUAUUGUUCUUUGAGUUGUGUGUACGCCUCUGAUAUCUGGUCGCACCUUUGCUGCAAGGCCACGUACUCCUUAGAUUGGGAGCUCGAUACUGAUUGGGAGCUCCCGACGGUUGAAGCAGUACGGGUCGUCCGCAAGUUGUCGGCCCUAGUGUUGGAGAGCCCGUAAACCCGAUUCUUAUCGGGUCCACCUGACGAUCCAGCCUCCAUCCAUAAAUCCGGAUCGAAUUCUGGAUGGGUCGAAGGAUCGUCCCCGUAUGUCUCCCUCAACCGAUUAUUAUAGGUCUCCUGAAAAUAAAAAAAAGUAAUCAUCAUAUUCAAUUCAAUAAACAUAAUAAUAACUUACAAAAUAAAAUGGUUGAAUAAACAUACCACAAAAUGUUGAGAGCGGCUGUCAACGAACUGUUGCACCCCCUUUUGACGGUCUUGACUCCGCACGUGCGUCUCCACAAACAGCUCCAUAGGGCUCGGCUCACGUCCAAGAGACGUAGCCUAUAAUUAAAAAAAUUUAUUAACAACAAAUUAAUUGAACAAUAUAUUUCAUUUAAAUUAAUCUUACCAUCCGUUUCGCAUGUGCAGCAAACAGAAUGGAGCCGCCGGUGUGCGUUGUCACCGAGCCAUGAAUUGGCCGAUUCCGAUUGCCAGCACCGGACUGUGAGCGUUGUGUGAACUGCUCAGACGUCACGUGCUCAAGAUAGUGCGGCCAUAUAUCCUCCGGGAUGUAUAGCGGUUUGAAAUCCCUCCAAACCGCAACAUCGUUCCAGCCUUGGAACCCCCUAUCCCUCACAGUUUUUUUUGCUUUUUUUUGGGCUUCGUACCAAAAAUCACGCAACCUACUUAACGCAAUCAAAAAUGACAUUUCAAAACAUAAUUUGUUUUGUAAAAAAAAAUUGUAUUGUGUUCGAUGUUACCUAGUUGCUGCGUGAUUUUCCCACACCCUCCUCACAACAUUGUUAUGUUCGUCGUUCCAGCAAAAUCGAUUCUGUGUAUAAAAAAUAAUUUUUAAAAAUGUUAAUAAUUUAUUUACAAUUAUAUUAAGAAUUUAUUAGAAAUAAGCUGAAAAUUAUAUAUUAACACGAACCUCAAAUCUGGAAAACCAUGCAUUGAUUUGAGGCAUCCAUUCAGGAUGCUUGGAUAUCUGACUCCAUUGAAACAAUGGAAUCUCCAUCGACGCUUUAAACACCGAUGAUAUUACUCGGGCGGCCUCAAUGUUUGUGAACCUAAAAAGAAUUCAAAUUAAUUAAAUAGUGACUUCAUAAAUUUGUUUUAAAUUUGUUUUUUUUUUAAAAAAAAAAAGUAAAAUCGUAACAAACUUACAUUGAAAGAUCGUCCUUCCAUUGUGCUUCGUACUUGUGGGUCCAUCGAUUCCGCUGCGAAGGCAUGCCGCUUCUGCGACAUGAAACAUCGCUGGAAGAGGCAGCAUCAACCGACGGCGCAAGUGGUGUAGGUGCCUCUCAAGGAGAGGCACCUAAGGAAAUGUCUUCGUCGCUGCUAGACGAACUAGGUGCGACCGUACGUGAAGCUCUGGUUUUCAUUCUCUGCAUUAUCUAACCAAUUUUAUAUAAAUAAUUAUAUAAUGCAAUUGAAAUGUUAAAAAAAAUUCGGCAACACCUCCCAUAUACUUGGAUACUACCCAAAUCCACAAACCUGCAAAUAUUAACAAUAUCCACAACCAAUUGACCCAAUCUAUACUAAUUAUUCCAACAUAUUCAAUUACUAAUCCUAAGGUAAAUUCUACAUUAACAAUAUUAAUUCAACAAAUUAUUAAAUAUUCAUUAUGGCAAUACAACAAUAAAAUAUAUUCAAUAAAUUUUAAAAAAAUAUAAACUAACAAUUAAAAACAUAUGCAAUUACUAAUUAUUCUAACAAAUGCAAUUACUAAUUCUAAGCUAAAUUCAACAUUAACAAUAUUAAUUCAACAAAUUAAUCAAUAAUUAUAUAUGGCAAUACAACAAUAAAUUAUAUUCAAUAAAUUAAAAAAAUAUAUAGACUAACAGUUAAAAUCAAUGGAAAUUACUAAUUAUAUUCAAUAAAUUAUAUUCUAAGGUAAUUAUUCAAUAAAUUAAAAAAAUACAAAUCAUGCAAUAAUAGAGUAAAAUUACUAAUUAUUCUAACAUAGUCAAUUACUAAUUCUAAGUUAAAUUCAACUUUAACAACAAAUAUUCAAUAAAUUAACUAAUACCAAUUAUAACAACACAACAAUAAAAAAUAAUCAAAAAAUUCAAAAAAAAACCUAUAUCAAGAAAAGGAACGAAAUAUACAUACCUUAAUAAUAUGUCCAAUUCAAAACUUUAUCUACAUUACAAAAAAAUACACCAAAACAACAAAAUAACAAAUAUAAAAAAAACUACAACUAAAAUAAAAGAAAAUAAAAUAAAAUAGAAAAAACCACAUACCUUUAUUCAAAUCUUGCAAGAGAUUCAAGGUGAAAGCCUUGAAGGAUUGAGAGUAAAAAAUUGGAAAUUAUAGGGCAGUGGAGGAGAAGAAAAACGGAGGAGAAGAAAAAAUGAGGGGAAGCGGCGGGCGCUGGAAGUUAUAGGUUUUAUGGCAGAUUUACCGAAGGAAAUUAAAAAAAUAUUAUUAAUUUUUUAAAUCCGUCGGUAAAAGUUAAAAAAUCCGUUGGUAAUUUUUGAAUUUCAAACCGAAUUUUUUAAUUGCCCUCCAAAAUUUUUGCGGUCCGUCGGUAACAUGACACGGUCAAAGGUGCAUUUAAUUCACACCAUUUGGAAUUCGCGCAUUCCGUCGGUGUUUUUGUCGGUAAAUGUGCCCACCGACAACUUACCGACGGAUACAUUCCGUCGGUAUAGACGUCAAUGAUUGUGGCAUUUCGGUGUGAUUAUUUUCGAACUCUCUGUGAGAUGCCAACAGACAUAAGUCCGUCAGUAUACACGUCGGUGAUUGUGGCAUUUCGGUGUAAUUAUUUUUGAACACUCUGUGAGAUGUCGACGGAUGUUUUUCCAUCGGUAAGGGCGUCGGUGAUUGUGGCAUUUCGGUGUAAUUAUUUUCGAACUCUCUGUGGGAUGCCGACGGACGGUGGUCCGUAUGUGUUGGCGUCUAUAAAUUCGUCGGUAUGGACGUCGGUGAUUGUGGCAUUUCGGUGUAAUUAUUUUCGAACUCUCUGUGAGAUGCGGACGGACUUACGUCCGUCGGUAUGGACAUCGGUGAUUGUUCAAUGUACAAGAGGUGUUGUGUUUGUAUUUUCUAUUUACCUUCCUGCAAAAAUUUCAAUGAUAAACUGUCCAUCACACAAAACAAUAGCAACAAUGCUUAAACAAUAAAUAUGUAUUUCAUGUUUAAAAAUAUAUCAUCCAUAAUGUAAAUUACAUGAAGAAAAGGGUUUUACACAGGGCUUCGUUUUGAUAGUUAGUCAGAAUUAUCUUCUUCUUCGUCAUCAAUUGAAUUGUCAUCACCUUCAUCACAAUCUUCAAUAUGGAUAUCAUCUUCUUCAUUGACAUUUGCUUGUCCGCUAGAGCUCAAAACAACGUUCAACUCCUCAACGUCAACAUCAACAAGACUAUCAUCGGAAACACGAAAAUUUGAUUUUUCUUCCAAUUCAAUCGAAGGAGCAACUCGAUAUGGUUCAACCAACUCACUAACUUGAAAGACUUCAUCCCGCACACUUGUUUCUUCGUUCUCAUCAUGAUCAACAACCUCGACACGACCCCGUGGUUUCGUUUUUAAAACGGAUAACCAAUCAACUCUUGAUCGAUCCUUUCUAAAUGAAGGGGUGUAUGUGUAAUAAACUUGUUGACAUUGCUUUGCGAAAACAAAGACAUCAUUUAUGUUGCGGAGUCUAGCUUUUGAGUUGAUUUCAACCAGACCAUGGUGCGUAUCAACUCUGAUUCCUCUGUCCGUUGUGUCAUACCAAUAGCAUUUGAAUAAAAACAAUGUAUUCUGCUCUCUAUGAUAUUGUAGUUCGACAACCUCUUCUAAUCUACCAUAGUAGUCAACUUUUAACUCACUACUUGUGGAUCCUUUAACACAAACACCACAGUUGUAUGUCUUUCUUCCUUGCCCGUAUUCUUCAAUAUGGAAAACAUAUCCAUUGACAAAAUACUCGUUGUAGCACUUAACUUUUCUUUCAGGCCCGAGGCUUAGUAUUACACAUAUAUAAACUUACUGGAUAAAUGGUCUCAGCUCAUCACAGUUAAACAGAACAUAGUUGUGUGCUUGUUUGAAUUCUAUUUCCGAAAAAUAUCUUCCUUGUAUGGCAUUUUUAGGUGUGGGUCGUCCAGUUUUGGAGAAUAUUGACAAGUUCCCACUGGAAGGCACUUCGCCGCCAUCAUCAUGCCGUGGAACGCGAUUGAUUCUUGUUCUCAUAUGAGGUUCGAAAUAGUACGAGAUAAAUGUUGAUAUCUCUUCAACAAUAUAGGCCUCACAUAUCGAAGCCUCAACAUGCGCCUUGUUCUUAACCUUUUUCUUGAGAUUAAACAAGUACCUGCAUUGAAUUACAAUUCAAGUAUUUCCAAUUAAGAAAAACAUAGAAAAAACUUUUAGAUAUGAAUUCAAUUGCAACUGUAAUAUCUCACCAUUCGAAUGGGUACAUCCAUCUAUACUGGACCGGUCCUCCAGCUUUUGCCUCGAACAGUAGAUGUAUAGGGAGAUGCUCCAUUGAGUCAAAAAAUGAAGGAGGGAAUAUCAUCUCAAGUGUGCAUAGUAUCUCGAUGAUAUUCGUUUGAAGCCUCUCAAUGUGCUCAACAUUCAACUUGCGAGAGCAUAUAUCUCUGAAGAAAUGACUGAUCUCCGUCAGUGCAUCCUAUAUUCUCUUUGGCAACAAAUCACAAAAAGCUAAUGGGAUGAGUGUUUACAUAAACACGUGGCAGUCAUGACUCUUCAUUCCAUAUAAUUUGCAGUCCUCUAUGUUAACAAGCCUUGAUAUGUACGAUGCAUGUCCAUCCGGAAAACAUAGACUCUUAAGCCAUUUGUAGACUAGCAGUUGUGCAUUUUUCUCUAACACAAAGCUUGCCCUUGGUUUUGCGACCCAUGACUCCUCAUAAACCAACUCCAUAUUUUUACAGUUACAGUAUAAAGCUAUAUCCAAUCUAGACUUGAUGUUGUCCUUUGUCUUCCCCUUCACAUCCAUGACGGUGUUGAAAAUAUUCUCAAACACGUUCUUUUCGAUGUGCAUGACGUCAAGGUUAUGGCGAGAAGAUUGGUCUUCCAAUAAGGAAGCUCCCAAAAGAUACUUCGCUUUACCCAAUUAUGGGUCAAACCAAAACCAGGAAACUUUUGCUUACCUGAUUGAAGGCCAAACACAAUGUCACCGUACUCUGAUACAACAUGAUGCAAUUCUUCACCAGAAAGACGCGGGGAUGCAACAUCUUUUUCAACUCUGCCAACAAAGAAAUCUUUUCUGUUCUUUCUGAACCUGUGAUUAAGUGGCAAGAAGCGACGGUGACAGUAAAAAAAGAAGCUUUACCUCGUUUGCUAGCGUGAAUGCCUUGUUGUUUUCCAUGCAGUAUGGACAUGCGAGUUUCCCAUGUGUGCUCCAACCAGAAAGCAUUCCAUAAGUUGGAAAAUCAUUGAUAGUCCACAUCAAAGCCGCCCUCAUAAGGAAAUUUUGUUUCCUCGAUAUAUCAUAAGUCAGAGCUCCGGAGGACCACAACUGCGCCAGCUCAUCUAUCAACAGUCAAAGACAAACAUCUAUAUUCCAGCCCGGGCUGCUUGGACCGGGUAUGACAGUAGAUAAAAACAUGAACUCCGACCUCAUACACAUUCCCGGUGGCAAGUUAUAAACUGUGAGUAUGACUGUCCAACAAGAAUAGGGAGCAGAAAAUGAACCAAAUGGGUUAAAUCCGUCUGUACACAACCCAAGACGGACAUUCUUUGAUUCAGCUGAAAAGUCAGGAUGUACACUGUUAAAGCGUUUCCACGCUUCGCCGUCAGAAGGAUGCACCAUCACACCAUCAACCACAUCAUGUGUUUGGUGCCAUGUCAUGUGCUCAACAGUCCUUCGUGUCAUGCAAGUUUUUUUAUAUGCCAUUAGAGUCUUUCCCCUACCAGUUCUGGGUUUGUAACGGGAAUGCCCGCAUGUAAUGCACUCGGUCAUCUCAACAUUUUCAAGGUAUUAUAACAUGUAGAAGUUUGGAACAUGUCAAUUUUCUGGUAUCCUAAACCGAGGGGUUUCAUCAUGGACUUCGCAGCAUAGAAGUUCUCUUUGAGCCUGUUCCCUUCAGGUAAAAUGCUUCUUGCCCAAUCAAUAAUUUUGUCAUACCCGACCUCACUCAGCCCGUGAUCUGACUUGAUGGUGAACACUUGUGCCACGGCCGACAAUUUACUAUGGUUUGUGCAGCCAUCCUAUAAUGGUUCUUCAGAAUCUUUCAACAAUUCAAAAAACCUAGUUACCUCUGCAUUAGGUUCUUCUUCUACGAUUGGACAUUGACUGACAUUACCUUGAUUCAUUCUCAUUGCAUCCAUAACCAUGUUUCUGUAAGGAUUAGUGUUGUCAUUUGCGCUUCAUGCACGUUGCUAGCACUAGAAGUUGACCCAACCACCGUUUCUCCCAUUCUCCUAUUACUAACAAAUACCUCUCCAUGUGCAUACCAACACUGGUAAUCCUCCACAAACCCUUUGUGUAGAAGAUGCAUCAUUACAACAUCUGGAUGCAGAUACUUUUUAUUUUGACACUUCCUGCAUGGACACCUAAUACCGCCUCCAGUAAAAAAAGAGAUGUUGCGAAAUUAAUAAAACCCUGAACCCCGUUACAAUAAUCCAUCCUCCGCAAUCCUUGGGGUGAAUCUAGAUACAUCCAUGAACGAUCAUCCAUGACUUCUAUCGAACCUCUAUAAAAUUAUGAUGACAUCAUGUAAUUAAUUAACUAAGUUAGGUAAAUAAACUUGUAAAAUAUAUUACUUUACCUCGAGAUUAUCCAACAAACCAAUCACAACUUCUCAUAAAUAUUAAAUAUUCAUUAUCAUUUAUCAACGUCCAUAAAAUUAAUAUAUAUAAUAUAUAUAAAUUAACAGAAAUUACCACUCUGCAAUACCAUCGAUAAAACUUAAAAAGGACCCAUUAAGCAAGCUAUUAAUUAUUUCAAAACAUAACAUGUAAUUCGGUAAUUCCACAAAGUUUUAACAAUUUACAAACAAAUACAAUCUUACAAAAUCUAAAACAAACCAUAACAGGUAUAAAAUUAUACAUUCAUAAACUACAAGUUUGUUUGAGAAAUAACAAUAAAACAUGUACAUCUACUAAAAAAUACAUAUACUAAAAAAACAAUAAAAUUGACAUUUAAAUGUUAAAAUUUAAAAGAUAGAAUUACUUACAAAAAUUGAUAAAAUCCGUCGGUAAAUCAGAACACGGAUGUGUGACCACAAAACUUCAAGAAAUACAACUUGCUGAGAUGAGAAAGAUUUUUUUUGGGGCGAGGGGGGCUGGUUAUUUGCAGAUGGGGAGACUUAGGAUUAGGAAGAAGAAGGAGAAAUGGGGGAGGAGAGUGUCGGGCAGGCCAUAUAUUCACUUUUUCGACGGCCUCACCGACGAAUAACACCGUCGGUGACUCCGUCGCUAAUUGACGGGGAAUCGACACGUCACCGCACGGACCUGCUUUUUCAAAUCCCUCGGUGAUUCCGUCGGUAUUUUUGACGGUGCACCUGUCACGUCACCCGUACGGAUCUGGCAUUCAAAUCCGUCGGUAUUUUUACGGUGAACGGUCACGUCACCCGUACGGGUCCCAUUUUGAAUCCGUCGGUGAUUCUGUCGGAAAAAUCACCCGCCAAAAGCUCUGCCUCAGGUACCCGCCCUUUUUUCAUUAAUUCUGAACUUUCCGUCCGUAAUUCGGUCGGUAAUUACCGACGGAAUCUAACCGUCGGUAAUUACCGAUGGACUUACGGACGAAAAUAUUCCGUCGGUAGUUUCGACCGAAAAAUACUGACAGAAAUAUGUCGUCGGGGAUUCCGUUGGUAUUUAGCGAAUUUCUGGUAGUGUCUGAUCUCAAUACAUACAUAUAUAUAUAUAUAUAUAUAUAUAUAUAUAUAUAUAUAUUACUGUGAAAACAAAGUAAUACAGUGCUAGCAAGGUUGUUCUUACCGUCUCCUAGAUGUAGCUGAUCAGAAGCAAGCAAAGUAAUAGAGCUCGAGAAACUGAUCAUCACCAUAACUUGGCAAAGCUGAAACAACAUUACCAUCUUGUGCUGAAAACUGGCAGAAAGAGCUCGAAUAAGUGUUCUCUUUGUCGAUAUUUGUAUUCAAUUUUAACUUUUUACGAUCAUUAUAAAAGAUUUAUUUCUUUUUAAAGAGUUAUUGGUUUUCCAUAACAUGUCAAUAGUUUUUUUAAUUUCUCUAUCAUAUAUAAUUUAUUUAAAAUUAUAUUGAUAUUGCAUCUUAAAAAAAUUUAUAUUAAAGAUUAAAUUCCAACAAAUGUUUAACUCUAAAAAUAAUUGGAUUUCAUUUUUAAUUUUGUCUAAAAUGUACCUAUAUAAUUUUAAAUAAAAUUCUAACAAUCGCCUUCAUAAAUAUAAAUUGUCUAAAAAAAUUAAAAUUGAUUCUAAAAUUUGUAGAGAAAUAUUGAUUUGGUGGAUCACUAUCUUAAAUGAAUAAUUUUUUAUCUUAAAUUUUUUUAAGUAAAAUACCAUCAGAUUUACUCAAUUAAUUAAAAUAUUUAUUUUUUAUAUAUAAAUCAAGAUAAUAAUAGUCAUAUGAAUCUUCUCCUCGUAUUUUCUUUGGUUCUCCUUAGUUGCAGGUUGCAAGAUGUUGAAAUUUAAAAGAUAAGAAGGCAGGCGUAUAUAGAGGCAUUUGUGCCACAAAUUUAAUGACUGCAAGCUAUGUUAGAGUGUUAUUUACAAUAUAAAUACUCUAUAAUUACAAUGCAAUGAAUUUAUGCUCAUAGUAAAUGCCCAUUAUUUUCCCCUUGCGUUUUAAUAUAUAUAAGCAUAGCAACAAUUAAACACCGAUUGGGAACGCGGUGCAAACCGCGUUCCCAAAAAAUUCAAAAAAAUUAUUUUUGGUUACAAUUUAUUAUAGUUUGUAUAUUUUAGAUCGUUUUGAUGUGCUGAUAUAUAUAUAAGCAGAGCAACAAUAAAAACAGUGAAAAUCUUUUUUCUAUUUAUUUCUAUGUUUUAAAAAUGUUUUUAAAAAAAUUUAAAAGUGUUUCUUCUAUUAAUUAAUUAGCUAGCAAGGUUAUUCUUACCUUCUCCUGGAUGUAGCUGAUCAGAGGCAAGCAAAGUUAUAGAGCUCGAGAAACUGAUCAAUAUCACCAUAACUUGGCAAAGCUGAAACAUCAUUAACAUCUUGUGCCCAAAAUUGGCUAGAAAAGCUCCAAUCAGUUUUGAAAAAAAACAUAUUUUUGUGUUUUUUGAAAUUAGGAAAAAAAAUUUGAAUUUUUAUUUUGAAAUUCCAGAGAAAAAUAAAGUAUUUUUGAUAUCGGGUUUGUAUCUUAUAGUGUAAGUCUACAAUCUAAUAUUAGGCAAAAACUAUUUUCAAAAACACGUGAGGAACCCACAAAUAAUUUCAAAAUGGUCAUUGAAUUUGUUUUUCAGAAUCUUCUUUUUGAAAUUUUUAAGGGCCUCUUUUACUAAACCCCAAAAUAAAAACAAAUUUAAACUAAAAAAAAAAAAACUUAGGGCAAGUUUGCCAAAAGCGUUCUUAGCCUAAAAUUAGAGACAUUAAAAUUUCUUAAGGUUGUGUUUGGCAACACGCCUUAAGGACCCAAACAAAGCCUUAUUUCCUUAACAAAAUUGAUUGACACAAGUCAAAGGCACCUUUAGCUUUUGGGUUUGGCUUAGCCUAGCCACAUGGGUUGGCCUAUUGAGUUGGCUUGAGGCCUAAACCCCCACAUGGCUUAAGACCUACCCAACUUGAUUUUUGUUGGGCCAAAAGAUGUCCCAAAAGGCUUUUGUCUUAUAAACCUAUCCUAACCACAAGGUGAUAGGACCUUAAGUCAAGAAGAAAUGAACAUUCAAAAUCUUGCUUACAAAUUGUCUUCAGGACCUUAACUCCAAUAUACAAAAAUCUUUAAACUAAGGUAAACACAUUCCAACUAGGAACAUGAAGGUUUUUUUUUCCCCAAGUAAUAACCACACAAAACAUGGUUCAAUUUAGCUAAGGAAAAACUCUUGUCCAUUAAAUUCUAUAUUGGCUAUGAACUCGUAAAUAUUCUUAUUAUAUUGCUCACAUCUUAUAAGCCUUAAAAUUUCACCCCCUUCCAAUAUAGCUAAAUAUAUUUCCUGCUAGCAUAUCUUAUUUUUAAGUUCAACUCAGAAUCAAAACUCAUUAAUUAUAUGUAAGCAACACAAUUAAGGUUAAUAAAAUAAUGUCACACGAAAUUGUCUCAUCAAUAAUAAUCUUCAUAACUUUACUAGUUCAUAUCUUUUCCCAUAUCUUUGAUCUAAUUUGGCCACAUCAUAGGACUAGAGCCUCACAUUUAUUCUUAUUACGAUAUGAUCUAUGUCUUAGCAUGGUGGGUUGCAAAGAUCUUUAUUGUUUGUUUAUCAACAUGAUCUUCCUUACUAAUGAUUCCAACAUUAAGUUUCAACCACUCUUUUAAUGUUACGGAGAGAUGAUAAUUUGCUAACAUCACUAUCAUCAUCUUAAGCAUUAAGUUGGUGCAAUUAUGCACACUUCUUCCUGUUAUGAUUGUCACAUUCGGACAUCGCGACAACCCGAUUAAAAAUUUUUUAAGGAAAAAGAAUAGAUAUUUGACAUCUUAUUCUUUAGGAGAAAAAAGUAUGUUUUCAGAAGUUGUCACCUAGUAUUAUGAUAAUUAGAAAACCUAAUUGGUUAACAUAGAUUCUAUGGUACGAGACUGCUUACGCGAAAGGAAAGAUACUAUCACCCCUUAAGCGUCCUACUUGAGGCAAGCUGCUUUGUUGGUUUUGUCUUAAAUUGCUAAAAGUUUUUUUUUUAUUAUGCUUUUCAUGGUCUGCCUAGGAUAUUCCUGACUCUAGCGUAAGUGAAUACUCGACUACAAAUAUUUUCAACUCUAGCAUUAGUAAAUAUUACGCAACCCAAAAAGUAUAGCAUUCCUAACUCUAAUGCUAGUGAAUAAACCCAUAAAAUUUGGAUUAAAAGAAAAAAAACUAUUUUUAUUAUCUUUUUUGGGGGGCUGGAUCGAGCCUAGCCGCACAGCCUGUGCUGGACCCAAUUGGCCUGAUCUAAUUAGCUCGACCUGGUCACUGGCCCAAGCCAAUGACCCGGCUGGUCACUGUUGCAUGUAUGCGUGAACUAUUCACGUAUGUUGUGCAUGGAGCGAAGGUAAUUUUAAUUACCUUCGCACAAUGUCGAAUACAAAUUACAAAGCAAAAGGAACAUGUCUGGUUCUGGAGACGAGGGGUGUUUAGGAGUGUGGUAGCAGUUGCUUUCCAAAGUGAUUUUCAUUCUAAAAUACAUUAAAAUAACUUUUUUAAAAAAUAAUUUUUGAUAACAACACUUUAAAAUGAUAUGAAAAUAUCAAAAAAUAUUAAUUUAAAGCAAAAAAAAAUAAAAAAAAUUAUUUUUUUUAAAACACUUCUAAAACGCAAUACCAAACAUUAUUUAUUGUUUUUCGUUCACUUCCUCUAUGUUCUCUCUUUUGGUCUCCUAUUCUCUCUAUUUCUGUGCUUGGUGUGUUAUCUCUUUUGGUCUCCUUUCGCUCCCUCUGUCCCUUUGUUACAUUAAAAUAAUUUUUUUAAAAAUUUUUUUUGAUAACAACACUUUAAAAUGAUAUGAAAAUAUCAAAAAAUAUUAAUUUAAAGUAAAAAAAAAAACAAUUUUAAAAAAAACACUUGUAAAACGCAAUACCAAACAUUAUUUAUUGUUUCUCGUUCCUAUUCUCUCUAUUUCUGUGCUUGGUGUGUUAUCUCUUUUGGUCUCCUUUCGCUCCCUCUGUCCCUGUGUUUUCGUCCGUUUUUUCUGUCUCCUCUAGUAUUCUUCUGUCGUCCUGUACCUGUGUUUUCGUUCCUUCUCUUUCGUGUCUAUCUUCUCCUCUGGUUCUUUCUGUGUUUGUCUCUGUUUUGUCUUUCGUCUUUCAGUUCGUCCUCUCGGUUUCUUCGUUCUCUGUUUUUUUUGGUUGUGGCCUUCUCCUGGAAUGCUCUGUUUCUGGUGCAGUAGCUACUGAAUAUGGAGACCUAGCGUAAGGGCGUCCCUGCUGGUGAUCCUAGAGGCUGAUUUUCAGCUAAGGAGAAGAACUCUUGGAGUUUACAGGUUGCUGCUAUUGCUGGUUGGAGGCUGGUGUUCAGCUCUGCUAUGGCUGAUGAGGAAUGGUAUUAUAGCUGCGCCUGUGGUGAGUGAACCGGCAGCCCUUAUGGUAUUCUUGUUGGGUGACUGAACUACGGUGACAAUGAUUUAUGGACUGGUGCAGUCGCUGGUUGGAGCUGCUGCCAUUGGGAGAAGAGAGAUGGAGCAGCACCGGUUGAGACGUGGAGGAACUGGCCACGGGGGAGAAAGCUGCGACCUUCGGUGAUGGCUCAAUGACCUGUAAUGGUUCUUAGUUUAAGAAAAGGUUGUGGUGGCCAUUUUUUGUUAGGGUUGCUCAGCCAUGCAACCGAUUGGGCCUUUUUUUUUUUUAUAUAUAUUCUUCUACUUGGGUUUUCUUGCAAUGUAUUCCCCAAAGGUUUCUUGUUAUGGUCUCUCCCUUUUGGUGGAGAUUUGAAUAGGGUGAGAUAUUAGAAAUAAAAUCCAAAAUAAAUUUAUUAUUAUUUUUAAAAUUUAAUUUUGAUUAAAAAAAUGGAUAUUAUUAUCUAAGAUAAAAUAAUUAAAAUAUAUUGUAUCUCUUCUUUAAUUUUUUAUUAUUAUAAAUCUUAAAUUUUAAUUUUGAUUAAAACAAAUCUCAUAUCUUUUAACUUUAUAUUUUACCCUCUAUAAAAUUGAAUUAAAAACUAAUUGGCUAAAAUUAGAUUAUAACAAUGAUCAUCCAGUAUGUAUACCCUUUACCAUUAAUCCCUUUUAAAGUUACAAAGUCUACUAGAACACAAUCAGCCAUUAAUCUCUUUCAAAUUCACAAAUUCCAUUUCAGUACUCUAAAACCAAAUAUAACAAACCGUGAUUUCAUGGUAAAAAUUCCACCCCGAAUAAUUCCAACUCUGGCGUUGGUAAAAAUUACAUAGCUAUAAAAUAAAUUAGAUCAAUAUUUUUUUAUUCCCGACUCUAGCGCCAGUGAAUAAAUAAAUAAAAAUAAAUUUAUUUUUACUCAUGCAAAUAUUUUUAUUUAUUAUUUAUUUUUCUAGCUAGAUAAAAUAAAAUACAAGGAAUAAAAAUAAUAUAAAUUUAAACCGGUAUUUUUAUUCCUGACUCUGACGUCAGUGAAUAAACCAAUAAAUUUACAUUAUUUUUAUUCAUGCAUACACAUUUUUUAUUUUUUUAUUUUUUGGGGCUCGACCCAGUCAGCCCGGCCCGGUCACUGGCCCAAGCCCAUGACCCGGCUGGGCCAAGGACUCCAACUAAGUCCCUUCUGCGUGUGCACAGUGCUUGUGUAAUUAAAAUUGCAUGUGCACAGUGCUUGUGUAAUUAAAGAUGGAAAAAAGAAGGAAAGAUGCAAACUUACCUGGUGCAGCUGCGGGCUGAAGACGAAGACGAUGGUGUCGACCGGUUAGCUCUGGCCGGCAGACACUACUUCCUCUCCUUUGUCCUUCUUCUAUGUUUUUUUUCUUUUUGUGUUGGAUCCCUCUGCUCUGUCUCCUCUGCGCGUCUUCUCCCUGCUCGUUCGUGCUCUCUGUUUUUCUUUGUAUUCGUCUGUUCGGAGGGGAGGGGGUGCCACAACCGGAGACGAGGCUGAUGCUCAUGCGUUGGCUGGCCGAUGCUCCUCUCCGCUUCUGUCACGUUUUCUUCUCCAGUUUUCGUGUUCUCUCUGCUCUCCCUUUUCUCCGUGGCCUCCUCUGUUUCUUUGAGAAGAAACAGGGGAACGAAAGUCUGCUCUCUAUUUCUCUUCACUCCUUCGUUUCCCCUGGUUCCUCAGUCCUUGUGAUAGAGAACAGAGGACGAUGCUAGCUUCUCCUUUGAAUUUGGGACUGGGUUUUUGCUCUGUGUGUGGCUUCCUUCCCCGUUUCCCCCUGUUUCUCUGCCCAGUCUUCUCCGUUCAAGACAAAGACGAUGGUGGUAACAGCACGAGGUGCUGCUGGUUGAUGGACCAAAAUAUUCACUGGUUCUGUUUCUCUCCCCUCAGCCCCUUUGUUCUGUCCCCUGGUUCUUUUCCCCCCCUGUUCUUUCGUCUCCUCUGUCUCUUUUUUAAGAAACCAGAGGCCACAAACGUCCGCUCCUUUUCUUUUCCUCUUAGUCUCCUCCACCCCCUCGUCGGUUCUCCUUCUCUGGUUUUUAAAACCAGAGAAUGCCAUGCGGUGGCAUGAUUUUAAUGCAGGGCAUCCGUUUCUUUCUUUCUUUUAUUUCCGGUGAAGAAGAUGAACAGUGUUGAUUGCCAUUUGCAUUUUGGUCAUUGAUGUUUUGAAAGGUUUGUAAUUAAGCCCCUGGAUAAAUUUUAAUUGGACCCCUGCAUUUCAGUAACCUUUACAAAACAGUCCCUGGAUUUUAAUUCAUUGCAAAUUUGACAAGAAUCAACCCUAUACUUUGAUAAUUUUCAAUUAAACCCCUGAUUUGAUUAAUUAAAUUAAUUCCAAGCUCAAUCAAGUCUCAAAACUUAUCAAUUCUCCAAUUAAACUCUUGAUUUGAUUAAUUAAAUUAAUUCUAAAGUUUAACUAAACCUCAAAACUUCCAAUCAUGUUGCCAUUAACCCAAAUUUCAAUUCAUUCUUCAUUUAUUUUAUUUUUACUUGUUUUUCUUCAUUUUUUCAGUAAUUAAAAUAAAAGGAUAAAAAAUUGGGUUAUGACAGCUACCCCCUUUUUAUAAUAUUUACUAUGCAAAGAUAUUAGAAAAUUUCAUUUUCUUUUAGCUUUGUGUAGUAAAUUUAUAAAGAAAAGUUGAUACAAAAAAAACUUUUGCUUCCUUUUUUGGAGUCUUGAAAACUUCAAAAAUAGUAGAUCGACUUAUGACUUUUACAGGGAGAUGUAGAAAUCAAGAAACAAGUCAUUUGGGAGAUGACUCACUUUUUUUUGUUUUUUUUUUUUUAAAUAUGGAUUAAAUUGUUUUGGGCAACCUGCCCGAUGAUAAAACAACGCGAAGAAUUUUGCGAGUGGUCUAAUUGUUCCAGACGACCUGCUCGAUGUUUGAAAAAUACGAGGAUUUUUCAGAUUGGUCACAUUGUAAUGGGUUACCUGCCCAGUGAAAAAAUACGAGGAUUUUUCAAAAAAUAAUCACAUUGUAAUGGGUUACCUGUCAAAGGAGAAAAAUACAAGAAUUUUUCAAAAGUGGUCACAUUGUAAUGGGUUACCUGCCCAGGGAGAAAAAUACGAUGAUUUUUCAAAAAGUGGUCACAUUGUAAUGGGUUACUUGCCCAGUGAAAAAAUACGAGGAUUUUUCAAAUGUGGUCACAUUGUAAUGAGUUACCUGCCUAAUGGAAAAAAUACGAGGAUUUUUUAAAAGUGGUCACAUUGUAAUGGGUUACUUGCCCAGGGAGAAAACUACGAUGAUUUUUCAAAAGUGGUCACAUUGUAAUGGGUUACCUGCCAAGUGGGAAAAAUACGAGGAUUUUUCAAAAGUGGUCACAUUGUAAUGGGUUAUCUACCUAGGGAGAAAAAUACGAUGAUUUUUCAAAAAUGAUCACAUUGUAAUGGGUUACCUGCCUGGUGAAAAAAUACGAGGAUUUUUCAAAAGUGGUCACAUUGUAAUGGGUUACUAGCCCAGUAAAAAGAGAAAGGAAAAAUACGAAGGCGCACUCGAAGGAGGUGAGGGCUCGAAGGCGCACUCAAAAAAAUGGUUGAGGGCUUGAAUGCACACUCAAAAGAAUGGUUGAUGGCUCAAAGGCGCACACGAAAAGAAGCGAGGGCUCAAAGGCGCGCUUGAAGCGAAGCGAGGGCUCAAAAGCGCGCUCGAAAAGGAAGCGAGGGCUCAAAGGCGCGCUCGAAAAGAAAGGUAGGGUUAGGAAACGCAAUACCUUGGAUGAUCAAGGGCUUGAAGGCGCACUUGAAAGAAAAUGAGGGCUCGAGAAGGUGCCUUAAAAAAGAUGAUAGAAGGCUCGAAGGCGCAUUCGAAGGAGGUGGAAAAACACAGAGAUUUUUCAGGUGGCCUAAUUCUCAUGGGUGGCCUGUCCAGAUUGAAAAAUUCUCAAAAAUAAAAAUUUUCAACAUCAAUUUUGAUCUUUGGCCAUUUCAAGUUAGCCUUCCACUUGAUGGAUUCCGCCAGAAUUUUCUCUUACGAAAUUUACAAAACUCAUUAUCCAAUGUCUCAAAGUUUAGAUGAUAAUGCAUGCAUCUUUACCUGAUUUGAAAUAUAGGCCCCCAUUUCUUCUUAGUCUUCUUGUUGCUUGACUGAUGAGGACUUGCUACCUCUGAUUUGGGUCAUCUUUGUCGUUUGGCUUCUAGCCCACUUGAGUUGGCCCAUGUAAGUUUAUUUUCAAAUUUAUUUGCACAACUCAGCCUUUGUGGUGCCCAUAUUAACCCACUUGUUUGCUAAAAAUUUUAUGACUCGUCAAAUAAUUUGAGAGGAUCAUUUAUUACUCCUCGUCUCACUACUAAAAACAUUCGGUGUCACUAGCUGAAAGGAUUAAGUUGUCUUUUGUAAACCAAAAUGCCCCCCUUAUCUGGUUGAAGGAAAUUACCAUCUCAUUUUCAAGAAUUUUUCCUUCUAAACACAAUGUUGCCCCCUUGUAUUGGUUAUUGCCCCUAAGUGUUCUUUGUCAGCGACUUAGACAAAUAAUGAUUUUAAAAGGCCAUUCUUUCAUUUCUCUCCUUUUCACUUUGGUGAAGAAAUAUGGGUCUAGAAUGAAUCUUGAAAUAAUGAUCUUGCAUUUGAAAACAAAAAUUAUUUUGAUGUGAGUCGAAAACAAUUUGCACUUGUUUCAAAGAAAAUCUAUCGUGAGAUGACUUUUUGUUUCAAAGUAAAGGGCUCGAGAUAAAGCUCGAGGUUUUGUAUGAGAAAAAUUUAUUUCUUUUUGAACAUUCAUUUUAAUACUACCUAGUAUUCUCCCUUAAAUGUUUUUGAAAAUUCAAAAAAAAAUCUCAAAAUUUUUAAAAAUUAAUUUUCUCUGACAAAAACAAAAAAUAUUUUAUUUUCAUGCAUAUGACCAAACCCUAAAAGUUUUCCAAGCAUAUUUUCAUAAAAAAAAAACAAAAAUUACAUCUUUCUCAUGUUUGAAAAUGUAAAAUGGAUGACAUGACCAGUUUAUGAUUAUCUCUUAGGGUUUAGCUAAAGCACCAAAAAUCCUUCACUAAUCAUUUUGUUCAUUUUAUAUUUAAAGUGUUAGGAUUUGGCGGUAUAAAAUUACAUUGUAAAACAUACUCUUAGAUAUUAAAGAUACAAAAUACAAAAUAAAUAUGAUGCUAAAAUUUAGACUUUAGAACGGUUAGGAUUUAGCUCGAUAAGAUAGAGACUUCCUUACGAAGGGAAAUCUACUUUAAACCUUAGACGAGACCAACAAAUAUAAACACAACCUGUAAAAACAAUCAAACAACAAUGCAGUUUACCUUAUGUAAAGUGCACCGUGGAUGAUGUAUCUUCCCCUUACACAACCAGUCCCUUAUCUAGACUCUUAUAGAUCAUAGAUUUUCUAGUAACUAUAAUACUAGGUGGUGAUUCCUGAAUCCAAUAAUUAUAAUUUUAUGAUUAUACCCAAACCCUUUUUUUUGACACACACCACUCAAGAGCUAGACGUUGCCGUCCCUCGACGCCCUCCCUCUCGCUCGCCCCGCAACAAUAACAAAAGUGAAUAUCAUUAUUGGUUAUUGGUUGAUAACACGACCAAUCAGAGUCUCACUCAAAUGAAACUAAACUUAAAAUACCAUAAUGAGAGCAGAACAAAAGUGAUGCUCUCCAAAUUAAAGUUUCUUUAUUAUACCAAAAUGUAUUAAGCACUUGUCCUUGCAAAGACUUUGUCACCACGAAGAUUGUUGUGACAUGUACGUCGUUGAAUGACAAAGCUACCUCCUAGAAUGAAAGAGUUUGAGUUUAAUCAUAAAGAUAUGAUUUAAGGGAGUCGUUACCUAUUAUUCUGGUUACUAGAAAACCUAUGGUCUGCGAUAAUCUGAAUAAAGAAACUAGUUGUGCAAGGGAAAAACAUAUUAUCCCUAGUGCACCCUACCUAAGGUAAGCUACAUUGAUGAUUGAUUAUUAAUCUAAGUCAUGUUUUUGUCCGUUGGUCUCAUCUAAGUUUCAAGGUAGAUCUACCUUAUCUGGUUAUAUCCUAACCGUUCUAAGGCUAUAUUUUACCAUCACAUUUAUUUUCUCUUUUGUAUCUUUAAUAUCUGAGGGUAUAUUUUAAAGUGUAAUUUUAUACUCCUAAAUAUUAAAGUCUAUAACUAAAUCCUAAUACUUUGAAUAUUAAUUAAAAAUAAUAAUUGUUGUAAGAUUUUUGGUAUUUUUGUCAAAUCCUAUAGUAUAAUCAUAAACUAAUUACGAUAUCUAUUUUGUAUUUUUAAAAUAUGAUAAAAAUACAAUUUUGUUUUUUUAAAAAAAUAUACAUGAAAAAAACUUUAGAAUUUGAUCAUAUGCACGAAAACAAAAUAUAUUUUUUAUGUUUUUGAAAUGAGGAAAUAUUCUUAAAAUGUUUUGGAUCUUUUAAAUUUUUUUUGGAGAAAAUAAAGUAUUUUAAAUAUCGGGUCUGUAUUUUAGAGUGCAAGUUUACAUUACGAUAUUAAAAGAAAUUCUUGAAAAAAAACAUAUUUUUGUGUUUUUUGAAAUUAGGAAAAACAUUUUGAAUUUUUAUUUUGAAAUUCCAGAGAAAAAUAAAGUAUUUUUGAUAUCGGGUCUGUAUCUUAUAGUGCAAGUCUACAAUCUAAUAUUAGGAAAAAACUAUUUUCAAAAACACGUGAGGGACCUACAAAUAACUUCAAAAUGGUACUUGAUUUUUUUUUUCAGAAUCUUCUUUUUGAAAUUUUUAAGGGCCUCUUUGACUAAACCCCAUAAUAAAAACAAAUUUAAACUAAAAAAAAAAAAACUUAGGGCAGGUUUGCCAAAAACAUUCUUAGCCUAAAAUUAGAGACUUUAAAAUUUCUUAAGGUUGUGUUUGACAACACGCCUUAAAGACUCAAAUAAAGCCUUAUUUCCUUAACAAAAUUGAUUGGCACAAGUCAAAGGCACCUUUAGCUUUUGGGUUUGGCUUAGCCUAGCCACAUGGGUUGGGCCUAUUAGGCUGGCUUGAGGCCCAAACCCCAACAUGCGGGUUGGGCUUAAGACCUACCCAACUUGAUUUUUGUUGGGCUAAAAGAUGUCCCAAAAGGCUUUUGUCUUAUAAACCUAUCCUAACCACAAGGUGAUAGGACCUUAAGUCAAGAAGAAAUGAACAUUCAAAAUCUUGCUUACAAAUUGUCUUCAGGACCUUAAGUCUAAUAUACAAAAAUCUUUAAACUAAGGUAAACACAUUCCAACUAGGAACAUGAAGGGUUUUUUUUUUUCCCCCAGCUAAUAACCACACAAAACAUGGUUCAAUUUAGCAAAGGAAAAACUCUUGUCCAUUAAAUUCUAUAUUGGCUAUGAACUCGUAAAUAUUCUUAUUAUAUUGCUCACAUCUUAUAAGCCUUAAAAUUACACCCCCUUCCAAUAUAGCUAAAUAUAUUUCCUGCUAGCAUAUCUUAUUUUUAAGUUCAACUCAGAAUCAAAACUCAUUAAUUAUAUGUAAGCAACACAAUUAAGGUUAAUAAAAUAAUGUCACACGAAAUUGUCUCAUCAAUAAUAAUCUUCAUAACUUUACUAGUUCAUAUCUUUUCCCAUAUCUUUGAUCUAAUUUGGCCACAUCAUAGGACUAGAGCCUCACAUUUGUUCUUAUUACGAUAUGAUCUAUGUCUUAGCAUGGUGGGUUGCAAAGAUCUUUAUUGUUUGUUUAUCAACAUGAUCUUCCUUACUAAUGAUUCCAACAUUAAGUUUCAACCACUCUUUUAAUGUUACGGAGAGAUGAUAAUUUGCUAACACCACUAUCAUCAUCUUAAGCAUUAAGUUGGUGCAAUUAUGAACACUUCUUCCCGUUAUGAUUGUCACAUUCGGACAUCGCGACAACCGAUUAAAAAAUUUUCAAGGAAAAAGAAUAGAUAUCUGACAUCUUGUUUUUAGGAGAAAAAAGUCUUGUUUUAAAAAGUUGUCACUAGUAUUAUGAUCAUUAGAAAUCCUAAUUGGUUAACAUAGAUUCUAUGGUACGGGACUGCUUACGCGAAAGGGAAGAUACUAUUACCCCUUAAGUGUCCUACUUGAGGCAAGCUGCAUUGCUAGUUUUGUCUUAAAUUGCUAAAAGUUUUUUUUUUAUUAUGCUUUUCAUGGUCUGCCUAGGAUAUUCCUAACUCUAGCGUAAGUGAAUACUUGACUACAAAUAUUUUCAACUCUAGCAUUAGUAAAUAUUACGCAACCUAAAAAAUAUAGCAUUCCUAACUCUAGUGCUAGUGAAUAAACCCAUAAAAUUUGGAUUAAAAGAAAAAAAACUAUUUUUAUUAUAUUUUUUGGGGGGCUAGAUCGAGCCUAGCUGCACAGCCUGUGCUGGACCCAAUUGGCUCGACCUAAUUAGCUCGACCUGGUCACUGGCCCAAGCUAAUGACCCCGGCUGGUCACUGUUGCAUGUAUGCGUAAACUAUUCACGUAUGCUGUGCAUGGUGUGAAGGUAAUUUUAAUUACCUUCGCACAAUGUCAAAUACAAAUUACAAAGCAAAAAGAACAUGCUUGGUUCUGGAGACGAGAGGGUAUUUAGGAGUGUGGUAGCGCUUGCUUUCCAAAGUGAUUUUCAUUCUAAAAUACAUUAAAAUAAUUUUUUUUUGAAAAUUAUUUUUGACAACAACACUUCAAAAUGACAUGAAAACAUCAAAAAAUAUUAAUUUCAAGCAAAUAAAAAAAUAAAAAAUUUCAAUUUUUUUUUAAACACUUUUAAAACGCAAUGCCUAACAUUAUUUAUUGUUUCUCGUUCACUUCCCCUAUGUUCUCUCUUUUGGUCUCCUAUUCUCUCUAUUUCUUUGCUUGCUAUGUUAUCUCUUUUGGUCUCCUAUUCUCUCUAUUUCUCUGCUUGCUAUGUUAUCUCUUUUGGUCUCCUUUCGCUCCCUCUAUCCCUGUGUUUUCGUCCGUUUUUUCUGUCUCCUCUAGUAUUCUUCUGUCGUCCUGUACCUGUGUUUUCGUUCCUUCUCUUUUGUGCUUUUCCAUUGCUACUAGCUUCUCGUCUAAAUACUUUGAUUUUUCCCAUUCUUUGUCAAGCUUUAUCCUCAUGACUUUUAUCUCAUUCUUCUUGACUGUUAACUCUGCUUUAACAUCCUCGAAUCCUCCCUUUUCGCUUUCCAACUCCAUAUAUUUCUUAUUCAAAUCCUCAUACUUCCUAAUCCUAUCCAUCAGCUCGAAUUGCACUUGCACAAAUUUUUCUUGGUAAUAUUCUGCACUUUCUUGGCAAUCGCUAAAGUCCAUCUCCAUUGCUUCAAGUUCAGAGCAACUUUGCAUCCAAUCCAAACUCAAACCCUUUAAGCUCCUUCUCACUUCCUUCCUUAGCAAUCUUCUCCUCAACCAACUUUAACUCCAGCUUUGUUAUUUUCGCAUCUCUAGACUGUAUUUGCUCAUCUAGAAAUGUUUUAUCCUGUUCUAGCAUCAUUUCUUCCAACAUUGCUUUGUCUUUUCUGCUCUUGCUCAAUUCUAUUCGUAGUUUCUCCACUUGCCUUCUCAAGUCUUCUUCAUUACUAACCCUCUUUCUCUUGAUAGGCUCCUCUACAGUUGGAGAAGAUUUGACUUCUACACAAGGCAUGGCUGAAGCAGCUGAAUCAUCUUCAAUGUUCACCCUUUUUCUCUUAAUAGGCUCCGCUACAUCUUGAGGAGAUUUAGCUUCUACGCAAGGCGUGGCUGAAGUAGCUGAGUCUCUCCAUUUUACAUAUCCUUCGCUCACACUUGGAUCUCUAACCCUUCUAUCUCCACCAACACUAGAUGCUUCCAAUCUUGCUUGAUGAUCUCCAAAACCUCUUCUGCCAUGGGAUCUUUGAACAAACCAGAGAAUUGAGCAAUUCCCAUAGUCCUGGGAACGAACUGCAUGCCCCCAAGUUGUCUUACCACUAAGGCAGGAGCAUAACUCACAUAACCCGUGAUCCCCACCAAUGGUACCCAACGCCUUUGUCCACAACUCAUUAGGACCUUCACUGACGUUACCCAUGGGGCCCUCCACUUAAACUCGCUAUUAGGUAAACCUUCUAAUUUAUCAACCCAACCCUGGUUGUCUAGAUCUCCCCAUUCUUCUUCUUCUACUAACUUGAGGGGUUUUUGGGUGAACCACCAAAAAUUAUUGAAGACAGGUUUCUUUGUCUCGAUAUGGCUAACCAUCCAAAUAUACAACAGUUGCGUGCAGCAUCUCAUUGCUCCUUUUCCGGCCCUCCUACAAUGGUUAAGUGUCAAAAUUGUUUCGGCUAAAAUAGCAGCCACUGGAUUGAUUCGUGUAUUCUCAUACUCCACAUAAGCAGCAGCGGCCUCCAAACUCACUAAACCAAUCUGACUUGGGAACAACACAAGGCCAAAUAUACCUAGGGCAAUCAAUCUCUCUUUUUCUACUCCUGACUUCUUUUCCAAUUCUAACAUCCUCCAUUUCAAACCGGUACCAUUCUUCUCUUGAAACUUUUCCAAGUUGGAGAUUCUGAGCAGCUUUGACAGUUCAGGGAUGAUCUUGUCGGAUCUUAAAGGAGAAUAAAUCCGAUACAGGUCGUUGGGAAACUCGGUCAACAAUCCAUAUUCCUCAACCGUGGGGCACAAGUCUAUGCUUCCAAAGGAAAAACAUCGGUAGUCUGGAUCCCAAAAAUGAACUAAAGCUCGCACAGCUGGGCUUAAAACUUCUACCUUUGCAAUUUCCAUCAAACGUCCGUAUUUCCUAAAAAAUGCAUCUUUAUCCACAUUCUGAAAAUGAGUCGUUAACUUGUUCGCCUCAUUCAAUAUGCAAUUCAGGUUCUUGAUUGGUGACAUCUUCUUAGCAUCGCUUCUAAGGCAGUCUCCUUCAGUCAAUUGUGACAGUUCAGAAUUUUUUCCAUACUCUAAGAUGGAAGAUUUAGUGAUGAUGGCCAUUUCGUUCACAAAUCCUGCAAUUCAAAAAUGCAUGGGGUUUAGACUUGUUUUGAUGCAAAAGAUAGGGUAGGUUUACGUGAGACAUAGGGUAGGUUUACUAUUGGGUCUCUAAAAGAGGGUCUCUUGCUGUUCCAGUGACCACCUUCAUAAAGGCGAUAUGGAGGUCUAGCAGAUAGUGGGAUGGUACGUGUACCAAUCACAAUCAGUCUAAACACUCAGCAAAGAGUUGGGGUUUACACAAACUUAAACCUUGACUCAAGUCAUAAGGCAAGCUGCUAGUCCCCCACUUAUUCUUAAAGUUACAUGUGUGUGCACUCCAAAACAUAAUAAUAAUAAUAAAGUGAUGCAUGACUAUGCCAUGUAUGAUAGAAUGUAAAGAUAUAUGCUAAAGCUUUUAAACAAAGCAUCAUAAGAAAAUAAAAACCAAUAACACAUAGCAUAAACAAACAAACAAAUCAAGCUUAGUCCAAGGGUCCCCAGUGGAGUCGCCAUUCUGUCGCACCCCAAAAAAAUAACUAAAAAAAAAAUUUUGUUUUGCGACAUUCGACUGGUGACUUUCGUUUUGUUCUGUUUUGCUGAUUUGGUUCUUUGGAGUCGCCACCUAGUAUUUUGGUCACUAGGAACCCUAACUGGUCUUUCAGAGAUUCUAAGGCCAGGGAUUGGUUGCGUAAAGGGAAGGUAUUAGCACCCCUAGUACGCCUUACCUAAGGUAAGCUGCUUGGUGUUUUGGUUUGCGCUAUAAUUGCUAUGGUGUUGGUAUUUUCUAGGCUCGUCAAUUGAUUUUGGAUAGAAAUCUAAGGAGAUUCCAUGUGCUUUGAAAGCUCAUUUUUCCCUUAGUAUUUCAAAAGUUUGCGACUCAUAAAUCGUGGAUAAAAAAAAAUUAAAUUUUGAAAUGUCCUCGAUUAUAAUCAAGGCUUCUUUCAAGAAUGUGUGCGGAUUUAUUACUCCCAAUAAUAUUUUGGAUAUUCAUCCUUUUAAGGAUUUCUUUAUCCAAACAUUAGCGGUGAAUAAUAAAUAAAUUUACUCCCCAAAAAUAAGAUUGUUAUAGUUUUUGGAAUAUUGGCCAAUAUCCUUUGGAGUUUUACAAACAUGUUGUAAAAUCCAGAAAUGCAAGAAAAUAAUUUGUGUUUAAGAAAUCUAUGCGAAAACACACUUUCGAAGCUUCCAAUAUAUUUUUUUUAUAAAAGAGAACAUUCAAAACAUGUUAGAGUAUUGGCCGUAUGCAACCUAUAUGGAUGCAGAACGCCUCUGCAUGCAGGAGACGAAAUCUAUAAAUAAUACAAGAAAAUUGUGAAGGGGGGGGGGAAGAAACGUACCUGGCGCGGCGGAGACGGUGGCUUGCUGGCGGUGCUGCUGUGGAGGUGGUGGCGGCGUCCUAGCUCACGGCGAUUUCCAAAGCAAAUCCGGCGAAGUCCUCUCGGUUUGUUUUCUGUAUUUUUGUUUUCUAAAUUUCCUCCUGGUUUCAAACUUUCACUCUUCUCUUGUUUUUUUUUAGUUUUCGUUGGCUCUCUCUCUUCGGGUGGGUGUUUCUCUCUCUUCCUCUCUCUCUUCAGUUUUUUUCUUAGUUUUCUUCGGUUUCCUCUUCUGUUCUGUUUUUUUCGUCCCUUGUUUUCUCUUUCGGUUCUCUAUUUAUAGAACCAGCGGGUGUGGCUUCACCGUGGAGCCAAGGAGCGGGUUGAGGAGCGGUUGUCCAGGCAGGCCUCCCUCGGCUUCGGCAGCGCGACGGGUGGUCGGCCAGCGUCUUCUGUCGGUGGCCCACCGGUGUGGGGCCUCGGUCGGUGGCAAGAGGGACCUGCAAAAAAAAUAAAAAAAUACAAACUUUUCCUUCUUCCCUGCUGUAAUGUUCGGGGGGAAGAAGAAAGUGAACAAUGCCGUUCAAAACGGCACCGUUCGGUCUCUCUUUUUUUUUUUUUUUUCUUAUUAUGCAUGAAACGACGUCGUUUUGGAUAAAACGCGCCAUUUCAUUUUAAAAUAAAGGCGCCAGAACAUUUUUUGAAUCAGUCCUUAAUUUAUCAUUGUUCUAUUAAGUCCUUCAAUCGAGUCCUUCAAUCAAGAAUAAAAUUCAAUUGCGUCCCUGCCAAAUUCGUCCCUACCCUAUAGUUGGCCACGUUUUUCACUUUGGUCCUUGGCCUCUGAUUUUCACAAUUAAGCCCCUAAUUGAUCAAUAAACUUCCAAUUUCUUCAAUUAAGCCCCUGAAAACAAUUCCAAACAGCCCCCUCUAUCUUUUGCCUUCUCCAAAUUGGUCCCUGGUUUCGGAUUUUCACAAUUAAGUCCCUAAUUGGCCAAUAAACUCAAUAUUUAUGCAAUUAAGCCCCUGAUUUGACCUAAUAAAUUCCAAAAAAUAUAUUUAGGCCCCAGAACUUAAAUUCUUCUAAUUAAAGCCGCAAAUUGACUUAAAAAUUAAUUUUCAUUGCAAUCAAAUCCUCUAUAAAUUCAAAUAAAAAUCCAAUUAAGUCCAUAAACAUCCAAAUUUGGGCUUUUCUCCUCAAAAUUCAAAUUUUCCUUCUCAAUAGGGCUUUCAUCCUUCAAGAAUAUACUGUCAAAAAUCAAUCCUUGUAUUUUUAAAUUCCUUGAUCAAUUUUCUGACUGUUUUCUGAGCGUUUCUGCCUCCUGUUAUUUUUUUAAAACUCUUUUGGCUAUUUAUUUUAUUUUUCAUGGGGACCUAAAAAUGGGUUACAACAAUGUAUACCCUUUACCAUUAAUCCCUUUUAAAGUUACAAAGUCCACUAGAACACAAUCAGCCAUUAAUCUCUUUCAAAGUCAGAAAUUCCGUUUCAGUACUCUAAAACCAAAUAUAACAAACCGUGAUUUCAUAAGUAAUUAAGACAAUAAUUCAACAUCACAUACAUGAAAAUAUGGUCAUUUGUUUUAUCAUUUAACAACUCAUCAUGAUAAAAUCUUCCAUUUUACAAUUAACUCAAAUGAGUAAAUCCUUUUCCCUUUAUUUUAUACAUUAACUUUUUUUCCACACUUUAACAUAUGUUUCAUUUUUAUUCAUAAUUCACAUUUUUAGUCUUAGUGACUUCCUUUCUUAUAUGAAUCCACCUUAUAAGAAUUUCAUUUUUCUUUAGCCUUCAUUUAGGAUUACCAACCAAUUGUUUAUAAUAUUCACCGGCAAGAUGGAAUGUUAAUGAUAUCUAACAUAUUGGAACAUUCAUUUAAUAUCCACCUCUUUUUAGCAUAAUUACUCGAACAAACCUCAUUUUUUUAGGAAAUAUCCAUAUUACUUAUUUAGACCCUUUUUUUAUAAUAUAUGGUUUUUAGGUAGAUUUGCUCGAUUUAAUUAAAUUUUGGUAAAGUUUUUUCUAUGUAGAACUCAAUCUACUUUUAACCUUAGAUAUGACCUACAAAUAGAAAUACAAAAUAGAAAAACAAUCAAUUAUUACAAUUAUAAGCUUAUAUACAAACAUUUCUAAUUUAUUAAAUUUAUAAAUUUACUAAGUAAUCCAAAAUCAUAUUAAAAGGAAGAUCUAUCAAUUCAAAUAUGCAAACAAAUUGAGUAAUAUGCAACUAAUAUUAAUAUUAGGGAAAUUCAACAAUUGUUCCCAAUACACCAUCAUUAAAACACAAUUCUUUUUAUUUUCUUUUUGGCCUUUUCUUGACUAUACUACCUAUUUCCUUAACUUUUCAUUUGUAAUUCUUUGCAAACAAGCCCUUACUCUUACACAUAAUUAUAAAUACUUCAUGUUGCUACCCAAUUUUUGACCCAUGUUUUGAUAUAUUUUCAAAAAAUCCAAAAAUUGAGAAAAGCAAAGAAAAUCCAAAAAUAUGUUUUUUAAUAUAUUUUCGUCAUUUUAGCAUUUUCAACGUCGUCUAAAAAAGGAAUUUAAAUUGUUAAAAGAUUUUCAAACGCGUUCGACGUUUCACGUGUCAUUUUUAAAUCAUUGAUUUUCCGCAUUUAAGUCUACGUUGAUAUUGCUCGUUUUCAAAAAUACAAAAAAAUAAAGAAAAAUCAAAAUUUACAAAAAAGAAAGAAGUUGAGGACCAAGUUGAAAAAACCUAGCAACAUUUUGCCUAUAAAUACUGGUUUCCUCAACACAUUCAAGGGGGGGCAAUUUUGAAAUAUCAGAAAAUACAAAAAAUAACCUAACCCUAAAACCUAUCUCUACCAAGCUUGCAGCCCCUCCUUCUCCCUUGGUUUGAAUUUUUUUUCCACAGCCGCCGGCCACAAACCGAAGCCAAAGCAGCCCCUCCCCCCGGGCUCAAACUUUUUUUUUUUUCCAGCCGCCGGCCAAGACUUGGCUCCCCAUUUUUCAACGUUCCAGACCACCCCCCCCCCCCCGAAGGCUCUGAUUUUUUUCUCUUCUUCUGGCCGGCCACCUGAGACUUUCCCAUUUUUCCCUACACCAUUUUCGGUUUCUUCUCCCUUCACCCGCUCACGACCCAAACAGCCCCAUCGCCGGUCUCCUUCCCUCUCGGUCGUUCCUCCUUCUUCACCAUCAGUGACCCGCAGCCUCACAACCGACCCCCAACAGCCCCGCCGCUCACUAUCUUCUUCUCCUGUCUCUCGCCGGUCAGCCUUUCCCAACAGUACCGAUCUCCUCUGCACCGCCCCUUCCACCGCUAACAGAAACCACCCGACCACUGCAGCAAGAGACGACCGAACGGAGACACAUCCUCACUCUGCCUCCAGCACACCGAACCCGCCACCGAUCUGUUUUCCUCGCAUCAACACCACCGGCAACCUCUCCCAUCUCUGCAGUAGGCGACAGCAGCAAGGACAGCUGAAGUCGACGAUCAGACCACUGUUUCUCCUCCCCUGACCGGACAGCCACCCGAUCUCCAUAACAGCUUCAACAGCCACGGACAAAACCGCCAGAUCCAGCACCGGAGGAAGAAAGAAAACAGAAAUGAGAUGAAUCUGAAGAGGAGAAAGAACCAGAUCUGAGAAUGAAAAAAUAAAAUUAAAAUCAACUGUUUGGGCAUUUUUCUCUUGUUGCAGGAGGCGGUGAUCCUCACCACCGGCAGGAAAGUGAAGAGGGGAGCAAGCUGUGACUGACCCCUGUUUUUUUUUUUCAGCAUUUCUGGCGGUGGCGCGUGCACCCACGCGCCGCCAGUGACGAUGGCGCGUGGGAAGACGCGCCACCACUGUUCAUGUUCCACAGAUCUGGUCCCAGCAUUUUCAUGGAUUUUUGAAUGGCUGUUUUGUAAUUUUAGAAUUGUUUAAUGUAAUUUUUGUUUAAUGUAAUCUUUGGUUUAAUGUAAUAUUUGUUUAGUUUUGAGUUUUUUUUGUAAUUUGUAUUUUGUAAAUAUGGAAGCAAAAAAAAAAAGAAAGGAAAAGAAAAAAAGAAAAGAAAAGAAACAAAAUAGUGAAACUGUAUGUGUAUAUGUGUUUGUAUUUUAUUUUUAUUUAUUUGUAUUUUAUUUUUAUUUUUUUACGAUAAAAUUGCAAAAUAUAUUAAAGAAGAAUUUAAUAUUUUGAUCGGAUCACGGUUAAGAAUUAUUAACUUAUACGUAAGUGAUAUUUCUAAUUUCCGACGAAAAGACAAUUAUUAAAACUUCUUUAACACGUCAAAAGCCACGAAGCAGCUUACCUCAGGUAGGGUGCGUUAGGGGUGCUAAUACCUUCCCUAACCACAACCAGUUCCUUACCCGCGAAUCUCUGACAAGACCAGUGCAUCCGGUUUCCUAGUAGCCUUCAAUAAAUUACUAGGUGGCGACUCCAACGAACGAAUUCAAAGCAAACGCAACAACGAGAUGAAAAAUCGCCAACCGAUGCCGCGCGUCGAUUUUUUUUUGGGGUGCGACACUUCACACUAAUAACUUUAUAUCAUCUAGUAUAUUGGAUUAUCAAAGUUAUGGCCUAACCAUGCAAUUAGCUUAGUUCUUUCUGAUAUCUUUGAUGUCCCUUUCUAAAAUCAUCCAAAAGACAUUUGAUAUGUAGAUUUCUACUCGAAUGACCAACUCAUAAAUGUCAAAGAACCAUCUCAACCCAAUAACUUAAGCUGUUAGGUGAGGUUCUAGGAUAUGAUUUAUAUUAUUCUCUAACACACUCCCUCAAGUGAAAGCCCUUUGGGCUUGAAACUUGCAUAGACCCACAUUACCUUGUACUUAAUUUUUAUCAAAUAAAUGGAGAAUGUGAGAUUCGAACUCGUGACCGCUUGGUCAUCAAGGCUCUGAUACCAUGUCAAAGAACCAUCUCAACCUAAUAGCUUAAGCUGUUAGAUGAGGUCCCAGGAUAUGAUUUAUAUUAUUCUCUAACAAUAAACACUCGAUCCAUAGUCUCCACUCAUGUGGUUAGCUUAUCAAUUCAUGACAAGUAACCCCUAUUUAUGUGGUUGGCUUAUCAAUUAAUUUUAUAUAUCUUUGAUAUAUAUUUUUUUUAGAUGCAAACACAAUAAUAAGAAGUUUAAAAGUAACAUUGUUUUAAAUAUAAGUAAGGUGGAGAACAUCUAUUUGUUCUUUCGGAUGAUCUAGUUAUUAAAUACUGAUGCCUCUUUUUAUAAAAAAGAAGAUCCAAACAUUCACAUUUAUGUUAUCAUUGUUGAAUUCAUAACAAGACAUUUCAUUAUACCCUAAUUUCUACACCUUUCAAUUAGUCCAUUUCUUAUUUCCAUUAUCUUAUAUAUUAAUUUCCUUGUUUUACAAUAAUACACAAUAUUAGCAAUAAUAUUUACUAGCAUCAUUUUUCUUUUAACUUAUUUUAUUUGACACAUUCCGCAUCUUAUAACUUGGUCAAAUAUUUAAUUUUGUUUAAUAUGCUAAUAUUUUCCACAUUCCAUUGCAUAUACAACCUUUCAAAAUUCACAACUUACCACUUAAUUUCCAUAACUACCUUGAAAUUUCUAAACACACAAAGUCAACAUACGGACUUUGGGAUUGAUGAGGUAAAGAUCAGGGGCAGAUGUAGAGGAAUUUCCAAUCCAUGAUUUAUCUGAUGGAGGAAAGAGGUCUUGUGUGCUGUUUAAACUCUGGUCUGUGA